UCCUUGGAACUGCCGUCAUCCCAUUGUCUUUCUAAAUUAAAGAUCAUAAAAUGCCCUAACUUGGCAUCCUUCAAUACGGCAUCAUUACCUCGUCUUGAGGAACUAAGCCUGCGUGGAGUCAGAGCAGAGGUACUGAGGCAGUUCAUGUUUGUCUCUGCUUCUUCUUCAUUGAAGUCUCUGCGUAUACGGGAGAUUGAUGGUAUGAUAUCUCUCCCAGAGGAGACGCUUCAAUAUGUUUCCACUCUCGAAACUCUCUACAUUGUUAAGUGCUCUGGUUUGGCAACAUUACUACACUGGAUGGGCAGCCUUUCCUCGCUUACGGAACUUAUUAUUUAUGACUGCUCUGAAUUGACAUCACUGCCAGAAGAGAUCUAUUCCCUAAAAAAACUGCAGAAAUUUUAUUUCUGUGAUUAUCCACACCUACGGGAAAGAUACAACAAGGAAACAGGUAAAGACCGGGCCAAGAUUGCUCAUAUCCCACAUGUUCGUUUCUACCUUGAUUCCGAUAUGGAAUGGCAGGUAGGUCCGAAAUCCCUAACCUUUCUUCCCAUUUUUAUUAUUUAAGAAUCAAAAUGCUAUGUUUUCAUUUUGUCUCUGGUAGUUCUUUUAUGUUGGCACCUCAUAUGUUUGUUUAAAUGCUCACAUCAAUAACUUUUUGAAAAAUUUUCCAGAUUAACAUCAUUUGCUGAUGCUGUGCACUAAACUAAUCAUUUUACUUGGGAGUUGUACAUUCUAAGAGUUUGAGGAAAUAUUGAGGUCUGGUAUGAUAACUCUCAAUCCUUGGAACUGCAUUCAUCUCCUUCUCUUUCUCGAUUAACAAUCCAUGAUUGCCCAAACUUGGCAUCCUUCAAUGUGGCAUCAUUACCUCGUCUUGAGGAACUAAGCCUGCGUGGAGUCAGAGCAGAGGUACUGAGGCAGUUCAUGUUUGUCUCUGCUUCUUCUUCAUUGAAGUCUCUGUGUAUACGGGAGAUUGAUGGUAUGAUAUCUCCCAGAGGAGCCGCUUCAAUAUGUAUCCACUCUCGAAACUCUCUACAUUGUUAAGUGCUCUGGUUUGGCAACAUUACUACACUGGAUGGGCAGCCUUUCCUCGCUUAAGGAACUUAUGAUUUAUGAAUGCUCUGAAUUGACAUCACUGCCAGAAGAGAUCUGUUCCCUUAAAAAACUGCAGAAAUUUUAUUUCUGUGAUUAACCACACCUAGAGAAAAGAUACAACAAGGAAACAGGUAAAGACCGGGCCAAGAUUGAUCAUAUCCCACGUAUUAAUUUCCAAAGUGAUCGAGUUAUGGAAUAUAAGGUCCGAAAUCCCUAACCUUUCUUCCCAUUUUUAUUAUUUAAGAAUCAAAAUGCUAUGUUUUCAUUUUAUUAUUAUGUUUUCAUUGUAUCCCUGGCACCUCAUAUGUUUGUUUUUACUGCUCACAUUAAUAAUUUUGAAAUUUUUUUCCAGCUUGGAUACGCUUUCCGAUGAUGUGCACUAAACUAACAAUUUUACUUGGAGUUGUACAUUCUAAGAGUUUGAGGAAAUACUGAGGUCUGAUAUGAUAACUCUCAAUCUUAAACGUUGUUUUGUGUUUGGAACGUUACUACACUUGAUACAUACCCUCACCUCACUUACAGAGCUUGGAAAUCGUGGCUGCCUUGAAUCGACGUCACUGUCAGAAUAUAUGUUCCCUCAAAAACCUGCAGACACUAAAUAAUCUGCAUCUGUUCACAGAAAGAUGCUGAAAGGAAAGGUGAAGACCAACCCAAGAUUGCUCAUAUGCCACAAAUUGAUAUCAUACAUCCAUGAAGAUUGAACUGAUACACAAUGCCUUUCAGGUCUGAAAUCCCUAACUUUUCUUCUCAUUUUCUAUGACUUCAUUUUCAUUAUCUUACUUUUAAAAUGCUCUGUUUUCAUUUGUUUUGGUAGUUCUUUGUAUUUGUGCCUUACUUGUUUGAUUAAAUGCUUACAUCUUCAAAUUAUUUUAUUCUAAGUGUUUUGCAUUCUAAGAGUUUGAGGAAAUACUGAGCUCUAAUAUAACUAGUAGAGUCCACCAUUCCUAAGAAGCUUACCAUUUCCUAGUGCCCAAAGGAUCCCGAAAGGAGACAACUUUGGAUUGGCUUGAAGAUUUCCCAUGGUCCAAAAAUUUGUAUUUACUAGACGCUUGAUACAAAAAGUAGUUUAAAUUUAGCCAUUAAUAUAACUUUUUUAUUAGAGAAAUAAUUGCCAAACAAAUGCAAAAUAGAAAAUGGUGUUAAUGAAUUCAGUCCUUCAUCUAUAUUGCAGUUUAGCAGCUUUUGUUAGAUAACAGGUAUGGGGUUGGGUUUAUUAUGUUACCAUUCCAAAUAUUCUUAAAAAAAUCAUCAAGGCUUUGUUUGUUUUCUUGAAAAUUUGAAGGAAAAAAUAAAGAGAAAAAGUGGAAGGAAAAAAAAAAGUGGAAGUCAAUAAAUUAUUUUUAUAUUAUACUUUAAACUCAUUUCACUUUUUUUUAACUCUUUGAUUUAAAGAUUAAAUAAUUUGAAAAUGUAUAAAUUUAUAAUUAAUCUUAAUUAUAUUUGAUUUUCUUUGGUAUUUUCCAUAGGACAAUUAAACUUGAGAAAAUCAUUUUCCUUAACAUUAUUUUCUUAGUACUUUUCGGGAACCAAGCAUAACCUAAAUGUUCUAGUUUAGUUUAGCAGCUUCAUCAAAUUAGAUAGACAACCUCACAUCUCUUAUUCAGCUGAGGUGUUAUGUUAGUUAAUGUUUUGUCUCUGCUUCUUCAUUGAAGUCUGUCUAUUGGAUGCACAGAUGAUAUGAUCCAAACUUAAAUUGAACGUUGCUCUUGUUUUGCAACAUUACUGUACUAGAAAGGCAACUUGAACUCACUUAUAGACCUACCUAUUGGUGACUGCAUUGAAUUGACAUCACCUUAGAAGAGAUGUGUUCCACAUGGAAAAUCUUUCAUUAUAUGCACCUACUUGCAAGAUACCAAAAGGAAACGGGUGAAUACUUGCCCAAGAAUACAAAGGGCCACACUUGGUGAAGGUUUCAUCAGUAAGGAGAACCAUUUCAAGUAUGAAAUCCUCCAUUCUCAUUUUUUGAUGACUUCAUUUUUAUUCAAUAUCCAUUUGAAAUAAUUUAAGUUCAUUUUCUUUAGAUAUUAUAUUUUCUUGCUUGCUCAAUAAUUUCAUUCAAGUAAGUUGUUUGGAUAUCACAUUUUCUUUGGGUUUUUUUCUUUUUAGAAUAAUUUCAAAAUGUCAUUUUUUACUAUUCACAAAAUUUGAUCAUAGUUGAGUGAUUAAAAUUCAAGUUUAUUCUUAUUAUCAUUAGUAGUUAUUUGAUAUAUUUGUUUGCUAAUACAAAAAUAAGACUAACAAGUAAUGUGCAUAGAGUUUGUAGAAGAGAAGAAAGAUUUGAUCCAAGAUAUUCCUAAAGAUCGGAAACUUUCAAAGCCACCCAAGAUCCCACAGGUUGAAUUCAGAUUCAUUCAGUUUACAAUCCAUUAAUUCUACUUAUAUCAUCUUUGUUAUGUUACAAUUUGCCUUUACUUGUUAUGCAGCCUACCUUAAUAAUUUGGGGAGACCAAGAUAAGGUAUUCCUAGUAGAAUUGGCUCACAAAUUGAAAAGGUAAACUUGUAUCACCUACCUACAUACCUACAACAAUACAAACACUAGCUCAUGUCUUUCUCACUAUUGAAAUUGUUAUUGCAUGCAGACAUUUCAGGUGAGGAGGCCCAACUUGUGAUCAUAGAGCAUACUUUUAUUAUAGAGAAGCCCAAGGAAAUAUUUAAGCACUUGAAAUCCUUUCUCAUUGAUUUGCUUCCACCUCCCAAGCAACACCUAGAACCACUCGCACCAUGACGAAGUUAAAAGGAACUAAUGCAACAUUCUCAAUAUAUUAGAAUAUAUCGAAGGAAGGGUGGCCACAUAUGAAGACCCUAUUCCAAGGUCAAAUUUUAGAUUUUUGUGUUUUUCUUAUCACUAUUCCUAUACUAUUACUAGUGCACCUUAUUUGUCAAGAUGAUUAAAAGGGAAUUCCCUAGGAUAACUAGUGUCUCAAGUGAUCUUGAGGUUCAUAAAUUUUUGGUUUCCAUAAGAUAGGUGCCAACUAUUUUUAUUUUUUUUACACCCAUGCAAUAUUCCGGUCAUCUAUUAACAAAGGCUAAAAUUUCUUGUAGAGAAUAGAAUAAAGAACUAAAUUACAUGCAAAUAGGACAUUAUUAUUCUAUUUACAAGUAAGGGCCAAAAAUUAUUGAGGGCCAUCAAGCACAUUGUUCCUAAAAUAAUAGCAUCCAUGUUGUUGAGCAAAAGUUUUUUUAUAUUGGCACCUCAUAUGUUUGUUUAAAUGCUCACAUCAAUAACUUUGAAAAUAUUUUCCAGAUUUUCAACAAAUUGUAAUGUUGUGCACUAAAUUAAUCAUUUUACUUGGAGUUCUACAUUCUAAGAGUUUGAGAAAAAACUAAGGUCUGAUAUGACAACUCUCAAUCUUAAAUGUUGUUUUGUGUUUGGAAUAUUACUGCACUUGAUAGAUGCCCUUACCUCUGUUACAGAACUUGGAAUUCAUGGCUACCCUGAAUUGACAUCCCUACCAGAAGAUAUGUUCCCUUAAAAGCUUGCAGACACUAAACAAUUUGCAGCUGUUCACACUUAGAGGAAAGUUGCUGAAAGGAAAAGUGAAGACUAACCAAAGAUUGCUCAUAUCCCACAAAUUGAUAUCAUACAUCCAUGAAGAUUGAACUGAUACAGAAUGUCUUUUAGGUCCGAAAUCCCUAACUUUUCUUCUUAUUUUCUAUGACUUCAUUUUUAUUAUCUUACAUUCAAAAAUCUUCUGUUUUCAUUUGUUUUGGUAGUUCUUUUUAUUUGCACCUUAUUUGUUUUAUUAAAUGCUUACUCCAGUAAGUUUGAAAAUUUUUACAUCUUCAAAUCAUUUUGCUUGAGUGUUUUGCAUUCUAAGAGUUUGAGGAAAUACUGAGCUCUAAUAUAAAUAGUAUUGGUCAUAGAGUCUUCCUUUCUUAAGAAGCUUACCAUUGACCUAAUGGCCAAAGGAUCCCAAAAGGAAACGACUUUGGGUUGGCUUGAAAAUUUCACAUGGUCCAAACAUUCAUAUUUACUAGAUGCCUGAUAUAAAAGAACUUUUGUUCUCUUUUCAAUUUAGCCAUUGAUGUAGUCUAAAUGUUUUAUUAGAGCAAUAAUUGUCGAGUAAAUGCAAAAUAGAGAAUGGUGUUAAUGAAUUCAGUACUUCAUCUAUGUUGUAGACUUGUAGUUUAGCAGCUUCUGCUGAUAAUGAGUGUGGGGUUGGCUUUAUCAUGUCACUGUUCCAAAUAUUCUUUAAAAAAUCAUUUAAGCUCUGUUUGGUUCUUAGAAAAUUUGAGGGAAAAUGUGAGGAAAACAAAAUAGAGAGGAAAAGUGGAAGGAAAAAAAAAGUGAAAGUCAAUAAAUUAUUUUUGUAUGCUACUUCAAACUCACUGCACUCUUUUUAACUCUUUAAUAUAAAAAUUAAAUCAUUUGAAAAAUGUAUAAAUUUCUAAUUAAUUUUAAUUAUAUUUGAUUUUCUUUGGUAUUUUCCAAAAGACAACCAAAUAUGAGAAAAUCAUUUUCCUUAACAUUUUUUUUCUUAGUACUUUUAGGGAACCAAACAUAACCUAAAUGUUUUAGUUUAGUAGUUUCAUCAAAUUAGAUAGAUAACCUCACAUCUCUUAGUGAGCUGAGGUGCUAUGUUAAUUAAUGUUUUGUCUCUACUUCUUCAUUGAAGUCUCUAUCUAUUGGACGCACAGAUGAUAUGAUCCAAACUCAAAUUGAACACUACUCUUGUUUUGCAACAUUACUUUACUCAAUAAUUUCAUUCAAGUUCUUUGGAUAUCGCAUUUUCUUUGGUGUUUUUUUUAGAAUAAUUCAAAAUGUCUUUUUUAACGGUUCACAAAAUUUGAUUACAGUUGAGUGAUUAAAAUUCAAGUUUAUUAUUAUUAUUAUUAUUAUUAUUAUUAUUAUUAUUAUUAUUAUUAUUAUUAUUAUUGGUUAUUUGAUAUAUUUUUUUUCUAAUAGAGACAAAAGACUGGCAGCUAAUGUGCAUAGAAUUUGUAGAAGAGAAUAAAGAUUUGAUCUAAGCUAUUCUUAAAGACCAGAAACUUUUAGAGCUACCCAAGAUCUCACAGGUUGAAUUUUGAUUCACCUAGUUUACAAUCCACUAAUUAUCCUUAUAUCAUUUUUGUUAUGUUACAAAUUGCCUUUACUUAUUAUGCAACUUGUCUUAAUAAUUUGGGAAGACCAAGAUAAGGUCUUCCUAGUAGAACUGGCUUACAAAUUGAAACGGUAAACUCAUAUCACCUAUCUACAUGCCCACAACAAUAUAAACACUAGCUCAUGUGUUCCUCACUAUUGAGAUUGUUGUUGCAUGCAGGCAUUUUGGGCGAGGAGGCUCGACUUGUGAUCAUCAAUAACACAAGGCAUGUUUUUAUACAGAGAAGCCCAAAGAAACUUUUAAGCAUUUUGUUAGCCCAAGGGUUCUCCUAAUCAGGUUUUGAUGAUAACAAACCAUGGUUAAGUGACUAAUUGGUUUGAAUGGUAAAGAAUCUUAGGUAUAAAUUUGGAAAUUCAUCAAAUGACCAAAUGGAUACAAGAUCGAGACUUUUGGAAGACUUUUGAUUAUAGGAAACAAAUGUAAGAUGAAUGCAUGGGUGCACUUAGGUUUUACAUAUCUUUUUAUGCAUCUUUGAAAACUCGGUUUAUUCCUUAAAAUUACGAUUUCAUUAAAACCCAGGUUUUAUCAAAUGUAUCUUAGGCAAAACGUUUCAAAAUUGGCAUAUCAAUUUACCUAAAGACCUUGCCUAAGUGUUAGAAAGGAAAAGAAUUGAAAAAUAUAGGUUUUCGGGGCUAAAAGACUGAACCGAUCGAGGCACAGUCAAUCGGCUCAACCAACCAGGGAACCGAACGAUCGGUUGCUCUUGUCCGACCGAGAUCUGGUCGAGGAGUGUCAAAAACACACUCUCUCAUCCAGUAGCCUUCUCUUCCCAGUCGAGGUACUCUCCUUCCCGAUCGACCUCUAGUCGAGGUUCAGUCGAGGCAACGGUAACCUACCAAAGCAUUAAAUGCUCCAACGGCUAGUGAACCAAUCGACCCCCAGCUCGACCGGUUAAGGCUGUUUUUUGCUUUUUUUGGCUCCCAAGCUUAGAAACCUAUAAAUUGAGAGCUCCACUUCAUUUAUGACAUAAAGAACACUUGCAAUCAAUUUUCUACCCACUUGUUCUUGCCUUAAAAGCUCUCAUUUAUUUCUUAGUGCAUUAAAUCCUCACUUGCAUAUCCUUUAGUGCACCCUUGUGAAUCAUCCUAGCUUUGAUUUGUAUUUGAGCUAUCAUUGAGCUAGAUUGAGGGCUUCAUUCUUGUAAAAAUUGAGUGUUAAAGCCUUCAAGAGGUUUGAAUCUUGAAGAGAUUAUGUAAGAGCCCAUUGGAGCCAGAAUCCAAGUUUAAAGGAGAUUGGAAGCUUUGUUGAAGCUUCAAGUUAGUGGAACCCUCACUCGGUUAGGAGAUUGAGGAGAGUGGACGUAGGCAAGGAAAUGUCGAACCACUAUAAAAUCCGAGUGUAAAUUUUCUAACUCUAUCUCUUUAUUUUUUAUUAUAUUGUGAUUGAAUUUGUUGUGUUGAAAAAGUUUUUGAAAAACCCAAUUCACCCCCCUAUUAGGUGUUUUUCUCAUUAAUUUGCUUCCACCUCAUAAGCAACCCUCAGAACCACUUACACCAUGACAAGGUGAAAAGAAACUAAUGCAACAUUCUCAAUAUAUCAGAAGAUAUCAAAGGAAGGUUGGCCACAUAUGAGGACCCUGUUUCUAAGGUAGAAUUUUAGAUUUUUGUGUUUUUCUUGUCACUGUUUCUAUACCAUUACUAGUGCACCUUAUUUUUCAAGGUGAUUAAAAGGGAAUUCCCUAGGAUAACUAAUGUCUCAGAUAAUCUUGAGGUUCACAAAUUUUUGGUUUCAACAAAAUAGACGUCAAACCAUUUUUAUUUUUUUCUACACCCAUGCAAUAUUCCAUUCAUUUAUUAAUAAGGACUAAAAUUUCUUGUAGAGAAUGGAAUAAAGAACUAGAUUAAAUGAAAUAAGACAUUAUUAGUCUAUUUACAAGUAAGGGCAAAAAAUUCUUAAGGGUCAUUAAGCACACUGUUCCUAAAAUAAUAACAUCCAUGUCAUUGAAGUUUAUUGCAAUUACAUUAGCAUAUAAAACAAAACUAUUUUUUUUUUCUUUAUGUUCACACCUUAUCCAUUUGAUAAAAUGCUUAAACAAGUAAGUUUGAAUUUUUUUUUUUUUUUUUUUUGUUUUCAAAUCAAUUUAAAUUUUACAUUCAAAAGUUGAAUUAUUAUUAUUUUUUUUGGAAAAUUUAACCGCACUUUAGAAGUUUGUGAUUAUUCUUUGGUCCAUCUUAAAAUGAGUUCCUGCAUUCUUCCAUUCCUCAAAUUAAAAUCACAAUAAAAAGUUUUAGAUUGACCUAAAAUUUUCUCAUGGCUUAGAAAUUCAUAUCUACUAGAUGGCUAAAGCAAAAAACACUUUUGCCUUGUAUUUUAAGUAAUCCUUGCCUGCUAUUUGUUUAUUGAGAGCAUCAUACAAGUUGUGAUUAUAUUUCUUAAUUUUUUUAUAUGAUAAGACAGUAAUUGGAUUGAGAAAGAUGCAACUUGUGGAGCAGAAAAUUUCUUAACUACUUCCCUUGUAUUUGCUUUGUGUGUAUCAACUGUUCUAUUAAUUAUUUUUUAAAAAUAUCACUAAAACAAACCUAUUAUGUCAGUGCUCUCUAUUGUUAUGUAUCAUAAUUUAGCUAUUUUUUCCCUAGAAAUCAUGCUUGUUAUUGUGUUAAUCAGUAGGUAGCAUAAGAACUAUUUUGUUCAAGUUAUUUUGUAUUGGCAUUCUUCAUGUUUCAAAAUAUUGUCAGACUAGCAAUUUUACUGCAGAUAUAAUGUUCUCAAAUCAAUGCAAAAAUGGACGAUUGUGGGUCUUGGGCACAACCUUCCUUGAAGAGUUGAAUUGAGGGUUUCUAUAAACUAGGUCUCUAUAUCAAUAGAUUCUACAUUUCAUCACUAUGGAGACCUUACAAUAAAUAUCGCAAAAAGCUUCAUUUACUACAUAGUAAGGAUAAUCCUAAGGACUUAAAAGUUUGAGUUGUCUCUUCCAUGGCAGCUUCAGAUCUCUUAAUGAGCUCCCAGUCAUUGCCUACCUUGAAUAUAAAUCACUGCUAGAAGUAUGUGCCCUCAACAUUCCCAUGUUCCCGAUAUUGACUAGAUAUUUGUUGCUAAUUCAUGAAGAAUUGAAGGGAUCUUUGAUAAUGACAUCUAUAAUGUACUUCAAGUUCAUGAUCCAAACUCUCUUCUUGCUUUCAAUAACUUCAUUUUUUUUUAUAUUACUUUAUGGUCAAUGUUAUAAGAAUGUUGUAUUUUGUUUACCUGAUUCUCAUCCAUCAGCACACAGGAAAGGAAAAGUUUUACAUUGCUUUCCUUCCCUUUGCUCUGUGUUUAUAUAUGUUUAUGCAGCUAAUGUGAACUUCCACCAUAACUUUUUAAGUUUUUUUCAUUCUCGAGUUUGGGAAACAACUAGAUUUGAUUGUAAUAUUUUCUUGUAGAUAUCACCUUUCUUAAAAAGCUUGCAUUUAUUCACAUUUUCAAGAUGACUAAGUCAUCUGAUUAUGCUUAGAACUAUUGGUUUCUAUUAAAUUCAGGUAUGAUGUUUGCAAUUUUAAGCCUCUUACUCCUCUUGAAGACUACAUAAGUUUCUAGUGCUUUUACUUUAAUGGUUAUGGUCAAUGUAUCCUCUUGUUACUUCCUGUUUGCAUUCUAUAUGUUCAAGAGCUUUAUUAAAGUAAUUAUUUUAUUGAAGAUAUAAUUGUUUUCAAGUCAAAGAAAAAUUGAAUAAUGACGUGGUUUCAACAACUUCUCAAAAGUAAUUGGAAAGUAAGGAACUUUGUGGUAGUAUUCUGAUAUCACAUUGGGCUUUCAAAUCGUUGUCUUGAAUUGACAUAAAUAACAUAAUUUCUUUUCUAGUUGAGCUACUUCAACAUGUUAUUAUGCUUCAUACUCUUUCAAUUAUGUUUUGUUUAGGUUUGGAAACAUUAGUACAUUAGAUAUGUUGCCUCGAGUUACUUACACGACAUAAAAUUCAUCUUUGUUGUUAACUGGCAUCACUACCACAAGAUGAGUUCCCUCAGCAUUCUACAGACAACUAUAAUUUGGGACAAUUCUGGUUUGGCAACAUUAUCGGAGUUGAUAGACAACCUAUCUUCAUUAACAAAAACCUUUAAAUUUAUAUUUAUCCCGAACUAGCAUCACUGUUGGAAGACGUGCAUCCUUAACACCCUAUAACCACUCAUAAUUGGAGACUGUUAUGGUUUGUAAACAUUCAACAAACUUGAUAGGUAACCUUGCACCACUUACAGAGCUUCAAAUUCAUGGCUAUCUUGAAUUGACAUCACUUUCAAACUAGAUGGUUCAUCCAAACCUCAAUUAACACCCACAAUUCAGGACUUCUCCAUUUUGGCAAUGAUAGCAUAUUUGAUAAGCAUCCCUACUUCACUUACAUACACUAAAAUUGAUAGCUACCUUAGAUUCACAUCAUUAUCACAAGAGAUUGGUUCCUUCAUAUCCCUGCAGACACUUGUGAUCUUUUAUCGUCCAUGUAUAUUAGAAAGACUUAAAAGGGAAAUAAGUGAAGAUUGGCCCAAUAAUCUUCAGUCCUAGAUAUUCAUAUUUGGUGAAGAUUGGACUAAUAUAGAGUUAGUUUAGGUUUGAAAUCCCAAUCUUUCUUCUCAUUUUUUAUGGUUUUGUUUUUAUCAAUAUGCUCUGUUUACAUUCUAUAUGGUAAUUUUUGUAUGUAUUAGCAUAUAAAUAAAAAAGGACUUAGAUGAUUAAUUUGAAAAGUUUGCAUCCUCAAUUAAUUAGUAAUUAAAGACCAAACUGAUCAUAUUACUUUAAGUCUUGCAUUGUAAGAGUUUGGGAAAAUGUUAGGGUUGACUGAACUACUAUUUUAUAAUAGAUUUUGCCUUACUCAAGAAUCUUGUGAUUAUCCCUUGGCACAAUCAUUUCUCGUGUCUAAGAAAUUCAUAUCUACUACAUGACCAAAGAAUUUAGUAGCAUUCAAAAUUUCUGUUUUCUUUCAAGUCAGGUGUAUUGCUUGCAAUUCUAACAUGUUUCCUAUUUUGAACGUUGUAUUGUUAUUUUACUAUCAAUGUGUUAAGAGCAUUAUACUCUAUUUUCUAUAAUGUUGUUUACUUGUCAUAUGUAUUAAUUAUUUUAUUGCAAAUGUACUUGUUGCCAAGUUAAAGCAAAAUAGGAAAGUGAGGAUUUUUCAUGGACCAAUGCCUCUCUCAGUUGCUGCCACACUUUACUUCUCUCUAAGUUGUUGAAAAUUUAGAAGUGUGGUAGCAUAAAGUAUUCAACUCAAGUGCUUUAGUGCCUCACUACCCUUGAAGCUUUAGAAGUUGUCAAUACAAUUGGGGUUUCAACAUGUAACCAUUUUGGAAAUUCUAAGAAGUGUAAGUAUUAUGGUUUUGCAACUUUAUUCUACUAUAUAGGCAACUUCAAAUUGCUAAAUGCCCUGAAUUAAAAUCACUACUAGAAGGAACCCAUGAGACUAUAGAAACUCAUAAUCUACUACUCUUGCCACUUAUUAAGAAUGCUAAAAGGAAAAAGUGAAGAUUGGCCUGAGCAUGAUUGAUUAAUAAACCACACAUGGUCUCUUUAAUUCAAGUGUGUCAUAUGUUAUAUGUUUCAUGUCAGUAAUCCUACAUUUCUCUUGUUUCUAUUGGCUCUAUUUUUUUUGAAUUAUUUUACAAUCAAUCUUCUAACAAUGUUCUACUUUUUUUACAAUUUUUUAUUAUUCUAAAAUGAAUUAAGACAUAUAAAGAAAAAAAUCACCUUGUUUGAUUUUCAUAUACUAUAUGCUUAAAUGUACAUGUUUUUUUUUUUCAUAUGUAAUAAGAUACCAACAAAUUGAGUGAGGAGCACAUCUUACUAAGUCGCUUGUCAAUCUAUUCACCUUCCUAAUCUCAAGAUUCUUCAUGUUUGAAUUAAAAUACCAUGAAGUACAAAAACAAAAAAUGAUGAAAAGUAUUUCUCAUCAUCUUUAUUUUUAUUAGAAGGCAAUUUGUAGCAUCCUCUUUCCCAUUCCUAAAAAAUACUACAGCUUUGUAGGUUGAGAAAUUAGACAUGUUUUCUUAAAUGAUCUUCUUGGUCCAUGCAUGCUUAUAUUUGGAAGAUUUUUAAACCAAGUAUUUUAUGACAUAUAUGAUAGCUUUCAAGUUAAUGCAUAAAUGGUGAUGGUUAGGAUGCAAAAUAUAGUCUAUGCUCAACCUAUUUAUUGACAAACUACCAAGGGCUAAUGCUAAGGUAAACACCCAGCACUUGCAUCAUACUCGCUCUUCUCUGCCCUCUUUAUUUGUUUUCCAAAGUUCAUAUAUAAUGUCUUUAUCAUUCAAUUUUUCAUUUUCAACCACUUUUUAAACUUUUGUCUUUUUAUGGUUUAUUACACGACGAUCCAUUUCUAAGAAAUUGUUGUACUCUAUUUAUAAAUCUUAUCUUUUUGUUCUUAUAGACAAUAGAACAACGUGGUAAUUGCAUGACAUACAAUUUGUAAUAGAUGUUCAACUAUAUAUUAGGUAAUCUUUAAUUGCCUUGGAGUUGAAACGUUUGAUGUUGAUAAGGUUUGAUAAUUCUCGCUUUGGUGCUUUGUUGGAUUUCAAUUUAGGUAAUUAAUUGAUCUUGUUAUGAUUCUUUGAUUGUUAUUAUAACUAUUGUGAUAAUCAUUCUUAUUUUAUCGUGGUAAUUGACUUCACUGACUUUUUAACAAUUAUAUCAUGAGUGAAAUGCCCAACCUAUUAUUGUUAGUAUUCCAUUAACAUACCUCUAAUGCCACCACUAAUAAACAUCAUGUAUUAAUAUUUAUAACACGUUUCAUUACUGAAAUAAUUUAAUAUUUUCAAAUUUCUUUUUAGAGUGUGAGAAAUAACCAUUAAUCUUUACAACAGCAUAAGUAUCAUUGAUUUGAUAUUGCUUUCUUGAGUAAUUUGGCAAUUUAAUUAUGAAGUUUAGUUGGACAUUACUUGAGAUUCAUGUCUUAUGUAUAUGAUCUAUUUUCCAAGCUUCAAUUAUAUUUAGUAGACUUGUAAGUGGUGUUUGUCUUUGAGUUUCAACUCUUGAAAACUACUAUUGGAGCCUAAGUUCACUUUCAGUAAGGAAAAAAAAAAAAAAUCAACCUUUUCCUCAAUUGUGUAAUUUUAUUCACUAUUGACAUGCCCUUAAAUGGCAUUGCUAUUAUUUGUAGGGAACAUUGUCAAGUUCUAUAUUUGUCUAGAAAGUUAGAAGAAGUAUUUAAUUUGAUAUGGUUUGGACAUCUUGCUACUAUCUUUUUAAAUUAGUUAUCAAUAAUUUUUCAAAGUUGACCUUUUUGUUUAUCUCAUACUCCUUUUAUAUUAAAAGGUACCGCAUGGGUAUUGUGUAGAGGAAUCAUGCCUUCUUUAAUUGAGGUGAGCCUCUUGCAAAAUAUUUCAAGUUUGCUCUCAUUCCAUUUGUUACUUCAUGUCUAUUUUUUUGUAAUCAAUCAAGCAAGAGUUUCUUACUUGUACAAUGGUGAACUUGCUUGCAUGAAUAAUACUCUUUUUACUAUUUUUUUUCUUUCUUUAUUAUAUUCAUUGAUAUGCUUAGAAGUUAAUAGUGAAUCAGGUUUUUUGUUAAAAGAAAUCAAAUAUUGGUAAUUAUUUAGUAUGAUGUUUGUAAUAAUCAAUUAUUGAUUGUCAAGAUACUUGACUUAAUCAAUUAUUAUAUUGAAAUCAAUUUAGUACUAUGACUAAUACCAAAAGGAUAAUAUUUAGUCUUGUUUGACCAUUAGUCACUAUUCUAGAGACAAAUGCUCACAAGUUUUACAUCUUUGAAGCAUAUGAGAAAAGUUGGCUCAACUGUAUCACCAACUUACAAGCUCCUUAUAGUGUCCAUAUAUAUAACCUUCGUUGUUCAGGUUUAUGAUUCCUAUCUCAUUUUCUUUUUUCAUCUUUUUAUUGUUUAUAAUUUUUUAAUUGAUUUGUUUAUAAAUUUUUAAACUUUAUUAGCAAUACUAUUUUUUUUUUUUUUAUUCUCAUCUGCAAUAGAAUAAUAAGUUGAAUAAGAAGCAUAAACUACUUAAUUGGUAUAACCGUUUACUCAAUUCUCUUCUCAGAUAUUUUUGUUCAAGGUAAUCAAAGUAUCAUUCUUUUUAUUUUUAAAGGUACUUGAACUCAGUGAGGACCAUUCCCAAAACAAGCAAUAACUACAGUUGGAUUACUGAUAUCAUAUCCUUGAUUGACAUCUAUGCCAUUACAUUUGCAUCUAAAGGAUUUAUGAUGAAAAAAAUAUUUUCUUUAUUUCCAUUUUCCUUCCUUCUUUUGAUCAUAAUUUGUGUGCUUAUUGAUAGCAUUCAUACCCUAAUAUAUUUGCUAGCAUAUAUAUGCAUGUCACAAUCUAUUGAAUUUUUUAGCAUAAGGUCUUAGAGUAUUCACAUAUCUCUAGGUUCUAUAUAUUUAUAAUUUUUCAACAUCAAAUGAAGUAUAUGAACCUUAUCCUGAAGGUGAAGUCUCUUUAAAAGGAGUUUCAACAUGUUAGCAAUUACCUAACUUAAUAAUCUAACAAUUUGGCACUAUAUAUAAUUUUGCAACUCUUUCAUAAAGUAAUUGUGUUACCUUUAUUCACAUUUUCUAUCUUUAUUUAAAAAAAAAUGAAUUGGUAAUUGUGUGUCAAAUCUUGCUUACAAUCAUUAAUAGGUACUUAUAUGCUAAAUGGAUAAAGUUAUUUUACAAUUGUUUCAACAUAUUUGACACACAAGUACCUAUUAAUAAGUAUAUAUUUAUAGAUGUAAUCACUACCAAGCCAAUGCGAAAAGCUAUAACAAUGAGGAUUACAACGCUUCAAUUAUGUCUUGGAGAUUCAUAUUGAAAAGUUGUAAAUGGUGGGUGAAGUCUCUUUAAAAGGAGCUUCAACAUGUUAGCAGUUACCAAACUUAAGAAUAUAACAACUUGGCACAAUAUAUCAUUUUGCAACUUUUCAUAAAGUAAUUGUGUAACCUCUAUUCACAUGCUCUAUUUUUUAUUUUUUUUUAAAAAAAUUUGAAUUGGUAAUUGUGUGUUGAAUCAUUCUUACAAUAUUUAAUAGGUACUUAUACACUAAAUUGAUAAAGUUAUUUUACAAUUGUUUCAACAUGUUCUGAAAACAAAAAAGAUUUAUAAGUAUAUUUUUUUCUAGAUGUAAUCACUAGCAAGCCAAUGUGAAAAGCUAUAACAAUGAGGAUUACAAAACUUCAAUUAUGUUUUGGAGAUUCAUAUUGAAAGUUGUAGAUUAUGGAUGUAUAGUACAGGAGUUAGAUUGAGUUUAUCAUUCUAUCUUUGACAUCUUAGUUUUCUAUGUAUUGUCCAUCAUAUAUAUUUGUCAUCUAUUCUUUACAACCAAUUUUUUAAGGACUUCUAUGAUUUGUUUAAAUUUAUAUAUUUGUUUUUAUUUGUACUAGAACUUCACCAAGCUACAAAAGCAUCACAAGUUUUGCAAUUGGAGUUCAUGGAUCAGGUAUUUUAGUAGUUUUUGUACCUGAAAUUUUUUUAUGAUACUAAUGAGGAUGUUUACCUUGAUUAAUUUAACACUUAUAUUGCAAAUAUCUAUAUAGGAGUUCUAUACAUUUAUUUAAACAUUUAUAGACAUAUUUAUCCUCUUUCUAGCACAUUCUAAUGAUAUUUUUAACAUUGAUAUAAAUUGUUUGCUUGAAGGUUUCAACUAUUGAAAAAUUAUUAUUCAAGCCAAAUGUUAAUCUUUUUCUAUAGUGGAUUUCAAAUAAUAAAUUCUUAUUUGAUUAUUUGUAGGGAAAAUAAACAACUUCUAUGUUUGAUAAGAAAGAAGAUAGAGUAGAUCAAUUUCACAAUAUACGAAUGCUACGCUUUCUAUACUUUUAAAGAUGCUUACAAUUGGCUUUCUAUACUUAACAAGUACAUCUUAGCUAAAAGUGAAAAAAUGUUUCUCUUUGCACAUGCCUUCACUACUAUUUUAAUUGCUAUCUUAAUAUGUUAUGGAAAAACCACGACAAAUAACAAUAAUAAGGAGAAGAAAUAAAAGAACAAAAAUAUAAAACUUAUAAAGUAGGACGAUCUAUGUGGUUUGGCCUAAACCUACAUUUAUAUGUGAAAAUGAAGAAGAACUUCCACUAUUAUUAAAGGAGAUUAAAUUCCUAAAGCUUUCAAAUCUCAUGAUUACACUAAAAAUGGACUUUUUUUUUUCAAUCAAAAUCUCUUCCUUUAUUUUCUUGAUUAUAUAAGAAUAUUCCAUAGAGAAUUAAUUGUGUAAUUAUCAAAGAUAACUAUUCCUAAAAGAAAAAUCUUAUAAUAUGAUAUUUCCUUUAGAAUAAAAGAAAAAUCUCUUAUAUAAAUAUAUCAUAAUAGGAAAAUAUUAAAGACUUAUAAAUUGACUCAAAACAAUUUGAAAUAUUUUUCAACAAUCUCCACAUUGGCUCAAAUUCUCAAUAUUCAAAUAAACUCAAAAGUCUUCUAUGUUACUUUGCUCUUAUACACCCUUGAGGGGACUUCAAGUAAUGUCAAUACCAAUUAAGUCUAAGCAAUGCAUGAACUUAAUCAUAGAAAUAAGUUUAGCCAUCAUAUCUAUAACUUUAUCAACUAUAAUAAAGUGCUUUCUAACAUCAAUAUGUUUGGUGCUCUCAUGUAAUAUAUGAUUUUUAGUCAAAAGUAUGAGACUUGGCUACCAUGAUAACAAUAAUCAAUGAUUGGAAUCAAAUAAGUACAUUUUGUGUGCCUAAACUUAGGCAUUCAUAUUUAAUAUCCAAUUCUAGUUUCAUCCCUUUACUCAUUUUAUUCCUAAGUCCUUAAUUUUGGGUUUAAUGUAUUUUUUAAAUAUUUUCCUUCUUUUUUGGUAUAUUUAUAUCACAUUUUUGCUAGCCAUUAUAUUUUUCAUGUAUUGGUUGCUAAUUUUACACUCCAUAGUUGUCACAUCAUCCAACUAAUGGUUGUUACAUUAUCCAACUAUGGGCUACCACAUGCUCCAGCUACCUUAGCCUCCUUGCCAAGUAUUUUCCAUGCCAAAAAAAGAUUGACAACUAUUUCAAUUGGUUGGUAAAGUUGAGAAAAGCUUCCACCAACCUCGCCAUUAAGUUGUGCUCCUUGCUCCAAUUUCUAAUUUUGCUUCCUACCCUCUUGUGGAGUUAGUGUGGAAAUGACUUUAUACAAGGGAGAUGAAGGUUGGUUUUGUAAGGUAGUUUAUUUGUAAACUUGUAUUUCCUUUAUUCAGACGAUAGUUCUCAUUUCUUAGCCUUGAUUUUCAAUUUUGAUCCUCUUGUCUUGCCACUAUGAGUGGCCAACAUCCAAACCAAGGAAUAAUUUUUAAUAAAAUAUUAAUAUUAAUAUUCAAAUAAAAUCAUAUAUUUAUAUUCCUUAGCACAUUUAUAGGAAGAGAAAUAUUUGGGCACUAGGCCCAAUUCACUUUUUAUCAUAAAAAUAUGAAUAUUAAUAUCCUUAUCCUCAUAAAAGCAUAAUUAGCUUAUUUUCUAAAAAAUUGAUAAUAAUAAUAAUAAUAAUAAUAAUAAUAAUUACUAGUACGAUUUUAUUUUAAAUGGAUUUAAAAAUAAAUAAAGUUUAAUUUUUAAGGUAUACGUGCAUAAGUUUUUCAUUACAUAUACACAUUUAAUACUUAAUUAGUAAUAAUGUAUUCUAAAAUUUUUUUAUCUAGCCUAUAACUAAUUAAUCACUUUUUUGGAAUUCUAAAUUGUUCUUAAAAAUUAAAAUAUUCAUUAAAGAAUUGAAAGUGUUUAUUAUGUUUAACUUAAUUUAAAUUUAUUUAUCUAGUGAGAAAAUUCAUAAAAUAUAGUUUUAUGUAUAAAGGAAAUAGUAACGACUUUACAUUUAAUGAAUCUUUUAUUUUAUUUUGAUUCAUUUAAUAGUCUAUUAUCUUGUAGUGAUUAUAUAUAUAUAUAUAUAUAUUUAAAAUUUAUUAAACUCAUUAAUAAAUUCAAUACAAAGUUUUACUUAAUUUGAAACUCAUCUCUCUAGUGAAAAAAUUGAAAAAAUAUUAUUUUGUGAAAAAAAAUACAAUAAAAUCAUUUUAAACUAAUUUUUAUCCAUAGAUUUUUGUAUUUAUUAGUUUAUUAUUUAAUUUUUAAAUUAAUUUAAAAAAUUAUUAGACUUAUUAAUGAAUCCAAUACAUUAUUUUUUUUGUUUAAUUUAUUUAUCACACUAUCAAACAAACUUUUAUUAUUUAGUAAAAGACCUCUUAAAAGAUGUUUUUUUUUCUAAAUAAAAAUAAAAAUAAUAUUCUAAACGAUGUUUGAUUUGAGAGUUUUUUAAAAAUAAAAAUAAAAAUUAUUUUAAAUUAUGUGUACAUAAUUGUUGCAAAUUUAUUUCUUUUUCCAUUAUCAUUUUCAUUCUUACCUAACAUUGAAAUGGAAACAAAUAAUCAAUCAAACCUUACAUUUAUUCUUGAUGCCCUCUGUGAAAAAAAAAAGUGCAAAACAUUUAUUUUUUCUAAUCAUCAACCAUCCAUACAUAGAAAAACUACGUGUGAUCUUAAGCCAAAAAAGAUAUUGCAUCUAAUCAAAUUCAAUAGACAUGAUGAUAUCUAUACUAUUUUUUUUUUAAUUAUAUUCAUAUUUAUGUCAGAAAAUAAUUUUUUUAUUUUUAGAACAUUAAACUUUUUAAAAGUCCUUUCUAGGAUAUUUUCUAGCUUUUUCCUUUUGCUAAUUUUUGCUAUUCAAACAAAUCUUAAGAAAUGAAUCAAACCUGGACACAAUUGAAGAGUUUGGCAUCCUUGUUUUUAUAUUCCAAAGCAUAUAUAGAGAUUGGGGUAAAACAACUUGUACCUAAGAAAAAAAAAGGAAAAAAAACCACAACAAAAAAUUAACCAAAAAUCAGAAAAUUAACUAGAAUAAAAAAUCAAGAAAAUAUUUUUCUGGGUUAAUAAUUAAUUAUAAUGAAAUCAAAAUCAAAAGAAAAAAUACAUACUUCCUCCUGGCUUUGCUUACACUGAAAGCCAUGAAAGAAUUGGGAAAGUAGUAAAGAAUAAGAACAAGAACCACAUCCAUAUUCUGGGGAAAGCAAAUCCUCUGCUUUGCUGCCUUCUUCAGAUUGAAGGCAACUAUUAAACGGGUUGAGGGGUUAUGAGUUUGACUUGGUUGAGUUUGAAGCUACAAAAGUAAGAAGAAUGGUAGUAAUUUUGGAAGCAUUUCUAACUCUUCUAUAACUUGAAAGAUAAAAAAUUUUAAGUGUUAAAAAUGUUAAAAGAGCUUUUUAGAAUCACCCCCAAAUGUACUCUAAAUUAUUUAUGACUUGAUGUCACCUUCACACUCAUUUUCCAGUGUCAUUUAAUUUUGUUGUUCCCAUAUUGAAGAUUUAGGGUAAUGUAAUGUUCAAGCCUUCACAUUUUGCCUUCACAUUUUGCCUUCACUAACCUUUGAAUUUUAAUUAAAUUCUUUGAAGGAUAUUUGACCACUUCAUUGUCCAAAAAUGCUUAUAUUGCCAUUUUUUUUGUCUUUUUCUACAAUUCCAAUUUUACUAUUUUUCUUUUAUUUAUUCCUAUUAUUAUUUAGGCUAUUAUUUAUAAUAUUCUAAAUAUUAUAUUUAUAAUUGUUAAUAGUAUAAUUACUAUUUUUCAUUUAUUUGUCAUUUAUAUUGCUUAUCUUAUCUUUAUUCAUGUAUAAGACUCAAAAACUGCAAAAAGCAUUAAUAAGUAACAACUAAACUUCAAAGUGAUAAUAAAAUUCAACUACAUUGAUAUUACAAUAAUACAAAUGAAAUAUAUAGCAACCAGCCCUUAAAGGGGCUUUUAAGAGAUAAUGAGUCUACUUGAGAUUGAAAUUUAAAGUAGAAUCACCAUCUCUAUAGAUAAAUAUAAAGCCUAAAAAGAAUAGAACAUCACUAAAUAAUAUUAAUAAAGCAACAACUAGAUCAAUGGAUAGUGAAAAUAAAGGUUUACAAAAUGAGUCACAUAAGUAAGAACAACUAAAUUAAGAAAUGAAUUACAUGUCUGACAGAUCUAAUGAGGGAAAACAUUGGAUCUAGGUACCCAUGAUUGGCUCCUUGAAGUUGACCUACCUCCUCAAGAGGUACAUAGGAGUCCUUACUUGAAAAAUAUUAAAAUCUAUAGGGUGAACAUAAGAUCUAAUAAAUAGGCACGAUAUGCAAAUGUUAGGAUGGUUAGUCCAAGGUAAAAAAAUAGUUCUAAAACAUAUCACGUAAUAAUUUUGGUGUAUUAUGAGAGGAAAAUUGAUUUGUGAGAACUAUACUUUAUGAAUAGAAAUGUGAGGAAGAGUGAAAAACACUUAGUAGAGUAAGAGGGCUAACAGUUCAGGGUAGUCAUACAAGUAGUCAUACAAAGUGUGGGGAAAUAGAUGUAUCUAUUUUUGUCCCUUACAAUAUUUUUUAUUGUAUAGUGAAAUAUUAUCUUUCAAAUAUGGAAAUAAGCAUGGUUAGGUGUACCAUGUUAAAAUCUUAAGUAUUUGUUUUAUUUUGUGUUCUUCCAUUAAUAUAUUUCAAUAUUAGAGCUUCCAUUGACUCAACAAUUUAUUAUACUAUGAAUCGUCAUAAGUGAAUAUAUUUUUAUAUUAGAAUAAACCAUUUUCUUAAUUAUAAGUAUAUUUGAAUAUUUUACUAAACUAUUUUAAAAUAAAAAUAUAGUAAAAAAAAUUUAAUAUAUAUAAUAAUAACAUGAUAAAUAACAUAUCCCAAACCAAAUGCAACAUAAAUUUCUAAAUUGUCUCUUCUUCUUAGUUCUCUAUAAUAAUAUUGUCAUACCCAUUGUUUAAGCUAUAAAUUAACAUUUUAUGUUCUUUGAAACAUAUGUAUUACCAACUCAAUAUAAAUAGCUACGAAGACAUAUUUCUCAUUUUCCCAAUCAAAAAGCAUUGUGAGUUGAAACCUUUUUGUUUAGAAAGUUAACUUGCAAUGUUAAUAUUCUUUUUUUAUAUUAGCCCCCUAGGAAUGCCAUUGCCUUUCACCACACUUUUAGUUUUUUUUUGUUUUUUCAAUAUUCUUUUUUACUUCUACACUAGAAUUUAUGUAACUUCUUGUUUUUUAUUAUUAUUAUUAUUUUGCAAUAUUUUCUCUUAAGUCUACCUUACACUUCUUAUUACCUCUCAUAUAUAUAUAUAUUUGUCUUUUUCAAGUACUUGGUUGCUUCUCUAUUACAAUUCAUUAACUUCCUAUCCUUUUAUUUAUUUUUAUUUUUUGCAAAAUUCUUUCUUAAAAUACAUAAAUCCAUAGUUUUUAUUUUAAAAGUAUCAAGUAAAGAACAUAUACCUACUCAAACACCAUUGUAUAAUACCCCUAAAAUUUCCAAAAAUCCUUAAAAUUUCAUAAAUUCUCUGCAAACUUAUCCCUAAUUAGAUGCUAUUACAUUAAAUAUAUCUAAUUCACUCUAAACACAUGAUUGAUAAUAAUACAAAAAACUAAAACAAUAUUAAUAUGCAAUUUAUUAUUUUUCAACACACUGUAAUAGUUCCCAAAUAUUUUCAAACAUCAACUAACAAACCUAAAUUUAUUCACUCAAAAUACAUAAUUGAUAACAAUGGAGAACUAAAAAAAAAAUUAUAAAUAUAACAAUUUUAUACUUUGAAUACAAUUCAAUAAAUCCUAAAUUUUUAAAAACAUUUAACUAAUAAACUUAACCAUACUCAAAUAUUAUUGUAUAACAUCUAUAAAAAUUUCAAUAAUUUAUCAAAUGUGAAGACUACACUCACCGGUUUAGUAGAAUCACUUGCCUCUUCUAUUGGUAAUUGGGAUUUUUGUUCAGUAGCUUCGCUUUCCUUUGCUUCACUUUCUUUUGCUUCACUUUUUUCUUCUGUUCGCAAUUGGCAUUUUUGUUUUUUCGUCACUUUUUUUAAUCUUUUUAUAAAAUCACUCUUCAAUGAACUCAUUGUUUCCUUCGUGCUUGAAGAUACAAUAUGAGAUAACUUGAAAAAAACAGAAUAACAAUUUUUCUAAGGAUUCAGAAUGAAACAAAGGAUGAAAUGAUAGACGAGAAAUUUUCUAGGGUUCUUGAAGGAAAGAUGAGAUUUUCAUUUUGUGCAUUAAAGGAAGAUAAUGAAAUAGAAGAAGACGAUGAAAGAUGAAGACUCGUUCUAUAAAUGAAGCGAAAGAGGAUUAGAGUUUUCCUUUUUGUGCACCAAAGGAAGAUAAUGAAGUAGAAGAAAAUGAUGAGAAAUUUUUUUUGGAAAAUAUGAGGAGUCAUUCUGUAAAUGAAGCCGAAGAUGAGAAGGUGUAAGUGUUGGAGAGAAAAAAGAAGAAGGGCAUUUUUGUCUCAAUCAACAAUUUUGUUUUAUUUUUUAACCGGUGGGUUAUAUUUACAAAUAUGAGGGUUAUUUUGACCCCUUUAACCAAAUAGCCUUAUUUUUUUAUCGAGUUACAACUUUAAAUUAGGUGUAAAAAGAAAUUUUGAUAUGGUAGAUAUUGUACAGUUAUAUAUUGAAAUUCCAUGGUUCAUUAGAUAAACCAUCCUUGAAUUUCUUCGGUUUCAAUCAAGAUGAUAGAUCAUCCUUCCACAGAGUGUGACCUGAUAUGACAUUGAUUUUCUAGGGCUUCAAACACGAAGGGUGUCAAUGACUAAGAACUCCAUUUGAUUACCGAGAAAAUGAGGAAAAAACCCCUCAAAUAAAAUAUAAAUACAAUUCAGAAUUUCAAUUUUACUUUGUUAGGGACCCCAAAAAUGGGAAUAUUCACUUAACUAGCCUAAUCCAACCACCUACCUUAGUUCAAUUCAGUCCCCACUUUCUAGAGACCAAAACAAUAUAAACAUUCAUGUGUUUGGCUGCUCAGAAAGCAUAGGAUAAGCAAAGAAAAGGACGGUGCCUCCUCGAUCAAAUAGUCUUUUUUUUUUUUUCUUUUCUUGCAUUUUCUUUUUUCAGCAACCAAAUAGAACUUUUUAAUUGAGCAUUGUUGUAUACAAUUUAGAUUUCUUUCCCUCGGUUUCUCCGCAACCAAAUAGAAUUUUUCUCAAUUGAGCGAGGGUCUAGUAUAUCCUUUGUUUUCCUGUAACCAAACAGAACUUCCCUUGUUAUUUUUUUUAUCUUUUCUUUGAAUUUCUCAGAAACCCAACGGAGUUUACUUCUGGUGCAACCGUGCAAGAAAAUGGUUUUACCUGAUCGCAAUUCACUGGACUAGCCGAAGCAACAGAGGCUUAAGAAAAAAAGACUGAGCUUUGUUUGUUAGACCCCCUCUGUGAGUACGCAAAGUAAGAAGAAUUGAAGCUGAAAUUAGGCGGCUUCCAAACACGUCCUAGGAGUUGGUUUUAAAACCCAUUUUUCCCCUUUUUGGUUGCAAUCGGUCUGCAAAGAUGCCAUUAAAAGGUAACUACAGUUGGUUGCAUGAACAAGAAAAUGAAAAAAAAAAGUUAAAAUUAAUUAAAAUUCUAUGUAUUUUAAAAUUAUUUAAUAUUUACAUUGAAGAGUAAAAAUAAUUGCAAUAUAUUUAAAUAAACACAUAAAAAUAAUAAUUUAUUAAUUUUAAAUCUAUUUUUAAAAUUUUCAAAUUUUCAUUUAUUUUAUUCCCUCUAAGCUUUCUAACUAAGGUCAUAAUUUGGACAAAUUGUUGGGUUCAUAGUAGAUCUAAAUAAUCUAAUAGGGAUAAAUAAUUGAUUAAUUUAAGUUCAACCCAACCUCUAAGCUUUCUAACUAGGGUCAUAACUUGAACAAAUUGGAUGGUUAACAUACAACUUGGACAAAUUGGUGAGUUCAUAGCUAAUCUGAAAAAUUUAAUAGGGAUUAACAAAUAAUUAAUUUAAGUUUAGCCCAACCUCUAAAUAGAGGUAUUUAAUUCAAGCUCAACCAACUUCAUUUCUUUGAGCUCUGGUUGAUGAGGUUAAACUUGGGUUAACCCCUGAUUGUAUAAUUCAAAAUACAUAUAGAAUGUUUUUCAAUAAAAAAAAAUUAUGUACUUAUAUCAAAUUUUAAAUAGUAAGUAGGACAAAAUUUUAAAAUAACAAAAAAGAAAAAAAAACAAAAAUAAAAACAAAGUUAUGUAUCUUUUUUAAAAAGUGAAAAAAUAUAUUAUAUAAUAUAAUUUGAUUUUUUUUUAAUAAAAAUUUAGAAAGAAUAAAAUUAUUAUAUAAAAUAACAUAUAUUGGAAAUAUUAUAAAAACAUUAAAAGUUUAUUAAGUAGUUAUUCAAAUAAGUGUUUCUAUCCCUAAUUUAAACUUUGGUUUCAAUCUAACUCGAAUUGAAUUUGAGUUGAAAAAGUUUAAUUUGAAUAUUAAAAAUAAUUGUCUAAACACGAUCAAAUAUCGGAUUGGAUUCGACUAAUCUGCCAAAGUUGCACUCCUACCAAGAACCAUACACAAUAAAAAAAAUUUAAGCUAUUUUUUGUUCUAGGAAAGUACUCAAAAAGGAGAAAUAAAGAAAAAAAAAAUGAUUUUAUAUGUAUAAUUAAAAUUAGUUAAAUUUUAUAUAUUUUAAAAUUAUUUAAUUUUUUUAUAUGGAAAAGAAAAAAAAAGAGUGAAAUAAGUUUGAAAAAACAAGUAAAAAUGAUUUGUUAACUUUAAUAUUUUUUUCUUUUCUUUUCUUUAGUUUAUUUUUCUCAAAAUUUUCAAAAAAUAAACAUAGAAUUAAAAAUAAUAAUAAUAAUUAUAGAUUAGGAAAAUCAAUUUUAGAACUUGCUUAUAUGAUUGCAUUAUUUUUUGUAAAUAAUAAUUUUAUUGAAUGUUAAGAGAGUGGUAUUAAAUGCACAUUAUUUAAUAUUUUUAUAUGGAUAUUUUUAUUUCUAAAGAAAGUAAUCUUUACAUGGAUUGGACCACUGUUUAUUUAUCCAUGUGGGCCAGCCUAUUAAAAACCAUCAAACCAACAACCCAAGGGGCGACCCUGAUCAUUCUCGGGGGCCCACAACCUUCAUCUCUAACAAAAGCUCUUACUCACUGAAACAUGGGCAGGAUCACCUUCCACACACAUCUUCAUACCAGUCACCACGCUACCGCAACAAUCCUCCUCCAUGAAAGCCCACCUCCAUCACAGCAAGCAGAAAAUCCAUCACGUCAACCAUCAACCUCCACACAGACCUAACACUGCAUAGCCGUGUUUUGGGAGUGUUAGAACGUGAUUAAAGAUGAUUUAAUUUGAGUGUUCAUGGAGUUUCGCUAUAAGAGGGUGAUAGACCAGAGUAUCAAUGCUCCCUUUGUAACUUUAGGGCCAAAGAGGAGUCAGUUUACCAAAAAUUCUUCAUGAAACCAUCCAUUUAUCUCAGGGAACAUUUAUUAAGUAGAGUCAAAUAGAUUUACAGAUAAGAGACGAUUUAUUCCUUUGAAUGAAAUAACCUUAUUUCAAAUUGCCCUAAUGUGGCCUAAUAAGCAAAAUUACUGGUUAUAUUUUGGACACAUCUCAGUAGAGGUUUGGGGGAGAAAAUAGAAGAAGCAGAGAUGCUUACUUACUUCAGAGGGGCCACUGCUCGCCACCACCACUUCAUGGCUGUGCCCAUUUCACUUGCCCAAGUCACUCUCUUCUCCAAACCCUCCAUUUUACUCCACAGAAAUGCCAUCAUUGGCUUCUCCUUUUCCAUUCCUUUCUCCUCUUCUUCUGCUCACAAGAUUCAGACUCACAAGUGGAGGCAACCGGUGGUCUCGCUUCUGGAGCUUGGUGGAGUCAAGAUUGGCAGAGAUGGUAACAUACCCACAUCCCAAAAUUGCGUUUAAAAAGGAUCUUUAGCUUGAAUUUCGUGUGCCCAAUUUGCGUUUUUGCAGACAUUUGCACUCAAGUCGUGUCGUUUGUUUGCAAUUUCACAAUCUGAUUUCUUUUCUAUUGUGCGUUUUUUUUCUCCUGCUAGGUUCGAAUUCAAGCAUCCAAUUUGCGUUUUUGUGGGUAGUCUUAUGCCCAACUUGUGUAUUCAAUUUGCAAUUGUUGUUAUCAGACUUCCUUCUCUCUUUUGAGACUUACACAGUUAGAGACGUCAUUUCUGUGAAAUUAAGAAUGCAUGUUCCAACUUUCACUUCUUUCUCUCUCUCCCUCUUUUUUUUUUUUUUUUUUUGUGAAAUUGGAAUUCAAGAACUUAUUUUGCGUUUUACAAGCUUAGCGGGUUACGUUUCUGUUCUAUUUGUUGUGCUGUUGGAGGUGUUUGGUGCAUUUAUAUAACUAGGCUUGCAAUUUCGCCCUCUGAUAAAGGUUAAAUUUUCUCCCUUUUUAUUUUUUAUUUUUUUAAUGGUGUAUUUGUUUUGGGUAUUUGGUGAAAUGAGGAUUCUGUACUGGGUUUAUGGCAUUUUUUCAAUUGGUUUGAUAUAUGUGAAUGUGGGUUUUGUAGGGAAGAUAUGCAAAUUUUUUGAAAGAAGCAUGCAAUUACAACUCUGAUUUCCUUUAUAUUUAUAUUUUUUUAUGCUUAUUUGCAUAUUGGUUGAUGUCAAAAUUCAUCUAAUGGGUUGUUUUUUAUUGCUUUGGAUUGGUUUAAUGUAGUUGAAUGGUGGAUUUUGUUUCUAAAACUUAGGGUCAAUUUCAAUUUUUUUUUCUUUUUUUCAAUUUGAAGACCUGGGAGUCUAUGUGAUUGGAAUUGAUGUACUCGAGUUUUUGGAUUUUGCUGAUUGCUUGAUAAACUUGGGAUGCAGAGCCUUAAAAAAUAAACUAUAUUCACUAAACUAUAUCUCUGAUUAUACUUCGUCAAAGCGUGAAAUGCAACUUGGAGUCUUUGUAUUUUUAAAAUUUUUUGGGUUAUUCUAUUCUGAAUAUUUGGUAAAAUUAGAACUCAUGUACUGAACCUUUUUCAAGUUCUUUUGGUUGGCUUGAUAUAUUUGGUUGUGGGGUUUGUAGAUGUGGUGAGGGAUGAUCCUACAAACAAUGUCCCGGAUGCAAUUUUUUUGAAACUUGGAAUGCAGCUUCACAGGAGGGAUCAACACCCAAUUGGAAUUCUGAAGAAUGCAAUAUAUGAUUAUUUCAAUGCCAAUUACUCUAACAAAUUUGAUAAGUUGGAUGACCUUUGCCCAAUAGUCUCCACAAAAGAGGUUUGACAUUAAGAUAUAAAAUAAAAAUUGUAUGCAUGUUUUUUUUUUUUCACUGUUUUGAGCUAUACAUUGCACUAUUUGGAACUUGUAUUAUCUUGCUAUGACUGGUGCCUGACAUUUUGUUGCGGUUUUUAUUUAUUUUGCUGCCCAUUUCCUGUUGGUUUUUGUCCUGUCCUAGGUCUUUUAACAUUUAAGAAUCCAUGAAAGUGGUAUUUGCAUAUGUUGCCAAUUAUUCCAUUGACGAUGUUCUAAGUAGGGAACCUAGUAUCCAAACUUCCAUCCAAACUUCCAUAUAAAAAAAGUCCAGAACAGGCAUUCGGUUUACCAGGUUUAUCAGUUCUCUCCAGUGUUUAUUCAACUCUUAAAUGCAGUAUUCUGGACAUACUCCAAAUUUGAAAUUCCUUUGGUAAAAUAAAGGCAUGGUACUUAUAGUGGUCUAUUAAGGAAAAGGUUUGUUUGACCUAGCUUUUGUACAAAAAAUUCAAGGAUAGUCUUGCAGAUAUGUAUUGUAUAGGUGUAUAUUUCUCUAUCAUGACACAAGUGAGAAAAAAUUCACGAAAGUUGUUUUGUUUUAAUAAAAAAUUGAAAGUUAAUUUAUGUUUUGAGAGGGACAUUAGACAACCUAGGAUUCAAAGGGACAUGUUGUCUCUUAGGAAAAUAUAAUUCAUAGCAUUCUCAAUCACUUACAGGUUAUUUUAAUCCUUUUAAAUUGAUUUAUUUAAUUUUUUUCUUUAUAGUAGGCAAGCAAAAAAUAUAUUUACAACACCUACUAUUAUCAUUAUUUUGGUAAUUAGCAUUGAUGGAGAUUGUAAAAAUUCUCUAAUAGUAUUGCAGGAGAAAAAUAAUAUUUAUGAAUUUUUGUUAAACGCAAUUGUCAUAAUGAUAAUAGUUAAUUAGAAUAAUAUAAGUUUGUAAUUGGAAAAAUUUUAAAAAAUAAUAGCUUUUGGAAAUAGUUUGAAUAGGAGUACAAAAUUCUUGGAUUUCAUGGAGAGCUUAGGUGGGAUCUAAAGCAUGGGGCUGUUUGCUAUCUAUUUUAGUAUUUGCUGCUCUUCUCUCUUAUAGGUGUUCAGUUGCAGCUUGUAUUCUCUGAGCGUACUUGGGUUGUGCCCCCUUUUGUGUUCUUCAAUAUAAUCUUCAGGCUCAUGACUAGUGCAAUUUCUACUAAUUGAUCACUUUUCACUUCAAAUAAUAUUCAGUAAUCCAAAUAGCAUUUAUCAAAUUAUUUUUAACUGCCAUUAGAUUUAUAAAGAACCCAAAAUGUGAAAAUUUCUUCUUAGGCAUGAGAAAUUGUCAUUGUUAUAAACCCCAUGUUUGUCUUGUACUUACAAGCAUAAUUAUAAAGCAUGAUCUGCAUGUCUUAUCAUGAAAUAUAACAAUGUCAUAAAAUAGAUGAUUGAUAAAAUAUUAGAAGUCCAUUACAAAUGCUUAAUGGAACUGAAAAUUAUUACAGAGCAAGUGCAUAUUUCAGUCAAACUUUUAUGCAGUAGUGGUAGCUUAUAAACUCACAACUUUGUAAUCAUGUGCUUGAAUCAAGUAAACUUAAUGGAUCUCAGCUACAUCUGCUCUACAUUUUAACCAUUGUUUUAUGUUAUGGGAAUAGUGACUGAAUUUCACAGUCCCAUCAUUAUAAUUUAUGCAUGUAAAUUCAUUUGGGACUUAGUUUUCACAUGUGUUCACAUGUCAUAACUGUAAUUUCCCUAAUUUUAUGAGUAAGAAAAACUCUUUAAUUUUCCCUAUUUUGACUGAAACUUUAGGAACUUGGACUUUAUUUGGUGCAAAUGUAUGUUAUCAACUAUUGCUUUUGACCAGUCAUGAGUAGAUGCUAUUUAUAAAAGGACACAAAGGAGGAUAUAAUCCAAGUGCACUUGUAGUCGACAAGUUACUCUGGGCAUCAAAAUUGAAAGAAACAACAAUGAAGAAAAGCAUCAAGAAAGUGCCCCUACCUCCCAAACUGUCAAUGAACUACUGGAAGGAUCUACUACUAUUCAAGAUAACUUCUUCUAAGCACAACUACAUGUAACAGUACUUAGCCUGCGCUAUGGUGUCAAAAGGUAGGCUCAUUGGAACAUGCCUAUUUUGAUGGAUUUUAGUUUGUGGGGAUAGUUAAAGUGUAAAGUGUAAAGUGUUUGAUAAAAUAAAUUUGCUAGUUUUAAUAAAUUGGAAUUACUACUGAAUAAAAUGUGAAGCUAGGUAUUAGGAGGAGAAAGAAAGGUAAUUAAUUUAUUUGUAUGACACUAUGACUUACACACUGUGAAGCUUACUGGUUGGGAAUUGUUGAACAGGGGAACUUACUUAAUAGGGGAGAAAGAAUCACACAUAUUACUUGAUGAGAAAAUAUAAUUACAUUAGCCAAAGGCCAAAAAUAUAUGAGUGGUUCACUGAUUGCAUAUUAUUGGAAAGAGAGCUGAGCAUCAUAUGAUUCAUAAACUUUUUACAAUUUAAAGGCCUGGGUCCAAUGAGAUAUGUUGCAUCAUAUUACCUAAUGAACCAAUGAAGUUUAUGGAUUUCCAAAACUUCUUGGAGAGGUUCACUAUUUUAUGGUUCUUUUUUUUGAUAAGUAAAAGUAUUGUAUAAAAACCACCAAUGCAGUGGAAAAAUAAAUACAAGAAAGAACACACUCCCCACUCCCUAGCUAAAAGCCAAGGACAGAGGAGCAGCCCAACACACACCCUUAACGGGUUCUCACCCAACCAACAAAAUCAACUAAGGUCGAGGGACCAUCUUUUAUAGACAAUUUCGUCUCCGACCAAAGAAAAUAUACAAACGAAUACUUAAGCCUUUGAAUAGACAACUCUUCUUCCUCAAAGGCAAUUUUGUUCCUUGCCUUCCAAACCAUCCAAAAAAGACACAAAGGACUUGCUCUCCAAACACCCUUCCUCUUUUUUCCCACAAAAGACCCAUUCCACCCCAACAACGUCUCCUUAACAAUUUUGUUCUUUUUUUUUUAGGGUUCUUUAUUCCAAAACUUUUUGCUCCAUACCUCUUUGGAGCUCAAUUCUUUGGCAAAGCAGGAAGAAAACAAAUUAGCAUCAACUUUAGCUUGACUUGAGAUCACAAAUCCGACUAGAGAUUUUGCAGUAGUGUGUUGAGGUCUAAUCCGAAUCCAGGUUGUGAUGUGUGCAUCAAAGAGUCUUUCCAUAAGCCAUGAAGCUUUGAGGUGUUUUGUGAUGGCAUGACUGGAUAAUGAGAUGCAUUUUGGUCUGAAAUUUGGAGUUCGGUUAUGCAUUUCUGUAUCUAUAUCUCCAAAAUUAUUAACUAAUUUUAAUCAUUUUAUCUAUUUUUCAAAAUAAACAUUCAAAAUUGAAAGUUUGUGUCACGAGUCUUCAGGCUUAUCCGGAAUAGAAUGUCCUGCAUUAACUCUUGCUGUUAAUGCAUAUAAUACCAGGCGAGUCAACACAGCCAUUUGCUUGCUUAUGUUGACUUUCAAUGGGUUAAAAUUUAUGGCUUCAAUGGUUAUUACCAUGCUAACACUAAAACUAUUUUUUUGUUUUUGAUAGGUGUUGAAAUAAUGCCAAAGUUAGGACUUUAAUUUAGGAAUAAAAAAGGAGAGAUCAUUUAGGAUAUUUCCUUAUGAUUUAGUUUCCUAAUUUUAGGAGAGAAUUAAGCUAGAUUGAUUUUUUCUUAUUCAGUCAUUUGUGUAUAUAUAUGUGUAUGGUGUGUACCGAUUAAUCAUCAAUAAAGGAGUUCAGAAAUUCUUCAUGGUAUCAGAGCCAGUUUUCUGAAACCCUAAUCCCUUCUGGCCACCUCUUAUUCAGGCCAUCACUCAUUCCGGCCAAAUCUCUCUAGCCAUAUCUCAAUCCGAUCAUCUCUCUCUCUCUCAUUCCGGUCAUCAGUCCCUGUUCUCAGAGCCAAGGGAGAAAACGCUUUCUGGUCAGUCGAAUCGUCGUCAGAAAACACUCACCGCCGGCAACUUUUCCGGCGAACUUUCCGGCGACUGUUUUUUUUUUCUACACCGCAAGGAGCGCCUGGAGGAGAUCUCCAAUUUGUCCCAAAGCACCGGAACCAGAAACCCAUCCACGCGCCACCCACGCGCGUUUUUCCGCCCGGCGACUGCAUCUCACGCGCCGGCGCGUGAGGGCGCGUGAGCCACUUUCCGACGACGCGCUUCCUCCUCCAGGCUCGCCUGACGCCGACCAGCCACCCUUCUUACCUGUUUGUGCAAUCCGAGCCCUGCACGUGCCUCUUUUGGGGUUCUUUUGCUUCCGCGGGCCCUCUGAUCAGAUUUUCCGGCGUCCUCCGGCUAUUUUUUCACAACUCCAGUCCCUGCACGUGCCUUGGGAAGUGUUCUUCUACCUUUCCGGUCCAUGACAAAAUACGGAAUGGCAUCAUCACAAGUAUCCAGCGUCACGUCACCAGAAUCAGGGGGCAGAUCUGAAAUUCCAAACCUUGGUGGCAAUGAUUCCUCUCCUAUUCUCAUCACAGGACACAAAUUAAAUGGCCAUAACUAUUUACAGUGGUCACAAUCUGUGUUGCUGUUCAUUUGCGGUAAAGGAAAGGAUGAGUACCUCACUGGAGAAGCAGUCAUGCCAGAAACUACAGAACCGGGUUUCAGGAAGUGGAAGAUUGAAAACAGCAUGAUCAUGUCAUGGCUUAUCAAUUCCAUGAACAAUGACAUAGGCGAAAAUUUCUUGCUGUUUGGGACUGCAAAGGACAUAUGGGAUGCAGCCAAAGAAACUUACUCAAGUUCUGAAAAUACUUCAGAACUGUUUCAGGUUGAAUCAACUCUACAUGACUUCCGCCAAGGAGAGCAGUCAGUUACUCAGUAUUACAACACACUCACAAGGUAUUGGCAGCAACUUGACUUAUUUGAGACUCACUCAUGGAAAUGUUCGGAUGAUGCAGCAACAUACAGGCAAAUUGUGGAACAAAAGAGACUGUUCAAGUUUUUCCUAGGACUAAACAGGGAAUUGGAUGAUGUUAGAGGCCGAACCAUGGGCAUUAAACCCCUGCCAAGUCUCAGGGAGGCUUUUUCAGAGGUUAGGCGUGAAGAAAGUAGAAAGAAAGUGAUGAUGGGAUCAAAAGAGCAACCUGCCCCGACAUUGGAUGCCUCUGCCCUUGCUGCUCGGUCAUUUAAUAGUAGUGGUGGAGAUCGUCAGAAACGGGAUAGGCCUUGGUGUGAUUAUUGUAAGAAACCAGGCCAUUAUAAGGAGACUUGCUGGAAGCUUCAUGGCAAACCGGCUGAUUGGAAACCAAAGCCACGGUUUGACAGAGAUGGCAGAGCACACGUGGCUGCCAACUCUGAGAGCACAUUUGUUCCCGAGCCGAGUCCAUUCAACAAAGAGCAGAUGGAGAUGCUACAGAAAUUAUUAAGCCAAGUUGGCAGUGGCAGUACUACCGGUGUAGCCUUCACUGCUAAUCGAGGAGGAAUGAGGCCGUGGAUAGUAGACACAGGUGCUUCUGAUCACAUGACAGGAGAUGCUGCCAUUCUUCAAAAUUACAAGCCAAGUAAUGGUCAUUCAUCCGUCCAUAUUGCUGAUGGUUCAAAGUAAAAAAUUGCCGGGACAGGUUCUAUAAAACUUACUAAAGACUUAUAUCUUGACUCUGUCCUCCAUGUUCCAAACUUGGAUUGUAAUCUUUUGUCCAUUAGCAAAUUGGCUCGUGAUCUCCAAUGUGUUACUAAAUUCUAUCCAAACUUGUGUGUUUUUCAGGACUUGAAAUCGGGGAAGAUGAUUGGCAGUGCUGAACUGUGUUCCGGGCUCUACCUCCUUUCAUGUGGCCAAUUCUCAAACCAAGUCUCUCAAGCAAGUUGCGUACAGUCUCAGAGUAUGUCAGAGUCUUUCAAUUCUGUGUCAAAUUCUAAGGUCAAUAAAGAUAGUGAGAUUAUAAUGUUACACUAUCGCCUUGGUCAUCCUAGCUUUGUUUACCUUGCAAAAUUGUUUCCCAAAUUAUUUAUCAAUAAAAAUCCAGCAUCUUAUCACUGUGAAAUUUGUCAGUUUGCAAAGCAUACUCGAACAGUAUAUCCUCAAAUCCCAUACAAACCUUCGACUGUUUUCUCUCUAGUACAUAGUGAUGUGUGGGGUCCCUCCCGGAUAAAAAAUAUUUCUGGCACUCGAUGGUUUGUGACAUUCGUUGAUGAUCAUACUCGGGUAACAUGGGUUUUCCUUAUGAAAGAAAAGUCAGAGGUCGGACACAUUUUUCAAACCUUCAAUCUUAUGGUUCAAAAUCAAUUCAAUUCCAAAAUACAAGUCCUCAAGUCAGAUAAUGCAAAGGAAUACUUUACUAGUAGUCUCAGUACUUAUCUUCAAAAUCAUGGCAUUAUCCACAUAAGUUUUUGCGUUGACACCCCACAACAAAAUGGGGUGGCUGAACGCAAGAAUAGACAUCUCUUGGAGGUUGCCCGGUGCCUUAUGUUUUCCUCUAAUGUUCCAAACUAUUUCUGGGGGGAAGCUAUUCUCACAGCUACCUAUUUGAUUAACCGUAUGCCAUCCAGAGUGCUUACCUUUCAAUCCCCACGUCAACUUUUCUUAAAACAGUUUCCUCACACCCAUGCCGCCUCUUCUGAUUUACCACUCAAAGUAUUUGGUUGCACGACAUUCGUUCAUGUGUAUCCUCAAAAUCGUAGCAAAUUUGCUCAUCGAGCAAAUAAGUGCAUUUUUCUAGGGUAUUCUCCAACCCAAAAAGGGUACAAAUGCUAUUCUCCAACCAACAAAAGAUUUUACACCACCAUGGACGUCUCUUUCUUUGAACAUGUCUUCUUCUAUCCCAAAUCUCAUGUUCAGGGGGAGAGCAUGAAUGAACAUCAAGUUUGGGAGUCUUUUCUUGAGGGUGUACCUUCUUUUCAUUCAGAGUCACCAAAUCCUUCCCAAUUCGUGCCCACUGAGUUGUCCACACCCAUGCCGCCAUCAGUUCAGCCAGCCCAGCACACAAAUGUUCCUUCUCCCGUGACCAUCCAGUCUCCCAUGCCUAUUCAACCUAUAGCCCCACAACUUGCUAAUGAGAACUUACAAGUUUACAUCAGGAGGAGGAAAAGACAGGAAUUAGAGCACGGAUCACAGUCAACAUGUGGCCAAUAUAUUGACUCCAAUUCAAGUCUUCCUGAAGAGAACAUAGGUGAGGAUAGGGCUGGAGAGGUGUUAAUUCCCAGCAUUGAUGAUUCUACUUUGCCAAUUGCAUUGAGGAAGGGUGUUAGGAGAUGUACAGAUCAUCCAAUUGGGAAUUAUGUUACGUAUGAAGGGUUAUCACCAUCUUACAGAGCAUUUGCCACUUCUCUUGAUGAUACUCAGGUUCCCAACACAAUACAAGAGGCAUUAAAAAUUUCAGAAUGGAAGAAGGCAGUACAAGAUGAGAUUGAUGCACUUGAGAAGAAUGGGACGUGGACUAUCACAGAUUUGCCGGUUGGGAAGAGGCCUGUGGGGUGCAAGUGGAUUUUCACCAUAAAAUACAAAGCAGAUGGAUCAGUCGAAAGAUUCAAGGCUCGUUUGGUAGCUAGAGGGUUUACACAAUCCUAUGGGAUAGACUAUCAGGAGACUUUUGCUCCUGUUGCAAAACUGAACACUAUCAGGAUCCUUCUCUCAUUGGCUGUCAAUCAAGAUUGGUGCUUGCAACAACUGGACAUAAAAAAUGCGUUUCUAAAUGGGGACCUAGAAGAGGAAGUCUACAUGGAAAUACCACCUGGUUUCGAAGAAAGUAUGGCAAAGAAUCAGGUUUGCAAACUCCAAAAAUCCUUGUACGGCCUUAAACAAUCUCCUCGAGCCUGGUUUGAUAGAUUCACAAAAGCAGUCCUGAAGUUGGGCUACAAACAAGGUCAGGCUGAUCAUACUCUAUUUGUCAAGAAGUGUCAUGCCGGGAAAUUGGCCAUAUUGAUAGUCUAUGUCGAUGAUAUUAUUCUAUCUGGGAAUGAUAUGGGGGAGUUACAGAAUUUGAAGAAGUAUUUGUCAGAAGAGUUUGAAGUUAAAGACCUUGGAAAUUUGAAAUAUUUCCUUGGUAUGGAAGUGGCGAGAUCAAGGAAGGGAAUCGUAGUCUCUCAAAGAAAAUACAUACUCGAUCUUCUUAAGGAGACCGGUAUGCUUGGAUGCAAACCAAUUGAUACUCCUAUGGAUAGUCAGAAGAAACUUGGUAUCGAGAAAGAAAGUACACCGGUAGACAGGGGGAGAUAUCAGCGGCUUGUCGGGCGCUUGAUUUAUCUCUCACACACUCGGCCAGAUAUUGGCUUUGCAGUGAGUGCUGUAAGUCAAUUCAUGCACAGCCCCACUGAGGAACACAUGGAAGCAGUCUACAGAAUUCUUAGAUAUUUAAAAAUGACACCAGGGAAAGGCCUAUUCUUCAGAAAGACAGAGAACCGUGACACUGAAGUAUACUCAGAUGCGGAUUGGGCAGGAAACAUCACUGACAGGCGGUCCACUUCCGGAUAUUGUUCUUUUGUCUGGGGAAAUCUUGUUACCUGGAGGAGUAAGAAGCAAUCAGUUGUAGCCAGAAGUAGUGCAGAAGCUGAGUACAGAGCUCUUGCACAGGGAAUCUGUGAAGGGAUUUGGAUAAAAAGGGUUCUUAGUGAACUGGGACAAACGAGUUCAUCUCCAAUUCUGAUGAUGUGUGAUAAUCAGGCAGCUAUAAGCAUAGCAAAGAACCCCGUGCAUCAUGACAGGACCAAGCAUGUUGAGAUUGACAGACACUUUAUCACAGAGAAGGUGACUAGUGAGACGGUCAAAUUGAACUAUGUUCCUACCAAGCACCAAACCGCAGACAUCCUCACCAAAGCUUUACCUAGGCCUAACUUCGAAGACUUAACUUGCAAGCUGGGAUUAUAUGAUAUAUAUUCUCCAGCUUGAGGGGGAGUGUUGAAAUAAUGCCAAAGUUAGGACUUUAAUUUAGGAAUAAAAAAGGAGAGAUCAUUUAGGAUAUUUCCUUAUGAUUUAGUUUCCUAAUUUUAGGAGAGAAUUAAGCUAGAUUGGUUUUUUCUUAUUCAGUCAUUUGUGUAUAUAUAUGUGUAUGGUGUGUACCGAUUAAUCAUCAAUAAAGGAGUUCAGAAAUUCUUCAUGAUAGGUAAAUAAGAGCUUGUAUUAGAAGGGCCCAAGAAACUAGGCAAAGAAGACAAAAAACUUUUCCCCUAACUAGACAUAUGGCCACUCUAUAAAAUCAAUCAUAGACAAAGUAUGAUCCUCCAUAAACACUCUAACCCAAUUUACAAACGUAUACAAAAAGAAAUGUUUUAAAGGUUGGUCGGACUGUUCGAUAUCAUUAAAUGCUCUUUCGUUUCUUUCCUUCCAUAAAGUCUACAUUAAGCAUAAAGGGGCAACCCUCCAAGACUUCUCCCUUCUCUUACCCACAAAGGCACCAUGCCAACCAAGCAAAUCCCUUUUAAUCGAAGAAUGCAAAACCCACUGCACACCAAAAAGGGAGAAAAUCAAACUCCAAAGCAUCGUAGCCUUUCUGCAAAACAAGAUUAAAUGGUCACUGGUUUCCUCUUUCUCUUUACACAAGCAUAUUCAAACUAAUAACUAAUAGUUAUUGGAUUUAAAGCUUGUUUGUUAACGUUCUUCAUGGUUGUGCUUCUAUUUUUAAUCAAUUCUCUUGGCCAUCACCGUUUCCCCCUUAUUAAGAUUGGGUAUUUAAGUUUCAACGAAACAGCCUACUAAAUCCUCAAGAUAGAUCCUAUUUAUAAGGCAUGGGAGUUUUGGUCAAUGUCUGCUUCCAAAAUUCUUAUCCAUAUUUCUAUGAAUUCUUAUGCCAGAAAGUCUACUUCUUGCAGAAUUUUGAUGAUGUCUUGGUUCCUCCUGAUCACAUCAGUAGGAGUUACAAUGAUACAUACUACAUUGACUCUCAAACUGUCUUGAGGUGCCACACUAGGGCUCAUCAAGCAGAGCUGUUGAGGAGGGGACACACUCAUUUCCUUGUGACUGGAGAUGUUUAUCAUAGAGAUUUCAUUGAUUCAACUCACUACCUGUUUUUCAUCAGGUUUCUUAUUUCUGAUUUUAUCAAUGAUUGUUUUCUAUUAACAAGUUUCUUAUGUUUUCUUCAGUUCAAUAAUUUUGCUUCCUGAUCAUGCAGAUGGAAGGUGUUCGUGUCUUCUUUCCAGGUGAUUGGGAGACAUCUGGAAUGGAUGGCACAUCUUAUGUGGUUGAGGAUUUAAAGAAAUGUCUUGACGGUUUGGCGCAGCACUUGUUUGGUAAACUUAGAUCAGGAGAUUGUCUUAAUCAGAUACAAACUUAAUACUAUCAGUUGAUGCUGCAGUGAGAAAUAUGGGUUAAGGAAUUAUUUACCAGGUCUCAUAAUUCAAAAUCUGGGAAAUACAUCAAGUAAAAGGGGAGGAAAAUAAUGAAAUAAUAAAAUAAUAAAUUUAAGUGGGGGAAAGCAAUUCAUGUUAUGCAAAAGCAGUACAGGUUGGUCAUUUAGAAGUCAAAUCAAGAUAGUCCAGAAUAAUAUAGGGAAUUAUUUGUGAUUCUCAAGGUACUUGUUAAGAAUCAUUGACAAAUUACCUAAAGAAACAUUUAAGAGUGCUAUUAUUCUUGAAAUUUCUGAAAUCUAUCAGAAAGGUAGUUUUCAUCUUGGGGUUUACCAUAUACUGUAUAGAAUCUGCGUGGGCUAAAUCUGUUGAAAUUUGCAGGUAAUGUAGAAAUGCACUGGAUUGAUACAUAUUUCCCUUUCACCAACCCAUCAUUUGAACUUGAGAUAUAUUGUCAGGUAUGCUUUUGAUCUAGGUGGUGGUUACAUUUUAGCACUAUAUACUUUGAAUUUCUUUAAAACUUUGUUUUUGAACUAAUUUUCACAGAAACAGGCUCCAUUUCAUUUUUCUGUUUUCACCUUUUGCAAGAAAGGGUAAAAAUCAUUUCAAAAAUGUGAACUUCAGUUUAUUCCAUUGCUGGCAUGUGUGGCUUUCAUCUGUUAUUGAAGACACUAAGAUUCAUAGACUGAUAAUAUUCCAAUGCUUAUAAUAACAGUAAUGUUGGUGAUAAAAUAAUAUAAAAGUAGAAACAAAAUUAGUUGUCUCCCUUUUUUUUCGUUUAGUUUCUUUGUUCUUCUUACCCCUCUGAUGUGGGGAGGGGGUGUGGGGCUCUUUGUUGUCGCCAAAUGUGAAAAAGAAGAGGCAUUAUGUCCUUUUAUUUUGGAUUUACAGGACCUAUUAUGAAGGCAUUUAUGACUUCAAGACUUUUUUGUAUUUUAUUUUAUGGAAGCAUUUUUUUAGCGUCACUAGUGAAGGAGAAAUUCAUAAACAUAUAUACACACAUGCUAGUGGGCAUACACAAACACUGAUGUUCCACACAGUAAUUAAAAAAUUCUUGCUUUGAGGAGUAUCUUUUUCCUGAACUCAUGUCCAUGUCAAAUGGCAACAUGCCAAUGACUAUUUGCCAGCAGAUGGAAUGCUGGCAACACUUUUAUGGAUUGAAUGUUUUCCUUUCCCCUUUCUUUGUAGUGAAUGAUGUGUACUCUUUAGUUGCUCUUACAUAUUUGAUGCAUUGUGCUUCAUGCCCUAAUUGAUGCAGAACAGAAAAGUACCAGAAAAAAUGAUGGGAGUCUAGGAAUUACUUCCAAAAACCUUAGGCUUCGCAUAUAGGUUUAGUUUGCAUCACACAAAAAAGAAACAUUGCAAGCUGGAAGGUUUUGUGUUUUCAUUCAUUGAUCCUUUUAGAAGAUAGAGUGAUCAGCUUUGUAAACUACAACCCUAAGACCCCUAAUACUCUUUGGAACCAAUCACAGUAAUAAUAAAGCUGAGAAAUCAGAAACUUGAACUGAUAAAUAAAAAUUAAAAGGCACUUGCAAAUAUAAAGCAUUAAUGACUUUGGAAAUAAGAACACUCCAAUACCCCCCAUGCCCUUCGGAAAACUCAACCUUGACAAGUUAAAGUCAUGAAAUUUCUCAUAACGAUCACAAUUCAACUGCUGAAAUUCAUUGCUUGUGAUCCACAUACAAUCUCAAAGUGGCCUUUCUCUCCAUUCCACAAGAUGCUUUUGAUAACCUCCUCUUCUGGUUGAAACAAUUUAGUGACCAACAACUUUUCAAUCUUCUCUUUCAAUCAAGGGGCUGGUAGAAGAUGACCAUUUGGACCAUUAAUUGAUGUAGCAGCUUUAGGAUUAGGAAAAAGGGUGUGGUCUUCAAUAUUAGAGAUCUUAUUAAUGCCCAUAUUUUCUGGCAAGUCAAGUACAUAAGCGUUGGGACUUGUUUUCCUGAGAAUUUUAUAGGGACCAACAUUCUUUGAGUGGAGUUCUUAUAGGCACCUCUAGGAUAUUGUUCAGGCCUUAUUCACACAAUAACCAUAUCACCUUCAAUAAGUUCAGCAAAUUUUCUUUUCACAUCAUCGUAUGACUUAUUUAUUUAUUUGAUAGGCAAGCGGGAAAAACAUGUAAUCAUAUGACUUAUAAUUUCAUUGAUGAAAACAAGUUUCAUUGAACAUGAUAAUGUAUGCCAUCUAUAUGCUCACUAAAAGCAUCAGAUUCAAUGCUAGGUCAUGCAUCCAUUGGUAAAGGAACCAAAUCCAUAGGCUUUCUAGGAAGUGAUUCAGUCACAAUCUCAAAUGGACUGUGACCAAUAGACCUGUUCAGGGAGCUAUUAUUUGCAAAUUCGGCCAUUGAUCUGAUCUCCAGCUAGGCAGUGAAGUAAAUGAUCCAAGCUUCAAUUAACGACUUCUAUUUAGCCAUCUGUUUGAGGGUGAAAAGCAAAAGAAAACUUUAGUUUGGCAUUCAGUAUUUUCCAUAAAGUUCACCAGAAGAAACUCAUGGACCUACCAUCCAGUUUAGGAAAAUCAUGAAGGCGAACAAUUUCCUUGAAGAAGAGGUUUUUUUUUUUUUUUGAUAGGUAUUCCUUGAAGAAGAGUUUAACAAUUAGGCAACAUCUUUAGUCCUUAAGCAUGGGAUAAAUUGUACCAUCUUGGAGUAAUGAUUUACCACUACACGUAUGCAAUCAUGUCUCUGACAGUUUUCGGCAAACCAGGGACAAAAUCCAUGCAUAGGUCUAGCCAUGGCUCAUGUGGCACAGAAGUGGCAUGUAUGGAUCUGUAUUCUUCCUUUUCCUCUUUGAUAAUUUGCAGGUUCGAUGUCUGGAGACAUUCUUAGCCACAUCUUUUUCAGACUUGGUCAAUAAAAAUGAUUUUCCACCAUUGUAAUGGUUUUAUCUCUUCCAAAAUGACCAGUUGUUUCUCCAGCAUGAAGUUCCAAUAUUACUUGCUCAUGAAAUGAUGUUUUGGGUAAGCAAAGCCGAGUCCCUUUGAAGCAAUAUCAAUCAUGUAAAAAAUCACCAUAUUCUCCCGAAUUUCUAGGCACUAAAGCAACACAUAUAGUGCUAAAAUCUUUGCAAGAAGGAUAAGGGCUCUUAAACGAGUCAAAUCCAACAACUUGUACAGCAAUAGAAGAAAGAGUGUAUGCCAAUUUGCUAAGAGCCACUGCAAAGAAUUCUUUGUCAUAGAUACAAUAUUUCUGCUUUGCUUCAUUAAGAUUUUUGCUGAGAAAUGCAGUAGGGACACCUCUAACUCUUAUAUUUGAUGCAUUGCAUGCCGCUUCUAACACCUCCCGGAAAAUUGGAAGCUGCAAAACCAGUGCUUCAAUUAACGUUUUUGCCUUGGUCCAAUUCAACUGAUUUUUCUUCAUAGAAUAAGUUAUAGGGGCUGUAACAUUGCUGAAACUUAUGAUGAAAUGUCCAUGGAACAUUUCUAGCCCAUAGUAACUUUGUACUUAUUGUGAUGUGUUGGGAAUUAGGAUGGCUUUUACUUCAUUCAUACUUCCAAUCCUUUUGCCAAAACAAGAAGCCUAAGAAUACUACUGCUGAGAUCAUGAAAGAGCAUUUCUUCAAAUUUAUGUAGAGCUUUUCUUGGGGAACAACUGUCAUAACUUGCGAUAGAUGAGAGAUGUGAUCUCCUUUGGUCUUGCUGUAAUUAAGAUGUCAUCAAAGUAAACAACCAGGAACUUUUCAAUAAAUGGCUGAAGUACUUGAUUUAUGAAGCACAUGAAUGUGCUAGGGGCAUUUGAAAGGCCAAAAGGCAUGACUAGCCACUCAUAGAGGCCAUCUUUUGUUUUAAAGUCCGUCUUCCAUUCCUUUUCCAGUGUGCUGCUUAUUUGAUGAUAUCCACUCUUUAAAUCCAUCUUUGAAAAUAUGCAAGAGCCAGCCAUCAUGUCAUAUCUAACAUGUGAUUGAAUCAAGGGAUAGGAAACUGAUACUUGAUGGCUAUCUUGUUAGUAGUGUGACUGCCAACUACUAUCUUUUUUUGGUGUUAGCAAGGCAGGGACAGCACGAGGGCUUAAACUUUCAUGAAUAGUUCCCUUGGGCAGCAGCUACUCCAAUUGUCCUUUUAGUGCUUCAUGCUCACUUGGAUUCAUAUGAUAGGCUGGAAGAUUAGGCAGUUGAGGCCUUGCCAUAAAAUCUAUAAGCAUGCUGGAUGUUGCACAGAGAGGAAAGUUUUUGAGCAACAUCUAUGGUAGGUCUUUUCGAGCAACAUCUAUAGUCAUCAGGAUCAUAGGCUCUAUAAUCAAAUGAAUUUCGGUUUCUUCAUCUUUUUGUUGUUCUUGUUGUUCUUGUUGUUCUUCAUGCUCCAUUCCGAUGUACAAAUUGUUCUUUGGACAAUUUAGGUUAUUUGGCCGGGUUGUUGACACUUAAAACACCUAUUAACCUUACCCUUAGGGUUAGCGGCAUUAGAAGAAUACAACUUAGACCCUGUAGGUUGGACAAAUGGCUCGGAUUGGCCUAUUCUUGCACUGCAACCUACAUCAGUGAACCUCCUCUGCACUGGUUCUAUGGAUGAAACUCACAUCCCAGGUACGCCUCCAUAUCUAAUGCAAAUUGAAAAGCUUUUUCUAGGCUGUAUAAUGGAUGAUGCAUCAACUCUCUUCUCAUUUUAGGUCUCGAUCCAGCUUUGAAUCAUGCAAGAGUUUGCCCUUGGGUCUUCUACUAUUUGACUCCAAGUCUUUAGCUCAUGUAAUCUUUGCAUGUACUUUGGUCUCUGCAACAGACAUGUUGUUUUGAUUCAUAGUAAUGAGGUGAUUACAUAACUUAUUACAAUAAUUGGUCCUGCAUAUAUUUUUCACAUAGCUUAUCCUUCAUCUCCUGCCAUGUGCUGACAGGUGGUAGCCUCAUCUUCCCAUCUUCCUAGUAUCUCUUUCAACAUCUAUCCACUAAUCUUUUGCUAGGCCUACUAGUUUCAUUUUAGUAAACCACCCUCUCUGUUCAUCAUUCAUACAUACCAAUCAAAACAGUCCUCAAUUGUAGCUAGCCAAUCAACAAAUUGAGUAGCAUCGCCCUUCCUUCAAGUUAGGAACUUCUCCUUUUACUUUCCUUGUGAUAUCUUCAGCAGUUUCACAAGGUUUACACCUUGUUUCAGGUAGUCCUCUAGCCCAUUCAGAUAUAGGAUAUUGUGGUGCAUGUCCGAUGUUCCUCCAAGUUUUUGUUGUUAUUAAUUUGAGAUAAUUCUCCUUGCACAACACGUGCUAAAUCAUUAGUGGGCUGAGAUAUUUGUGUCUCAAUGUUGCUUAGUUGAAUAUGCAGGCUAUCAAGCUGUUCCAUCACCAAAAUAGUAUCUCAUCAUGUUGAUUAUUAGAUAAAUCUAUUUUGAAACUCCUCCUAGGUCUUGUAAUCAUGAUCUCAGCUUGCUCUGAUGCCAAAAUUGAUGCCAAACAGAAAGGUAAUAGAAAACAUGUUGGGACUCUAGGAAUCACUUCCAAAUCUUAGGCUUCACACUUAAGUUCAGUUUGCAUCACACAAACAAGUUGAACUGUCACAGUACGAUUGGUUCAUAAUAAGGUGUCAUCUGAUUGGUUCUCGUGGAGGCAACCUGUGAUUGUUCAAACUGGAGGCUGCACCUGAUUGAUUACAUUGAAAGUUGGAAGGUUUUGUAUGAGAUAAAUGAACCAACUUUAUCCACUAUAACUCUAGACCUUAGACUCUUUUGGAGCUAAUGGCAAUACUAAUGAAGUUGGAAAAUCAACAAUGUGAACUGAUAAAAAAAAUUGAAAGACUCUUGAAAAUGUAAAGCAUUAAUGAUUUUGGAAAUAAGAACACUUGUGAUCCUUUGACUAGACUCAUAAACAAAACUUAGACUGAAAUCCACAUUGAAGUAUAUAAAAUCCCAACUGGGCCUAUUAUCAUCCUAAGUAUACCAAAUCAUAAUUUGGGCCUUAAGAGUCCAAUCUCUAUGCAUUUGUUAACCUUUCACAGGUGAUUGCCACUUGUCUUCAUCGCUAACAAACACGAUUAUAGCAUCAGAGAAGAGCCAUGUCCCCAAAUCUGGCAGUAAAAGUUCUUUUUACAAGCUAACCUCAGGGAUCCAAUUACUACAUUAUUGUGUUAACCAUGAGCAUUGGUGCUCCUGUUCUGCUUGCAUGGUUACACUGAACCUGCUAUCCAAAUGUGUUGGUUGACCGAAUGAGAAACUCUAGGAAAAUGAAUGAAUUCAUAGUGACAUAGCAACAUUGAAUGCAACUUGUGUGUUUGUGUGAACAGGAUUGGGCGAGUUAAAGAGAGUUUUUAGAAGGGAUAAUACCUUUUUAAUUGGUCUUAGUGUUCAGUAUGCAGCUGGUUCAGUGAUCAGGAGGCCAGUUUAUAAUACAAUUUUCUUGAGAUUUUUAUUGAAGUGAUCCCUUGAAAAGUCAGGCUACUUUUCCAAGAAGUAAAUAUUUUAUCUUGUAGGUUGUAAAAGAUGCAUUCUCAGAAUAGGUGCCUUGAUUAUGUUUCUUCAGCAGAAGAACCUACAAUUAGGAUCCUGUGUAUAUCCUUUCUUGGAAUUUUCAUAAAUUUACCAGUAUUAACUUCCUAUUUUAGGACUAACUGUUCAGAAAAUCUAUGGAAAAGACUAAAGAGUAAGUACUAAGUAGAACCUCCAAGGGCUGCUAAAAAGCACUUCCCAGGGCCAUGAGCCAAAACUGGGCCAUUUGGAAAGGGGUUGUAACAAGUCACUUGACUAGGGGUUGUUAGAGGCCAUCAUUAGCCAAGAUUGGUUUUAGAUUCAACUUUAGGAAUUUAUUUAUUUUUCCUGAUUUCUCUUUUAUUUUUAGUUACAUAAUCAUAUUUGACUCUUGCUUUCCACUCUAAAUUCACAAUAUGUGAACCUUAUGAUAGAAAUUUUUAACUUCAGAACAUGAGUUGGGAUGUAUCAGAGAAGAAAGUUUCAAAUCCCUGGACUAGCAUUUCUGUAAUGCCUCAAUGAAAUUUUAUUGUAUGAUUAUCUACUUGAAGUAGCAAACCAUUAUCCUUUUAUUGCCAUUGAAUUGUGAAACCAUUAUGCCAUUACAUUGACAUCUCCAAAUGAAUUAUUUUAAUUUGAAUAGUUUUGCAUUAACUUAUUAUUUGACAAUCAUUGCCUAUAGUUUUUUGGCAGAACACUAUGAUCUCACUAAGCAACAUCCAUUGAUAAUUUAUCAGGAGAAAUGGUUAGAAGUUUUAGGUUGUGGGGUGACAGAGCAAGAAAUAUUACAGAAAAGUGGUAAAACAGGUAAUGUUGCUUGGGCUUUUGGGCUUGGAUUGGAACGGCUAGCAAUGGUUCUGUUUGGGAUACCUGAUAUUCGGCUUUUCUGGUCAACUGAUGAGCGGUUGACCUCUCAAGUAAUUCCCCAAUUCAGUAAAUGAUACUGUAUUUUAUUUUAUUCUCCUUUUCUGUCUUUGUGGUUAAGUAAUCAUUACCAAAAUUGAUAUCCUUAGGAAAAUAAAGCAUGCUGAAAAUUGACCUUGUUGACAUUCUUAAUGUCUGAUUUAGGUUCCCUGAAUGUUUAAUUUAAAUGCUUUGUAUGCAGUUCUCAAAGGACCAGCUUGGGGUCAAGUUCAAGCCAUUUUCAAAGGUAUUGCUUAUAUUUUUCUCAGUUUGAUAAUAGUAGUAUCUUCUUCUGAUGUUGUGUUAAUUGAAACUGUUGCAUAAUUUUCAUGCAAAAGGAUCCAAGACAUUUUGGGGGCCGGCAUUUCUAAGUAUAACCAGAAAAAGUCCUUUAUGCAAAUAUGUCUUUUACAUUCUGAAAUCGAAAAAAUUAAUUACACACAACAUAAUAACUAAAUAUUUAUACCUGUUAGAGCCCCUUGUAACCUUCUCUAUUGGCUGCUAGAAACUGACUAUUGUCUUUUUGCAGUAUCCUCCUUGUUACAAGGGCAUGAGUUUUUGGAUUAAUGAGUCGUUCACAGAAAACAAUUUAUGUGAGGUUGUAAGAGGAGUUGCUGGAGAUUUUGUCCAGGAGGUAUGCCUUUUUAUGUUUCUUCUUGUAAAUUGUUCAUUAGCUAUAGAUCUCUUCAUGGUUCACUUGGUAGAAUUUUCCUAACCAUUUGUAUAGUUACACUGAAAGCACCGAACCAAUUUGUGUUUUAAUUAGGGGUGUGCAGGGUUUGGUUUGUUUAGUUUCGAACUUUAAAAUAAAACCAAACCAGUCUAAUUGGUUUUAUGUAUUAGGAACCCAAGCUGGCCUAAUCGGUUUUAUGUAUUAGGAACCAGACUAAUUGAACUGAAAGAGGGAACUGAUCGGUUCAGUUCAGUUUAAUAGCAAUAAUUGAUAUAAGUUAAUUUACUAUAUUUCGGUCAAGAAAUAAAAUAAUUUUUUUUUUUUUAAUCAAUUUGGGUCGAAACCAAAAAGCUCAUAAUAGGACAUUGUUGGUCAAAAAGCUUAUAAUAGUUUAUUACAACAAGUUGCUUUAGAGUUUGCUCAAAUUACAUCAUUGUAACUCAUUUCAAAUCAUAUUAUUGUAACACAGCCGCAUGAAUAACUGUUGUUAUAGUCUAUGCUUAUCAUACUAAGUUUGGUUUGGGAUUCUAUCGAGUGUGAAAGAAGUGCACCAAAUUAAUAAGGUAACCAAUGGUUAUUGUAUAUUAUAGGUGUAUGUAUAUAACUUUUGAUUUGGUUUGGUUUAUUAUUUGUUUUCUAAAUGGCAUAGUUCAGUUUUUUUUAGAAAACCAAAAUUGUUGAAAAAUCUUUAAAAAUUGAUUGGUUCAGGCCAGUGUGGCUCAGUUCUAUCAUUUUUGUCCAUUUAAUCGGUUUUUAACACACCCCUAGUUUUAUUUCACUUUUCAGUUCUUGGACUUUCCAUGAAAAUAAUAUUGUUGUCAUGAAGCUACUGAGGCAGUUAUGGACCAAUUCCAUCCUCUGAAUUUGCUCAUAAAAGAGAUCCUCUCUCUUCUCUUCUUUUCUAUCUACCAUCAGUUGCAAUAAUAGAUCCAGUUUGCACAAAGCCAAGCUUAGAAAAUCUGGUCAUUGACAACCUGAAUAGUCUCUGGGAGCAUCCAGUAUCUUUUCUCCUUUGUGAGGGUGGAUAACUGGUCUGGGUCCCCUGCAUCAUUUUUCAUAGGUUGCAGAGCUGCUGUGUCCGUAUAGGAAAUAACAUGUUCUUCCUUCAUAGCUUUAAGUGCCAUCAGGAAUUGGAUAUGCUAAUAUGAGUGGGAGGACUCCAGAUGGUGGACUUACGAAGACCUCCACUCUGAUUCAUUGAUGCCAAACAUAUAAUUGUGAUAAAGAGAGGCUUCGGAAGUUGAUAUUCUUUUAAAGUGUUUCCAAUAUUGAAGGUUUAUAAAGAGGUUCAAAUUGAGAAAUUACUAUUCUCUAAAUAAUAGGAUCGUAGUCGGUUUUUCGUUCAAAAUUUGUCCUAUAUUCCAAGAUGAUUGUUGACAAUCUGAUCUAUAGUUAAACAGUGGCCAUAAUAAGUCCCUAUUUUCCUAGUGCCUGAAAGUGAAGCUCCAUUCUGAAGUUUUCUAAACUAUAAGAUACAUUUUUGACUUCCAGGUGCAAUUGAUCGACAAUUUCACCAACAACAAAGGAAUGACCAGUCAAUGUUAUCGGAUAGCAUACCGGUCCAUGGAGCGUUCACUUACAGAUGAGGAGAUAAAUGAGUUGCAGGUAUUUCAUGUUUAGGGGAUUUUGUACAAGUGAUUAAUAUUUCGUCUUGAUUACAGGUAAUGACUAAUAACCUGGAAUUUGGCUAUGAUUCUGGGGUGCAGUGGAAUGUUAGGGAGCAAGUGCACAGCAAGUUGAAGGUUGUUCUUAGAUGAGAUUUCUGAUGCUGGGAACCUAAUUUUUCUAUCUCACUCUGAUAAGUCUCCUUGUGAACAUUUUCUAUUAUUAUUCUUUUUGUUCCUACCUUUUACAUUUUGAACUAGGUACAGUUGGGAAAUUAGGCAUUCAAAACCAGCUUUAAUGGGAGAAACACUUUAGGAAAAUAAGGAAAAUGUACUAGAAAGAAUAAUGCAUACGUUGAUCAAUGUGAAAUUUAUUUUUGUAUACAAUGUUUCUCUAAUAAUUUUAACAAUGCCUGACCUUAAAUAUAGUAAUUAAUUGCUCUUUUGCAGUUGUAUUCCCUUUUAUUUUAAUUUUUAAAUUUUUUUUUUUUUUUUAAGAACAUCACAAACAACUAUUUUAUUAUAUUAAAAUAGUAGGUACAAAGCAAGAUGAGAAAUCUUCCCAAUUAGUAUAAAACACCCUUAUGCAAUAUUUAUGAAAAUAGGUGUAUAGUGUCCAAAAAGAUCAAUUUAUCUUAUAGGCCAAACUGGUUUGGACAAUGCUCACUAUAGAUCCAUAAGGUAAAAAAAUCUCUUAUAGAAGAAACCGAAUGUCUUCCUCCAUGCUUUGCUAACACUCCCAGCACAAUUGCUUUAGCAAUGAACAGCAAUGAACCUAAUAAAAUGGCCAUAUCAUUUCUGAUCUAAUAUCAAUGAUUUGAAGUUAUGACCCCUCAAACUUCUAGGGUUCUCUUUUUUUUUUCCUUGGUCAUCCGUGAUAUUAGAAUGGUAGAAGCUACUUCUAAUAGGAGAUUGGAGAGGCCUAAAGCUUUUGCUUGCAAUAAACUCUCUAGAAAGGUUAGGAUCUUUGCCUCAAUGGCUAAACUCUGACUUGCAUAUAUAGAGAAUUCUCUUAUUAUUAUACCAAAGUGGUCAUUGAGUAACUCUCUAAUCCCCAACUCCCCUAGUUACCCAAAGAACCCCAUUAACAAUUAGCAUAUAACUUAUGCAGCACAUGCUACACUGAUGGAGCCUUUAGGAACUAUUUUCAUGUUUGUUAGGCUAAUUCAUCCUCAAUAUUAUGUCAAUGCCAACUUUUAGCUUGAGUUUGAAUUGCCUAUAUUAUGGAAAGAAAAUAAGAUAGGAAGAAACAUGAAAUUCUCUUGUUUGAUUUACUAUAAAAAAAUAUGAAGAAAAAUAAAAUAUAGUAGAAAUGACUUAAAACCGUUAUACGUUCAAAUUCUUUAGUUUUUCUAUGAUAGAAAAAUAAAUUUGAAGAAGCAAGUAACUUUAGUUCAAAUUCAUUUUAUUGGGUAAUCAUUGUUUUUAUUACCCAUCUCAAGUUGUUAAGUCUUUCAAGCCUUAAAACUGAUUAGAGGUGAUUGUGAUAUCCUACAUGGGAUAGGGAAAAAAGUUUAUGACAUUAUACAUGUAUACAUUUCUUUUAAUAAUAUAGACACAUUUAAAGUCACGAGGGAUCAAAAUGAACGAUAUCAAUAUAAAAUGAGAACAAUCUAUUACAAUUAUACUUGCAAUAACCUUAAAAAAUUUGGAUACAUAAAACUACAAUCAUGUUUUUGUUGGGAAAAACGGUGUAGUAAAUACUUUUUUGUUGUUAUAUUAUAAAAACCAUAAAUUUCUAAAUUUCCGUUUCCUUUUCAAUUCUUUAUAUGUUUAAAAUUUUCAUCCAAACCAAGAUCCAAGAAAAACUUAAAACAAAGAAAAAAUGAAAAAUUAAUUUAACAUGUAUAAUUUUUUAAUAAGAAUUUAUAAUUCAUAAUUCAAACGAUAUUGUGAAUUGUAGACACUGGAUUAUACUUAGAGAAUCAUUCAAAGAAUGACGGUCAUGUGAAUGACAUAGGAUACCCAUUGCGUGCAUGUGACAUCUACUUCAUUUAGAGUCAGUUUGACAAUUAUUCUAAAAAACGUUUUUAGUGUAAAACAUGUUUUUGAAAAAAAAAAUUAGAUGCUUGACAAAAUUUAUGAAACACUUUUAAGAAUCUAAAAAAUCACGUAUAGUGUUUUAUGAAGAAAAACUUAAUAAAAAGUGAUUAUCCUCAAAAUACUUUCAAAGAAUACUUUCAUUAAAAAUACUUUAAAUAAAAACACUACAAAACAUACCUUUGAUUCAUUAUAAAGUAAUUUUCAUAUUUUAUAUAAUUAGACCCAUGCGAUUUGUCCACUAUUCAUGAUGAAUUUCCCUAUUUUAUAUAAGAACCCAUGAGAUUUGUCCACUGUUCUCUUUUCCAACUCUUCCAACUUCUUAUCUAAUAUUUAAAAUUGAUAAAUAUGAAUCCCUUUACCCUAGAGAAUAGUUCUAAGUGAACAGCUUAGCUUAUUUCAGUUUUCAUCUAAAGCAUAAUAGGUAUUCAUUUUACAUUCUAAUUCAUCUCCAUUCUCAUCCUAUUCUUCUUAGUCGGACAUGCCAAACACAUCCUUAAGCCAAGGAUGAACUUAUCGGUUAUGACUAAUAUAUCGAUAAUUUAAUUUUAUGGAUGUAUUGAGAUACAUGGAGAAAUAUCGGUGGAUAUUUUGAUAUAAAAUAUAAGUAAGAUAAAUAGAUUAAAAUUCAUGAAAAUGUUAAAAGAAACUUUAAAAAUGAUAUAAUAAAUAACAAUAAAGAUUUUAAAGUUGGUAUACUAACGAAAAUGAUAUAUGUAUGAUAUAGUUUAUCAAAUUUGAUAAUAAUAUAUGUGUGUUAAUAAAAAAUUAUUAUUUUGAUAUGUCAAAUAUUAUUCGAGAAUAAUGUUGCAACUUUUGUUUAUAAUACAAGUAAUUUUAAAAUAUAAUUAAUAUUAAAAUUGUGAUCUAUUUAAUUCAAUUAUAUAUAUAUAUAUAAAAUUUCUUUAACAUUUAGUAAAUAUAUUAAUGAUAUAAAAAAAGCUCUGUGAAGAAAAUUGUCAUCAUAAUUUUUAUGCCUUUUGUAUUCAAUUAAAUGAAAACUUUCAUUUAAUUAUCAAAUGAUUAUAAUUAAUUAAUUUAUUAAAAUAUUCUUAUAAUAUUUAUUUUUAUAAUGGCUUUUAAUAUAUAUAUAUAUAUAAUUGGUCGUCUUUUGUCUAGAAUUCGAAUUUACCGUGUUGACCAUGUUUGAUCAAGAAUAUUACUCGAGUUUUGACCACAUUUGAUGAUUGAGAAUGUCAUCGAUGUUUCGUGAUUUUUUAAUCCUUACCUAAAACAUGACAUUUUAUUUCGUUUUUAUUCUCAUCCUAUUCUAAUUUCUAAUCUGACAUACCAAACACAUCUUACGGUCUUCAAAGGUUUUGUCCAAGGUCUAACUCCCAAAGAAUUGGUGUGGUGAUCAUUAUUUUUGUUAGCCAUCAAAAGUCGUUGGAUCUUUCAAGUCCAAGGGAAAAAAAAAUUAAGCAUUUUUUAAAUAAACAUACCAAUUUAAACAUUUUUUUAAUAUAUAUAUUUUGGUAGCUUUCGUAUCAUGAUGUUGACAUCGUUUAAAAUUGGGAAACUUGUGUUUUGGUCCUCUGAUAUAAAAAAUAUAUGCUUUUGGAAACUAAAAUAUAUGAAAUAUGAAAUCCAACUAUUAAUGGGAAAAAUGAUAUCGGAAACGUGCACUAUGUCCUGUUUACUUUUCCUCUUCCCAUAUUGCCCCUAAAUUUCCCCAUGUCAUUAGCAAGUCCUCUCCAUGUUAGCAGAAUAAUCUGAAACUUGAACUAAUUCUCAAAGUUGGAACAUAAAAAAACCCAACCCUAGAACCAAAAGUAUGGAAACUCGUCUACGUUACUGAACAAGGAAGUGUCAAAAUGUGCCUUUUAUUGUGCCUUUGCCUGAGACGACUUAGUAGGCGCUUGCCUUAUGCCCUAAAAAUGAAUAGAAAAGAAUUAAUGGCUUGGAUUGUGUACCAACAACCAAUCUCCAUAAAAGUCAUUUGCCUUGAGUUGGUAAGGGAACUUGCUGCAAUUCAAUCUAGGGUUAUCAUAGAUCAUCUAUUUUAGCUCUCAAUGUUGUUUCAGGUAACAUAUUUGAAUGAUAUUUUAUGAAUUUCAUUUAAUACAAUAUGUGUUCUAAAUGAUGCUUCUUUUUUUAUAAUUAGAGUUAAUCUCUAUUUACUUUUCUUAGAUUUUACCAACUGUAGUUAGAAUUCCUCCAGUUCAUCUUUUAAAGAAAAAACAACAUUCGGUUGAUUAUGGGUGUUGCAAUUUCUAUUGGAUGUGUGAGCAUCAUACUAAUAUGUGAAGUUUUUUACAUAAAAAGGAAAUCUUUAGAUGUUAAUGAGGAUGAAGGCACUUCUUUUGCUCAAUAUUACUAAAUUUAAGCUUCAGAUGUCAAUGAGAAUGUCAAUGGGCUUUUUUCUACAGAUGUCAUGGUAGCAUCUUUAGUUAGUAUUAUUUGCUGCCCAAUUAUAGAAGACCCAAGAAGCUGGAUGGGCUUGAGAUGCAUGGAGUGGUAGUUGAGUGAUUUAUCUUAAUGUUCUUGAUUCAACUUUUUGCCUGUAAUAUAGCAAUGACAUUUCCCUAAGAAUAAAGUCAUCUCCAAAGAAUCUUUGCACAAAUACACAAUGAUCAUAAGUUGUCUUGUUGUAUCCUUGCUUCUCCAUAAUUGACUCAAACUUCUUGUAUCAUUGCCUAGGUGCCUGUUUCAUGCCAUAAAGACUUUUCUUCAAUCUAUAAAAAUAAUCUUCUUGUCCUUUUACUUUGAAUCCCUUUGAAGGCUCCAUGUAUAUCUCUUUCUCCAAGUCACCAUGGAGGAAAGCAAUUUUCAUAUCCAUUUGUUUAAUCUCUAAGUCAAGACUAGCUGCAAGACCAAACACUACACAAAUGGAUGACAUUUUCACAAUUGGAACAAAGAUUUCUUCAAAGUCAAUGCCUUUCUUCUAGCUAAAUCCCUUGACAACUAGUCUAGCCUUGUAUCUUGGGUAUGAAGUGUGUUCUUCUUGCUUCACCCUGUACACCCAUUUGUUUUCCAAGGCUCAUUUUUCCUUUGUGCAGCUUCAUUAACUCAAAAGUGUGAUUAGCAUGCAAGGACUUCAUCUCAUCUUGUAUAGCCUCAAUCCACUCUCUCUUCUACUUACUCUCUAUAGUUUCUUCAAAGCUCUUAGGUUCUUCCCCAUCAAUGAAUAUGACAUACUCUUUUAGGGAGCAUCUUGUGGAAGACUGACGAUUCCUGGUAGACCGUCUAGAUGAGACUAUAGGAGUAGCUUGUGGUACUUGUGGCUAGUCAAUAACUUCAGAAUUUAUAACCUCUAUAGGUUCUAAAUCAUCACUUGCACCAUGUGGUCAUUUUGUGUCUCAACAUCAAGUUGAUUUGCCAUUGGUGUUAAAGAAAUUAUUUCCAAGUCAAUCAACUUGUCACUACUAUCAAAUUUUGCUUUCUCCACUUCAUCAAGGUCUAUUAUUGUCUAGUCUUCCAUAAAUACAAUGUCUCGACUUCUAAUCAACUUAUUCUCAACUGGAUUAUACAAUCUGAACCCAAAUUCAUUUUGGCCAUAACCCACAAAUACACACUAGCGUGUCUUCACAUCAAGCUUGGACCUUUCAUCUUUAGGAAUGUGCAUAAAGGCCUUACAUCCAAAGACUUGCAAAUGAUCAUAGGAAACAUCUUUGCCUAUCCAAACUCUAUCUAGCACAUCAAACAACAAAAGAAUAGAAGGUGAGAAAUUCAACACAUGAACCACUAUAUUUAAAGCCUCACCCUAGAAAGAUUUAGGCAACCUUGCUUGUGAAAGCAAACAUAUCACUCUCUCAACCAAUGUUCUAUACAUCCUUUUAGCCAAACCAUUCAAUUGCGGUAUCUGUUAGCCUAAGGGCUCCUAAUCGGGUUUUGAUGAUAACAAACCAUGGUUAAGUGACUAAUUGGUUUAAUGAUUAAGAAUCUUAGGCAUAAACUCGAAAAUUCAUCAAAUGACCAAAUGGAUACAAGAUCGAGACGCUUGGAAGACUUGUGAUCAUAGGAAACAAAUGUAAGAUGAAUGCAUGAGUGCACUUAGGAUUUUCACACGUUUCAUGCAACUUAGAAAACUCGGUUUAUUCUUUAAAACUUUGAUUUCAUUAAAACCCGAGUUUUUAACUAAUGUACCUUAGGCAAAAUGUUUUAUAAUUGGUUUAAUAAUUCACCUAUUGACCUUGCCUAAGUGUUAGAAAAGAAAGAAAAUAAAAAAAAUAGGUUUUCGAGGCCAAAAAGGCUCAACUGGUCGAGGCUAUGGCCAAUCGGCUCAACCGGUUAAGGAACCGCUCGACUGGUUGUGCUCGUCCGGUUGAGGGAUGCGAAAAACUUUCUCUCUCUCCCAGUGGCCUUCUCUUUCUAGUCGAAGUGAUUCUCUUCCCGAUCGAUGUCCGAUCGAGGAUCGGUCGAGGUUCGGUCGAGGCAACGGUAACCUAUCAAGCAUUAAAUUCUCCAACGGCUAGUGAACCAGUCGACCCCUAGCUCGACCGGACGAGGUUACCUUUUGCUGUUUUUGACUCCUGAGCUUAGAAACCUAUAAAUUGAGAGCUCCACUUCAUUUAUUGAUAAGAGAACACUUGCAUUCAAUAGUCUACCUACUUGUUCUUGAUCAAAAAGUUCUCAUUUCUUUCAUAGUGCAUUAAAUCACCACUUGCAUAUCCUUUAGUGCACUCUUGUGUGUCAUCCUAGCUUUGUCUUAUAUUUAAGCUAUCCUUAAGCUAGGUUGAGGGAUUAUUUCUUGUAAAAAUCUGGGUGUUAAAGCCUUCAAGAGGUUUGAAUCUUGAAGAGAUUGUGUAAGAGCCCAUUGAAGCCGGAAUCCAAGUGUAAGAAGAUUGGAAGCUUGGUUGAAGCUUCAAGUUAGUGGAACCCACACUUAGUUAGGAGAUUGAGGAGAGUGGAUGUAGGCAAGGAAGUGCCGAACCACUAUAAACUCGAGUUUGAAUUCUCUAGCUCUAUCUUUUUAUUUUGCUUAUAUUGUGUUUGAAUUUGUUGUGAUUGAAAAGUUUUUAAAAACCCAAUUCACUCCCCCCCCCCCCUCCCCCCUCUCCCCUCUCCCUUUUGGGUGCUUUUCUUAAUUAAGCAUAGCCUUUGUUUUCUCAAUUGGAAUUAGAGCUAGACCUCUUGUUUUUUAAAGACUUAAUCAUCUAAGAGGAAAUGGCUAUUCCAUCAAGCUCAUCCCAAGCUGAAAAUUUUUCAAAACAUAGAGCUCCAUUCUUUACGGGAACCGACUAUCCCUAUUGGAAAACUAGAAUGACUUGGUAUUUGCAAUCUACAAAUUUAGAUGUAUGGGAUGUCAUUGAAGAUGACCCAACUUUUCCCACUAAAUUAGUUGAUGGAGUUUUGGUUCCAAAACCCGAGUAAGAAUGGAAUGAGCUUGAUAGAAGAAACUUUCAAUUAAAUGUUAAAGCCGUUUUUACUUUGCAAUGUGCUAUGGAGGUUGCUUGAAAUAACUCAUGAAGGAACUAAUCAAGUGAAAGAGUCAAAAAUUAAUUUACUUGUUCAUAAGUAUGAAUUGUUUUUAAUGAAAGAAAAUGAGACUACUAUUGAGAUGAUUACUAGGUUCACUGACAUUGUCAAUGGUCUUGAAACUUUUGGAAAAACCUGCAAGGAAUCCGAGAAGGUGAUGAAGAUAUUGAGGUCUCUCCCAUCAAAGUGGCAUACCAAGGUCACCACAAUUCAAGAAGCAAAAGAUUUGACUAAGCUACCUAUGAAAGAGCUCAUAGGGUCAUUAAUGACAUAUGAGAUCAAUUUGACAAAUAAGCUACAAGAGGGUGAAGAUAAAAAGAAGAAGAUCAUAGCCCUCAAAGCUACAACCAAGGAAGAAGAAGAUGUUGAAGAAGAAAAACCAAGUGAUGAAGAUGAUGAUUUAGCCCUCAUCACAAGAAACCUCAACAAAUACAUGAGAUGUGAAAGGUUUCGAGGAAGGAAGUUCACCUCUAAAAGAGAUCCUCCUAAAAAGGAAUCAUCCCAUGGUGAAAAGGAGAAAUGAGAAGAGAAAAGAGAUUUGAUAUGCUUCAAGUGCAAAAAACCGGGACACAUUAAAUAUGAUUGUCCUCUAUACAAAAGUGAAGCCAAGAGAAGAAUGAAAAAGGCAAUGAUGGCCACUUGGAGUGAAAGUGAAGAAUCCUCCGAAGAAGAAAAGGAGAAGGAAGUGGCAAACAUGUGCUUCAUGGCAAUAGAUGAUCUUGAUGAGGUAAACUCUAAUUUUAUUGAUGAAGAUAUGCAUGAUGUUUUUGAAGAAUUAUAUGAGGAUUUUGAAAAACUUAGUUUGAAAAAUAAUUCUCUUAAAAAGAAGAUUCAAGAACUUGAAGAAGUCAAAGAAAAAAUUUCAAUUAUUGAAAUAUCUAAAACUCAUCUUGAAAAAGAAAAUGAGAUUUUGAGAAGUGAAAAUGAGAUUUUGAAAAAGAAAAAUGAAUGGUUGACCUCAUUUCUUUCAAUUUUCUCUUGUGGACAAAAAUAUUUUGAAAUGAUCUUAGCUAGCCAAAAAUGUGUCUUUGAUAAACAAGGGUUAGGAUUCAAAUCUUCAAAAAAUCAAAAGUAUUUUAAAAACUACUUUGUAAAAGAAUCCACAAGUGCAAGUCCUUCUACCAUUUGCAACUUUUGUGGAAGAGGAUGACACAUUAGUAGUACAUGUCCCCUAAGAAAUGGUUCUUAAAAGAAUUCAAAUGCCAAGCUAAAAAGGUUUGGGUUGAAAAAUCCAAAAUCACUAACCCUCAAGGACCCAAAAAAAUAUGGGUACCUAAAUCAAUUUAAAUUUUGUUUUGUAGGGUUUAAAAAAGGAUAAAUGGUUCUUGGAUAGUGGAUGCUCAAGACACAUGACCGGGGAUGAAUCCAAGUUUGCCUUCCUUACAAAGAGAAAGGGAGGAUACGUUACCUUUGGAGACAAUGCAAAAGGAAGGAUCAUUGGUCAAGGUAACAUUGGUAAUGGCACAUCCUCUCUUAUUGAAAGUGUUUUAUUAGUGGAUGGUUUAAAACAUAAUCUCUUGAGCAUAAGUCAACUUUGUGACAUAGGUUUUAAAGUGAUUUUUGAAGCAUCUCAUUGCAUCAUCAAAGAUAUUCAAAAUGAUAAAACCAUCUUCAUGGGCCAUAGGUGUGACAAUGUUUAUGCUAUAAAUAUUUCAAAAUAUGAUGGCCAUGAUAGAUGCUUUUCAAGCAUGCAUGAUCAAAGUUGGUUGUGACAUAGGAGGUUGGGACAUGCUAACAUGGACUUCAUUUCCCAACUCAACAAAGAUGAACUUGUUAGAGGCCUUCCCAAAAUAAAUUUUCAAAAAUACAAAGCUUGUGAAUCUUGUCAAAUGGGAAAGCAAAUAAAAAACUCUUUUAAAAACAAAAAUUUCAUUUCAACAUCUAGGCCUUUUGAAUUGUUGCAUAUGGAUUUAUUUGGUCCCUCUAGGACACCAAGCCUUGGAGGAAAAUCUUAUGCUUUUGUUAUUGUGGAUGACUUCUCUAGAUACACUUGGGUUUUAUUUUUAAGUCAAAAGAAUGAAGCCUUUUAUGAGUUUUCAAAGUUUUGCAACAAGGUUCAAAAUGAAAAAUGUUUUACAAUUACUUGUAUAAGAAGUGAUCAUAGGAGAGAAUUUGAAAAUAUUGAUUUUGAAGACUAUUGCAAUGAGCAUGGUAUUAACCAUAAUUUUUCGGCUCUUAGAACUCUUCAACAAAAUAGGGUAGUUGAAAGGAAAAAUAGAACUCUUCAAGAGAUGGCUAGAACCAUGCUUAAUGAAAACAAUUUACCAAAAUACUUUUGGGCCGAAGCGGUUAACACUUCUUGUUAUGUUUUAAAUAGAAUUUUAUUAAGGCCUAUUCUUAAGAAAACUCCCUAUGAGCUUUGGAAAAACAAAAAACCCAACAUUAGCUAUUUCAAAGUCUUUAGGUGCAAAUGCUUUAUAUUAAACACCAAAGACAAUCUUGGAAAAUUUGAUGCAAAAUCGGAUGUUGGAAUUUUUCUUGGUUACUCAACUUCAAAUAAAGCCUUUAGAGUUUUUAACAAAAGAACCAUGGUUGUUGAGGGGUCCAUCCAUGUUAUUUUUUUAUGAAUCUAACAAUUCUCUCCAAAAAAAGAGAGAGCUUUGAUGAUGAUUUAGGCUUGGAGACCUCCAUGGGAAAAUUACAAAUUGAAGAUAGAAGGCAACAAGAAGGAAUUGUUGAGGAUCCCAAGAAAGAAGAAUCACCUUUAGCACUACCCCAUCCUCAACAAGUGCAAGGUGAAUCAAGCCAAGACCUUCCUAAAGAUUGGAAGUUUGUCAUUAACCACCCACAAGAUCAAAUUAUAGCUAAUCCAUCUAGUGGGGUAAGAACUAGAUCAUCUCUUAGAAAUAUUUGCAAUAAUCUUGCUUUUAUCUCUCAAAUUGAAUAUAAAAAUAUAAAAGAUGCUCUAGUUGAUGAAAAUUGGAUGAUUGCUAUGCAAGAAGAGUUAAACCAAUUUGAAAGAAGUGAAGUAUGGGAAUUAGUGUCAAGACCUCAAAAUCAAAGUGUUAUUGGAACUAGAUGGGUCUUUAGAAAUAAAAUGGAUGAAAUGGCAUAAUUAUAAGGAAUAAAACAAGAUUGGUAGCCCAAGGUUUUAAUAAAGAAGAAGGGAUAGAUUAUGAAGAAACCUUUGCUCCCGUAGCUAGAUUGGAAGCCAUUAGGAUGCUACUUGCCUUUGCAUGUUUUAAAGACUUUGUUUUAUAUCAAAUGGAUGUGAAAAGUGUUUUCUUAAAUGGCUUUAUAAAUGAAGAGGUAUAUGUUGAACAACCACCCGGCUUUCAAAGUUUUAACUUUCCUAAUCAUGUCUUUAAACUUAAAAAGAUACUUUAUGGUUUGAAACAAGCACCUAGAGCAUGGUAUGAAAGAUUGAGUAAAUUUCUUAUGAAAAAGGAUUUUAAAAUGGAAAAAAUUGAUACAACUCUUUUCAUAAAAACCAAAUAAAAUGACAUGCUCUUAGUGCAAAUAUACGUUGAUGAUAUCAUUUUUGGAGCUACUAAUGUCUCUCUUUGUGAAGAAUUUUCUAAAUGCAUGCAUAGUGAGUUCGAAAUGAGCAUGAUGGGAGAACUUAACUUCUUCCUUAGACUUCAUAUCAAGCAACUAAAGGAAGGAACCUUCAUCAAUCAAGCAAAGUAUAUAAGAGAUCUCCUCAAAAGGUUCAAUAUGGAGGAAGCCAAAACAAUGAAGACUCCAAUGAGUUCAUCCAUCAAGCUUGACAUGGAUGAGAAAGGUAAGUCCCUCAACUCAACUAUGUAUAGAGGCAUGAUAGGUUCUUUGCUAUAUUUGACUGCUAGUAGACCCGACAUCAUGUAUAGUGUAUGCUUAUGUGCUAGAUUUCAAUCUUGUCCUAAAGAAUCCCACUUAAGUGUUGUAAAACGAAUCCUUAGAUACUUGAAACGGACAAUGGACAUAGGUUUGUGGUAUCCUAAGAGUGAUAACUUUGAAUUAAUUGGAUUCUCGGAUACCGACUUUGCCGGUUGUAAAGUUGAAAGGAAAAGCACUAGUGACACUUGUCAUUUCCUAGGACACUCACUUGUUUCAUGGUAUAGUAAGAAAUGAAUUUUGGUAGCUUUAUCAACGGCGGAAGCCGAAUACAUAGCAGCCGGUUUAUGUUGUGCACAAAUUCUUUGGAUGAAACAAACACUUAGUGAUUUCAAUUUGAUUUUUGAGCAUGUUCCUAUUAAAUGUGAUAACACUAGUGCCAUAAACAUUUCAAAAAAUUCAGUGCAACACUCUAGGACUAAGAAUAUAGAGAUAAGACACCAUUUUCUUAGAGACCAUACACAAAAGGGUGACAUUACACUUGAAUUUGUAAGCACAAAAGAUCAACUUACUGAUAUUUUUACAAAACCUCUAAGUGAAAAACAAUUUGUUGAUAUUAGAAGACAACUAGGGGUGAUUUCUUUAUGAUCAAAUGAUUGCUUGAUGAAUUCUUGAUUGAAUAUACCUUAUGAUUACGUGAAUUUCAUAUCAUAUAGAAAUAAUCUUAGGAAAAAGGUCAAAUUUUGACCAAAAAUCAAAAUUCCCUUGGCAUUGGACAUAAAAAAUUGGGGAUUUCAAUUGAAAAGGGUAGGGGGAGGAUCACAAGACAAGAAAAUACCAAAAAAUUGGAGCAUUGACCGUUGACCAUUGACCAAGCGGUUCGUCGAGGUUGGGAAUUUAAAAAGGCCCCCUGCGCUUCAUUUUUCACAUGUUAUCCUCCAUACCUUGAAGACUCUUCACAUCCAUGCUUCUAGAAGUCAAUUUUGGCAAGAUCUUGGACUGUUUGCAGGCUUUGGAGUGGAUUUUGAGACGUUUUGAGGCUAGGGUUUUGAUUUGAAACCCAGAGUUUCAGUUUUUGGGGGUGAUUUCUCUCUAUACCACGAACCUCAGGCUUGGUUCAACUUCUUCUCCGUGCGCCUAGGGCUUUAGGUUGGUGUUUUCUCUCUCUUGUUUGAUUUCCUUCUCCUUUUGGACUUCUCCUUCUCCCUAUUCCAUUCGUUGGAUGGCUCCUAGGCGAGAGACGGGCACCUCUAGGGCUCAAGGCAAGCGCCCUACUGAGCCAUCUCAGCCUGAGCAGACGGAGGCUCACCGAAAGGCGAGGUAUGAUACGACCCUCUUCAGUUCCGUUGAAGAUCUUAAUUAAGCAUAGCCUUUGUUUUCUCAGUAUCUUUGGAGGAGUCUUUUGAUGGCGGAUACCUUGCUAUUUGUGGUACUCAUCAAAUGACCUUGAAUAUUCUCCUCUAUUAUCAGUUCAGAUACAUUUAAGUUUUCUUCUAGUUUAUCUCUCAAUUGAAGCCUGAAAUUACUUGAACACACCCGAUACCUUAUCUUUAUGCUCAAUGUGUAUGCACAAAUCUUCUUUGAAUGAUCAUCAAUAAAAGUCACGAAGUAUAGUGAACCACCAAGGGUUUUUACCUUCAUUGGACCAUAUAAACUAGAAUGGACUAAGUCAAGCAAAUUCUCAUUUCUUGAAGAAGAAGGGCGUGUCUUGAACGCAACUCUAUUUUGCUUUCCUACCAAGCAAUGAGCACACUUUUGUAGACAUGUGUUUGUCAUCCCAAACAAGUGAUUUUUUCGGAAUAGUACCAUCAUUCAUUUCUCACCCAUGUGACCGAGUCUCUAGUACCACAACUCAAUUGUAUCCACAUUUUCAAUAGCAUGAAUGACAUCUUUAGAAAGUCCAACUUGCAUUAUGUACAAAUUAUGAUUCCUUUUACAUCUUGUUAUGACCAAAGAACCCUUAGUAAGCUUCCAUUGACCAUUACCAAGACCACUAUAGUAGCCACCAUCAUCAAGCUUGCUAGUAGAGGUAAGGUUCAACCAAAUGUCUGGAACAUGCUUUACACCUUUGAAAAGCAGUUUCAUACCAUUACGGGUUUCUAAUAAAAAAUUACCUAUGUCAAUAACCUUAGCCACACCAUUGUUGCCCAUCCUUACAACUCCAAAGUCAGAUGUGUAAAAAUCCCUACAAAAUGUAACAUGAAUAGUAGCACCACUAUCAAUUACCCAACUAGUCUCAUCAAAUGCUGAAUUGAUCAUAUCAUCAUCAUACAUUAGUAAAAAGUCUUCUAUAGUGGUGGCAACUCAAUCUUCAUCACUGCUCUUAUUGCCUUUUUCUUUCCUGUUGUUCUUCUUAUUUUCUUUCUUCAACUUUCUACAAUGUUUCUUGAUAUUCCCCUUCUUACCACAAUGGUAACACUCAACAUUAGCAAAUUUGCCUUUGGACUUAUUUCUACUACUUUCCCUGUUUUUCGGAAUCCUACUCUUGUUUCCCCCUCAUGGCUCAGUAACUAUCAUAUCUGACUAUGAGGAGGAACGAUGUGACUUUUUUCUCAUCUUUUCAUUUAGAACAUUGCUCUUAGCAAUUUCCAUUGUAAUCUCACCAUCUAGAGUUGAAUUAGACAAUGACAUUUUAAAUGUCUCCCAAUAAUCUGACAAAGUGCCCAAAAGCCAUAAACCCUAUACCUCUUCAUCAAAUUUUACCCCCAUUACAUCCAACUAAUUUAUCAAACCUUGGAAUGAAUUCAAGUUAUUGGUCAUAGGAGUAUCCUCACGAUAUCUCAAAAGAAUAAAAUAUUUCAUCAAAUACAUUUUGUUGUUUCUGGUCUUUUGAGCAUACAACUUUUCAAGUUUGAUCCACAAUGUACAUGCAUUCUUCUCACCACUAACAUGGUUUAACACACUGUCAUCUACCCAUUGUCGAAUAUACCAACACACCUGCCUAUAAAGUAAUGUACAUUCCUCAUCAGUUUUGCCAGUGGGUUUUCCUUGGACAAACAUAGGGUGAUGGUAACCCUUCUCAUAUAAUAAAUCCUCCAUUUUAUCCUUUCACAAGGCAUAAUUUGAGCCAUUUAAGCUUACCAUUCUGUUUGCACUAACAUCCAUUCUUCAACACAACACAGGCAGCCAAAGCUCUAAUACCACUUUGUUGGGAGAAAGUUGAACACAGUAUCACAAUUAAAAUCAACCAUGCAUGCACUGGAAUUUUAAUGUGGAAAACAUCUUCAAUGUGAGAAGUAAAAACCACAGGACCAGAGUCCACUCAGAAAGGGUUCACUAUCAACCUAAGUGAGAGUACACAAUUUGUCCCAACAUUAAUUGGGGACUAUCAAUAGCAACAACCAUCAAGAAAAAUCUUAGCUUCACAAGCAUAAACACCAAAUAUUAAAAGAAUAAUAGAAAAAGAUCACAAAUUUGGUGUUCUGUCCGAAUAUACUAAUCUGUCCUGAAAACUCCAAUCAACGAUCCAAUCGUUAAAAUUUAAUUACCAUAAGUUUUGAACCUCCUAUUAAAAUUUCACUUCAAUCAGACCAAAGAUCAAAGAAAUACCACUCUUUGAUGAAGACUGCAUAGAACCGAGAUUUUCUCCUCUCAUUUUCUGUCCUGUUUUAUUUGAAUGAUUAUAUAUUAUAGUCAACUACUCUGAUCGACGAGCGAACCGACCAGAAUUAAGAGACAUAAGAGACGAAGAUACUAUACAAAUUUCAACACGAUCCAACGGUGUAAAAUAGAGAUCAAGAAGAUUGAUUAAAAUUGCUCUAAAAUGAUUCUAUUUAUGACCAACUCUGUUUAGGCGGCUAUAGAGUGAAAUAGAAAAGUUCAACUAGAAUAAGGAGUUGCUUGUGAUAAACCAACUGACCAAGUUUCAGUUUAAACAAGCCUUAGACCAUCAAGAUCUAUUACUUGGAUGAAAAUAGCUCUUUCACCUCUUCAAUUUCUUAUUAUUUUUUUUUCUCUCUCAAAAUCAUCAGUUGCACUCUUCUCACUGUAUAUUUCAAGAAGUGAAUCUUUUUUGGGGUUUUCAAAAAAACCUUACACCGAAAGACAAAAAUGCCCAUAUAAUAUGGGAUUUGUUGGGUUUGACAUAUAUGGGUCAUCCUCCACAUGAGAGGGAAACCCAACCCAACAAUAGUUUAGUACCUCCUAAUUGGAAGGAUGACUUGUUUUUGUCAUCACGAUGAGUUUUCCAUGGUGAGUGCACUAAUGUAUAUGGUUACACAUUGGACAGGACCUAUGAUGAGUCAUGAUAUUGGCUAUCAAGUAGUCAUCAUCUUAUAAAGCUACUAUAUUGUAUGAGCUCUCAACCUUGAGAAGAUAUUAAGCUAGUAGUAAAAUUUUUAAUGACUUUAACAUAUAGGUAAGAUCCUAAAGUGGUAAUAUAUUCCCUAUGGAUUGAGAUAUUAUUGAUAGAGGUUGGUGAUAACAUGUAUACUCAAGAUAGACACCAUGAUAUCUCCUAGGUUUUAGAUAAUAUAUCCAUUUGAGUGAUCCUAAGGACAUGUGAUUAGGAAAUCCGUGGUCAUAGUAAUUCUUUAAUUGGAAUUUGACAUAUGCUUCUUAUGAAAUAAAGUAUGUCGAUUUAUCACAUAAGAAGAGGAUUAGAGACUCAAGGACUCUAAAGGAAAUUUUAUAAGGUAGAUAACAUUCACUUUAUUAGACUACGAUCAAUAGCUUAUGAGAAGUUUGCAUAUAGUAGACAAUGGAUCAUAGACUAGAGGUUUGUAUCUCAUAGUUAUAAUAUCAUACGAUAAUGGAGUAUAGUUAACUCUAUGUAGUAGGAUAUUAAGUCAAUUUUAGAAUUGAAAUAUGAGGUAGCCAGUAUUUUCUUAUGAGUCUUAGUGGUCCUCACUUAAAAUCAUAUUCCAUGGUGGCAUGAUUUUUUUAAGAGAUUAUGAGUUUUAUAUUCAUAUGUAUGCAUACAGACAUUUUGGUAGACACGAAACGUUGCACAAGAGUUUAUGAAUGUUUUUGGGUUGAGUUAAUUAAUUAAUUAGAACCCAAUUAAGUUAGUUAAUUAGGACUCAUUGGGCUAAAUUAAGUGACCCAACUCAAUUCACUUAAACUUAGAAGUAAUUCUAUAUAAACCUCCUUAAGUUUUAGGGCUUAUAUUUUGAUUCAUUCUAUCUUUCAGAAUGAGAGAAUCCCAUUCUUCAUUCCCAAGUGAGAAUUCCAUCAUUUUUAAGUGACAAGGUCUAGGAAAGAGCUAUUGGGUGGAAGAUCAUGAGGUUUUCGAGAUCCAUACCAUCAUUUUCUUUGAUUGGAACUAAUCUAGGCACAUCUAUUAGUUUAUUGGCCAUUGAAUCAACAAAGGACUAUAAUGCAAAAUUGUUUCAUGCAGUACCUUAAAAUAAUUAUGAAGGGCUGUAAAAAAAUUGAACCAAUGGUUGUUACUUUCUACAAACAAUAUAAGGCGUAAAAACCUAAAGCUUAGUUGAUUUUGUGAGAGCCAACUAGUCCAAAAGAUCAGUUAUAGCGGAAUAGAACUCUUGAAUACUCAUGUUCUUAUGUUCAAGAGCUCAAAUAUCAAUCUUUAAAUAAUAUUGAUUUGCAAAUGUUGCUAGAUCUUGUUGACAAAUUCAUACUUUGCCAACUACGUACUUAUCAAAUUCUCAAUAAAUUUGUUGAUCCAAUUGAUAAUUUUUGAAUUGUUUACUGCUCAAAUGUUUAACUGUUCUAUAUAUUUUUCAUCAUCUCCAUUUCUAGGUUUGUGUAGAGUUAACCCCACAUCUUUUUUACCUUUGAAAAAUUUCCCAUUGCAUAACUCCAAUGUUAGGAUAGAGCCCUUAAAAGCAUAGUAUGAUAUAACAAAUUCAAAUUUAUUAUUCAUUUAAUAAAAUUUUAGUUUCCUAUUUCUAUCUAUCUUAUUACAUGCAUUAUAACUUAUAACCAUUUUAGCCUAACAUUUUUUGCAUUGUACAUACUUUGGGUGCAUUAGGAGUUACACAGAAGAUCCAAGUCAUGAGUUGCUUGCAAGUAGAUGAUUUGUUCACAACUAGUUCAUAGAAUUAGGUAAUUCAUUGAAAGUUGUAGUACACUACCUACUAAUGGAAUGGAUGACUAGUCUUGGUCAUUUGGGAUGAGUUUCCCAUGUUAAGUCCAUUAGUUUGUACAAUUCAACAUUAAAUAAGGCCCAUAGUGAGUUAUGAUGUAAAGUUAUUGAGUAGUCAUGACCUCACCAAGCUGCUAUACUAUAUGGUCUUUUAACCUCGAGAGAAUAUUUAGUUUGUGCCAAAGUUUAUAAUAGCUUUGACCUAUAAGUGAGAUCCUAAGAUGGUCAUAUAUUCCCUAUAAAUUAGGUCAUUAUUGAUGGAGGCUAGUGACGGCCGGUAUUCUCAAUAGAGAUACCAUGAUAUCUUAUGGAGAUUGAGACAAUAUGUCCCAUUAGGUGAGCCUAAGGAAGUCUUGAUAAGGAAAUUAAUGGUCAUAAUAGUUUUUUAAAUUAGAACUUGACAUAUGCUCUUUAUGAGAUAAGAUAUGUCACUUCAUCUCAAAAUAAGAGAAUCUGAGACUCAAGAAUCAUAAAGGUAAUCUUGAAAGGUUGAUAACAUUCAUCUUGUUAGAUUAUGGACACUAUUUCAUGGGGAACUUGCAUACAAUGGAUAGUAGGUGUUAAUGGAAACCCUAGAUUUCUUCGUUCGUAAACCCUAGAUCGUAUAGGUAUAUGCAAAUCUACCUAGGCUUCUCUAGAAACUAACAUAAGUGGAAACAUGGCUUUUAAAAACCAUUUAGAUUAAUAAAACUAGAGAAGAAUGAAUUAUACCUAGAUUUAGAUGUUCCUAGAUCAAUUCAUUGCGAUGAAGAUGUUUCAAUGUUCUAGAGGUCUUGUACACCCAAAGUCUUCUGUCUAAUUACUCAAUCCAUGACCUUGGCACUCUAAAGAGUGGACUUUGAAAAAGAGAUGCCUUGGCUCUCUCUCUUUCUCUCUAUUUCUCUCUGGAAGUGGAAGACGACAAGCAAAAGCCUUAGAAACCCUAACCCCUAAGGGGAUAUGUAUAGGGUUCCCCUACUAGGCUUAAGUGACUUGAGCCUACCAAGGAUUAGGUCACUUAAUCUAGCCCAAAAUAGAUCUUGAUUUAUUAAUCAACCACACAGGGUCAUCUAAUUAAUCAAUUAGCUCAAUGAAGAGAACUUGUUCUCUAUUCCCCUAUGCAACCUUGCGUGAUUGCUAAAACACCUUUAUACACAUCUAAUCCUUAGAAAUCGUGUCAUCAUGGUAUAUGAGCUCAAAGUGAGGACUACUGGGACAAAUAGGCAUACUAACUCUCUCAAAAUCGAAUUCCAAAGUUGAUUCACUAUCCCACUAUAGAAAAUCAAUUGCACUCCAGUACCUUAUGUAGAUAACAAUAAGAUGAAGUUUGGGUCUGUGACCUACUAUCUACUACAUGCAAUCUCUUCAUGAAUUGGUGUCCAUAAUCUAACAAGGUGGUGUUAUCACAUAAUGUAUGAUAAGAAAUAUGAAUUUGUUACAUUAGAUAAUAACAUAAUGUAUCCUGGUAGGAAAUAUGAAUUUUAAAAAUGCAUCCUCUAUAUUAAGGUAAAGUUAAUUUUUUUAAACAUAAAAUAAUAUAUUUAUAACAAAGUUAGUAAUAUGGAUGAGAUAUAAAUUAGUAUUGGUAUCAAGUAUUUCAAUAUGUAAACCUAAAACAUAUUACAUUUAUAAUAUUAUUGAAAUUUUACCCAUAAUAUAUCUUUAUUAAAAAAGUCAAUCUAAAAUUUUUCAAAUUUUUAUUACUCAACUAUAUCCAUAUAAUUUUCUAUUAGAAUCAUCUAAAAUUUCUUUAAUAUCUUUAUAUUCAUUUACUUGAAAAAUGAAAAAUAACCAAUAAAAUUGUUCAUUUUAUUAAGAUAUUUUUAUUAAAUUUUGUUAAAAAAAAAAUAAAUCAUUCAAAAUUUUAAAUAAGAUUUCAUGUGAAAUAUUUUAUUUGAAAGUUUAUUUGGUUUCAUUAACAAAUUUAUUUGAUAUUUUUUUUAUUGUAAAUAUAUUAAAUUAUUAAAAUUAUAGUAUUUGUCCUAUAAAAUUAGGGUUGCAAUUUGGACGAGCUAACCCAAACCAACAUAAAACCAACCCAAUGUUUGGGCGGGCUUGGGCACCAUUUUUUGUAACUUGGGUUGGGCUUGGAUUCAUUUUUAUCAACCCAAAUUAAAUUCGGGUUGGGCUUGGUCAGAUGACUUGGGCAACCCAAACUAACCCGAACCUGACUAUAUAUAUAACUUUAAGAAAAUAAUACAUUGGUUCUUUCCAUUCUAUUCUUUGAUAGAGAAAAAACCUUCAAGCCCUAGUCCAAGGUUCUUCCAUUAUUCGAUAUUGUUCAAAUCCUCAAGCCCUAGUUCAAGAUUCUUUCAUUUUUUGAUGUUGUUGUCUCCAUUCAAGGUCAUCUGACAGAAAGCAAAAACCAUCAGGCCUUAGGUUAAGAUUCUUCAUCAUCAUAUAAUGUUACAAUCGUCGUUCAAUACCACUGUUGUUCACAUUAUAUUACUAGGUUUUUGAUUGCCAACAAUUUAGUUAAUAAAUCAUGGAAAUAAUGGAAAAGGUUGAUUUGAAAAUAAUUCUAAGAUAUCCCUUUUUGGUUUUAAAUUUAUCUUCCUUGAGUGAUGAAUAAAGAGGACAAGGCAAGUUAUUUAAGGCAAUGGUGAAGCCCUUAUCCUUUAUAUGGAAGAAGUGUAGAAUUGUUACCUAUACAUAAAUUAUAUUAUAAUGGUCUACUGUAAUAUGCUUGGCUUAGCAUCCCUCAUCAGGGGCAUGCCAUGGGAGAAAAGUCUUCCUUUUGUAAAAGAAGGGUUGUGCAAUAAAUGAAUGUUGUGUGUUUGCUUUUUGAACUAAUUUUUAUUGGCCUAACUCAACCCAACUUAGCCAUCACAUAAUCAACUCGAGCUCAACCUAUGUUAAAUAAUUUCAAUUCGAGUUGAGUGCAUAAGAUUGGAAGUCGAGUUAGGUGAUCCUUUGGGUUGAUGUAUUUCAAGGUAAGAUUGAGCUUGGGUUGGCCAACUUGCCGAGUUGCAACCCCAUAUAAAAUUAAUUUUUCUUUAACAUUUAUAUUUUAUGAAAUAUUAAAAAUUAUAUAUUUUAUUAAUUGUUUUCCAAAAAUCGCAAUUUUGGUGAUUUAGGUCUUGUUUGGUAAUUGUUUUUGAAAACAUUUUUGAAAAAAUAGUUUUUAAGAACAGUUUUUGAAAACUGUUCUCUGAUGUUUUUUAGAACAAAAGUCUAUUUGGGAACCUAAAAUUAUUUUUAAUAUUUUUAAAUACGUUUUAAAAAUAAUUUUUAUAUCCAUAACUUUAUUUUUAUUAAUCAUUAUAUAUAUAUUUGUAUAAUUAUUCUUUAAAAUAACUCUCAAAAAAUAAGUGAAAACAACUUAAAACAAUUAAAAUAUAUUAUUUGAAAACACCCUGUUUUCUAUUUUUUAAUAAUAUAAAACAGAAAACAGUUUUUAAUUGUUAAACGUGUUUUUAAGUUUUUUUUUUCUAAAAAACAAAAAACUGUUUUUGAAAACAGUUUCCAAACAUAGCAUUAAUGCAAAGCCAGCCAAUUUUUUGUGCUGCCAACCAUACUGGAAACCCAUCUUGUUGGCCACCCAGAGGAGCUCAGUUUUUUUUAUUUUUAUUUGUUAGAGGAGUGGGGGACGAUUUCUAUGAACGAGCUACAUGGGACAUGUGGAAAAAAAAAAAAAAAGAUGGCCACCUUGCCAUGGUGGUGGUUGAAGAUGGAGACUUGCUAAGCGGUGAACAGUGGAACGAGUAGAAGCUUAUAAGAGAAAAAAAAAAACAGAGCAAAGGGACUGGGAGGGUUGAGUUGUGGGUGAGCUGAUUCAAGAGGAAGGAAAAAAAAUGAAGCUGAAACAAAGGGAGGUUUUUAAGAGAAAGUGAAAACAACGAGUUAAUUUGGAAACAACUAGGAUGAGAGUUGUAGGUCGGCUGAUUAGAGGAGGUUUUCAGCAAGAGCUAAAGAAGAGGACCUUUAAACUCUACCGGAAAAGUUCUCUCGUCUCACCGGUGACUACGGAUCUGGAAAACUAAAAUGCGCAGGUGGUGGCGUUGCUCCCCCUACUAUACUUACGGAUUUUAAGCUCAAUGGCUACGGAAACCUCGAUUUCUACAACGUGUGCUUGGUUGACGGGUAAAACCUUCCUUUGAUGGUGGUGCCACAGGAUGGCACCGGGGGGAACUGUACCAAAAUCGGGUGCUGCUCUAGACUUGGGAAAUGAACAGGUUUGUUCGUUUGUCUCGUUACAACUUCUUUCUGAAUCUUUCUUUGAUUAAGACAAGUAUGUUUUUCCAAGUUUUGGUUUUUGCUCUCAAAAAGGGUCUUUUUGAUGAUUCUACUGUUUUUUUUAGGAGUUGAAAUGGGUUUUUGAUGAAUUCAAGUGGGCGUCUUUUGUUUGUUAAUGGAACGGUUUUGUUUUUGGUGGUCAAAACAUUUUUUUUUUAUAAUGAUUUUGUAGUCAUUUUAAGGAGCUGUGAAAUGGGUGUUUGAUGAAUUCAACUGGGUUUCUUUUACUUGAUGAAAUGCCACCAUCCGUGGGGUUUGGUUAUGUAAACAUGAAUUUUUUUUUUUUUUUUAUGAUUUUGAAAGUGAUUUUAAGGAGCUGUGAAACGGGUAUUUGAUGUGUUGAACUGGGUCUAUCCUAUUUGCUAAUGGAAUAGGUUUUAGUUUCUGAACUUGGAACAUGAAUUUUUUUAUUUUUUAUAUGAUUCCGUGUAUAUUUUGAUGAGCUUGACAUUUUGUAUGAUGAAUUGAACUCAGUUUUGACUAAAUGGGAUAGGUCUUGGAUUAUGGUUCAUGGUUUAUUUUGAUGAUUUAUUGAACCGGAUUUCCUCUGUUUUGGGACCCACUCCACUCCUGCAUGGCCAUUUUUGACAUGCAAUUCCAUCGAACACGUGUCAUCCUCUUUGAUUUUUCAUCCUCAUAUGUUAAAAUAUGAUUUUCAAAACUCCAAUUUUCACGUUUAAUUUUUAAAACUUUAAUUUUUAAAAUUCCAUUUUUUUUUAAUUUAAUCUUCAAAACUCUAAUUUUCAAAUAAUCUUCAAAGUUCCAAUCAUCGAAAUUUAAUUUUUAGAACUUCAAUUUUCAAAUAAUUCUCCAAAAUUCCAAUUUUCAAAAUUUCCAUUUUCAAAAAUAAUUUUCCAAAAUUCUAAUUUUCAAAAAUUCUAAUUUUUCAAAAUUUCAAUUUUCAAAAAUUCUAAUUUUUCAAAAUUUCAAUUUUCAAAACUUACAUUUUCAAAAAUAAUUUUCCAAAAUUCCAAUUUUCAAAACUUCCAUUUUCAAAUAAUUUUCCAAAAUUCAAGUUUUCAAAUUUAAUUAUUAAGAAAUCCCAUUCUCAAAUAAUUCUCCAAAAUUCCAAUUUUCAAAAUUUCCAUUUUCAAAUAAUUUUCUAAAAUUCCAUUCUAAAACAAUUCUCCAAAUUUCCAAUUUUCAAAACUUGAAUCAUUUUCUAAAAUUCCCAUUUUCAAAUUUAAUUCCCAUAAUUUCCAUUCUCAAAUAAUUUUUCAAAAUUCCAAUUCUCAAAUUUAAUUUUUGAAACUCCCAUUUUUCGAAUAAUUUUUCAAAUUUUCAUUUUUUUUAAAUUUAAUUUUUAAAAUUUCAAUUUUCAAAACCCUAGUUUUCUUUCAAAUAGUUUUAAUCCCACUUCAGUUUUCAAAUAUUUUUAAUUUUACAACUUUUCAUCAUUCAUUAGGGUUUUAAGUCACUAAAAAUCAUAUUUUUAAAUAAACUUGCUACUUUUCCUUUCAGGUAAGCACUUUCACAAAUUUUCUUUGUUUUUAAAAUAAUAUUUUGUUUCUCUUAAUUUUAAAUAAACAUGAAGGCAAUUUUCAUAAUUUCAAAAUAAUGGAAUUUAUGGAAUUAAUUCAUGCAAAAUAAUUGGGCUUUGGUGGGAGCCUAACAUUCAUGACAUUUCUUUCAAAAAUAAUUCAAGUGAAUUGCAUUAUCGAUAUUGUUUGAUUUUGAUUGGUUUUGUGUGAGAUAUUUUACACUUAAUAUUGUGCACUAAUUCUGUUUCAUGAUAGCGCUUUAUUACCUCUAGUCAAGGUACGCUCUCACUCUCAUUUUGUUUAUUUAUUCGUUAUCAUAACUUGCUUUUGAUCUAUUAUCUUUUUGGUAUUCAUUGAUUUUUCUAGUUAAUUGUCAUGUUUGCUUCACCUUAUUUAGUAGAGACCCAUUUUUCAGGGGCUUAGAGGGGUGCUACGGUCUUUACCGUACUUUUCCAAUAAGUAACCUAACCCUCGAAUCCGACUUUGGUCUUCCACAAACUAUCUUUUCCAAAUAAGGAGUCACACUUAGAGUUUUCUUUCUUAUUUUGUUUUCCCUUAAAAAUAAAAUAAAAAUAAGUGGUGACUCCAAGUAUUUUCUAAAAAUCAUUUUUUUUUUCAAAUAAAAAAAGCGAGUUUUGCCAUCAAGUGGAAACACAUCUUGCGAAAAUGUGGGGUCCACAUAUCCCCUUCCAUUCCUUCAUACCCAAUGAAAUCUAAAUAAAUCGCCAGCCUAUUUUUUCAUUCUUGCUUCCAACCUCUUUUUUAAUAUUUAAAAUUGAUAAUAUAAAAUCUCUGCACAUGAUAUUGCCCACUUUGUCAUGGAAUUGAGAACAAUGAUAAAUCACAAUUUUCACACAAAUGAAAGUCUGUAUACUUUUUUUUUUUUUUUUUUGUAAGGAAUAAUAUUGUGUAAGGAACCAUUAAUGUAAACAUAUUGAAGGAAAAACAUAAAAAAUAAAACAAAUAUCACAAAAGAUAUAUAGGUUUAUCUCCACUUUGAACCAUGAAUUCUUUUGAUCUACUAGAUGUUUUUCACUUUAGGUGUUUCUUACUCCUCUCAUAAUUUUUUCCUUUCAUAAUUUAGAAUAUUUAUAGAAAUAUUUCCACUGACUUUCCUUAUUCUAUAACGAAUUUAAUUACAAUCACCUAAAAUUAGAAAAUAUUCAUAACUUUAUGAUAUUCUAAAUAGGAAUUUAAGACACCUUCCUAACACAUAAUCAUUUAAAUUUAUUUUUUUCACACAUUAUACAUUUUAAUUUUUCAAUAACAAUUUCCACACAAAUAAUUAUUUUUAGAUUUUUCUUUUUAAAUUUUAACAACAUUAAUAAUUUAAUAUUUCAUCCAAAUAAAAAAUAGUGAAAUUAAGAAAAAUUAAAAGAAAGAUAAAUAAAUAAACUAGUCACAUAAUAUAUAAUAGUUUUUCAUAAAAAUUGUGAAUUAAUAAUCCAACCAGAGCUCUGGGCCCACAUGUUAUAUAUACUGAGAAUCCACAUGUUAUAAUGAGAAAAAAAAAUGGAUUUAAAAUUUAAAAUUAUUUGAACAUGUUUCUUCUAACUCGUUGUAUAUAUUUUCCUUAUUUAUAUAAAGAUUAAUUAUUUUAAUUAAUUUUGAUAAUAUUUGAUUUUGUUUUUCAAUGAUAAACGAAAUAUGAUCAAAUGAAUAAACCACUGAAGUAUACUAUGCAUUUUAUAUAAAGUUUUUUUAUAUUAGUACCCAUGUGAACUGAUCAUAAGAAACUGGGUACCAUCAAAACUGUACAUCUGGAUACUGAGGAUCAGCAGAACAGAUGUAAUAAAUGUUCAUAUUUUCUAUAAUGUCACAUGGGACUUAGGAUGGUUCUUGGUAGAUAAGUUAAUUGACUUGGAAUCUUAACCUAAUCUAUAAUUUAAAAAAUGGAUAAAUUAAUUAAUUUAAGAAUAGUAACGGUCCAUAUUUUGUCAGGCCACAUGGGAGUUAGAAUAGUUUAAAGUGAACAUGUGACCUGAUGUAUAAUAUAAAGUGGAAAACUUGUCCAUCGAAUCCAUAAAUUAUAUUAUAAUGGUCUACUGUAAUAUGCUUGACUUGGCAUCCCUUAUAGGGCUAUGCCAUGGGAGAAAAGUCUUCCCUUUGUAAAAGAAGGGUUGUGCAACAAAUGAAUGUUGUGUCUUUGCUUUUUGAACUGAUUUUUAUUGGCCCAACCCGACCUAACUCAGCCAUCAUAUAAUCAAUUUGAGCUCAACCUAAGUUAAAUAAUUUCAAUUCGAGUUGAGUACAUCAGAUUGGAAGUCAGGUUGGGUCAUCCUUUAGGUUGAUGUAUUUCAAGGUCGCACUGAGCUUGGGUUGGCCAACUUGCCGAGUUGCAACCCUAUAUAAAUUGUUUUACAAAAAUCGCAAUUUUGACGAUUUAUACUUUAUUUGAUAACUGUUUUUAAAAACAUUUUUAAAAAAAUAGUUUUUAAGAACAGUUUUAAAAAAUUGUUCUAUGAUAUUUUUUAAAACAAAAGUUUAUUUGGAAACUUAAAAUUGUUUUUAAUCUAUUUUUAAUAUUUUUCAAUGUGUUUUAAAAAUUUUUUUUAUAUCCAUAGCUUUAUUUUUAAUCAUUAGAUAUAUAUAUAUGUAUAUAUAUAUAUAUAUAUAUAUAUAUAUAAUUUUUAAAAAUAACUCUAAAAAAAAAAUUGAAAAUAAUUAAAAGAUAUUAUCUAAAAACACCAUAUUUUUUAUUUUUUAUUAUCUAUUUUCUAAUAAUAGAAAAUAGAAAAUGGUUUUUUAUUAUUAAAUGAAUUUUAAAAUUCUUUUAUUCUAAAAACCAAAAAUUGUUCUUGAAAACAAUUGCAGGGCAUUAAUGCAAAGUCCAAGGCAUUAAUGCAAAGUCGCCCAACCAUCCCCUUCCAUUCCUUCAUACCUAAUGAAAUCCAAAUAAAUCACCCUUUUUUCAUUCAUGCUUCCAACGUCUUUUCUAAUAUUUAAAAUUGAUAAAUAUAAAAUCUCUCCAUAUGAUAUUGCCCACUUUGUCAUAGAAUUGAGAAUAAUGAUAAAUCACAAUUUUCACACAAAUGAAAGUUGUAUACUUUUUUUUUAUAAGGAAUAAUAUUGUGUAAGGAAGUAUUAAUAUAAACAUAUUAAAGGAAAAACACGAAAAAUAAAACAAAUCAUAUAAAAGAUAUAUAAGGUUUAUCUUCACUUUGAAUCAUGAAUCCUUUCGAUCUAUUAGAUGUUUUCACUUUGGGUGUUUUUUUCUCCUCUCAUAAUUUUUUUUCUUUAUAAUUUAGAAUAUUUAUAAAGAUAUUUAUACUAAUUUUCCUUAUUUUAUAAGAAAUUUAAUUACAAUCACAUCUAAAGUUAGAAAAUAUUCAUAACUUUAUGAUAUUCUAAAUAGGAAUUUAAGACACCUUCCUAACAAAUAAUUAUUUAAAUUUAUUUUUUUCACACAUUAUACAUUUCAAAUUUUCAAUAAAAAUUUCCACAUAAAUAAUUAUUUUUAGAUUUCUCUUUUUAAAUUUUAACAACAUUAAUAAUUGAAUAUUUCAUCCAAAUAAAAAAUAGUGAAAUUAAGAAAAAUUAAAAUAAAGAUAAAUAAAUAAAUUAGUCUCAUAAAUAUAUAAUAAUUUUUCAUAAAAAAUUAUGAAUUAAUAAUCCAACCAAAGCUCUGGGCCCAUAUGUUAUAUAUAUUGAGAAUCCAUAUGUUAUAAUGAGAAAUAAAAAAUAAAAAAAUGGAUUUAAAAUUUAAAAUUAUUUCAACAUGUUUCUUCAAACUCAUUGUAUAUAUUUUCCUUAUUUAUAUAAAGAUUAAAUAAUUCAAAAAUAUACAAGUAUUUUAAUUAGUUUUGAUAAUAUUUGAUUUUGUUUUACAAUAAUAAACGAAAUAUGCUCAAAUGAAUGAACCAUUGAAGCAUACUAUGCAUUUUAUAUAAAGUUUUUUUAUAUUAGUACCCAUGUGAACUGAUUAUAAGAAACUGGGGACUAUCAAAACUGUACAUCUGGAUACUGAGGAUCAGCAGAACAGAUAUAAUAAAAAAUGUUCAUAUUUUCUAUAGUGUCACAUGGGACUUAGAAUGGUUCUUGGUACAUACGUUAAUUGAUUUGGAAUCUUAAUUAACCUAAUCUAUAAUUAAAAAAUGGAUAAAUUAAUUAAUUUAAGAAUAGUAACGGUCCAUUUUUUGUCGGGCCACAUGUAGCCCUUACCUGAUAUAUAAUAUAAAGUGGACAAGUUGGAGCAUGCUUCCCAGAGUGAUUUAAAAAUUGUUGAAAAUUAAUGUAGAUGGCACCACAUUUUAUAUUAUUGAAUACAUCCACAACCUUUAAUUACAACUGGCAUGGCCUGGCAUGACUUGUCCACGGAAUCCAUAUUAUUAAUCAAUACCCAUGUGACCUGGCCUAUCCCAUCCACCAUAAAGAUAUCUCUUACUUUGUUCUCUAUUCUCUCACAAUUCCCUCAGCUUCUCAUCCUGUACGUGCUGUAUUUUCUUGGCUUUCUGCUACUUUGAGUUGUUCCGAAAUGGCUGAUCAAAUUCCAUUCGGUGUUGUGGAGCACAUUUUGACCAAGUUGGGGUCCAAGGCGUUUCAAGAAAUUGGAUCCAUGUAUGGUGUUCCAAAGGAGAUGACCAAGCUCAAUGGGAAACUGGGCACCAUCAAGGCUGUGCUUUUGGAUGCUGAGGAGAAGCAGCAACAGCAGAGCAAUCGUGCAGUCAAAGAUUGGGUCCGGAGGUUCAGAGGUGUUGUUUAUGACGCAGAUGACUUGGUGGAUGACUAUGCAACCCAUUAUCUUCAGCGAGGAGGAUUGGGAAGGCAGGUCAGUGACUUCUUCUCAUCUGAAAAUCAAGUUGCUUUUCGUUUAAACAUGAGUCAUAGACUCGAAGAUAUCAAAGAAAGGAUAGAUGAUAUUGCAAAAGAAAUCCCCAUGUUAAAUCUGACUCCACGGGACAUAGUACUACACACACGGGUGGAGAAUAGUGGGAGAGACACCCAUUCAUUCGUGUUAAAAUCUGAAAUGGUAGGAAGAGAAGAAAACAAAGAGGAGAUAAUAGGGAAGUUAUUGUCGUCCAAGGGUGAAGAAAAGCUUUCGGUUGUUGCCAUUGUAGGCAUUGGGGGGUUGGGUAAGACCACCCUUGCUCAAUUGGUAUACAAUGAUGAAAGAGUGGUCAAUCAUUUUGAGUUUAAGAUAUGGGCUUGCAUUUCUGAUGAUUCUGGUGAUGGUUUUGAUGUUAAUAUGUGGAUCAAAAAAAUUUUAAAAUCUCUGAAUGAUGGGGGUGCUGAAAGUCUGGAGACUAUGAAAACUAAGCUUCAUGAAAAAAUAAGUCAAAAGAGGUACUUGCUAGUCCUCGAUGAUGUUUGGAAUCAAAAUCCUCAACAAUGGGAUCACGUGAGAACUUUAUUAAUGGUUGGUGCUAUAGGUAGUAAAAUUGUAGUAACCACCAGAAAACCUAGAGUUGCAUCACUCAUGGGAGAUUAUUUUCCAAUUAAUUUGAAAGGUCUUGAUGAAAACGAUUCUUGGAGGUUGUUUUCAAAAAUCACAUUUAAAGAUGGAGAGAAGGAUGUGCAUACAAACAUCACCCAAAUUGGAAAAGAAAUUGCAAAAAUGUGUAAGGGAGUUCCUCUCAUUAUUAAGUCUUUAGCAAUGAUAUUGCGGUCUAAAAGAGAACCGGGGCAGUGGUUGUCUAUUAGAAACAAUAAAAAUUUGCUGUCACUCGGAGAUGAAAAUGAGAAUGUUGUAGGGGUGCUGAAAUUAAGUUAUGAUAAUUUGCCAACUCAUUUGAGACAAUGUUUUACAUAUUGUGCUUUAUUUCCAAAAGACUAUGAGAUUGAGAAAAAGUUGGUGGUACAACUAUGGAUAGCACAAGGUUAUAUUCAAUCUUCAAAUGAUAAUAAUGAGCAAUUAGAGGAUAUAGGGGAUCAAUAUUUUGAGGAAUUAUUGUCAAGGUCAUUGUUGGAAGAGGUUGAAGAUGAUUUUGCUAAUACAGUAAUGUAUAAAAUGCAUGACCUUAUACAUGAUCUUGCACAAUCAAUUGUAGGAUCUGAGAUCCUUGUUUUAAGAAGUGAUGUAAAUAAUAUUCCAAAAGAAGCUCAUCAUGUAUCAUUGUUUGAAGAGAUAAAUCUUAUGAUCAAGGCUCUAAAGGGAAAACCCAUAAGAACCUUUCUUUGUAAAUAUUCUUAUGAAGAUAGUACAAUUGUAAAUUCAUUUUUUUCGAGUUUUAUGUGUCUACGUGCGUUGAGUUUAGAUGAUAUGGAUAUAGAGAAGGUGCCAAAGUGUUUAAGUAAAUUGAGUCAUUUAAGGUAUCUUGAUCUUUCCUACAACAAUUUCGAGGUACUUCCAAAUGCUAUUACAAGGUUAAAGAAUUUGCAAACACUAAAACUCACAAGCUGUCGAAGAUUAAAAAGAAUUCCAGACAAUACAGGAGAAUUGAUCAAUCUUAGACACUUGGAGAAUGAUAGCUGUUAUAACUUGGCUCAUAUGCCACAUGGAAUCGGCAAGUUGACUUUACUUCAAAGUCUACCAUUGUUUGUGGUUGGGAAUGACAUAGGGUUAAGGAAUCACAAAAUUGGUAGCUUGAGUGAAUUGAAAGGCCUUAACCAACUAAGAGGAGGGUUAUGCAUAAGUAAUCUUCAAAACGUGAGGGAUGUUGAACUGGUAUCCAGGGGGGGAAUUUUGAAAGAAAAACAAUAUCUUCAGUCCUUGAGAUUGGAAUGGAAUCGGUGGGGCCAAGAUGGGGGGGAUGAGGGUGAUCAGUCAGUGAUGGAAGGCCUUCAACCACACCAACAUCUAAAGGAUAUCUUUAUAGACGGGUAUGGAGGUACGGAGUUUCCAAGUUGGAUGAUGAAUAGCCUGCUUCCUAACCUAAUUAAAAUUGAAAUUUGGGGAUGUUCAAGAUGCAAAAUUCUGCCACCCUUUUCUCAACUCCCUUCUCUCAAGUCUUUGGGGCUUCAUGAUAUGAAAGAAGUGGUGGAGUUAAAGGAGGGUUCAUUAACAACGCCACUCUUCCCAUCUCUUGAAUCGCUCGAACUCUCUUUCAUGCCAAAGUUGAAGGAAUUGUGGAGGAUGGACUUACUAGCAGAGGAAGGUCCUUCCUUUUCUCAUCUUUCUCAAUUAAAGAUCAGUUAUUGCCAUAACUUGGCAUCCUUGGAACUGCAUUCUUCUCCUUCUCUUUCUCAAUUAGAGAUCCAUUAUUGCCCAAACUUGACAUCCUUGGAACUGCCGUCAUCUCUUUGUCUUUCUAAUUUAUAUAUCGGAUAUUGCCCUAACUUGGCAUCCUUGGAACUGCAUUCUUCUCCUUGUCUUUCUCGAUUAGAAAUCAGGGAAUGCCCUAACUUGGCAUCCUUCAAAGUGGCUCCAUUACCUUAUCUUGAGACACUAUCUCUGUUCACAGUUAGAUAUGGUGUGAUAUGGCAGAUAAUGUCUGUCUCUGCUUCAUUGAAGUUUCUGUAUAUUGAAAGCAUAGAUGAUAUGAUAUCUCUCCCGAAGGAGCUACUUCAACAUGUUUCUGGCUUGGUAACGUUACAGAUCCGUGAGUGUCCUAACUUGCAAUCCUUGGAACUGCCCUCAUCUCCUUCUCUUUCUGAAUUAAGGAUCAUAAAUUGCCCUAACUUGGCAUCCUUCAAUGUGGCAUCAUUACCUCGUCUUGAGAAACUAAGCCUGCGUGGAGUCAGAGCAGAGGUACUGAGGCAGUUAAUAUUUGUCUCUGCUUCUUCUUCAUUGAAGUCUCUGCGUAUACGGGAGAUUGAUGGUAUGAUAUCUCUCCCAGAGGAGCCGCUUCAAUAUGUUUCCACUCUCGAAACUCUCUACAUUGUUAAGUGCUCUGGUUUGGCAACAUUACUACACUGGAUGGGCAGCCUUUCCUCGCUUACGGAACUUAUUAUUUAUGACUGCUCUGAAUUGACAUCACUGCCAGAAGAGAUCUGUUCCCUUAAAAAACUGCAGAAAUUUUAUUUCUGUGAUUAUCCACACCUAGAGAAAAGAUACAACAAGGAAACAGGUAAAGACCGGGCCAAGAUUGAUCAUAUCCCACGUAUUAAUUUCCAAAGUGAUCGAGUUAUGGAAUAUAAGGUCCGAAAUCCCUAACCUUUCUUCCCAUUUUUAUUAUUUAAGAAUCAAAAUGCUAUGUUUUCAUUUUAUUAUUAUGUUUUCACUGUAUCCUUGGCACCUCAUAUGUUUGUUUUUACUGCUCACAUUAAUAAUUUUGAAAUUUUUUUCCAGCUUGGAUGUGCUUUCCGAUGAUGUGCACUAAACUAACCAUUUUACUUGGAGUUGUACAUUCUAAGAGUUUGAGGAAAUACUGAGGUCUGAUAUGAUAACUCUAAAUCUUAAACGUUGUUUUGUGUUUGGAACGUUACUACACUUGAUACAUACCCUCACCUCACUUACAGAGCUUGGAAAUCGUGGCUGCCUUGAAUCGACGUCACUGUCAGAAUAUAUGUUCCCUCAAAAACCUGCAGACACUAAAUAAUCUGCAUCUGUUCACAGAAAGAUGCUGAAAGGAAAGGUGAAGACCAACCCAAGAUUGCUCAUAUGCCACAAAUUGAUAUCAUACAUCCAUGAAGAUUGAACUGAUACACAAUGCCUUUCAGGUCCGAAAUCCCUAACUUUUCUUCUCAUUUUCUAUGACUUCAUUUUCAUUAUCUUACUUUUAAAAUGCUCUGUUUUCAUUUGUUUUGGUAGUUCUUUGUAUUUGUGCCUUGUUUGAUUAAAUGCUUACUUCAAUUAAGUUUGAAAAUUUUUACAUCUUCAAAUUAUUUUAUUGUAAGUGUUUUGCAUUCUAAGAAUUUGAGGAAAUACUGAGCUCUAAUAUAACUAGUAGAGUCCACCAUUCCUAAGAAGCUUACCAUUGCCUAAUGCCCAAAGGAUCCCGAAAGGAGACAACUUUGGAUUGGCUUGAAGAUUUCACAUGGUCCAAAAAUUUGUAUUUACUAGACGCCUGAUACAAAAAGUAGUUUAAAUUUAGCCAUUAAUAAUAUAACUUUUUUAUUAGAGAAAUAAUUGCCAAACAAAUGCAAAAUAGAAAAUGGUGUUAAUGAAUUCAGUACUUCAUCUAUGUUGCAGUUUAGUAGCUUUUGUUAGAUAACGAGUAUGGGGUUGGGUUUAUCUGGUUACCAUUCCAAAUAUUCUUAAAAAAAUCAUCAAGGCUUUGUUUGGUUUCUUGAAAAUUUGAGGGAAAAAAUAGAGAGAAAAAGUGGAAGGAAAAAAAAAAGUGGAAGUCAAUAACUUGGCAUCCUUGGAACUGCAUUCUUCUCCUUGUCUUUCUCGAUUAGAAAUCAGGGAAUGCCCUAACUUGGCAUCCUUCAAAGUGGCUCCAUUACCUUAUCUUGAGACACUAUCUCUGUUCACAGUUAGAUAUGGUGUGAUAUGGCAGAUAAUGUCUGUCUCUGCUUCGUUGAAGUCUCUGUAUAUUGGAAGCAUAGAUGAUAUGAUAUCUCUCCAGAAGGAUCUACUUCAACAUGUUUCUGGCUUGGUAACGUUACAGAUCCGUGAGUGUCCUAACUUGCAAUCCUUGGAACUGCCCUCAUCUCCUUCUCUUUCUGAAUUAAGGAUCAUAAAUUGCCCUAACUUGGCAUCCUUCAAUGUGGCAUCAUUACCUCGUCUUGAGAAACUAAGCCUGCGUGGAGUCAGAGCAGAGGUACUGAGGCAGUUCAUGUUUGUCUCUGCUUCUUCUUCAUUGAAGUCUCUGCGUAUACGGGAGAUUGAUGGUAUGAUAUCUCUCCCAGAGGAGCCGCUUCAAUAUGUUUCCACUCUCGAAACUCUCUACAUUGUUAAGUGCUCUGGUUUGGCAACAUUACUACACUGGAUGGGCAGCCUUUCCUCGCUUACGGAACUUAUUAUUUAUGACUGCUCUGAAUUGACAUCACUGCCAGAAGAGAUCUAUUCCCUUAAAAAACUGCAGAAAUUUUAUUUCUGUGAUUAUCCAGACCUAGAGGAAAGAUACAACAAGGAAACAGGUAAAGACCGGGCCAAGAUUGCUCAUAUCCCACAUGUUCGUUUCAACAGUGAUUUGGAUAUGUAUGGGAAGGUAGGUCCGAAAUCCCUAACCUUUCUUCCCAUUUUUAUUAUUUAAGAAUCAAAAUGCUAUGUUUUCAUUUUGUCUCUGGUAAUUCUUUUAUGUUGGCACCUCAUAUGUUUGUUUAAAUGCUCACAUCAAUAACUUUUUGAAAAAUUUUCCAGAUUUGCUGAUGCUGUGUACUAAACUAAUCAUUUUACUUGCAGUUGUACAUUCUAAGAGUUUGAGGAAAUACUGAGGUCUGGUAUGAUAACUCUCAAUCCUUGGAACUGCAUUCAUCUCCUUCUCUUUCUCGAUUAACGAUCCAUGAUUGCCCAAACUUGGCAUCAUUACCUCGUCUUGAGGAACUAAGCCUGCGUGGAGUCAGAGCAGAGGUACCGAGGCAGUUCAUGUUUGUCUCUGCUUCUUCUUCAUUGAAGUCUUUGCAUAUACGGAAGAUUGAUGGUAUGAUAUCUCUCCCAGAGGAGCCGCUUCAAUAUGUUUCCACUCUCGAAACUCUACAUUGUUAAGUGCUCUGGCUUGGCAACAUUACUACACUGGAUGGGCAGCCCUUCCUCGCUUACGGAACUUAUUAUUUAUGACUGCUCUGAAUUGACAUCACUGCCAGAAGAGAUCUAUUCCCUUAAAAAACUGCAGAAAUUUUAUUUCUGUGAUUAUCCAGACCUGGAGGAAAGAUACAAGAAGGAAACAGGUAAAGACCGGGCCAAGAUUGCUCAUAUCCCACGUGUUCGUUUCAAGUGUGAUUUCAAAUUGAAAUGGAAGGUAGGUCCGAAAUCCCCAACCUUUCUUCCCAUUUUUAUUAUUUAAGAAUCAAAAUGCUAUGUUUUCAUUUUAUUAUUAUGUUUUCAUUGUAUCCCUGGCACCUCAUAUGUUUGUUUUUACUGCUCACAUUAAUAAUUUUGAAAUUUUUUUCCAGCUUGGAUGCGCUUUCCGAUGAUGUGCACUAAACUAACCAUUUUACUUGGAGUUGUACAUUCUUAGAGUUUGAGGAAAUACUGAGGUCUGAUAUGAUAACUCUCAAUCUUAAAUGUUGUUUUGUGUUUGGAACGUUACUACACUUGAUACAUACCCUCACCUCACCUCACUUACAGACCCAAGAAUACAUAGGGCCACACUUGGUGAAGGUUUCAUCAGUAAGGAGAACCAUUUCAAGUAUGAAAUCCUCCCUUCUCAUUUUCUGAUGACUUCAUUUUUAUUCAAUAUCCAUUUGAAAUUAUUUAAGUUCAUUUUCUUUAGAUAUUAUAUUUUCUUGCUUGCUCAAUAAUUUCAUUUAAGUAAGUUUUUUGGAUAUCACAUUUUCUUUGGGGUUUUUUUUCUUUUUAGAAUAAUUUCAAAAUGUCAUUUUUAACUAUUCACAAAAUUUGAUCAUAGUUGAGUGAUUAAAAUUCAAGUUUAUUCUUAUUAUCAUUAGUAGUUAUUUGAUAUGUUCGUUUGCUAAUACAAAAAUAAGACUAACAAGUAAUGUGCAUAGAGUUUGUAGAAGAGAAGAAAGAUUUGAUCCAAGAUAUUCCUAAAGAUCGGAAAAUUUCAAAGCCACCCAAGAUCGCACAGGUUGAAUUCGGAUUCAUCCAGUUUACAAUCCAUUAAUUCUACUUAUAUCAUCUUUGUUAUGUUACAAUUUGCCUUUACUUGUUAUGCAGCCUACCUUAAUAAUUUGGGGAGACCAAGAUAAGGUAUUCCUAGUAGAACUGGCUCACAAAUUGAAAAGGUAAACUUGUAUCACCUGCCUACAUGCCUACAACAAUACAAACACUAGCUCAUGUCUUUCUCACUAUUGAAAUUGUUAUUGCGUGCAGGCAUUUCAGGCGAGGAGACCCAACUUGUGAUCAUAGAGCAUACUUUUAUCAUAGAGAAGCCCAAGGAAAUAUUUAAGCACUUGAAAUCAUUUCUCAUUGAUUUGCUUCCACCUCCCAAGCAACACCUAGAACCACUCCCACCAUGACGAAGUUAAAAGGUACUAAUGCAACAUUCUCAAUAUAUUAGAAUAUAUCGAAGGAAGGGUGGCCACAUAUGAAGACCCUAUUCCAAGGUCAAAUUUUAGAUUUUUGUGUUUUUCCUAUCACUAUUCCUAUACUAUUACUAGUGCACCUUAUUUGUCAAGAUGAUUAAAAGGGAAUUCCCUAGGAUAAUUAGUGUCUCAAGUGAUCUUGAGGUUCAUAAAUUUUUGGUUUCCACAAGAUAGGUGCCAACUAUUUUUUUUUUUUUUUUUUUUACACCCAUGCAAUAUUCCAGUCAUCUAUUAACAAGGGCUAAAAUUUCUUGUAGAGAAUAGAAUAAAGAACUAAAUUACAUGAAAAUAGGACAUUAUUAUUCUAUUUACAAGUAAGGGCCAAAAAUUGUUGAGGGCCAUCAAGCACAUUGUUCCUAAAAUAAUAACAUCCAUGUUGUUGAGCAAAAGUUUUUUAUAUUGGCACCUCAGAUGUUUGUUUAAAUGCUCACAUCAAUAACUUUGAAAAUAUUUUCUAGAUUUUUGAAAAAUUGUAAUGUUGUGCACUAAACUAAUCAUUUUACUUGGAGUUCUACAUUCUAAGAGUUUGAGAAAAAACUGUCUGAUAUGACAACUCUCAAUCUUAAAUGUUGUUUUGUGUUUGGAAUAUUACUGCACUUGAUAGAUACCCUCACCUCUCUUACAGAACUUGGAAUUCAUGGCUACCCUGAAUUGACAUCCCUGGCAGAAGAUAUGUUCCCUCAAAAGCCUGUAGACACUAAAACAAUUUGCAUAUGUUCACACUUAGAGGAAAGAUGCUGAAAGGAAAAGUGAAGACUAAGCGAAGAUUGCUUAUAUCCCACAAAUUGAUAUCAUACAUCCAUGAAGAUUGAACUGAUACAAAAUGCCUUUCAGGUUCGAAAUCCCUAACUUUUCUUCUUAUUUUCUAUGACUUCAUUUUUAUUAUCUUACAUUCAAAAAUCCUAUGUUUUCAUUUGUUUUGGUAGUUCUUUUUAUUUGCACCUUAUUUGUUUUAUUAAAUGCUUACUCCAGUAAGUUUAAAAAUUUUUACAUCUUCAAAUCAUUUUGCUUGAGUGUUUUGCAUUCUAAGAGUUUGAGGAAAUAUUGAACUCUAAUAUAAAUAGUAUUGGUCAUAGAGUCUUCCUUUCUUAAGAAGCUUACCAUUAACCUAAUGGCCAAAGGAUCCCAAAAGGAAACAACUUUGGGUUGGCUUGAAGAUUUCACAUGGUCCAAACAUUCAUAUUUACUAGAUGCCUGAUAUAAAAUAAAUUUUGCUCUCUUUUCAAUUUAGCCAUUGAUGUAGUCUAAAUGUUUUAUUAGAGCAAUAAUUGUCCAGUAAAUGCAAAAUAGAGGAUGGUGUUAAUGAAUUCAGUACUUCAUCUAUGUUGUAGACUUGUAGUUUAGCAGCUUCUGUUGAUAAUGAGUGUGAGGUUGGCUUUAUCAUGUCACUGUUCCAAAUAUUCUUAAAAAAAAUCAUUUAAGCUCUAUUAGGUUCUUAGAAAAUUUAAGGGAAAAUGUGAGGAAAACAAAAUAGAGAAGAAAAGUGGAAGGAAAAAAAAGUGAAAGUCAAUGAAUUAUUUUUGUAUGCUACUUCAAACUCACUUCACUUUUUUUAACUCUUCAAUAUAAAGAUUCAAUCAUUUGAAAAAUGUGUAAAUUUCUAAUUAAUUUUAAUUAUAUUUGAUUUUCUUUGGAAUUCUCAUUUCUUCUCAUUUUCUUAUGACUUCAUUUUUAUUCAAUAUCUAUAUGAAAUUAUUUAUGUUCAUUUUCUUUAGAUAUUACAUUUUUUUGCUUUCUCAAUAAUUUCAUUCAAGUUCUUUUGGAUAUCACAUUUUCUUUGGUGUUUUUUUUAGAAUAAUUCAAAAUGUCUUUUUUAACGGUUCACAAAAUUUGAUCAUAGUUGAGUGAUUAAAAUUCAAGUUUAUUAUUAUUAUUAUUAUUAUUAUUAUUAUUAUUAUUAUUAUUAUUAUUGGCUAUUUGAUAUAUUUGUUUUCUUAUACAGAUAAAAGACUGGCAGCUAAUGUGCAUAGAAUUUGUAGAAGAGAAUAAAGAUUUGAUCUAAGUUAUUUCUAAUAGGUUGAGGAAUUCAUUCUUGUAAAAUUUGAGUGUUAAAGCCUUCAAGAGGUUUGAAUCUUGAAGAAAUUAUGUAAGAGCCCAUUGGAGCCAGAAUCCAAGUGUAAAGGAGAUUGGAAGCUUGGUUGAAGCUUCAAGUUAGUGAAACCCUCACUCGGUUAGGAGAUUGAGGAGAGUGGACGUAGGCAAGGAAAUGUCGAACCACUAUAAAAUCCAAGUUUAAAUUCUCUAACUCUAUCUCUUUAUUUUUUUUUAUUAUAUUGUACUUGAAUUUGUUGUGUUGAAAAAGUUUUUGAAAAACCCAAUUCACCCUCCUCUUAGGUGUUUUUCUCAUUUAAGCAUAGCCUUUAUUUUCUCACACUUGAAAUCCUUUCUCAUUAAUUUGCUUCCACCUCAUAAGCAACCCUCGAAACCACUUACACCAUGACAAGGUGAAAAGAAACUAAUGCUGCAUUCUCAAUAUAUAAGAAGAUAUCAAAGGAAGGUUGGCCACAUAUAAGGACCCUGUUUCUAAGGUAGAAUUUUAGAUUUUUGUGUUUUUCCUAUCACUACUCCUAUACUAUUACCAGUGCACCUUAUUUGUCAAGAUGAUUAAAAAGGAAUUCCCUAGGAUAACUAGUGUCUCAAGUGAUCUUGAGGUUCAUAAAUUUUUGGUUUCCACAAGAUAGGUGCCAACUAUUUUUUUUUUUUUUACACCCAUGCAAUAUUCCAGUCAUCUAUUAACAAGGGCUAAAAUUUCUUGUAGAGAAUAGAAUAAAGAACUAAAUUACAUGAAAAUAGGACAUUGUUAUUCUAUUUACAAGUAAGGGCCAAAAAUUGUUGAGGGUCAUCAAGUACAUUGUUCCUAAAAUAAUAGCAUCCAUGAAGAUUGAACUGAUACGAAAUGCCUUUCGAGUUUGAAAUCCCUAAAUUUUCUUCUUAUUUUCUAUGACUUCAUUUUUAUUAUCUUACAUUCAAAAAUCCUCUGUUUUCAUUUGUUUUGGUAGUUCUUUUUAUUUGCACCUUAUUUGUUUUAUUAUACUCCAGUAAGUUUGAAAAUUUUUACAUCUUCAAAUCAUUUUGCUUGAGUGUUUUGCAUUCUAAGAGUUUGAGGAAAUAUUGAGCUCUAAUAUAAAUAGUAUUGGUCAUAGAGUCUUCCUUUCUUAAGAAGCUUACCAUUGACCUAAUGGCCAAAGGAUCCCAAAAGAAAACGACUUUGGAUUGGCUUGAAAAUUUCACAUGGUCCAAACAUUCAUAUUUACUAGAUGCCAGAUACAAAAGAAAUUUUGCUCUCUUUUUAAUUUAGCCAUUGAUGUAGUCUAAAUGUUUUAUUAGAGCAAUAAUUGUCCACUAAAUGCAAAAUAGAGAAUGGUGUUAAUGAAUUCAGUACUUCAUCUAUGUUGUAGACUUGUAGUUUAGCAGCUUCUGUUGAUAAUGAGUGUGGGGUUGGCUUUAUCAUGUUACUGUUCCAAAUAUUCUUAAAAAAAAUCAUUUAAGCUUUGUUUGGUUCUUAGAAAAUUUGAGGGAAAAUGUGAGGAAAACAAAAUAGAGAGGAAAAGUGGAAGGAAAAAAAAGUGAAAGUCAAUGAAUUAUUUUUGUAUGCUACUUCAAACUCACUUCACUUUUUUUAACUCUUCAAUAUAAAGAUUAAAUCAUUUGAAAAAUGUGUAAAUUUCUAAUUAAUUUUAAAUAUAUUUGAUUUUCUUUGGUAUUUUCCAAAAGAUAAUCAAAUAUGAGAAAAUCAUUUUCCUUAACAUUUUUUUUUUCUUAGUACUUUUAGUGAACCAAACAUAACCUAAAUGUUUUAGUUUAGUAGUUUCAUCAAAUUAGAUAGACAACCUCACAUCUCUUAGUGAGCUCAGGUGCUAUGUCAAUUAAUGCUUUGUCUCUACUUCUUCAUUGAAGUCUCUAUUUAUUGGAUGCACAGAUGAUAUGAUCCAAACUCAAAUUGAACACUACUCUUGUUUUGCAACAUUACUGCACUCGAAAGACAACUUCAACUCACUUAUAGACCUUCUUAUUGGUGAUUGCACUAAAUCGACACCACUUUGGAAGAGAUGUGUUCCACAUAGAAAAUAUUUCAUUAUAUGCACCUACUCGCAAGAUACCAAAGGGAAACAAGUGAAUACUUGCCUAGGAAUACAAAGGCCAUACUUAGUGAAGGUUCCAUCAAUAAGGAGAACCAUUUCAAGUAUGGAAUUCUCAUUUAUUCUCAUUUUCUUAUGGCUUCAUUUUUAUUCAAUAUCUAUAUGAAAUUAUUUAUGUUCAUUUUCUUUAGAUAUCACAUUUUUUUGUUUUCUCAAUAAUUUCAUUCAAGUUCUUUGGAUAUCACAUUUUGUUUGGUGUUUUUUUUAGAAUAAUUCAAAAUGUCUUUUUUAACGAUUCACAAAAUUUGAUCACAGUUGAGUGAUUAAAAUUCAAGUUUAUUAUUAUUAUUAUUAUUGGUUAUUUGAUAUAUUUGUUUUCUAAUACAGACAAAAUACUAGCAGCUAAUGUGCAUAGAAUUUGUAGAUAGAAUUUGUAGAAGAGAAUAAAAAUUUGAUCUAAGCUAUUCCUAAAGACCAUAAACUUUUAGAGCUACCCAAGAUCUAACAGGUUAAAUUUUGAUUCACUUAGUUUACAAUCCACUAAUUAUCCUUAUGUCAUUUUUGUUAUGUUACAAAUUGCCUUUACUUGUUAUGCAACCUAUCUUAAUAAUUUGGGAAGACCAAGAUAACAUCUUCCUAGUAGAACUGGCUCAAAAAUUGAAAAGGUACACUCAUAUCACCUAUCUACAUGCCCACAACAUUAUAAACACUAGCUCAUGUGUUCCUCACUAUUGAGAUUGUUGUUGCAUGCAGGCAUUUUGGGCGAGGAGGCCCGACUUGUGAUCAUCAAUAACACAAGGCAUGCUUUUAUACAGAGAAUCCCAAAUAAACAUUUAAGCACUUUGUUAGCCCAAGGGUUCUCCUAAUCAGGUUUUGAUGAUAACAAACCAUGGUUAAGUGACUAAUUGGUUUGAAUGAUAAAGAAUCUUAGGUAUAAAUUUGGAAAUUCAUCAAAUGAUCAAAUGGAUACAAGAUCGAGACUUUUGGAAGACUUUUGAUCAUAGGAAACAAAUGUAAGAUGAAUGCAUGGGUGCACUUAGGUUUUACAUAUCUUUUCAUGAAUCUUUGAAAACUCGGUUUAUUCCUUAAAAUUACGAUUUCAUUAAAACCCGAGUUUUAUCAAAUGUACCUUAGGCAAAACAUUUCAAAAUUGGCAUAUUAAUUUACCUAAAGACCUUGCCUAAGUGUUAGAAAGGAAAAGAAUUGAAAAAUAUAGGUUUUCAGGGCCAAAAGGCUGAACUGAUCGAGGCACAUGCCAACCGGCUCAACCAACCAGGGAACCGGUCAAUCGGUUGCUCUUGCCCGAUCGAGAUCUGGUCGAGGAGUGUCAAAAACACUUUCUCUCAUCCAGUAACCUUCUCUUCCCAGUCGAGGUACUCUCCUUACCUCUGGUCGAGGUUCGGUCGAGGCAACGGUAACAUGCCAAAGCAUUAAAUGCUUCAACGACUAGUGAACCAAUCGACCCCCGGCUCGACCGGUUGAGGCUAUUUUUUGCUCUUUUUGGCUCCCGAGCUUAGAAACCAAUAAAUUGAGAGCUCCACUUCAUUUAUGACAUAGAGAAAACUUGCAAUCAAUUGUCUACCCACUUGUUCUUGCCUUAAAAGCUCUCAUUUAUUUCUUAGUGCAUUAAAUCCUCACUUGCAUAUCCUUUAGUACACCCUUGUGAAUCAUCCUAGCUUUGAUUUGUAUUUGAACUAUCAUUGAGGUAGAUUGAGGGAUUCAUUCUUGUAAAAAUUGAGUAUUAAAGCCUUCAAGAGGUUUGAAUCUUGAAGAGAUUAUGUAAGAGCCCAUUGGAGCCAGAAUCCAAGUGUAAAGAAGAUUGGAAGCUUUGUUGAAGCUUCAAGUUAGUGGAACCCUCACUCGAUUAGGAGAUUGAGGAGAGUGGACGUAGGCAAGGAAAUGUUGAACCACUAUAAAAUCCGAGUUUAAAUUCUCUAACUCUAUCUCUUUAUUUUUUAUUAUAUUGUGCUUGAAUUUGUUGUGUUGAAAAAGUUUUUGAAAAACCCAAUUCACCCAUUUCUUAGGUGUUUUUCUCAUUUAAGCAUAGCCUUUAUUUUCUCACUCUUGAAAUCCUUUCUCAUUAAUUUGCUUCCACCUCAUAAGAAACCGUCAAAACCACUUACACCAUGACAAGGUGAAAAGAAACUAAUGCAACAUUCUGAAUAUAUCAGAAGAUAUCAAAGGAAGGUUGGCCACAUAUGAGAACCUUGUUUCUAAGGUAGAAUUUUAGAUUUUUUUGUUUUUCUUGUCACUGUUUCUAUACCAUUACUAGUGCACCUUAUUUGUCAAGGUGAUUAAAAGGGAAUUCCCUAGGAUAACUAAUGUCUUAGAUGAUCUUAAGGUUCAUAAAUUUUUGGUUUCAACAAGAUAGGCGUCAAACCAUUUUUAUUUUUUUCUACACCCAUGCAAUAUUCCAUUCAUUUAUUAAUAAGGGCUAAAAUUUCUUGUAGAGAAUGGAAUAAAGAACUAGAUUAAAUUAAAUAAGACAUUAUUAGUCUAUUUACAAGUAAGGGCAAAAAAUUCUUGAGGGUCAUUAAGCACACUAUUCCUAAAAUAAUAACAUCCAUGUCGUCGAGCAAAAGUUUAUUGCAAUUACAUUAGCAUAUAAAACAAAACUAAUUUUUUUAUUAUUUAUGUUCACACCUUAUCCAUUUGAUAAAAUGCUUAAACAAGUAAGUUUGAAUUUUUUUUGUCUUCAAAUCAAUUUAAAUUUUACAUUCAAAAGUUGAAUUAAUUUUUUUUUUUGGAAAAUUUAACUGCACUUUAGAAGUUUGUGAUUAUUCUUUGGUCCAUCUUAAAAUGAGUUCCCGCAUUUUUCCAUUCCUGAAAUUAAAAUCACAAUAAAAAGUUUUAGAUUGACCUAAAAUUUUCUCAUGGCCUAGAAAUUCAUAUCUACUAGAUGGCUAAAGCAAAAAAACACUUCUAUCUUGUAUUUUAAGUAAUCCCUGCUUGCUAUUUGUUUAUUGAGAGCAUCAUACAAGUUGUGAUUAUAUUUCUUAAUUUUUUUAUAUGAUAAGACGGUAACUGGAUUGAGAAAGAUGCAACUUGUAGAGCAGAAAAUUUCUUGACUACUUUCCUUGUAUUUGCUUUGUGUGUAUCAACUGUUCUGUUAAUUAUUUUUUUAAAAUAUCACUAAAACAAACCUAUUAUGUCAAUGCUCUCUAUUGUUAUGUAUCAUAAUUUAGCUAUUUUUUCCCUAGAAAUCAUGCUUGUUAUUGUGUUAAUCAGUAGGUAGCAUAAGAACUAUUUUGUUCAAGUCAUUUUGUAUUGGCAUUCUUCAUGUUUUAAAAUAUUGUCAGACUAGCAAUUUUACUGCAGAUAUAAUGUUCUCAAAUCAAUGCAAAAAGGGACGUUGUGGGGCUUGGGCACAACCUUCCUUAAAUAGUUGAAUUGAGGGUUUCUAUAAACUAGGUCUCUAUAUCAACAGAUUCUACAUUUCAUCACUAUGGGGACCUUACAAUAAAUACCGCAAAAAACUUCAUUUACUACAUAGUAAGGAUAAUCCUAAGGACUUAAAAGCUUGAGUUGUCUUUUCCAUGGCAGCUUCAGAUCUCUUAAUAAGCUCCAAGUCAUUGUCUACCUUGAAUAUAAAUCACUGCUAGAAGUAUGUGCCCUCAACAUUCCCAUGUUCUCGAUAUUGACUAGAUAUUUGUUGCUAAUCCAUGAAGAAUUGAAGGGAUCUUUGAUAAUGACAUCUAUAAUGUACUUCAAGUUCAUGAUCCAAACCCUCUUCUUGCUUUCAAUAACUUCAUUUUUUUUUUAUAUUACUUUGUGGUCAAUGUUAUAAGGAUGUUGUAUUUUGUUUACCUGAUUCUCAUCCAUCAGCACACAUGAAAGGAAAAGUUUUACAUUGCUUUCCUUCCCUUUGCUCUGUGUUUGUAUAUGUUUAUGCAGCUAAUGCGAACUUCCACCAUAACUUUUUAAGUUUUUUCAUUCUUGAGUUUGGGAAACAACUGGAUUUGAUUGUAAUAUUUCUUGUAGAUAUCACCUUUCUUAAAAAGCUUGCAUUUAUUCACAUUUUCAAGAUGGCUAAGUCAUCUGAUUAUGCUUAUAACUUUUGGUUUCUAUUAAAUUCAGGUAUGAUGUUUGCAAUGCUAACCCCCUUACUCCUCUUGAAGACUACAUAAGUUUCUAGUGCUGUUACUUUAAUGGUUAUAGUCAAUGUAUCCUCUUGUUACUUCCUGCUUGCAUUCUAUAUGUUCAAGAGCUUUAUUAAAGUAAUUAUUUUAUUGAAGAUAUAAUUGUUUUCAGGUCAAAGCAAAAUUGAAUAAUGACGUGGUUUCAACAACUUCUCAAAAGUAAUUGGAAAGUAAGGAACUUUGUGGUAGUAUUCUGAUAUCACAUUGGGCCUUCAAAUUGUUGUCUUGAAUUGACAUAAAUAACAUAAUUUCUUUCCCAGUUAAGUUGCUUCAACAUGUUAUUAUGCUUCAAACUCUUUCAAUUAUGUGUUGUUUAGGUUUGGCAACAUUAGUACACUGGAUAUGUUGCCUCGAGUUACUUACACGACAUAAAAUUCAUCUUUGUUGUUAACUAGCAUCACUACCACAAGAUGAGUUCCCUCAGCAUUCUACAGACAACUAUAAUUUGGGACAAUUCUGGUUUGGCAACAUUAUCGGAGUUGAUAGGCAACCUAACAAAAACCUUUAAAUUUAUAUUUAUCCCGAACUAGCAUCACUGCUGGAAGACGUGCAUCCUUAGCACCCUAUAACCACUCAUAAUUGGAGACUGUUAUGGUUUGUAAACAUUCAACAGACUUGAUAGGUAACCUUGCACCAGUUACAGAGCUUCAAAUUCAUGGCUAUCUUGAAUUGACAUCACUUUCAAACUAGAUGGUUCAUCCAAACCUCAGUUGACACCCAUAAUUCAAGACUUCUCCAUUUUGGCAAUGAUAGCAGAUUUGAUAAGCAUCCCUACUUCACUUACAUACACUAAAAUUGAUAGCUACCUCGGAUUCACAUCAUUGUCACAAGAGAUUGGUUCCUUUAUAUCCCUGCAGACACUUGUGAUCUUUUAUCAUCCAUGUAUAUUAGAAAGACUUAAAAGGGAAAUAGAUGAAGAUAGGCCCAAUAAUCUUCAGUCCUAGAUAUUGAUAUGUGGUGAAGAUUGGACUAAUAUAGAGUUAGUUCAGGUUUGAAAUCCCAAUCUUUCUUCUCAUUUUUUAUGGUUUUGUUUUUAUCAAUAUGCUUUGUUUACAUUCUAUAUGGUAACUUUUGUAUGUAUUAGCAUAUAGAUCAAAAAGGACUUAGAUGAUUAAUUUGAAAAGUUUGCAUCCUCAAUUAAUUAGUAAUUAAAGACCAAACUAAUCAUAUUACUUUAAGUCUUGCAUUGUAAGAGUUUGGGAAAAUGUUAGGGUUGACUGAACUACUAUUUUAUAACAGAUUUUGCCUUACUCAAGAAUCUUGUGAUUAUUCCUUAGCACAAUCAUUUCUCGUGUCUAAGAAAUUCAUAUCUACUACAUGUCCAAAGAAUUUAGUAGCAUUCAAAAUUUAUGCUUUCUUUCAAGUCAGGUGUAUUGCUUGCAGUUCUAACAUGUUUCCUAUUUUGAACGUUGUAUUGUUAUUUUACUAUCAAUGUGUUAAGAGCAUUAUACUCUAUUUUCUAUAAUGUUGUUUACUUGUCAUAAGUAUUAAUUAUUUUAUUGCAAAUGUACUUGUUGCCAAGUUAAAGCAAAAGAGGAAAGUGAGGAUUUUUCAUGGACCAAUGCCUUUCUCAGUUGCUGCCACACUUGACUUCUCUCUAAGUUGUUGAAAAUUUAAAAGUGUGGUAGCAUAAAGUAUUCAGCUCAAGUGCUUUAGUGACUCACUACCCUUGAAGCUUUAGAAGUUGUCAAUACAAUUGGGGUUUCAACAUGUAACCAUUUUGGAAAUUCUAAGAAGUGUAAGUAUUAUGGUUUUACAACUUUAUUAGACUAGAUAGGCAACUUCAAAUUGCUGAAUGCCCUGAAUUAAAAUCACUACUAGAAGGAACCCAUGAGCACUCUAUAGAAACUCAUUGUAAGAGUUUGGGAAAAUGUUAGGGUUGACUGAACUACUAUUUUAUAACAGAUUUUGCCUUACUCAAGAAUCUUGUGAUUAUCCCUUGGCACAAUCAUUUCUCGUGUCUAAGAAAUUCAUAUCUACUACAUGGCCAAAGAAUUUAGUAGCAUUCAAAAUUUAUGUUUUCUUUCAAGUCAGGUGUAUUGCUUGCAAUUCUAACAUGUUUCCUAUUUUGAAUGUUGUAUUGUUAUUUUACUAUCAAUGUGUUAAGAGCAUUAUACUCUAUUUUCUAUAAUGUUGUUUACUUGUCAUAUGUAUUAAUUAUUUUAUUGCAAAUGUACUUGUUGCCAAGUUAAAGCAAAAGAGGAAAGUGAGGAUUUUUCAUGGACCAAUGCCUCUCUCAGUUGCUGCCACACUUGACUUCUCUCUAAGUUGUUGAAAAUUUAGAAGUGUGGUAGCAUAAAGUAUUCAGCUCAAGUGCUUUAGUGCCUCACUACCCUUGAAGCUUUAGAAGUUGUCAAUACAAUUGGGGUUUUAACAUGUAACCAUUUUGGAAAUUCUAAGAAGUGUAAGUAUUAUGGUUUUACAACUUUAUUAGACUAGAUAGGCAACUUCAAAUUGUUGAAUGCCUUGAAUUAAAAUCACUACUAGAAGGAACCCAUGAGCACUCUAUAGAAACUCAUUGUAAGAGUUUGGGAAAAUGUUAGGGUUGAUUGAACUACUAUUUUAUAACAGAUUUUGCCUUACUCAAGAAUCUUGUGAUUAUCCCUUAGCACAAUCAUUUCUCGUGUCUAAGAAAUUCAUAUCUACUACAUGGCCAAAGAAUUUAGUAGCAUUCAAAAUUUAUGUUUUCUUUCAAGUCAGGUGUAUUGCUUGCAAUUCUAACAUGUUUCCUAUUUUGAACGUUGUAUUGUUAUUUUACUAUCAAUGUGUUAAGAGCAUUAUACUUUAUUUUCUAUAAUGUUGUUUACUUGUCAUAUGUAUUAAUUAUUUUAUUGCAAAUGUACUUGUUGCCAAGUUAAAGCAAAAGAGGAAAGUGAGUAUUUUUCAUGGACCAAUGCCUCUCUUAGUUGCUGCCACACUUGACUUCUCUCUAAGUUGUUGAAAAUUUAGAAGUGUGGUAGCAUAAAGUAUUCAGCUCAAGUGCUUUAGUGCCUCACUACCCUUGAAGCUUUAGAAGCUGUCAAUACAAUUGGGGUUUUAACAUGUAACCAUUUUGGAAAUUCUAAGAAGUGUAAGUAUUAUGGUUUUACAAAUUUAUUAGACUAGAUAGGCAACUUCAAAUUGUUGAAUGCCUUGAAUUAAAAUCACUAUUAGAAGGAACCCAUGAGCACUCUAUAGAAACUCAUUGUAAGAGUUUGGGAAAAUGUUAGGGUUGAUUAAACUACUAUUUUAUAACAGAUUUUGCCUUACUCAAGAAUCUUGUGAUUAUCCCUUGGCACAAUCAUUUCUCGUGUCUAAGAAAUUCAUAUCUACUACAUGGCCAAAGAAUUUAGUAGCAUUCAAAAUUUAUGUUUUCUUUCAAGUCAGGUGUAUUGCUUGCAAUUCUAACAUGUUUCCUAUUUUGAACGUUGUAUUGCUAUUUUACUAUCAAUGUGUUAAGAGCAUUAUACUCUAUUUUCUAUAAUGUUGUUUACUUGUUAUAUGUAUUAAUUAUUUUAUUGCAAAUGUACUUGUUGCCAAGUUAAAGCAAAAGAGGAAAGUGAGGAUUUUUCAUGGACCAAUGCCUCUCUCAAUUGCUGCCACACUUGACUUCUCUCUAAGUUGUUGAAAAUUUAGAAGUGUGGUAGCAUAAAGUAUUCAGCUCAAGUGCUUUAGUGCCUUACUACCCUUGAAGCUUUAGAAGCUGUCAAUACAAUUGGGGUUUUAACAUGUAACCAUUUCUUUUUGUUCUUAUAGACAAUAGAACAAUGUGGUAAUUGCAUGACAUACAAUUUGUAAUAGAUGGUCAACUAUAUAUUAAGUAAUCUUUAAUUGCCUUGGAGUUGAAACGUUUGAUGUUGAUAAGGUUUGAUAAUUCUUGCUUUGGUGCUUUGUUGGAUUUCAAUUCAGGUAAUUAAUUGAUCUUGUUAUGAUUUUUUGAUUGUUAUUAUAACUAUCGUGAUAAUCAUUCUUAUUUUAUCGUGGUAAUUGACUUCACUGACUUUAUGCCCAACCUAUUAUUGUUAGUAUUCCAUUAACAUACCUCUAAUGCCACCACUAAUAAACAUCAUGUGUUUAUAUUUAUAACACGUUUCAUUACUGAAAUAAUUUAAUAUUUUCAAAUUUCUUUUUAGAGUGUGAGAAAUAACCAUUAAUCUUUACAACAGCAUAAGUAUCAUUGAUUUGAUAUUGCUUUCUUGAGUAAUUUGGCAAUUUAAUUAUGAAGUUUAGUUGGACAUUACUUGAGAUUCAUGUCUUAUGUAUAUGGUAUAUUUUCCAAACUUCAAUUAUAUUUAGUAGACUUGUAAGUGGUGUUUGUCUAUGAGUUUCAACUCUUGAAAACUAUUAUUGGAGUCUAAGUUCACUUUCAAUAAGGAAAAAAAAAAAUCAACCUUUUCCUCAAUUGUGUAAUUUUAUUCACUAUUGACAUGCCCUUAAAUGGCAUUGCUAUUAUUUGUAGGGAACAUUGUCAAGUUCCAUAUUUGUCUAGAAAGUUAGAAGAAGUAUUUAAUUUGACAUGGUUUGGACAUCUUGCUACUAUCUUUUUAAAUUAGUUAUCAAUAAUUUUUCAAAGUUGACCUUUUUGUUUAUCUCAUACUCCUUUUAUAUUAAAAGGUAUCGCAUGGGUAUUAUGUAGAGGAAUCAUGCCUUCUUUAAUUGAGGUGAGCCUCUUGCAAAAUAUUUCAGGUUUGCUCUCAUUCCAUUUGUUACUUCAUGUCUAUUUUUUUGUAAUCAAUCAAGCAAGAGUUUCUUACUUGUACAAUGGUGAACUUGCUUGCAUGAAUAAUACUCUUUUUACUAUUUUUUUCUUUCUUUAUUAUAUUCAUUGAUACGCUUAGAAGUGAAUAGUGAACCAGGUUUUUUGUUAAAAGAAAUCAAAUAUUGGUAAUUAUUUAGUAUCAUGUUUGUAAUAAUCAAUUAUUGAUUGUAAAGAUACUUGGCUUAAUCAAUUAUUAUAUUGAAAUCAAUUUAGUACUAUGACUAAUACCAAAAGGAUAAUAUUUAGUCUUGUUUGACCAUUAGUCACUAUUCUAGAGACAAAUGCUCACAAGUUUUGCAUCUUUGAAGCAUAUGAGAAAAGUUGGUUCAACUAUAUCACCAACUUACAAGCUCCUUAUAGUGUCCAUAUAUAUAACCUUCGUUGUUCAGGUUUAUGAUUCAUAUCUUUUUUUUUUUCAUCUUUUUAUUGUUUAUAAUUUUUUAAUUGAUUUGUUUAUAAAUUUUUAAACUUUAUUGGCAAUACUAAUUAUUUUUUUUUAUUCUCAUGUGCAAUAGAAUAAUAAGUUGAAUAAGAAGCAUAAACUACUUAAUUGGUAUAACCGUUUACUCAAUUCUCUUCUCAUAUAUUUUUGUUCAAGGUAAUCAAAGUAUCAUUCUUUUUAUUUUUAAAGGUACUUGAACUCAGUGAGGACCAUUCCCAAAACAAGCAAUCAUUACAGUUGGAUUACUGAUAUCAUAUCCUUGAUUGACAUCUAUGCCAUUACAUUUGCAUCUAAAGGAUUUAUAAUGAAAAAAUAUCUUUUUUAUUUCCAUUUUCCUUCCUUCUUUUGACCAUAAUUUGUGUGCUUAUUGAUAGCAUUCAUACCCUAAUAUAUUUGCUAGCAUAUAUAUGCAUAUCAUAAUCUAUUGAAUUUUUUAGCAUAAGGUCUUAGAGUAUUCACAUAUCUCUAGGUUCUAUAUAUUUAUAAUUUUUACAACAUCAAAUGAAGUAUAUGAACCUUAUCCUGAAGGUGAAGUCUCUUUAAAGGGAGUUUCAACAUGUUAGCAAUUACCUAACUUAAUAAUCUAACAAUUUGGCACUAUAUAUAAUUUUGCAACUCUUUCAUAAAGUAAUUGUGUUACCUUUAUUCACAUUUUCUAUCUUUAUUUUAAAAAAAAUGAAUUGGUAAUUGUGUGUCAAAUCUUGCUUACAAUCAUUAAUAGGUACUUAUAUGCUAAAUGGAUAAAGUUAUUUUACAAUUGUUUCAACAUAUUUGGAAUAUAUAUAUAUAUAUAUAUAUAUAUUUAUAGAUGUAAUCACUACCAAGCCAAUGCGAAAAGCUAUAACAAUGAGGAUUACAAAGCUUCAAUUAUGUCUUGGAGAUUCAUAUUGACAAGUUGUAAAUGGUGGGUGAAGUCUCUUUAAAAGGAGCUUCAACAUGUUAGCAGUUACCAAACUUAAGAAUCUAACAACUUGACACUAUAUAUCAUUUUGCAACUCUUUCAUAAAGUAAUUGUGUAACCUCUAUUCACAUUUUCUAUCUUUAUUUUAAAAAAAAAAAUGAAUUGGUAAUUGUGUGUCGAAUCUUGCUUACAAUCAUUAAUAGGUACUUAUAUGCUAAAUGGAUAAAGUUAUUUUACAAUUGUUUCAACAUAUUUGACACACAAGUACCUAUUAAUAAGUAUAUAUUUAUAGAUGUAAUCAUACCUAGCCAAUGCGAAAAGCUAUAACAAUGAGGAUUACAACGCUUCAAUUAUGUCUUAGAGAUUCAUAUUGACAAGUUGUAAAUGGUGGGUGAAGUCUCUUUAAAAGGAGCUUCAACAUGUUAGCAGUUACCAAACUUAAGAAUCUAACAACUUGGCACUAUAUAUCAUUUUCCAACUCUUUCAUAAAGUAAUUGUGUAACCUCUAUUCACAUGCUCUAUCUUUAAUUUUUUUUUUUUUUUAAAAAAAAUGAAUUGGUAAUUGUGUGUUGAAUCAUUCUUACAAUAUUUAAUAGGUACUUAUACACUAAAUUGAUAAAGUUAUUUUACAAUUGUUUCAACAUGUUCUGAAAACAAAAAAGAUUAAUAAGUAUAUUUUUUCUAGAUGUAAUCACUACCAAGCCAAUGUGAAAAGCUAUAACAAUGAGGCUUACAAAACUUCAAUUAUGUUUUGGAGAUUCAUAUUGAAAGUUGUAGAUUAUGGAUGUAUAGUAUAGGAGUUAGAUUGAGUUUAUCAUUCUAUCUUUGACAUCUUAGUUUUCUAUGUAUUGUCCAUCAUAUAUAUUUGUCAUCUAUUCUUUACAACCAAUUUUUUAAGGACUUCUAUGAUUUGUUUAAAUUUAUAUAUUUGUUUUUAUUUGUACUAGAACUUCACCAAGCUACAAAAGCAUCACAAGUAUUGCAAUUGGAGUUCAUGGAUCAGGUAUUUUAGUAGUUUUUGUACCUGAAAUUUUUUUAUGAUACUAAUGAGGAUGUUUACCUUGAUUAAUUUAACACUUAUAUUGCAAAUAUCUAUAUAGGAGUUCUAUACAUUUAUUUAAACAUUUAUAUACAUAUUUAUCCUCUUUCUAGCACAUUCUAAUGAUAUUUUUAACAUUGAUAUAAGUUGUUUGCUUGAAGGUUUCAACUAUUGAAAAUUAUUAUUCAAGCCUAAUGUUAAUCUUUUUCUAUAGUGGAUUUCAAAUAAUAAAUUCUUAUUUGAUUAUUUGUAGGGAAAAUAAACAACUUCUAUGUUUGAUAAGAAAGAAGAUAGAGUAGAUCAAUUUCACAAUAUACGAAUGCUACGCUUUCUAUACUUUUAAAGAUGGUUACAAUUGGCUUUCUAUACUUAACAAGUACAUCUUAGCUAAAAGUGAAAAAAUGUUUCUCUUUGCACAUGCCUUCACUACUAUUUUAAUUGCUAUCUUAAUAUGUUAUGGAAAAACCACGGCAAAUAACAAUAAUAAGGAGAAGAAAUAAAAGAACAAAAAUAUAAAACUUAUAAAGUAGGAUGAUCUAUGUGGUUUGGCCUAAACCUACAUUUAUAUGUGAAAAUGAAGAAGAACUUCCACUAUUAUUAAAGGAGAUUAAAAUCCUAAAGCUUUCAAAUCUCAUGAUUACACUAAAAAUGGACUUUUUUUUUUAAUCAAAAUCUCUUCCUUUAUUUUCUUGAUUAUAUAAGAAUAUUCCAUAGAGAAUUAAUUGUGUAAUUAUCAAAGAUAACUAUUCCUAAAAGAAAAAUCUUAUAAUAUGAUAUUUCCUUUAGAAUAAAAGAAAAAUCUCUUGUAUAAAUAUAUCAUAAUAGGAAAAUAUUAAAGACUUAUAAAUUGACUCAAAACAAUUUGAAAUAUUUUUCAACAAUCUCCACAUUGGCUCAAAUUCUCAAUAUUCAAAUAAACUCAAAAGUCUUCUAUGUUACUUUGCUCUUAUACACCCUUAAGGGAACUUCAAGUAAUAUCAAUACCAAUUAAGUCUAAGCAAUGCAUAAACUUAAUCAUAGAAAUAAGUUUAGCCAUCAUAUCUAUAAAAUUAUCAACUAUAGGGAUCUUUUUCAUUACAUUAGUACCUUGUUCAAUCACAUCUCUAAUAAAAUGCAUUCUAACAUCAAUAUGUUUGGUUCUCUCAUGUAACAUAUGAUUUUUAGUCAAAAGUAUGACACUUGGCUACCAUGAUAACAAUAAUCAAUGAUUGGAACCAAAUAAUUACAUUUUGUGUGCCUAAAAUUAGGCAUUCAUAUUUAAUAUCCAAUUCUAGUUUCAUCCCUUUACUCAAUUUUAUUCCUAAGUCCUUAAUUUUGGGUUUAAUGUAUUUUUUAAAUAUUUUCCUUCUUUUUUGGUAUAUUUAUAUCACAUUUUUGCUAGCCAUUAUAUUUUUCAUGUGUUGGUUGCUAAUUUUACACUACAUAGUUGUCACAUCAUCCAACUAAUGGUUGUUACAUUAUCCAACUAUGGGCUGCCACAUGCUCCAGCUACCUUAGCCUCCUUGCCAAGUAUUUUCCAUGCCAAAAAAAGAUUGACAACUAUUUCAAUUGGUUGGUAAAGUUGAGAAAAGCUUCCACCAACCUCGCCAUUAAGUUGUGCUCCUUGCUCCAAUUUCUAAUUUUGCUUUCUACCCUCUUGUGGAGUUAGUGUGGAAAUGACUUUAUACAAGGGAGAUGAAGGUUGGUUUUAAGUAAGGUAGCUUAUUUGUAAACUUGUAUUUCCUUCAUUCAGGCGGUAGUUCUCAUUUCUUAGCCUUGAUUUUCAAUUUUGAUCCUCUCAUCUUGCCUCUAUGAGUGGCCAACAUCCAAACCAAGGAAUAAUUUUUAAUAAAAUAUUAAUAUUAAUGUUCAAAUAAAAUCAUAUAUUUAUAUUCCUUAUCACAUUUAUAGGAAGAGAAAUAUUUGAGACUAGGCCCAGUUCACUUUUUAUAAUUAUAAAUAUCAUAAAAAUAUGAAUAUUAAUAUCCUUAUCCUCAUAAAAGCAUAAUUAAUUUAUUUUAUAAAAAAUUAAUAAUAAUAAUAAUAAUUACUAGUACGAUUUUAUUUUAAAUAGAUUUAAAAUUAAAUAAAGUUUAAUUUUUAAGGUAUACAUGCAUAAGUUUUUCAUUACAUAUACACAUUUAAUACUUAAUUAGUAAUAGUGUAUUCUAAAAUUUUUUUAUCUAGUCUAUAACUAAUUAAUCCAUUUUUUGGAAUUCUAAAUUGUUCUUAAAAAUUAAAAUAUUCAUUAAAGAAUUGAAAGUGUUUAUUAUGUUUAACUUAAUUUAAAUUUAUUUAUCUAGUGAGAAAAUUCAUAAAAUAUAGUUUUAUGUAUAAAGGAAAUAGUAACGACUUUACAUUUAACGAAUCUUUUAUUUUAUAUUGAUUCAUUUAAUAGUCUAUUAUAUAUAUUUAAAAUUUAUUAAACUCAUUAAUAAAUUCAAUACAAAGUUUUACUUAAUUUGAAAUUCAUCUCUCUAGUGAAAAAAUUGAAAAAAAAUAUUAUUUUGUGAAAAAAAAAUACAAUAAAAUCAUUCUAAACUAAUUUUUGUCCAUAGAUUUUUUGUAUUUAUUAGUUUAUUAUUUGAUUUUUAAAUUAAUUUAAAAAAUUAUUAGACUUAUUAAUGAAUCCAAUACAUUAUUUUUUUGUUUAAUUUAUUUAUCACACCAUCAAACAAACUUUUAUUAUUAGUAAAAGACCUCUCAAAAGAUGUUUUUUUUCUAAAUAAAAAAAAAUAUUAUAAACGAUGUUUGAUUCGAGAGUUUUUUAAAAAUAAAAAUUAUUUUAAAUUAUGUGUACAUAAUUGUUGCAAAUUUAUUUCUUUUUCCAUUACCAUUUUCAUUCCUACUUAACAUUGAAAUGAAAACAAAUAAUCAAUUAAACCUUACAUUUAUUCCUAAUCCAAUGACAAGAAUUGGUAUCACCGAAUUCAUUCCAUUCUCUAGUCUCAUGUAUCAAACAUAGUCGUAUAGUACCAAAAACUUCUUCUAAGUAAUGUGGAAUAUCACAUUCACUUUCAUACAGAUACAGUUUUUAUUGUAUCACAUGGAAUUGUGAGGCCUUUUAGUACCAUUUGUAAUGACCCACCUCCAAUUAUAUAAAUAUUAUUUGGUCUAAGUCCAAUGGACUCUAAUCGGUUUUAAAACUUGGCUAUACUGUUAAGAGAAGUCUACUAUGUAUACAAUCUUCUCCUAAUAAACAUGUGACAUAACAAAUGGUGGGACUCAAACUAAAGCAAGGCCUUUCAAACUGUCUACCAUCUUAGUUUCAGCAUGAAUUCAAUUUGUUCCAAACAACAUAACUCUGGAGUAUUUUAAACAAACGAUUUCCAUUUAAAACACAUUAUUAAAGUAUAAAGAAAACAAACCCGAUCUUCAAGCGGUUUUGGGGAUCACCUGUGGAAGAGCAGUGAAAUAGAAAUAUCCACUAAGUGUAUAGGGACCCAAGAUCAACACAUGCAACAGGAUAUCUAAUUCCUCCUAAUAUCAUCAGCAUGAAGAAAAUUGGCAUCAUUUCCACUGAGUUCUGAUGCCCUCUCUGAAAAAAAAAUAAAUGCAAAACAUUUGUUUUUUCUAAUCAUCGGUCAUCCAUACAUAGAAAAAUCUAUGUGUGAUCUUAAGCCAGAAAAGAUGUUGCAUCUAAUCAAAUUCACUAGACAUGAUGAUAUCUAUACUUUUUUUUUUUUUAAUUAUAUUCAUAUUUAUGUCAGAAAAUAAAUUUUUUAUUUUUUAUUUUUAGAACAUUAAACUUUUUAAAAGUCCUUUCUGGGAUAUUUUCUAGCUUUUUCCUUUUGCUAAUUUUUGUUAUUCAAACAAAUCUUAAGAAAGGAAUCAAGCUUGGACACAAUUAAAGAGCUUGGCAUCCUUGUUUUUAGAUUCCAAAGCAUAUAUAGAGAUUGGGGUAAAACACCUUGUACCUAAGAAAAAAAAAGGAAAAAAAAACACCACAACAAAAAAUUAACCAAAAAUCAGAAAACUAACUAGAAUAAAAAAUCAAGAAAAUAUUUUUUUCUGGGUUAAUAAUUAAUUAUAAUGAAAUCAAAAGAAAAAGAAAAAAUACAUACUUCUUCCUGGCUUUGCCUACACUGAAAGCCAUGAAAGAAUUGGAAAAGCAGUAAAGAACAAGAACAAGAACCACAUAUGGGGAAAGCAAAUCCUCUGUUGCCUUCUUCAGAUUAAAGGCAACUAAUAAACGGGUUAAGGGGUUAUGAGUUUGACUUGGUUGAGUUUGAAGCUACAAAAGUAAGAAAAAUGGUAGUAAUUUUGGAAGCAUUUCUAACUCUUCCAUAACUUGAAAGAUAAAAAAAUUUAAGCGUUAAAAAUGUUAAAAGAGCUUUUUAGAAUCACCCCAAAUGUACUCUAAAUUAUUUAUGACUUGAUGUCACCUUCACACUCAUUUUUCAGUGUCAUUUAAUUUUGGUGUUCCCAUAUUAAAGAUUUAGGGUAAUGUAAUAUUCAAGCCUUCGAAUUUUGCCUUCACUAACCUUUGAAUUUUAAUUAAAUUCUUUGAAGGAUAUUUGACCACUUCAUUGUCCAAAAAUGCUUAUAUUGCCAUUUUUUUGGGUCUUUUUCUAUAAUUCCAAUUUUACUAUUUUUCUUUUAUUUAUUCCUAUUAUUAUUUAGGCUAUUAUAUAUAAUAUUCUUAAUAUUAUAUUUAUAAUUGUUAAUAGUAUAAUUACUUUUUUUUCAUUUAUUUGUCAUUUAUAUUGCUUAUCUUAUCUUUAAUCAUGUAUAAGACUCAAAAACUGCAGAAAACAUUAAUAAGUAACUACUAAACUUCAAAGAGAUAAUAAAAUUCAACUACAUUGAUAUUACAAUAAUACAAAUGAAAUAUAUACCAACCAGCCCUUAAAGGGGCUUUUAAGAAAUAAUGAGUCUACUUCAGAUUGACAUUUAAAGUAGAAUCACCAUCUCUAUAGAUAAAUAUGAAGCCUAAAAAGAACAGAACAUCACUAAAUAAUAUUAAUAAAGCAACAAUUAGAUCAAUUGAUAGUGAAAAUAAAGGUUUACAAGAUGAAUCACAUAAAUAAGAACAACUAAAUUGAGAAACAAAUUACAUGUCUGACAAAUCUAAUGAGGGAAAACAUUGGAGCUAGGUGCCCAAUGAUUGGCUCCUUGAAGUUGACCUACCUCCUCAAUAGGUACAUAGGAGUCCUUACCUAAAAAAACAUUAAAAUCAAUAGGGCGAACAUAAGAUCUAAUAAAGGAUAUGAGUUUUCCUUUUUGUGCACCAAAGGAAGAUAAUGAAGUAGAAGAAAAUGAUGAGAAUUUUUUUUUUGGAAAAUAUGGGGAGUCGUUCUGUAAAUGAAGCAGAAGAGGAGAAGUUGUAAGUGUUGGAGAGAAAAAAGAAGAAGGACAUUUUUGUCUCAAUCAACAAUUUUGUUUUGUUUUUUAACCGGUGGGUUAUAUAUGCAAAUGUGGGGGUUAUUUUGACCCCUUUAACCAAAUAUCCCUCUUUUUUAUCGAGUUACAACUUUAAAUUAGGUGUAAAAAGAAAUUUUGAUAUGGUAGAUACUAUACAGUUAUAUAUUGAAAUUCCAUGGUUCAUUAGAUAAACCAUCCUUGAAUUUCUUUGGUUUCAAUCAAGAUGAUAGAUCAUCCUUCCACAGAGUGACCUAAUAUGACAUUGAUUUUCUAGGGCUUCAAACACGAAGGGUGUCAAUGACUAAGAACUCCGUUUGAUUGCCGAGAAAAUGAGGAAAAAAACCCUCAAAUAAAAUAUAAAUACAAUUAAGAAUUUCAAUUUUACAUUGUUAGGGACCCCAAAAAUGGGAACAUUCACUUAACUGAGCCUAAUCCAACCACCUACCUUAGUUCAAUCCAGUCCCCACUUUCUAGAAACCAAAACAAUAUAAACAUUCCUGUGUUUGACUAUUCAGAAAGCAUAUGAUAAGCAAAGAAAAGAACGGUGCCUCCUCAAUCAAACAAAUUUUUUUUUUUCCUUUUCUUUUCUUGCAUUUUCUUUUUUUCGGCAACCAAACAUAACUUUUUAAUUGAGCAUUGUUGUAUACAAUUUAGAUUUCUUUCCCUCGGUUUCUCCGUAACCAAACAGAAUUUUUCUCUAUUGAGCGAGAGUCUAGUAUAUCCUUCGUUUUCCUAUAACCAAACAGAACUUCCCUUGUUAUUUUUUUUAAUCUUUUCUUUGAAUUUCUCGGAAACCCAACGGAGUUUACUUCUGGUGCAACCGUGCAAGAAAAUGGUUUUACCUGAUCGCAGUUCACCGGACUAACUGAAGCAACAGAGGCUUAAGAAAAAGAGACUGAGCUUUGUUUGUUAGACCCCCUAUGUGAGUAUGCAAAGUAAGAAGAACUGAAGCUGAAAUUAGGCGGCUUCCAAACACGUCCUAGGAGUUGGUUUUAAAACCCAUUUUUCCCCUUUUUGGUUGCAAUCGGUCUGCAAAGAUGCCAUUAAAAGGUAACCGUAGUUGGUUGCAUGAAUAAGAAAAUGAAAAGAAAAGAAGUUAAAACUAAUUAAAAUUAUUUAAUAUUUACAUUGAAGAGUAAAAAUAAUUACAAUAUAUUUAAAUAAACACAUAAAAAUAAUAAUUUAUUAAUUUUAAAUCUAUUUUUAAAAUUUUCAAUUUUUCAUUUAUUUUAUUCCCUCUAAGCUUUCUAACUAAGGUCAUAAUUUGGACAAAUUGUUGGAUUCAUAACUAAUCUAAAUAAUCUAAUAGAGAUAAAUAAAUAAUUAAUUUAAGUUCAACCCAACCUCUAAGCUUUCUAACUAAGGUCAUAAUUUGGACAAAUUGUUGGAUUCAUAGCUAAUCUGAAUAAUCUAAUAGAGAUAAAUAAAUAAUUAAUUUAAGUUCAACCCAACCUCUAAGCUUUCUAACUAGGGUCAUAACUUGAACAAAUUGGAUGGUUAACAUACAACUUGGACAUAUUGGUGGGUUCAUAGCUAAUCUGAAUAAUUUAAUAGGGAUUAAUAAAUAAUUAAUUUAAGUUUAGCCCCACCUCUAAACAAAGGUAUUUAAUUCAAUCUCAACCAACUUCAUUUCUUCGAGCUCUGGUUGAUGAGGUUAAACUUGGGUUAGCCCUUGAUUGUAUAAUUCAAAAUACAUGUAGAAUGUUUUUUAAUAAAAAAAAAUUUAUAUACUUAUAUCAAAUUUUAAAUAGUAAGUAGGACAAAACUUUAAAAUAACAAAAAAAAAACAAAAAAAAAAAACAAAAGCAAAAACAAAGUUAUAUAUCUUUUUUAAAAAGUAAAAAAAUAUAUUAUAUAAUAUAAUUUGAUUUUUUAUUUAUAAAAAUUUAGAAAGAAUAAAAUUAUUAUAUAAAAUAACAUAUAUUGGAAAUAUUAUAAAAACACUAAAAGUUUGUUCAGUAGUUAUUCAAAUAAGUGUUUCUAUCCAUAAUUUAAACUUUGGUUUCAAUCUAACUUGAAUUGAAUUUGAGUUGAAAAAGUUUAACUUGAAUAUUAAAAAUAAUUGUCUAAACACGAUCAAAUAUCGGAUUGGAUUCGACUAAUCUGCCAAAGUUGCACUCCUACCAAGAACCAUACACAAUAAAAAGAUUUUAAGAUAUUUUUUGUUCUAGGAAAGUACUCAAAAAGGAGAAAUAAAGAAAAAAAAUGAUUCUAUAUGUAUAAUUAAAAUUAGUUAAAUUUUAUAUAUUUUAAAAUUAUUUAAUUUUUUUUAUAUGGAAAAGAAAAAAAAAGAGUGAAGUAAGUUUGAAAAAACAAGUAAAAAUGAUUUGUUAACUUUAAUAUUUUUUUUCUUUUCUUUUCUUCUAUUUUUUUCUUUUUAGUUUAUUUUUCUCAAAUUUUUCAAAAAAUAAACAUAGAAUUAAAAAAUAAGAAAUAAUUACAGAAUUGGAAACCAAUUUUAGAACUUGCUUAUAUGAUUGCAUUAGUUUGUGUAAAUAAUAAUUUUAUUGAAUGUUAAGAGAGUGGUAUUAAAUGCACAUUAUUUAAUAUUUUUAUUUCUAAAGAAAGUAAUCUUUACAUGGAUUGGACCAGUGUUUAUUUAUCCAUGUGGGCCAGCCCAUUAAAAACAUCAAACCAACAACUCAAGGGACGACCCUGGUCAUUCUCGGGGGCCCACAACCUUCAUCUCAAACAAAAGCCCAUGGGCAGGAUCACCUUCCACACACAUCUUCAUACCAGCCACCACGCUACCAACAAUCCUCCUCCAUGAAAGCCCACCUCCAUCACAGCAAGCAGAAAAUCCAACACGCCAACCAUCAACCUCCGCACAGACCUAACACUGCAUAGCCGUGUUUUAGGAGUGUUAGGACGUGAUUAGAGAGGAUCUACUUUGAGUGUUCAUGGAGUUUCGCUAUAAGAGGAAUCAGUUUACCAAAAAUUCUUCAUGAAACCAUCCAUUUAUCUCAGGGAACAUUUAUGAAGUAGAGUCAAAUAGAUUUACAAAUAAGAGAUGAUUGAUUCCUUUGAAUGAAAUAACCUUAUUUCAAAUUGCCCUAAUGUGGCCUAAUAAGCAAAAUUACUGGUUAUAUUUUGGACACAUCUCAGUAGAGGUUCGGGGGAGAAAAUAGAAGAAGCAGAGAUGCUUACUUACUUCAGAGGGGCCACUGCUCGCCACCACCACUUCAUGGCUGUGCCCAUUUCACUUGCCCAAGCCACUCUCUUCUCCAAACCCUCCAUUUUACUCCACAGAAAUGCCAUCAAUGGCUUCUCCUUUUUCAUUCCUUUCUCCUCUUCUUCUGCUCAGAAGAUUCAGACUCACAAGUGGAGGCAACCGGUGGUCUCGGUUCUGGAUCUUGGUGGAGUCAAGAUUGGCAGAGAUGGUAACAUACCCACAUCCCAGAAUUGCGUUUAAAAAGGAUCUUUAGCUUGAAUUUCGUGUGCCCAAUUUGCGUUUUUGCAGACAUUUGCACUCAAGUCGUGUCGUUUGUUUGCAAUUUCACAAUCUGAUUUCUUUUCUAUUGUGCGUUUUUUUUUCCUGCUAGGUUCGAAUUCAAGCAUCCAAUUUGCGUUUUUGUGGGUAGUCUUAUGCCCAACUUGUGUCAUUCAAUUUGCAAUUGUUGUUAUCAGACUUCCUUCUCUCUUUUGAGACUUACACAGUUAGAGACGUCAUUUCUGUGAAAUUAAGAAUGCAUGUUCCAACUUUCACUUCUUUCUCUCUCUCUCUCUUUUUUUUUUUUUUUGUGAAAUUGGAAUUCAAGAACUUAUUUUACGUUUUACAAGCUUAGCGGGUUACGUUUCUGUUCUAUUUGUUGUGCUGUUGGAGGUGUUUGGUGCAUUUAUAUAACUAGGCUUGCAAUUUCGCCCUCUGAUAAAGGUUAAAUUUUCUCCCUUUUUAUUUUAUAUUUUUUUAAUGGUGUAUUUGUUUUGGGUAUUUGGUGAAAUGAGGAUUUUGUACUGGGUUUAUGGCAUUUUUUCAAUUGGUUUGAUAUAUGUGAAUGUGGGUUUUGUAGGGAAGAUAUGCAAAUUUUUUGAAAGUAAGAAUGCAAUUACAACUCUGAUUUCCUUUAUAUUUAUAUUUUUUUAUGCUUAUUUGCAUAUUGGUUGAUGUCAAAAUUCAUCUAAUGGGUUGUUUUUUAUUGCUUUGGAUUGGUUUAAUGUAGUUGAAUGGUGGAUUUUGUUUCUAAAACUUAGGGUCAAUUUCAAUUUUUAUUUUAUUUUUUUAUUUUUUCAAUUUGAAGACCUGGGAGUCUAUGUGAUUGGAAUUGAUGUACUCGAGUUUUUGGAUUUUGCUGAUUGCCUUGAUAAACUUGGGAUGCAGAGCCUUAAAAAAUAAACUACAUUCACUAAGCUAUAUCUCUGAUUAUACUUCGUCAGAGCGUGAAAUGCAACUUGGAGUCUUUGUAUUUUUUAAAUUUUUUGGGUUAUUCUAUUCUGAAUAUUUGGUAAAAUUAGAAUUCAUGUACUGAACCUUUUUCAAGUUCUUUUGGUUGGCUUGAUAUAUUUGGUUGUGGGGUUUGUAGAUGUGGUGAGGGAUGAUCCUACAAACAAUGUCCCGGAUGCAAUUUUUUUGAAACUUGGAAUGCAGCUUCACAGGAGGGAUCAACACCCAGUUGGAAUUCUGAAGAAUGCAAUAUAUGAUUAUUUCAAUGCCAAUUACUCUAACAAAUUUGAUAAGUUGGAUGACCUUUGCCCAAUAGUCUCCACAAAAGAGGUUUGACCAUUAAGAAAUAAAAUAGAAAUUGUAUGCAUGUUUUUUUUUCACUGUUUUGAGCUAUACAUUGCACUAUUUGGAACUUGUAUUAUCUUUCUAUGACUGGUGCUUGACAUUUUGUUGCUGUUUAUAUUUAUUUUGCUGCUCAUUUCUUGUUGGUUAGUGUCCUGUCCUAGGUGUUUUAACAUUUAAGAAUCCAUGAAAGUGGUAUUUGCAUAUGUUGCCCAUUAUUCCAUCGACGAUGUUCUAAGUAGGGAACCUAGUAUCCAAACUUCCAUCCAAACUUACAUAUAAAAAAAAAGUCCAGAACAGGCAUUCAGUUUACCAGGUUUAUCAGUUCUCUCCAGUGUUUAUUCAACUCUUAAAUGCAGUAUUCUGGACAUACUCCAAAUUUGAAAUUCCUUUGGUAAAAUAAAGGCAUGGUACUUAUAGUGGUCUAUUAAGGAAAAGGUUUGUUUGACCUAGCUUUUGUACAAAAAAUUCAAGGAUAGUCUUGCAGAUAUGUAUCAUAUAGGUGUAUAUUUCUCUAUCAUGAUACAAGUGAGAAAAAAUUCAGGAAAGUUGUUUUGUUUAAAAAAAAAAUUGAAAGUUAAUUUAUGUUUUGAGAGGGACAUUAGGCAACCUAGGAUUCAAAGGGACAUAUUGUCUCUUAGGAAAAUAUAAUUCAUAGCAUUCUCAACCACUUACAGGUUAUUUCAGUCCUUUUAUAUUGAUUUAUUUAAUUUUUUUCUUUAUUGUAGGCAAGCAAAAAAGAAUUUUACAACACCUACUAUUAUCAUUAUUUUGGUAAUUAGCAUUGAUGGAGAUUGUAAAAAUUCUCUAAUAGUAUUGCAGGAGAAAAAUAAUAUUUAUGAAUUUUUGUUAAACACAAUUGUCAUAAUGAUAAUAAUUAAUUAGAAUAAUAUAAGUUUGUAAUUGGAAAAAUUUUAAAAAAUAAAAGCUUUUGGAAAUAGUUUGAAUAGGAGUAGAAAAUUCUUGGAUUUCAUGGAGAGCUUAGGUGGGAUCUAAAGCAUGGGGCUGUUUGCUAUCUAUUUUAGUAUUUGCUGCUCUUCUCUCUUAUAGGUGUUCAGCUGCAGCUUGUAUUCUCUGAGCGUACUUGGGUUGUGCCCCCUUUUGUGUUCUUCAAUAUAAUCUUCAGGCUCAUGACUAGUGCAAUUUCUACUAAUUGAACACUUUUCACUUCAAAUAAUAUUCAGUAAUCUAAAUAGCAUUUAUCAAAUUAUUCUAACCCGCCAUUAGAUUUAUAAAGAACCCAAAAUAUGAAAUUUUCUUCUUAGGCAUGAGAAAUUGUCAUUGUUAUAAACCCCAUGUUUGUCUUGUACUUACAAGCAUAAUUAUAAAGCAUGAUCUGCGUGUCUUAUCAUGAAAUAUAACAAUGUCAUAAAAUAGAUGAUUGAUAAAAUGUUAGAAGUCCAUUGCAAAUGCUUAAUGGAACUGAAAAUUAUUACAGAACAAGUGCAUAUUUCACUCAAACUUUUAUGCAGUAGUGGUAGCUUAUAAACUCACAACUUUGUAAUCAUGUGCUUGAAUCAAGCAAACUUAAUGGCUCUCAGCUACAACUGCUCUACAUUUUAACCAUUGUUUUAUGUUAUGGGAAUAGUGACUGAAUUACACAGUUCCAUCAUUAUAAUUUAUGCAUUGUAAUUUCAUUUGUGGGACUUAGUUUUCACAUGUGUUCACAUGUCAUAACUGUAAUUUCCCUAAUUUUAUGAGAAAGAAAAACUCUUUAAUUUUCCCUAUUUUGACUGAAACUUUUGGAACUUGGACUUUAUAUGGUGCAAAUGUAUGUUAUCAGCUAUUGCUUUUGACCAGUCAUGAGUAGAUACUAUUUAUAAAAAGACACAAAGGAGGAUAUAAUCCAAGUGCACUUGUAGUCAACAAGUUACUCUGGGCAUCAAAAUUGAAAGAAACAACAAUGAAGAAAAGCAGCAAGAAAGUGCCCCUACCUCCCAAACUCUCAAUGAACUAAUGGAAGGAUCUACUACUAUGCAAGAUAACUUCUUCUAAGCACAACUACACAUAACAAUACUUAGCCUGCGCUAUGGUGUCAAGUGGUAGGGUCAUUGGAACAUGCCUAUUUUGAUGGAUUUUAAUUUGUGGGGAUAGUUAAAGUGUAAAGUGUUUGAUAAAAUAAAUUUGCUAGUUUUAAUAAAUUGGAAUUACUACUGAAUGAAAUGUGAAGCUAGAUAUUAGGAGGAGAAAGAAAGAUAAUUAAUUUAUUUGUAUGACACUAUGACUUACACAUUGUGAAGCUUACUAGUAGGGAAUUGUUGAACAGGGGAACUUACUUAAUAGGGGAGAAAGAACCACACAUAUUUCUUGAUGAGUAAAUAUAAUUACAUUAGCCAAAGGCCAAAAAUAUAUGAGUAGUUCACUAAUUGCAUGUUAUUGGAAAGAGAGCUGAGCAACUAUGAUUCAUAAACUUUUUACAAUUUAAAGGCCUGGGUCCAAUGAGAUAUGUUGCAUCAUAUUACCUAAUGAACCAAUGAAGUUUAUGGAUUUCCAAAACUUCUUGGAGAGGUUCAUUAUUUUAUGGUUCUUUUUUUUUAGGGUUCUUUAUUUUCUCUUUGCUGAGAUAUCUAGAAUAUGGCAUGGUAGGUAUUUUUGCUCCAUACCUCUUUGGAGGUCGAUUCUUUGGCAAAGUAGGAGGAAAACAAAUUAGCAUCAACUUUGGCUUGACUUGAGAUCACAAAUCUGACUAGAGAUUUUGCAGUAGUGUGUUGAGGUCUAAUCUGAAUCCAGGUUGUGAUGUGUGCAUCAAAGAGUCUUUCCAUAAGCCAUGAAGCUUUGAGGUGUUUUGUGAUGGCAUGACUGGAUAAUGAGCUGCAUUUUGGUCUGGAAUUUGGAGUUCGGUUAUGCAUUUCUGUAUCUAUAUCUCCAAAAUUAUUAACUAAUUUUAAUUAUUUUAUCUAUUUUUCAAAAUAAACAUUCAAAAUUGAAAGUUUGUGUCACGAGUCUUCAGGCUUAUCCGGAAUAGAAUGCCCUGCAUUAACUCUUGCUGUUAAUGCAUAUAAUACCAGGUCAGUCAACACAGCCAUUCGCUUGCUUAUGUUGACUUUCAAUGGCUUAAAGUUUAUGGCUUCAAUGGUUAUUACCAUGCUAACACUCAAACUAAUUCUUUUUUUGAUAGGUAAAUAAGAGCUUGUAUUAGAAGCGCCUAGAAGUGGCGAAAACAGUACACAUGAAGUAUACAAACAGAUUGCCCAAGAAACUAGGCAAAGAAGACAAAAAACCUUUCCCCUAACUAGACAUAUGGCCACUCUAUAAAAUGGUCAUUGGUUUCCUCUUUCUCUUUACACAAGCAUAUUCAAACUAAUAACUAAUAGUUAUUGGAUUUAAAGCUUGUUUGUUAAUGUUCUUCAUGGUUGUGCUUCUAUUUUUAAUCGAUUCUCUUGGCCAUCACCGUUUCCCCCUUAUUAAGAUUGGAUAUUUAAGUUUCAACGAAACAGCCUACUAAAUCCUCCAGAUAGAUCCUAUUUAUAAGGCAUGGAAGUUUGGUCAAUGUCUGCUUCCAAGAUUCUUAUCCAUAUUUCUAUGAAUUCUUAUGCCAGAAAGUCUACUUCUUGCAGAAUUUUGAUGAUGUCUUGGUUCCUCCUGAUCACGUCAGUAGAAGUUACAAUGAUACAUACUACAUUGACUCCCAAACUGUCUUGAGGUGCCACACUAGUGCUCAUCUAGCAGAGCUAUUGAGGAGGGGACACACUCAUUUCCUUGUGACUGGAGAUGUUUAUCCUAGAGAUUCCAUUGAUUCAACUCACUACCCUGUUUUUCAUCAGGUUUCUUAUCUCUGAUUUUAUCAAUGAUUGUUUUCUAUUAACAAGUUUCUUAAUGUUUUCUUCAGUUCAAUAACUUAUCAUGCAGAUGGAAGGUGUUCGUGUCUUCUUUCCAGGUGAUUGGGAGACAUCUGGAAUGGAUGGCACGUCUUAUGCGGCUGAGGAUUUAAAGAAAUGUCUUGAGGGUUUGGUGCAGCACUUGUUUGGUAAACUUAGAUCAGGAGAUUGUCUUAAUCAGAUGCAAACUUAAUGCUAUCAGUUCAUGCUGCAGUGAGAAAUAUGAGUUAAGGAAUCAUUUAUCAGGUCGAAUAAUUCAAAAUCUGGGAAAUACUGCAAGUAAAAGGGGGGAAAAAUAAUGAAAUAAUAAAAUAAUAAAAUAAUAAAUUUAAGUGGGGAAAGCAAUUCAUUUUUUUUUUUUGAUCAGUAAGUAAUAUGUGUAUUGAAAAGAGGUGCUAAAGAAGCGACUCAAAAGUGGGAAAGCAAUUCAUGUUAUGCAAAAGCGGUAUAGGUUGGUCAUUUAGAAGUCAAAUCAAGAUAGUCCAGAAUAAUAUAGGGAAUUAUUUGUGAUUCUCAAGGUACUUGUUAAGAAUCAUUGAUAAAUUACGUAAGGAAACAUUUAAGAGUGCUAUUAUUCUUGAAAUUUCUGAAAUCUAUCAGAAAGGUAGUUUUCAUCUUGGGGUUUACCAUAUACUGUAUAGAAUCUGUGUGGGCUAAAUCUGUUGAAAUUUGCAGGUAAUGUGGAAAUGCGCUGGAUUGAUACAUAUUUCCCUUUCACCAACCCAUCAUUUGAACUUGAGAUAUAUUUUCAGGUAUGCUUUUGAUCUGGCUGGUGGUUGCAUUUUAGCACUAUAUAUUUCGAAUUUCUUUAAAACUUUGUUUUUGAACUAAUUUUAGUAGAAACAGGCUCCAUUUCAUUUUGCUGUUUUUACCUUUUGCAAGGAAGGGUAAAAAUCAUUUAAAAAAUGUGAACUUCAGUUUAUUCCAUUGCUGGCAUGUGUGGCUUUCAUCUGUUUUUGAAGACACUGAGAUUCAUAGACUGAUGAUAUUCCAAUGCUUAUAAUAACAGUAAUGUUGAUGAUAAAAUAAUAUAAAAGUAGAAACAAAAUUAGUUGUCUCCCUUUUUUUUUCUUUUAGUUUCUUUGUUCUUCUUACCCCUCUGUUGUGGGGAGGGGGUGUGGGGCUCUUUGUCGUUGCCAAAUGUGAAAAAGAAGAUGUAUUAUGUCCUUUUAUUUUGGACUUACAGGACCUAUUAUGAAGGCAUUGCUUUCUUCAAUGUAUAUUUAUGACUUCAAGACAUUUUUGUAUUUUAUUUUGUGGCAGCAUUUUUUAGUGUCACUAUUGAAGGAGAAAUUCAUAAACAUAUAUACACACAUGCUAGUGGGCAUACACAAACACUGAUGUUCCACACACUAAUUAAAAAAUUCUUGCUUUGAGUAGUAUCUUUUUCCAGAACUCAUGUCCAUGUCAGAUGGCAACAUGACAAUGACUAUUUGCCAGCAGAUGGAAUGCUGGCAACACUUUUAUGGAUUGAAUGUUUUCCUUUCCCUUUUCCUUGUAGUGAAUGAUGUGUACUUUAGUUGCUCUUACAUAUUUGAUGCAUUGUGCUUAUGCCCUAACUGAUGCAGAACAGAAAAGUACCAAAAAAAAUGAUGGGAGUCUAGGAAUUACUUCCAAAAACCUUAGGCUUCACAUAUAGGUUUCGUUUUCAUCACACAAAAAUGAAAACAUUGAAAGCUGGAAGGUUUUGUGUUUUCAUUCAUUGAUCCUUUUAGAAGAUAGAGUGAUCAGCUUUGGAAACUACAACCCUAAGACCCCUAAGACUCUUAAGACCCCUAACACUCUUUGGAACCAAUCACAGUAAUAAUUAAGCUGAGAAAUCAGAAACUUGAACUGAUAAAUAAAAAUUAAAAGGCACUUGGAAAUAUAAAGCAUUAAUGACUUUGAAAAUAAGAACACUCCAAUACCCACCCCCCGCCCUUCGGAAAACUCAACCUUGACAAGUUAAAGGCAUGGAGUUUCUCAUAAAGAUCACAAUUCAACUGCUGAAAUUCAUUGCUUGUGAUCCACAUACAAUCUCAAAGUGGCCUUUCUCUCCAUUCCACAAGAUACUUUUGAUAACCUCCUCUUCUGGUUGAAACAAUUUAGUGACCAACAACUUUUCAAUCUUCUCUUUCAAUCAAGGGGCUGGUAGAAGAUGACCAUUUGGACCAUUAAUUGAUGUAGCAGCUUUAGGAUUAGGAUAAAGGGUGCGGUCUUUAAUAUUAGAGAUCUUAUUAAUGCUCAUAUUUUCUGGCAAGUCAAGUACAUUAGCGUUGGGACUUGUUUUCCUGAGAAUUUUAUAGGGACCAACAUUCUUUGAGUGGAGUUUCUUAUAGGCACCUCUAGGAUAUUGUUCAGGCCUUAUUCACACAAUAACCAUAUCACCUUCAAUAAGUUGAGCAAAUUUUAUUUUCACAUCAUCGUAUGACUUAUUUAUUUAUUUGAUAGGCAAGCUGGAAAAACAUGUAUUCAUAUGACUUAUAAUUUCAUUGAUGAAAACAAUUUUCAUUGAACAUGAUGUUGUAUGUCAUCUAUAUGCUCACUAAAAGCAUCAGCUUCAAUGAUAGGUCAUGCAUCCAUUGGUAAAGGAACCAAAUCCAUAGGCUUUCUAGGAAGCGAUUCAGUCACAAUCUCAAAAGGACUGUGACCAAUAGACCUGUUCAGGGAGCUAUUAUUUGCAAAUUUGGCCAUUGAUCUGAUCUCUAGCUAGGCAGUGAAGUAAAUGAUCCAAGCUUCAAUUAACAACUUCUAUUUGGCCAUUUUUUUGAGGGUGAAAAGAAAAAGAAAACUUUAGUUUGGCAUUCGGUAUUUUCCAUAAAGUUCACCAGAAGUAACUCAUGGACCUACCAUCCAAUUUAGGAAAAUCAUGAAGGCGAACAAUUUCCUUGAAGAAGAGUUUUUUUUUUUUUUUUUGAUAGGUAUUCCUUGAAGAAGAGUUUAACAAUCAGGCAACAUCUUUAGUCCUUAAGCAUGGGAUAAAUUGUACCAUCUUGGAGUAAUGAUUUAUCGCUACAAGUAUACAAUCAUGUCUCUAAUAGUUUUUAGAAAACCAGGGACAAAAUCCAUGCACAGGUCUAGCCAUGGCUCAUGUGGCACAGAAGUGGCAUGUAUAGACCUAUAUUCUUCCUUUGCCUCUUUGAUAAUUUGCAGGUUCGAUGUCUGGAGACAUUCUUAGCCACAUUUUUUCAGACUUGGUCAAUAAAAAUGAUUUUCCACCAUUGUAAUGGUUUCAUCUCUUCCAAAAUGACCAGUUGUUUCUCCAGCAUGAAGUUCCAAUAUUACUUGCUCAUGAAAUGAUGUUUUGGGUAAGCAAAGCUGAGUCCCUUUGAAGCAAUAUCAAUCAUGUAAAAAAUCACCAUAUUCUCCCGAAUUUCUAGGCACUAAAGCAACACAUAUAGUGCUAAAAUCUUUGCAAGAAGGAUAAGGUCUAUUGAACGAGUCAAAUCCAACAACUUGUACUGCAAUAGAAGAAAGAGUGUAUGCCAAUUUGCUAAGGGCCACUGCAAAGAAUUCUUUGCCAUUGCAAAAUGUGCACAUAUAUGUUGUUGAAAAAGAUGUUUAGAGCAUGCAUUAAACCUCACAGAUAGGUUUUUUACAAUAUGGGUGUACACAUUGACAUUACUAUUCACAUCAAAAUGAAAGAGAUUAAAAUAUUAAAUAGCAUCAUUAUCAUUUAGAUUCUAUAUAUGUUUUACCUUCAACACACUUAAGUUGUUUGAAAUUUUCAUAAUAUAUCUAAUUUAAUGGUAAUAUAUUAUAAAGACCACACAAAGAAACUUAAGAUGAUUGAAAAUUUCAUAAUAUAUUUGGUUUUAUGACAAUAUAAUAUAAAGACUGAAAAAAUAAAAUAAUGUUUGACGUUCCAACCAUAAUACAUUGCUGUUACUUCAAAAAUUAGAAAAAAAAAACAUUCAUAAUUCAUUGCAAUAAAAACAAAUACAAGAUUCUAAAAACUUUAUCACCUAAAUUCUGCAUGUAGAACAAGAGCAAAGUUAGGAUCUUUCUGUGUGGUUAAGUGAAACUCGGUUUCUUAUCCUACUUUACAAUUUUUGGUUUCUUACUUAUUCAAAACAAAGGUCGAUAAUAUUAAUAGUGUACUUGAUAUAUAUGGAAUUACCAAAGACAACAAGAUUUGCAUAUGGAAUCAUAAAAGAACACUAGAAUGACAAUUAAUAAACAUAUAAAGAUGUACAUUUGAGUUGAGACACACCUUGAGGAGAGAUACAACAAAAAAACAUAAGCAAAUGCACCCAAGGAUUAUGGAAUUCUCCUCCUUUUUCCUCUGGCAAACCUCACUUUUCUACAUGAUAAUGAAUUUAUCAAAAAUACAAAUUGAUACUAAAACAUAAUAAUUAUAGUCAUAUCCCCUUAAGGCAUUAAAAUAUUAGAAAGUCUCUUGAUGAGCACAGAGGGUUAAAAUUAUGUUUAUUGCUUGGAUACAACAAAAUGAAGUUACAAGUAUACUAAAUAAUAUACUAGGAAAUAACAUAUCGACACCAUAUAUAAGAGUAGAAUUGAAGCUAAAACAAGAACUUUGAAUGCAUGUUUUGCACCCUUUGUGUGGCUUUGCCUUAUUAUAUAGUUCUAUACAUCAUGUAUACUUUAAAAAAAAAUUGUUUUGCAUGUUUUUUCUUAGGGGCCUUUUUAUGCAAUUUUAUUUUCUUAUCACAAGAAAGUUGAUUAGAGUUUUUGUAAUUUAUUUUCGUCAUAAUUUCAUUGUAAUAUAAAAAAGAAAAUUUGAGAUUUUUCCUAAUAUUUUUGCUUUACUCGAUACUUUUCAUGAUUUGAAUGGAGUUUUUUACUUUUUUGUGUGAGACUUGGACUCAUCAAUGUCUCAUAGUGUUCAAAAUGGAGCCUUUUGCAGAGGUAGAAGAAGCACCUACAACACUAAUGAUGGAGUUACUUCAGGAAACAUGACUUUCAUUCCUGUAAAAAUGGCUAAGACAUUUCAAUUUUUUGACCACUGCACAAAAACCAUGUUUUCUUAAUUUCUGAAGGAGUUGUAUUUUUUAAAUAAAUUUUAUACAUAAACAACACUUGAUCUCAAGAUCAACUCAAGUAAUCCAUGUCUAAUAAAAGGAUGUGAGAUACACCCUCCUCAACUUGAAGGAGUGUGAGCCAAUUGAAUAAGAGUGUUUUGAACAACUUGAAGACAAGCUAUACUAUAUGUUGUACCAUCCUUUUUGAUGGAACUCAUGAAAGGCUAGUGGAUAUGAGUCUUUGAGGAAUGAAUUAGGCUCAAUGCUGUUGUAUAUAAUUUAGAGUAGAUAUUUGAAAUGUAUGGAUAUUAUUUGUAGUACCAUCAUGGAUAUGAGUUGUGAUGUUUAUUUUCCUUGUAAUUUAUUUUAUGCAUUUAAGUGUCUUAUUUCAAAAAGGUAAAAUUUUUAUAUUUGAUUACAUUAGAGUUUAUAUUUAAUACUUUAAUUAGGAUGACUAAUGAUUAUAUAUUGAUGUAAAUAUUAUUUUUCACAAAGAUAGUUCAAAAGUUAUGUUUGGAACCAAAUCCCAAAGGAAAAGAAUUCUAAAAUUAGAUUUCAGUCUCUUGGUGAUCAUGAUUGGUAUGAGAAGGAAUUGAAAUGAAAACAAUUCUCUCGGGUCUGGUAUUAUAACGAGAAUAAAUAACUUUGGUGUACUAGUUUGACCAUGCUACAACAUAAAUAUGAAUGAUCUAAAUAUUAAUUCUUCUUAACUAAAAUCAACCUAAUUAUAAAUUUAAUUAUAAAAGUAAAUAAAUUUAUCAUAACAAAAGUAAUUAAGAAUGUCAUUUAUAUAAAAAUUACAGAAACAAUCAAUUUCAAUGAUUUAAAAUCACUUCUCAACAUUAAACUUAAAAAUCCCUCUAGCAUGAUCUAAAUUAUCUUAGAAUCGGCUUUUUAAUUCACUUAAAAUGCAAAGUAACUUACACUAGUUUUAAAAAAUUAAAAGAUUAUUAUCAUAAAAGAAUAUUUGUUUUUGUUUAAAUCCCUUUACUCCUCUAUUAAUAAUUAUAAAAAUAGAGAAAUAACUAAAAUAACUAAAAUAACAUGACAUAAAUGAUAAAAAAGAAAAAAAAAAAAGAUAUAUAACCAAUGUUUUAAAAACCGGACCAGUGAUCGAAUCGGAAAAGUUACCGGUUCACGGUUCACUGGUCGGACCGGCGGUUGAACCGCGGUCGAACCGGUGAUGUAAUAAAUAAUUAAAUAUAUAAUUUAUAUAUUAUAUAAAAUUAAAAAUAAUUAUAAAAAUUAAAAAUAUAUAAAAUUGCAAAUUUUAAUAAUGUUUGAUUCUUAUAUAUGGUAUAUUAAAUUAAAUGAUAAAGUUUAAUAUUUUAAAUUUUAUUAAAUAGAAAUAUGUAAUAUUUAAGAAAGAAAAUAUAUUUAAGAUAAAAAAUUUAUAAUAUUUAAUUUUAUCCUUUUGUCUUUGUAUUUUAUUGUUUUUAAAUUAUUCUAUUAAUUAAUUUAUAUUAUUUUUUAUAAUUAUUAUAAAAAUAAAGAAGAAUUAAAAUAUUUACAUUUUUUUAAAAGAUUUUAUAUGAUAAAAUUUUGAAAUAAAAUCAAAGUUCUAUGUGUCCAACCCUCAAGAGGCAAUGUUUUCCUCUAAUAGUCUCAUUCCCAAUCCCACAUCGAAAGCACAAGAAUUUGAUGUGCUCCAUGUGCUCUAUAAAUACCUUCCAACUUGCCUUUAACCCAAACAAGCUAGCAAGUUGGGCGUGGAAGCAUGGCUCAAGUGGAAGUGUUAUUUUAAAAUAAAAAAUGCAGCAAAUUGGGCUUGUAGACAUGGCCCAAAUAACAGUGUUAAUCUUAUCAUUGGACUAGGCCUAGUGGCUUGAACCAAAGAUGAGUUUGUAGGCAUUGGGCCUAGAAUGGGCCUUUUACAUAGUAAACAAAAACUUGUUAUCUAAGGUGUGACCUGCAAACCGGACGGGUUGUCCGAUUCGACGAUUCAACUGUCGGUUUGAACGAUUCAAUGUCGGUUUGAUCACAAAACGAUUCAUUGAGCGGAUCGAACCGGAUAGUUCACCGAUCGAUGGUUUGAUCGGUCGAUUUUUAAAACCAUGUAUAUAACUACAAUGAUAUAAGUGAAAUUAAUUAAAAUUGAGAAUUCACUCAAGUUAGAGAAUUAUUUAUUCUAAUAAAAAUAUUAAAGAAAUACAUUACUUAUUGUAACAAUUUUUUUUUCUUCUUGUAUUCUAUGUGAGCAUCUAUAAUAUUGAAAAUAGAAAUAAAAGAAUCCCCAUUCAUAUUUAAAAUAAUUUAUUUUAGAAGAUUCUACCUUUAAAAAGUCCAUUAAAGUUCAAAAAGAGAAAAAAGAUGAAAUGAAUAGUAUGUAAAGAAAAGAGAGUGAAAAAGACAAAAAUAUAUGUAUUAAUUUAAAUUUAAAGAGAAGAGGUAAGAGUAACAGGGCAACAUCGAAAAAGAGAAAGUUUACUUUAAUAAAAUUGAAAUCUCAUAAAUUAAAAACUCAAUUGCUAUUCGUAAUACCAUUUUUACUAAUGCGACAUUUUACAUUUCUAAACUACCCUCCCUUAUUAUUUCCCCUCUCUCUUUCAUCUCUCAUCUCUCCUCUUUCCCCUUUCUCUUCCCCAACCUCACGUCCCAAUUGCACCAUUUUUUAUUUUCUUUUUAUUUAUUUAUUUUUUCCCAACCCCCACCCCCACAUUUUAGCUUUCUUUUUAUUUUAUUUUAUUUUUAUUUUCCUUUUCAUCUCUACCCACCCAACCCCCCACUCCACGUAAACUUUUAUUUUUCUUUUCAUUUCUUUUAUUUUUUUUCACACUCUAUUGUUUUUCAUAUUCUUCUUAUAUUUUAAAACAAAAUAAUUUCUUUAAAUAAUAAAUUAUAAAAUGAUUUUUUCACCAAAAGUGCGUUAUAUAAAAUGAUUUUAUUAUAUUCAAUAUUUUAAUGUGAAAUUCAUAACUCAAUUUUUUAAAAUAAGAAUUAUUAUUAAAAUUUUAAAAUAAAAAAUAUUUAAUUGAAAUGGUUUAAAAAAAAAUAUUUUAAAAUAUAUAAUUCUUUAUAAAAAAAAAUGAAAGUUAUAAAUCUUAUUUGAAAAUUGUCAUCAGAUAUUGAAUUUCAUUAUUCAUUGUAUUUCGUGUGUGAUUCAUAGCCUUAAUUAAGUAGAAUUUAGGUUCGGUGUUGAAAAGAAGUUAGAGAAAGUUCUUUAUUAAAAAUGGUAUAUGUGGAAAAAAAAGUUUCCUUUAACACAACUUUCCAUUUAAAAUUCUUAAAAAGUUGUCUGCCAAAUCCUUUAAAAUUCUUUCCUUCUAAAAACCUCCACUAUUCCAAAUCCAUUCUUCCCUUUUUCCAUUUAAUUCCCUUGAUUCCAAAUAAAGUAGAAUAAUAACAAUCUUUCUAACAAGUUAAUAUCAUAUAAAAGCAAAUAAUAACAAUCUUCCUAAUAAAAUUCUUUCCUUCUAAAAAUCCCCGUUAUUCCAAAUCGAUUCUUCCCUUUUCCCAUUUAAUUCCCUUGAAGCAAAGUUACGAACAUUUGGAAAUACAUUACAAGAAUUUUGUGGAUUUCUUCAAGAAUGAUUAUAGAAGCAAAAGUUUAGAAACAUUAAAAGGGUAAUUUUUAAAAAUAAAUUAUAGAAAAAUCCAAUAAAUAAUUAUUUUUUUCCUUUAUUGAGGCAUAUUAAAAAAGUACAAUAUUCUAAAAAUAGGUAAUAGAAAAAAUAUUAUAACAAAAAGGUUUAUUUCUUUAGUUAUAUUAAAACAAAAAACAAAAAAUAACAAGGUUAGUUCAAAGAUUGAAAAAAAAAAAUACAUUAGAAAUAUUAUCAAUGUUUUAGUUUUAUUUUCAUACUCAUCUUGGGGUUUAUAUAAAAAUCAUUAAAUGAAAGUGGGUUCUAAAAGUCAAGAAAGGUUUAUUCCCUUAAAUGAAAGUAUUUUUAAAAUAUAAUUCUCAAAUAUAAAAUUCAAUUGCAUAACAAUCGUUAUUACCUUCAUAGAUACUUCUACUAAACAAACAAGUAAACUGCUAUCCUAUUAAAACAUAUGUUUGAAUUUUGUAUAGGCAUUUGAUAAAUAUAUAUAUAUAUAUAUAUAUAUAUAUAUAUAUAUAUAUAUUCACUUUGUGAAUAUAAGCUUCAAUGUUAUUUAAAUUUUCUUUUUUUAAAAAAUAAAUUAAACCCUUAUUAAGAUAUUGAAAACAAUAUUUUUAUUUUUAUUAUUCAUUAAAUCUUAUCGACACUCACUACUUAUUAAUACUCAUAUUUAAAUAACUUUAAAAAUUAUUACCCUUUUUUUUAUAAUAAGUGUCUAGUAAGUUUACAAAAUACAGGAGUUACUAAUUUUUCUAUUUUUCAAAACAAAAGAUAUAUUUACCAAUGGCAUAUUAAAAUUGUAUACCUCUUAACUAGUUUUGUAAGUGCACUAUUUUUUAAUUCCACUUUCAAUAUACUUCUCAUCAUAUAUUUUUAUAGUUAGAAUCAUUUAACAUUGACACAUUCAACAAAUCUUCAUCCAAACAAUGAAUAUGAAAAAUUAUAAAUUGAAUAAGUCUAUAUAUCGCCUAAAAUUGAUGAAAACACAAUAGAAUGGUAAUACUCUCCUCUUUCAUGUUCAUACAAACACAAUUUAACAUUUGGAUUAAACUUUUUGAAAUAUAAGUUUUUAUCAUUAAUUUGAAUUGAAACACCUUAUUGGAAAAUUGGGAGUCCUAUGAAGAAUUUACAAUACAGAAAAUUAUCGGUAAUUAUUAAGUAAUUACAUGGACUUAAAUAAAAAAGAAAAAAUUAGAGACAUGAAAUUGCUUUUAGAACUAAUCCAAUUGGUGGAAAUUUGAGAAAGCCUCCCAAUAGCCAAAGUAACAAACCCUAAACAUAAUAAUUAAUUCUUAGUACUAAGGGUAUGAAGACUUAAACCUCAUUCAAUGCAAACCAAAUCAUAUAGUGAGCUAUACUUUUUGUGGAGAAGUUAUUUUCUUGGACGCUAUAAUAAAAAUAUUUAGAUGGAUGACUUAGUACUUAAGAAAAAUUUUGUUUGUAAAUGUGAAUUCAUGUAAUCCAUAUAUCCUAAUGUUUUUAAUUUUUUAGUUUUAUUUUCAUAUUUAUCUUGGGGUUAUGUAAAAAGCAUUAACAAUAUUAUUUCGGAAUAACUAUUAAAAUGUUAAUUAUUUAUUUGUUGGUAUUAUAAUUUGGGAUGGUGAGAAUAGAGGAGCAAAGUACAAAGAGUCAGUGUAAGUAGGCCACGUGUAAUAUAUCUUUUCUCUUCCAACUUAGGCCCCACCCAAUAAUGGGCUUGGGGCAAAGCACCAACUAUUCAACUUGGAUUGGACUAGGCUAUCUAAGAAUUUGACAAUUUGUUGCUACUGCCUUAAUCUUUGUUUGUGGAUAUUUAAGAAUUUCAUUUUUUUUCCUUUAAAUACAAGAAUUCACCAAUUAAAACUAUGAACAUAUUUAUCUAUAACGAGGAAUUGGAAGAAAAGUGGGUUUAAAAGUCAAGAAUUUAACAAUAUAAAAAAAUUAUCUUUAUUUUUAAUAAAAAUAUUUUUUAAAUAUAAUUCUCAAGUAUAAAAUUCAAUUGAAUAACAAUGAUAAUUAUUACCUAAUCUACUAAACAAACAAUUUAAAUGCUAUCCUUUGAGAACACACAUUUGAAUUUUUUUUUAUAUGUAUUUCGUAAAAAGUUUUUUCUUUUUUACUUUGUUAAUAUAAGUGCUAAUAUUAUUAUUAUUUUUUUUAAAAGAUCAAACCCUUAUUAAGAUAUCAAAAACACUAUUUUUAUUUUUAUUUUUCAUUAAAUCUUAUUCACAUUCACUAUGUAUUCAUAGUAGCAUUUUUUAAGUAGCUUUAAAAAAUUAUUACCUUUGUAAAGUAAGUUUCCAUGAAGUCUGAGUUACUAUUUUUUUUUUUCUAUUUUUAAAAAUAGAAGAUGUAUUUAAAUGACACCCAAUUCAUUAAAAUUAUAUGCCUGACAACUAGUUUUGUCAAUGUGCUAUUUUUAAUUCCAUUUUCAGUAUACUUGUUAUCAUUUUUUUAAUGGUUGAAAUCAUUUAACAAUGAAUACAAAGCUUCACCCAAACAACGAAAAUGAAAAAAUUAACACAAAUUAACAUUUGGAUUGAUUAAACUUUCUCAAAUGUAAGUUUUUGUCAUUAAUUUGAAUCAAGAUGCUUGAUCGAAAAAUUGGGAGUCCUCAUAAGAACUUACAAUACAUAAAAUUAUAGGUAAUCAUUGAGUAAUUCUAUGGACUUGAAUGGAGAGAAAUUUUAUUCUAAAAAAAAAAGAGAAAAAAAUAGAAAAUUAAAGUCAUGUGAUUAUUUUCAAAACUAAUCCAAUUGAUGGAAAUUUGAGAAAGCCUCCUAACAGCUAAAGUAACUAACCCUAAACAUCAUAAUAAAGCACUAAGGGAAUAAGGACUGAAACUUGCUUGAUGCAAACUACUAUCUUUGCAUAUCUAAGUCUUCGAAUGGGCAAUAAUGCUUUUUGUGGAGAAAAUUGGACUUUUGCCCCUUAUGAUACACAAGCCAAGACUAAGAUUAAUUGCUCUCUUUAUUCCAAGUCUUUUGCAUAUCUAAGUCACACUAAGAUUAAUUGCUUUCUUUAUCCCAAGUCUUUUGCAUAUCUAAGUCAUCCAAUGGGCCACACUUUCUAUGGAGAAGACUAAACUUUUGCCCCUUGCGGUACGUAGGCCUCAUCCAAUGGGCCACACUUUUUAUGGAGAAUGCCAGACUUUUGUCCCUAGCAAUAUGAAUGCCAACACCAAUAUUAAUUGCUUUCUCUAUUCCAAGUCUUCUGCAUAUCUAAGUCCAUCCAAUGGGCCAUACUUUUUAUAGAUAAGACUAAACUUUUGCCCUUGUGAUAUGAAGACCAAGACUAAUUGGUUUCUUCAAUAUUCCAAGUUAUGUGCAUACUUCUAUGUAGGGUAAUAACAUAAGGAAGUUUCAUAUGGUUUUAUAAUGUGAGUCUAGAUUUGUUAUUCUGUUUUUUUUUCUUUACAUGCAUACACACACUUUUCCACUUAAAUAACAUAAUUUUUAUUUUUUCAAAUAAUCUUUGACAAAACUUUUAUCAUACCCCUUUUUAACUAUUAUACUAUUUUCCCAUAUCUAAAAUUUUCAAAGUACACAUUUUGUUUUGCAAUUAUUUCUUAACUACGUACAUUCCUUGGACACUACAAAAAUGAUUUUAUUUGAAAAUUAACCAAUAAAUAUAUUUAGAUGGAUGACUCAAAAUUUAAGGAAAAAAUUUGUUCAUCAAUACUAUUUCAUGUAGAAUAUAUAUGCAUAUGUAUCAAAGAAAAAUUUGUGGAUAUUUAAGAAUUUCAUUUUUUUUCUCUAAAUACAAGAAUUCACCUAUUAAAACUAUGAACAUAUUUAUCUAUAAUGAGGAAUUGGAAGAAAAGUGGGUUUAAAAGUCAAGAAUUUAACAAUAUAAAAAAAUUAUGUUUAUUUUUAAUAAAAAUAUUUUAAAAAUAUAAUUCUCAAGUAUAAAAUUCAAUUGAAUAACAAUUAUAAUUAUUACAUAAUCUACUAAACAAACAAGCUAAAUUCUGUCCUUUGAGAACACACAUUUGAAUUUUUUUUAUAUGUAUUUCGUAAAAAGUUUUUUUUUUUACUUUGUUAAUAUAAGUGCUAAUAUUAUUUUUUUUUUAAAAAUAUAGAUCAAACCCUUAUUAAGAUAUCAAAAACAAUAUUUUUAUUUUUAUUUUUCAUUAAAUCUUAUUGACAUUCACUAUGUAUUCAUAGUAGCAUUUUUUAAGUAGCUUUUGAAAAAUUAUUACCUUUGUAAAGUAAGUUUCUAUGAAGUCUGAGUUACUAUUUUUUUUUCUAUUUUUAAAAAUAGAAGAUGUAUUUAAAUGACACCCAAUUCCUUAAAAUUAUAUGCUUGACAACUAGUUUUGUUAAUGUGUUAUUUUUUAAUUCCAUUUUCAGUAUAGUUGUUAUCAUUUUUUUAAUGGUUGAAAUCAUUUUACAAUGAAUACAAAACUUCACCCAAACAACGAAUAUGAAAAAAUUAACACAAAUUAACAUUUGGAUUGAUUAAACUUUCUCAAAUGUAAGUUUUUGUCAUUAAUUUGAAUCAAGAUGCUUGAUCGAAAAUUGGGAGUCCUCAUAAGAACUUACAAUACAUAAAAUUAAAGGUAUUCAUUGAGUAAUUCUAUGGACUUGAAUGGAGAGAAAUUUUACUCUAAAAAAAUAGAGAAAAAGAAGAAGAAAAUUAAAGUCAUGUGAUUACUUUCAAAACUAAUCCAAUUGAUGGAAAUUUGAGAAAGCCUCCUAACAGCUAAAGUAACUAACCUUAAAUAUCAUAAUAAAGCACUAAGGGAAUGAGGACUGAAACUUUGCUUAAUGCAAACUACUAUCUUUGCAUAUCUAAUUCAUCCAAUGGGCAAUAAUACUUUUUGUGGAGAAAAUUGGACUUUUGCCCCUUGUGAUACACAAGCCAAGACUAAGAUUAAUUGUUGUCUUUAUUCCAAGUCUUUUGCAUAUCUAAGUCAUCCAAUGGGCCACACUUUCUAUGGAGAAGACUAAACUUUUGCCCCUUGCGGUAUGUAGGCCUCAUCCAAUGGGCCACACUUUUUAUGGAGAAUGCCAGACUUUUAUCCCUAGCAAUAUGAAUGCUAAGACCAAUAUUAAUUGCUUUCUCUAUUCCAAGUCUUCUACAUAUCUAAGUCCAUCCAAUGGGUCAUACUUUUUAUAGAUAAGACUAAAAUUUUGCCCUUGUGAUAUGAAGACCAAGACUAAUUGGUUUCUUCAAUAUUUCAAGUUAUGUGCAUACUUCUAUGUAGGGUAAUAAGAUAAGGAAGUUUCAUAUGGUUUUAUAAUGUGAGUUUAGAUUUGUUAUUUUGUUUUUUUUUUCUUUACAUGCAUACACACACUUUUCCUCUUAAAUAACAUAAUUUUUAUUUUUUCAAAUAAUCUUUGAAAAAACUUUUAUCAUACCCCUUUUUAACUAUUAUACUAUUUUCCCAUAUCUAAAAUUUUCAAAGUACACAUUUUGUUUUGCAAUUAUUUCUUAACUACGUACAUUCCUUGGACACUACAAAAAUGAUUUUAUUUGAAAAUUAACCAAUAAAUAUAUUUAGAUGGAUGACUCAAAAUUUAAGGAAAAAAUUUGUUCAUCAAUACUAUUUCAUGUAGAAUAUAUAUGCAUAUGUAUCAAAGAAAAACAUGAAAAAUUGAAAACUAUACAUGUAUAAAUAUUAAGAUAAGAUUCAUAUAUUGGUGCAAGUACAAAAGAAACAAUAUUUCAACAAUAAUGCUUUUUCCCUUUGAAACUUUACAUGGCUUUACUUGGAAACAACAUUUGGAUACAAGUACCAUAUACAAUUUUUUAAAAACCGUUCUUCAAAAAAUAAUUCUUAAAUUAAGACCGUUUAUGAUUUUACGUGGAAUUUGUGUUUUGAAAAAAUGGGUUUAAUAUAAUAAAAGUAAGCUUUUUAAAAAAAAAGAAAAAAAAGAAAAGACAAGUUAAGUAUAAAAAGUAGGAAUUACUCAUAUAUUGAAGAGAUAAAUUUAAUGUAAAAAAUAAAAAAAGUAAAAAAUAUUGUAUUCUUGUAUUUAUUUGUCAAACAACCAUUUUUAACAAUAUUCUUUUAAAAUAACAUUUUUUAAGAAAAAAUCCCAUGUUUUUUUUUUUUUUUGCCUCCCAAUUCAAUUUAAUAGACACCUUCGUCCUUUAAAAACUCAACUGCUUUAUAGAGAAGACCAAGACUUCUAGCUCGUGAUGUAGGGUUGUAUUUCGUAUUAUUUCUCAUUAAAAGAUAAGACUAACCCUAGAUGCUACUAACUAUGAAAGUUUUACUUUAGCUUAUGCAGGGACCUAUUUUAUGAUUAAAGAAACUUUUACAAACAAAUAUUCCCUUCUUUUUUUAAAAAAAAAAAAAAGAUUAUAUUUGGUUUCCAUUCCAUCUUUCACUUUAAGCUUAAAACAAAAAAUUAUCCUUAAUGAACCUUCUGCUAUACAUCUAUUCUUCAUAUUCUAAUUGCUUUAGGCAUGCUUAACUUUCUAAUUUAGUGAUUCACAUAGUAGUUAGAAAGCCAAACUCUAUCUUUAGGCUGAUAAGUUGUAAAAUCUAGUAGUCAUAGUUUUCACUUAAUUGUAGAUAAUUAAGAAGGAUGCAAGGUUAACUAAUAGUAAAAGAUAUAAUUGAAAGUGACAAAACUAAAUGGAUAUCAUUUGAGAAAUUAUUGUGGCCAAAGUGGAUAAGAAAUAUGAUCUCCUUUUUCUACUUAGUUGCCCUCCCACUUUUUCCAUGAAAUCUUAGCUUGUGAUUAAAAGUGGGCAAAAUAGUUCGACUCUUGAUCGGACAACCAACCCACGUUGUCAUUUUAAUGUGGAAGUGACUCUAAAUUUUUCUUUGAUUUGAAGUCAAUGGUCCCACAUUUGAAUUGGAAACUUCGAUGAAGUUUCUGAUAAUGAAAAUUUAAACUUAAAUUAUAAGGGAACCUUUGGGUAUAAAUUCAAGUCAUCUAUUAUUAUAUUUUUUCAUCACACACCAGCCAAUUUUUGUUAUAGCUUUUGAAGAUACGAUGUAUCGAAUCCUUUGCUUCCUCUUCUUUCUCUCAUAUUCUCCAGUUAUUUGUUUCUCUUUGUCUAAUUCUACAAAGCUGUGUCCUCAUCACCAGAAUGUUGCCUUGCUUCGACUUAAGCAAUUAUUUUCCAUAGAUGUCUCCGCUUCUUCUUCGGAUGAUUGCAAUUUAGCUUCUUUUGCCAAGACAGACACUUGGAAGGAAGGCACUAAUUGUUGCUCAUGGGAUGGUGUCACAUGCAAUAGGGUUACAGGCCUUAUAAUCGGGCUCGACCUUAGUUGCAGUGGCCUCUAUGGUACCAUUGAUUCCAACAGUAGCCUCUUCCUCUUGCCUCAUCUACGAAGGCUCAACCUCGCUUUCAAUGAUUUCAAUAAGUCAUCUAUUUCAGCUAAGUUUGGACAAUUCCGGAGAAUGACUCAUCUCAACCUUUCUUUCUCUGGAUUUUCAGGUGUAAUUGCUCCAGAAAUCUCCCACCUAUCCAACUUGGUUUCACUUGAUCUUUCCAUCUAUAGUGGAUUAGGACUUGAAACAAGUAGCUUCAUUGCACUUGCUCGAAACCUAACGAAGUUGCAGAAACUUCAUCUACGAGGUAUAAAUGUCUCUUCCAUUUUGCCUAUCUCCCUACUGAAUUUAUCUUCUUUGAGAUCUAUGGAUCUCUCUUCUUGUCAACUAUAUGGGAGAUUCCCUGACGAUGAUCUUCAACUGCCCAACCUUAAGGUUCUCAAGUUAAAGGGUAACCAUGAUCUCAGUGGGAAUUUCCCAAAGUUCAAUGAGAGUAAUUCCAUGCUGUUGUUGGAUCUUUCUUCUACAAAUUUCAGUGGGGAGCUUCCUAGUUCAAUAGGCAUUCUAAAGUCUUUAGAAAGUUUGGAUCUUUCUUCUACAAAAUUCAGUGGGGAGCUUCCUAGUUCAAUAGGUAGUCUAAAGUCUUUAGAAAGUUUGGAUCUCUCGCACUGCAAUUUCUCAGGUUCCAUUCCCUCGGUUUUAGGGAACCUCACACAAAUCACUCACUUGGACCUCUCAAGAAAUCAAUUUGAUGGUGAAAUUUCAAAUGUUUUCAAUAAGAUUAGAAAGCUAAUUGUAUUAGAUCUUUCCAGUAAUAGUUUCAGAGGUCAGUUCAUAGCAUCACUUGACAAUCUAACAGAACUUUCUUUCUUAGACCUUUCAAACAAUAACCUAGAAGGUAUCAUUCCUUCUCAUGUGAAGGAACUUUCAAGUCUAUCGGACAUCCAUUUGUCCAAUAACUUGUUGAAUGGGACAAUACCAUCUUGGUUGUUUAGUCUACCAUCAUUGAUAAGGUUAGAUCUCAGUCAUAACAAACUCAAUGGUCAUAUUGAUGAAUUCCAAUCCCCUUCAUUGGAGUCCAUUGAUUUGAGUAGUAAUGAGUUAGAUGGGCCAGUUCCAAGUUCCAUCUUUGAACUUGUAAAUCUUACAUAUCUCCAACUUUCUUCAAAUAACUUGGGUGGCAUUGUGGAGACAGACAUGUUCAUGAAUCUUGAAAAUCUUGUCUAUCUCGAUCUUUCAUAUAACAUUCUGACAUUGAGCAACUACAGCCAUUCCAACUGUGCGCUACCAUUCUUGGAAACAUUGUUGUUGUCUUCUUGCAACAUAAGUGAAUUCCCAAGAUUUUUAUGCAGUCAAGAGGUGUUGGAGUUUCUGGACCUUUCAAACAACAAGAUUUAUGGACAACUUCCGAAAUGGGCAUGGAAUAUGGGUACGGAGACACUGUCUUACUUCAAUCUUUCUCAAAACUUGCUAACCAGGUUUGAGAGAUUUCCAUGGAAGAAUAUGCUAUUUCUCGACCUUCAUUCCAACUUGCUUCAAGGACCACUUCCAUCAUUGAUUUGUGAAAUGAGUUAUAUUAGUGUUCUGGAUUUCUCUAAUAACAACUUGAGUGGAUUAAUUCCACAAUGUUUGGGAAACUUCAGUGAGUCUCUCUCUGUUUUGGAUUUGCGAAUGAAUCAGCUUCAUGGUAACAUUCCUGAAACGUUUUCGAAGGGCAAUUUUAUCAGGAAUCUUGGCUUCAAUGGAAAUCAAUUGGAAGGGCCUCUACCACGAUCUUUGAUCAAUUGUAGAAGGUUGCAAGUUUUAGACCUUGGAAAUAAUAGAAUAAAUGAUACAUUCCCUUAUUGGUUGGAAACUCUUCCAGAGCUACAAGUUUUGAUCUUGCGUUCUAAUAGGUUCCAUGGUCACAUAAGCGGUUCAAAUUUCCAAUUUCCAUUUCCCAAGUUACGAAUAAUGGAUCUUUCACGCAAUGAUUUCUCUGGUAGUUUACCGGAAAUGUAUUUGAAGAAUUUCAAGGCAAUGAUGAAUGUCACUGAGGAUAAAAUGAAACUGAAAUAUAUGGGGGAAUACUAUUAUCGAGAUUCGAUAAUGGGAACAAUCAAAGGAUUUGAUUUUGAAUUUGUAAUUUUGUCUACCUUCACAACAAUUGAUUUGUCCAGCAAUAGAUUCCAAGGAGAGAUUCUAGAUUUCAUUGGAAGUCUUAGUUCACUUCGAGAACUCAACUUGUCUCAUAACAAUCUUACAGGGCAUAUUCCAUCAUCAUUGGGGAAUCUAAUGGUGCUUGAAUCAUUAGACCUCUCUUCAAACAAGCUUAGUGGGAGAAUUCCAAGGGAGUUGACAAGUCUGACAUUUCUUGAAGUCUUAAAUCUUUCGAAAAAUCAUCUCACUGGAGUCAUUCCUCGAGGCAACCAAUUUGAUACAUUUGCAAAUAAUUCAUAUAGUGGGAAUAUAGGAUUAUGUGGACUUCCCUUGUCUAAGAAAUGUGUAGUUGAUGAAGCACCACAACCUCCCAAAGAAGAGGAGGUGGAAUCCGAUACUGGAUUUGAUUGGAAAGUCAUAUUGAUGGGGUAUGGUUGUGGACUAGUAGUUGGAUUGUUUAUGGGGUGCCUCGUCUUCUUAACAAGAAAACCUAAAUGGUUUGUAACAAUGAUUGAAGGAGAUAGACAUAAGAAGGUUAGAAGGUCAACAAGGAGCACUCGCAGGCAUGGAGCAAGAAGAAGUUAGGCCAUUUCUAUGAUAUCGUAUUUUGUGGUGAAUGAUACUAAUGAAUGUUGCAUUCUUAUGUAAACAAAUAACAUGUAUUGUGAUUAAUGAAGUAAGAGUCUUUGAAGUUGUAAAAAUAUUUGUUUUUAUUUUUUCUUUCUUGAAAUGGAAUAAUAUGUAGUAACAAUAUUUUCAAAUCAUCACUACCAUUUAACUUAUUUAUAUAUCAUGAUCGAAAGUAUUUUUAAAUGUUGGGUUAUGUAAUUAGUAAAGGUAGAACUCAUAAGGUUUUGCAAAGAAUUAGAAGCAAUUGAUUGCUUAUCACUAAAAGACUAACGAAUUUUUGUUAGGAACAAAGGGUGAUUUUUUACAAGAAUGAUAUUGAAAGGGUUGUAAAUUAAUGAAAUCCAAAUUCCAAUUUUAGGUUACAAAUGUUCACUAGACUCUCCUCCACAUAAUACAUUUAUCUUAACAUGAAACAUUUAACUGGUCUUUACUACGAGUCUUGCCUAUGGAAGACUAAUUAAGCAUUCAUAAAACAUUAAUUAAUUCAUGCUCAAAUUGGAUUAUGUUAUUAUUUUAGAGGUUACUUGCUUAUCACUUAUCUCACGAUUUAAAUGCAUUCAAAAGUUAUUUUCUUUUACUUCAACUCAAACUCUUCCCUAUCAAAAUAAUAUGAUCUUAUAUUAAAAAUAAUAUUUUUAUUAUAUAUUUAUAGUUAUUUAUUAGAUAGAAAAUUCCUUCUUUCAGAAUUCCUGAAUCUCUCUCUUAUAGGCUAGGUGGAGUAAUUUAAGAGCCCUUUUUUUCCUCUCUUUUUUUUUGUUGGGCUCCAGCCAGCCCAUCAGACAAUGAAUUCAAGGAUUGUUGGGCUCCUUUUGAGGGCCAAAGUUGGCUUUAAUGCUUGGAAGAGGACUCAAUCAGUUCCAUGCCAAUGAAUUUAUAUCAAGCUCUUGACUUUUAUCUCAUACGUACACAAAGCUUCUGUCAUUCAAACUUCUCUUUUUUAUUUAUUAUUAUUAUUAUUAUUUUAAUUUAAGUGUGUUUUAGCUUAUUCAUAGUCAAAUAAAAGAUUUUUAUUUUAAAAUAAAAUAAUGUGUCUUUCAAUUUUUAAAUUUUAUCUUUUAAAAAAUUGUUUAUCAUAUCAUCAUCAACAAAUGAGUGAGUGACAGGCGGACAGUUGAGGCCCAAAGGGGGUGCAGUGGGUUCUUUGGGCCCAGAUUCUGGCACAAGAGAGCACAUGCUAGCCCAAUCAUGAUUUAGCUAAACCCAUGAAAGAAGACUCUAUCUUACCUUAAGUUUAUUACUAUCUACCCAAUAACAUGGUGUGCUGGAUUUGGCAUCUUGAGUUGGAUUCUAAGCAUUAUUUUAAGGCUAUGUUGCUCGAAAGUGUUAAACAAAGGAGAAAAAUUUGCUAAAAAAAUAAAAAAAAGUAAUAAUAUACAUAUUAAGUUGUUUUAUUGAAAAAAUCAAUAUAUGUAUAAUAAAAUUUAUGAUAAUCCAUAAUAAUUUACAAUAUUUGAACUCAUAUUUAAUAUUUAGUUUAUAUAUAUUUAUGAUAAUGCAUAUAUAAUAAUCUUUUUUGAAAUAUAGAUUCAUUUAUUGUUUGAAAUAUUAUAUGGAUUGCUUUAUAAUAAUUUUUUUUUUUUUUUUUGGGGGAAUCAUUCAAUGAAUUUUUCUACUUUGGGGCAACGUUACCACACUGGAUAGGCAGCCUCAUCUCACUUACAGAGCUUGGAGUUCAUGAAUGCCGUCAAUUGAAAUCACUACCAAAAGAGAUGCGUUCCCUUAAAAACCUGCAGAAAUUCUAUAUCUGGGAUUGUCAACAUCUAGAGAAAAUAUGCCGACAGAAAACAGGGGAAGACUGGCCCAGGAUUGCUCAUAUCCCACAUAUUGAUUUCUACACUGAUCAGUGAAUAACAAGGGAGGUCCGAAAUCCCUAACCUUUCUUCUCAUUUUUAUUAUUUUUUCGAUCAAAAUGCAAGGUUUUCUCAUUCUCUCUUGGUAAUUCUUUUAUAUUGGCACUUCAUAUGUUUGUUAAAAUGCCCACAUCAGUAAAUCGAUUUUUUUUUUCCAGACCACAUAUACAGUCGAUGAUGAUGUACAUGAAACUCAUCAUUUUACUUGGGGUUGAGGCGAGAUUUGAUAUGAUAUCUCUCCCAGAGGAGCUGAUUCAACAUGUUUCCAUGAUCUAAAGUCUCAACAUUAGACAUCGCUCUGUUUUUGAAACAUUACAACACUGGAUAGGCAGCCUCCCCUCAGUUACAGAACUUGGAAUUCAUGGCUGCCAGAAGGUACGUUCCCUCGAAAACCUGUAGAUGCUCAAAAUCUACAUUGAAGUUAAUGAGGGCUGAGGUGCUGUGUCAGUUAAUGUUUCUCUCCCCUUCAUUGAAGUCUCUGUCUAUUGGAUGCUCAGGUGCUAUGAUGUCUCCCAGAGGAGCUGCCUCAGCAUGUUUCCAGGAUCCAAACUCUCAAAAUUGAAUUCUGCUCUGGUUUUGCAAUAUUACUGCCCUGGAUAGGUCGCUUCACCUCACUUAUGGACCUUCAUAUUUGUGACUGCGCUGAAUUGGCAUCACUUUCAGAAGAGAUGCAUUCCCUCAAAAACCUUCUGACACUAAAAAAUCUUUCAUUGUCGGCACCUGCUUGAAGAUGCCAAAAAGAAACAUUUCAGGUUCAAGAACACAGAGAGCCAUACUUGAUGGAGAUUUCAUCAAUAUAGAGAGGCAUUUCAAGUCUGAAAUCCACCCUUCUCAUUUCUUAUGGCUUCAUUUUGAUUUAAUUUCCUAAUUACAUGAAUUCUAUAUCUGUAAUCCCAGUAUGUAUUAGCACAUAAGUCAAAAGUGAUUUUGAUUUUUUUUAUGUCCACACCUUAUUCAUUUGAUGAAAUGCUUAAACAAGUUUGAAAUUUUUUCCCUUCAAAUCAAUUUCUAAUGCACCAUGAAUUGGUAAUUGAAGUUUGGAAAGAUGUUGGGUUGAUUUAAUUAUUAUUUUGUUGCAGAUUUCAACUUGCUUAAGACGCUUGUGAUUAUUUCUUCUUGGCUCAACUUGAAAUCACUGCCUACGUUCUUCCAUUUCCUACCUCAAAAUCACCUACCAAAAGUUUUGGAUUGGUUAAAAAUUUUCUCAUGGCCCAUAAAUUCGUAUCUAUCAGAUGGCUGAUAUACAAAGGUCCUGCUUUCCUUAGAAAUCAGGUCUACUCUCUGCCAUAUUUUUCAGGUAAUCUGUUGCCUGCUUUUAAUCUCUACAUCAUCUUUCGUUUUGAUAUCAAUUUUUGUCAGGAGUGUCAUACAAGUUGUAAUUAUAUUUGUGAACUUUCAUAUGCACUAUCAUUUUUUAUUGUUUUUUAAUAUAUAACUCCAACCAAACAUAUCAUAGACCAAAAACUUAUUAUGUCUGUCAAGUAGUUUGUUUUUUUCCCCCUUCAUUUGGUGAUGUUGUUUUGGGCCUAGAUAAUUUUUUAGAUUAAUUAAUGCAAAUGUAAUGUUGUCUAAUCAAUACAAAAACUAAUAGUUGUGAGGCUUGGAUACGUGGCUUCCUUGAUCAGUAACUGAAUUGAGUGUUUCUGUAGGCUGGUGUCUCUAUAUUUGGAAAUUCAGAGAGUUGCAAAUUCCAAGGAAUUGGAAGAUUGAGUCGCUGUCUCUACCAUUAGGGCUUCAAUGAGUUACCAUUCUGGAAAUUAUAAAAAAAAAACAUCAGAUUGCCUCAUAUCUUUGAAUCGAAAUCACUGCUAGAAGGAUGUGCUUCCCAACACUCUCAUGGGCUCUUUGACUUUGCCAUCUACAAUACAUCAGAGGUUCAUGAUCCAUCCUCUAUUCCUGCUUUGGGGGGCUUCAAUUUUUAUAUUAUUUUUCCGUUAAUACUCUAAAAAUGUUAUAUUCUAUUUUUAAUUCUUUUUACCUGAGUCUUAUGCAUUAGCACACAAGAGAAAAGUCAUAUAACACUUUCAUAAUGCAAUCAUUUUCCAUUGUUAGCCAUAUACUAUUUUUCUUAUAUAUAGCUAAGGCAUCCAAUAAAUAUGCCUACACUCACCAGAAAAAUACCCAUCUCGUCAUCUCCAACUCUGCUCUUUUGAGUUGCUGCUCAUGGCUCCAAAAUGAUGGGUGUUUUUCCAUUUUGUUUUUGUCUUCAGUGAGCUUAGAAGACGAGAUUUGAAGGACAGUGUUAGUGGGUUUUGGUGGGAAUGUAGAUUUGGUGGACCUAAUGCUACUGCUGUCUGGUUUUAAGAAAAGAGGGUUGCGGUGACGAGAAUGAGGUAAUUUUGGGUCGUGAAUGGAGAAAGAGACGAAUUUGAGGUUGAGGGUUUGAUGAAGGAAGCUACGUUGUGUGAGAUUAUGCUCUGAUCCUUGUUUAGAAUUUUGGGUCUAUUAAAUUCACGUAUAUUGUUUGCCAUUCCAACCCUCUUAUUGCUUUUGAAGACAAUAUUAUUUUUGUAAAAUCCUACCUUCAAAGAUACCAAUUCCUUGUAUUUUUACUUUAAUGGUUAUAAUCUGUAUGUGAUCUUCUUAUUUUAUAUUUGUAUUUUACAUGUUCGGAAAUUUUAGUUCAGGUGUUUAAGUGUUGCCAAGUCAAAGCAAUGCCAGAUAGUGAUGUACUUGUGACACCUUACUUCUCUAAAGCUACUCGAAAGUGGGGAUUGUUGCCUACCACAUCUCAUUUCUCUCAAGUCGUCGAAAAUUCAGUGAUGUGUCAAUAGCCUAAUGUCUUUGUCACAAGUGAUUUAGGGAUUCAGAUUGUUUCUCUGAAUUGACAUAAAUAAUAUGUUCUGGUUUGGUAACAUUAUCACACUCAAUGGACAACCUCCAUUUACUAACAUCUUCAAGUUUUUUAGGGAAAAAAACUGUGGAAAACUGUGUUUUGGCUCGCCCAUUUGGGCCUAAUAGCUUUUUGGUAACCCAACUUUCCAUAACCCAAAAAAUGUCCACUGUUGCCCAAAAAAAUAUCCCUUUCAUGCACUAUCCACUGUUUUAUAAUUUCAUUUCCAAAAUUACCCCUCCAGCCUUCCAUAUCAGCAGCCAUCUCCCUCUCCAUGUCACGGGUUGUGCUUUUAAAUAAACACAAAAAUCUUAAACAAGUUAGCAAAACCCACGCAAGACCCGACUCUGAAAUUUGGGGAAACCAGGUUAGGGCAAAAGGAGAGAAAGUCACAGAGAGUCCUUAGCUCCUUUCUCUUCUCUCUCUUUUCUCUCUGUUGUGUGAAUUUUUCAGUGAAAAAUCGAAAGCUUGUAAGCUGUAAUCGAAAGUUAGGUUCAGUGCUUUUUUGGUACUUUGUCGGAUGGCCCAAGCAGCCAGUAGCAGAUACUCAAAUUUUAUGCUUGGGUUUUACUUGAAUGCUCAUACAUUAGCUGUCAUCUUCAAGGUCCAUUUGGUUUUAAUGCAUCUGGAUCACGCAGCUGAGCAGAGGAAAGAGGAAAUGAAUCUGUUACUGGUUUGAUAUUUUUGGGGCUUAGGUGCUUACGAGUUGUACGGUGUAAGCAAAAUCCUCGUUAAAAGUCUAACUUAAGACAACUGGCUCUAAAUAGCAUAUGGCCUGGCGUUGAAAGUGGCUGUAGCCUACAAUCUCAAAUCAAGGGGUGAGUCCCGUACCAUUUAAAAGAAUUGUGACCUUCAGUGUCAGAAAUUUUCAGUUAAAUACAAAUGAAUUGCAUCUUCUUCACUGAAUUUUCAGCCUCCGGUUUCAUCUUUGCGAGGUGAGAUUCACAUUCAUUUUCCAUUGAUCGAAUUCCCCCUCCUCUGCCACAGCCUGGCUAGGGACUCGGUUAAGUUAAGAUGCUAACACUGAAUGAAAAUUGAUUCCAACAAUUUUCAUCAAUCAAUUCCUCAAGUACAAAAGCAGAUGGUGUAUGGUGGAUUGCAGUAAUAGACGAAGUUGGUUUAGUUUAUCCCUCCUUUGAUGGGCACAAGGAUAAAACCAUCUAUUGCUGGGCAAGGUAGCUAGAUGCAGCUUUCCCCAGAAGGCUCGAGGUAGCAGAAUGUCCAUUUUGGUCUCAAGUCGCUCAACAUUGCUGAAGUUCCUUUGCAAUCCUAAUGGAGACUGCCAUUGGGCAGUUUGUCUUAAUUGCGUUGGAGGCAAUGUGUGACCUGCUAACAGCAUAUCCCUCCUGCAACAACCAAAUCCAACAGAUGGACUGCAUCAGUUUCUGUAAACCAUUUGUUGGAGCUCCAGACCAUAGCAAAUAUCUCCAACUUCAAUUGGGAGUGAUCAGCUUCUAUAGAACAAUAAAAUGCCAUACCAUAUUAUAAUUUCCCCUUAUAUUUUUCCCAUUCUCCUAAGCUGGGGCUUGAUGAGUUUUUAGACCAAAAGACUUGUGCAAGUAAACAUCAUCUGGAUCAGGCAACAAAAAAAAAAAUUACCUGACUCUGUUUCUUGGCUAAUGACAAUUGAAAAGCCUCUAAAAGAGAACACUAGGAGGAUACCUUGUUCAGGGCGCUCAUCAUGGUCAUGAGGGGAGGAGAGUUUAUUUUUGCACGGCUUGCUACCUAGGAACAUAAGAGGAAAAUCAAUAAUGAAAUUGCAUUCAAUUUCCAAGCCAUGCAACAGAGCUUGAGAAUUAAUUCACAACCAAAUCAAGAAUCUAAAACACAAAAUUAUGUUAUUUGCAAGUAAACCUCAUCCAAUUUGAUGUAUCCAAAUGGUAAUUUAGGGUCACUCUCAUCGAUCAUUUGCUUCAGAAGUUUUCCCAGAUGAGUUUCAGUGUCAUUGCCAGUCCAUCCCCAUUGUUCAGCUAAAUUUAGCAUUUCUGUAAGGUAGGAAGCAUUAUGGCAGAGAUUAUCAAAUACAGUGGUUUUGCUUUUAAGUUGCUUAGGUACUACCUUAAUGACCUUUAGGUACUACCUUAGUGGCCUUCAGGUACUACCUUAAGGGACCCUAGGUACUACCUUAGCUAAACUUCAACCCAACCUCUCCCAAGCCUUUGUUCUUCAUUUGUGACCCUUAGACCAUGCCAUUAUAUGCUUCUCUUGAGUCCUCAAGUGGUCCACCAAUGGUUUUUUGCUACUGUUCCUUAGGUACUACCUUAGUGGCCUUAAGGUACUACCUUAAUGGCCUUCAGGUACUACCUUAAGGGACCUUAGGUACUACCUUAGCUAAACUUCAACUCAACCUCUCCCAAGCCUUGGGUCUUCAUUUGUGACCCUUAGACCAUGCCAUUAUAUGCUUCUCUUGAGUCCUCAAGUGGUCCACCAAUGGUUUUUUGCUACUGUUGCUUAGGUACUACCUUAAUGGCCUUUAGGUACUACCUUAGUGGCCUUCAGGUACUACCUUAAAGGACCCUAGGUACUACCCUAGCUAAACUUCAACUCAACCUCUUCCAAGCCUCGGGUCUUCAUUUGUGACCCUUAGACCAUGCCAUUAUAUGCUUCUCNNNNNNNNNNNNNNNNNNNNNNNNNNNNNNNNNNNNNNNNNNNNNNNNNNNNNNNNNNNNNNNNNNNNNNNNNNNNNNNNNNNNNNNNNNNNNNNNNNNNNNNNNNNNNNNNNNNNNNNNNNNNNNNNNNNNNNNNNNNNNNNNNNNNNNNNNNNNNNNNNNNNNNNNNNNNNNNNNNNNNNNNNNNNNNNNNNNNNNNNNNNNNNNNNNNNNNNNNNNNNNNNNNNNNNNNNNNNNNNNNNNNNNNNNNNNNNNNNNNNNNNNNNNNNNNNNNNNNNNNNNNNNNNNNNNNNNNNNNNNNNNNNNNNNNNNNNNNNNNNNNNNNNNNNNNNNNNNNNNNNNNNNNNNNNNNNNNNNNNNNNNNNNNNNNNNNNNNNNNNNNNNNNNNNNNNNNNNNNNNNNNNNNNNNNNNNNNNNNNNNNNNNNNNNNNNNNNNNNNNNNNNNNNNNNNNNNNNNNNNNNNNNNNNNNNNNNNNNNNNNNNNNNNNNNNNNNNNNNNNNNNNNNNNNNNNNNNNNNNNNNNNNNNNNNNNNNNNNNNNNNNNNNNNNNNNNNNNNNNNNNNNNNNNNNNNNNNNNNNNNNNNNNNNNNNNNNNNNNNNNNNNNNNNNNNNNNNNNNNNNNNNNNNNNNNNNNNNNNNNNNNNNNNNNNNNNNNNNNNNNNNNNNNNNNNNNNNNNNNNNNNNNNNNNNNNNNNNNNNNNNNNNNNNNNNNNNNNNNNNNNNNNNNNNNNNNNNNNNNNNNNNNNNNNNNNNNNNNNNNNNNNNNNNNNNNNNNNNNNNNNNNNNNNNNNNNNNNNNNNNNNNNNNNNNNNNNNNNNNNNNNNNNNNNNNNNNNNNNNNNNNNNNNNNNNNNNNNNNNNNNNNNNNNNNNNNNNNNNNNNNNNNNNNNNNNNNNNNNNNNNNNNNNNNNNNNNNNNNNNNNNNNNNNNNNNNNNNNNNNNNNNNNNNNNNNNNNNNNNNNNNNNNNNNNNNNNNNNNNNNNNNNNNNNNNNNNNNNNNNNNNNNNNNNNNNNNNNNNNNNNNNNNNNNNNNNNNNNNNNNNNNNNNNNNNNNNNNNNNNNNNNNNNNNNNNNNNNNNNNNNNNNNNNNNNNNNNNNNNNNNNNNNNNNNNNNNNNNNNNNNNNNNNNNNNNNNNNNNNNNNNNNNNNNNNNNNNNNNNNNNNNNNNNNNNNNNNNNNNNNNNNNNNNNNNNNNNNNNNNNNNNNNNNNNNNNNNNNNNNNNNNNNNNNNNNNNNNNNNNNNNNNNNNNNNNNNNNNNNNNNNNNNNNNNNNNNNNNNNNNNNNNNNNNNNNNNNNNNNNNNNNNNNNNNNNNNNNNNNNNNNNNNNNNNNNNNNNNNNNNNNNNNNNNNNNNNNNNNNNNNNNNNNNNNNNNNNNNNNNNNNNNNNNNNNNNNNNNNNNNNNNNNNNNNNNNNNNNNNNNNNNNNNNNNNNNNNNNNNNNNNNNNNNNNNNNNNNNNNNNNNNNNNNNNNNNNNNNNNNNNNNNNNNNNNNNNNNNNNNNNNNNNNNNNNNNNNNNNNNNNNNNNNNNNNNNNNNNNNNNNNNNNNNNNNNNNNNNNNNNNNNNNNNNNNNNNNNNNNNNNNNNNNNNNNNNNNNNNNNNNNNNNNNNNNNNNNNNNNNNNNNNNNNNNNNNNNNNNNNNNNNNNNNNNNNNNNNNNNNNNNNNNNNNNNNNNNNNNNNNNNNNNNNNNNNNNNNNNNNNNNNNNNNNNNNNNNNNNNNNNNNNNNNNNNNNNNNNNNNNNNNNNNNNNNNNNNNNNNNNNNNNNNNNNNNNNNNNNNNNNNNNNNNNNNNNNNNNNNNNNNNNNNNNNNNNNNNNNNNNNNNNNNNNNNNNNNNNNNNNNNNNNNNNNNNNNNNNNNNNNNNNNNNNNNNNNNNNNNNNNNNNNNNNNNNNNNNNNNNNNNNNNNNNNNNNNNNNNNNNNNNNNNNNNNNNNNNNNNNNNNNNNNNNNNNNNNNNNNNNNNNNNNNNNNNNNNNNNNNNNNNNNNNNNNNNNNNNNNNNNNNNNNNNNNNNNNNNNNNNNNNNNNNNNNNNNNNNNNNNNNNNNNNNNNNNNNNNNNNNNNNNNNNNNNNNNNNNNNNNNNNNNNNNNNNNNNNNNNNNNNNNNNNNNNNNNNNNNNNNNNNNNNNNNNNNNNNNNNNNNNNNNNNNNNNNNNNNNNNNNNNNNNNNNNNNNNNNNNNNNNNNNNNNNNNNNNNNNNNNNNNNNNNNNNNNNNNNNNNNNNNNNNNNNNNNNNNNNNNNNNNNNNNNNNNNNNNNNNNNNNNNNACCAUGCCAUUAUAUGCUUCUCUUGAGUCCUCAAGUGGUCCACCAAUGGUUUUUUGCUACUGUUGCUUAGGUACUACCUUAAUGGCCUUUAGGUACUACCUUAGUGGCCUUCAGGUACUACCUUAAAGGACCCUAGGUACUACCCUAGCUAAACUUCAACUCAACCUCUCCCAAGCCUCGGGUCUUCAUUUGUGACCCUUAGACCAUGCCAUUAUAUGCUUCUCUUGAGUCCUCAAGUGGUCCACCAAUGGUUUUUUGCUACUGUUGCUUAGGUACUACCUUAAUGGCCUUUAGGUACUACCUUAGUGGCCUUCAGGUACUACCUUAAGGGACCCUAGGUACUACCUUAGCUAAACUUCAACUCAACAUCUCCCAAGCCUCGGGUCUUCAUUUGUGACCCUUAGACCAUGCCAUUAUAUGCUUCUCUUGAGUCCUAAAGUGGUCCACCAAUGGUUUUUUGCUACUGUUGCUUAGGUACUACCUUAAUGGCCUUUAGGUACUACCUUAGUGGCCUUCAGGUACUACCUUAAGGGACCCUAGGUACUACCUUAGCUAAACUUCAACCCAACCUCUCCCAAGCCUCCGUUCUUCAUUUGUGACCCUUAGACCAUGCCAUUAUAUGCUUCUCUUGAGUCCUCAAGUGGUCCACUAAUGGUUUUUUGUUAAUGUUCCUUAGGUACUACCUUAAUGGCCUUAAGGUACUACCUUAGUAGCCUUCAGGUACUACCUUAAGGGACCCUAGGUACUACCUUAGCUAAACUUCAACUCAACAUCUCCCAAGCCUCGGGUCUUCCUUUGUCACCCUUAGACCAUGCCAUUAUAUGCUUCUCUUGAGUCCUCAAGUGGUCCACCAAUGGUUUUUUGCUACUAUUCCUCAGGUAGUACCUUAGUGGCCUUAAGGUAGUACCUUAGUGGCCUUAAGGUAGUACCUUAGUGGCCUUAAGGUAGUACCUUAGUGGCCUUCAGGUACUACCUUAAGGGACCCUAGGUACUACCUUAAGGUAAACUUAAACUCAACAUCUCCCAAGCCUCGGGUCUUCCUUGGUCACCCUUAGACCAUCCCAUUAUGUGGUUCUCUUCAUUCCUCAAGUCGUCCACCAAUGGUUUGUUGGGACUGUAGCUUAGGUACUACCUUAAGGGCCCUUAGGUACUACCUUAGUGGCCUUGAGGUACUACCUUAAGGGACCCUAGGUACUACCUUAAGGUAAAUUUCAACUCAACCUCUCCCAAGCCUCGGGUCUUCCUUGGUCACCCUUAGACCAUCCCAUAAUGUUGUUCUCUUCAUUCCUCAAGUGCUCCACCAAUGGUUUUUUGGGACUGUAGCUUAGGUACUACCUUAAGGGCCCUUAGGUACUACCUUAGUGGCCUUGAGGUACUACCUUAAGGGACCCUAGGUACUACCUUAAGGUAAACAUAAACUCAACCACUCCAAAGCCUUGGGUCUUCAUUGGUGACCCUUAGACCAUCCAAUUAUGUGGUUCUCUUCAUUCCUCAAGUCGUCCACCUAUGGUUUCUUGGGACAGUAGCUUAGGUACUACCUUAAGGGCCCUUAGGUACUACCUUAGUGGCCUUGAGGUACUACCUUAAGGGACCCUAGGUACUACCUUAAGGUAAACUUGAACUCAACCUCUCCCAAGCAUCAGGUCUUCCUUGGUGACCCUUAGACCAUCCAAUAAUGUGGUUCUCUUCAUUCCUCCAUUAAAGAUUAAACUUGUUAUCUCUAUGAAUGAACUUAAACUUCAUAUGAGGGGGAACGGGUUUGAAGGUGUUGAGCUAAGAAACAUCCAUGAUGCACUAAUUUUCACUAAUUAUUUAAUUUUCACAAUUGUUAAACAUGGUUUUAGGUCUCUAUGAACACGUUGAUUCAUGGUGCUCAAUUUCCUUGAAAGGAAAAAGAAAAAAAUUCAUGGUUCUGUUUGUCUAAGAUUGCAUCUAAGGAUUUCAUUUUUCUUGUGUGCUUUUCGGUAAUUAUUUUCUGUAGAAAUUUGAAGAUCUAGAUAUGUGUACUCUAGAAGAAUUAUAGGAUUCGAUUUGUCCUGAUCAUGAUCAUGUGCAAAUUUUGGUUUACUGAUUUUAGUUUUCUUUCAAAAUUUUCUUGUUAGGAAAUCUCAAAUUUCUCUUUUUCAUGUGCAAGUAUUUCAUAAGCAUUGAGCAAAAGUCAUCAGAAACCCAACUUGUGAAUUGUGAUGGCAGGUACACCCAUACACUUAUCGGAAUGAGAACCAGUUCUUACACUUUAACUUCCAUCAAGACCCAUAUGCAGAAUAUGAUUAUUGGAUAAACAAGAUAGGAGUUGAUGGACUCUUCACAUAUUUCACUGGCAGCCUCCAUGACUUUCAGGAAUGGACCUCUCCUCUCUCUCAAGAUGAUGGUGAUGAUGAUGGCAAUGCUGCUAAAUUGUUUCAUAAGAUUGCAACUUUAGUCUCUCCCUACAAGAAGGGAUGAUAGUGUAAAAUGCAACUUCUCAAGACUGUAGCUUAGGGUAGAAAUCUCUNNNNNNNNNNNNNNNNNNNNNNNNNNNNNNNNNNNNNNNNNNNNNNNNNNNNNNNNNNNNNNNNNNNNNNNNNNNNNNNNNNNNNNNNNNNNNNNNNNNNNNNNNNNNNNNNNNNNNNNNNNNNNNNNNNNNNNNNNNNNNNNNNNNNNNNNNNNNNNNNNNNNNNNNNNNNNNNNNNNNNNNNNNNNNNNNNNNNNNNNNNNNNNNNNNNNNNNNNNNNNNNNNNNNNNNNNNNNNNNNNNNNNNNNNNNNNNNNNNNNNNNNNNNNNNNNNNNNNNNNNNNNNNNNNNNNNNNNNNNNNNNNNNNNNNNNNNNNNNNNNNNNNNNNNNNNNNNNNNNNNNNNNNNNNNNNNNNNNNNNNNNNNNNNNNNNNNNNNNNNNNNNNNNNNNNNNNNNNNNNNNNNNNNNNNNNNNNNNNNNNNNNNNNNNNNNNNNNNNNNNNNNNNNNNNNNNNNNNNNNNNNNNNNNNNNNNNNNNNNNNNNNNNNNNNNNNNNNNNNNNNNNNNNNNNNNNNNNNNNNNNNNNNNNNNNNNNNNNNNNNNNNNNNNNNNNNNNNNNNNNNNNNNNNNNNNNNNNNNNNNNNNNNNNNNNNNNNNNNNNNNNNNNNNNNNNNNNNNNNNNNNNNNNNNNNNNNNNNNNNNNNNNNNNNNNNNNNNNNNNNNNNNNNNNNNNNNNNNNNNNNNNNNNNNNNNNNNNNNNNNNNNNNNNNNNNNNNNNNNNNNNNNNNNNNNNNNNNNNNNNNNNNNNNNNNNNNNNNNNNNNNNNNNNNNNNNNNNNNNNNNNNNNNNNNNNNNNNNNNNNNNNNNNNNNNNNNNNNNNNNNNNNNNNNNNNNNNNNNNNNNNNNNNNNNNNNNNNNNNNNNNNNNNNNNNNNNNNNNNNNNNNNNNNNNNNNNNNNNNNNNNNNNNNNNNNNNNNNNNNNNNNNNNNNNNNNNNNNNNNNNNNNNNNNNNNNNNNNNNNNNNNNNNNNNNNNNNNNNNNNNNNNNNNNNNNNNNNNNNNNNNNNNNNNNNNNNNNNNNNNNNNNNNNNNNNNNNNNNNNNNNNNNNNNNNNNNNNNNNNNNNNNNNNNNNNNNNCAAUGCAACAAAACGCCAUGUAUGUCUGCAAAACAUAUAUUACAAUAAUGGUAUGUGCAUUCCAAGUUAGGAUUAAGCUUCCUCUAUAUUCAAUGGGAUGUGUCUUAAGAUAUAGAGGGAACUGAAGGCAUACUGACUAAAUAUCAUUAUCCAAAGAACAAAAUAAACUAAGGAGCCUAUUGUGAAGUCUUCAUCUUUGAUAUCUCCUCCAACAGUAAUCUGGAUUCAGCUGCAAAAUCAACUGGAACAACAGCCCUGGCUGUUAUCCUCUGCCUUUUCUCGUUCAUGUACUCAUGUUGUGCAACACUAAUCCGGAAAAGCUGAGGGACCCAAAUAGCUUCCUUCAAUUUCUGUUGGAAUAGGUUCUCUUCUCCCUCCUGCAGAGAAGAUUGGGUUUUUUAAACAUCAGAUUUUGAAUGGCAGAAGUUCAUCAUUUAAAAAAAAAAAAAAUACAACCCAACUAGGCUACCAAAUAAGUAACCAACUACAUAUGAAUUAAUGCAUCAAUGAGCAACUCUUUCAAGUUAACUAAGAUUUGGACAAACUCAUAGAUAUUUCAAUAUUGUCAAGAGUUUACCUGUGAUUUCAGCUUAUCAAGCUCAUCAGCAGAGCACCCAAAUAUUCUCUCUGCUUGGUCAUUGAACAGAGAAAGCCAAUAGAAGCCAUUGAAGCUCCUUUACAUUCAGAAUCAUACCUGUGAAGAAGAACAUAUGGUCAGAAACACUUACUACAAGAACUAACAAGGUAAUAGGUCACUGGAUGAUUCCUUACCAGGAUAUCAACUUUUUUUAUUCGCGUGUAUCUGGAUUUACCAGUACAAUACUUUCACUCAAUGUUGACAGUGAUACAACUAAAACAAGAUAUGAAGAGAACAUUACAAAGAGGACUUCUUAUCAUUCUCAUGUUUUUUAGAAUUGCCAUAAUAAUACCAAAAUUCAAGAAAACAAGGGGAAUUACCUUGGAAGUCUCCAACUUUGAGAGAUUUAAUUGCAACAAUUGGAAAUUAAUCAGCAUUAUCCAACAAUUCCUGCCCUACAUUAGUAGCAUGAUCAUUCCACAAAGAGACCACAACAGAGAGAAAAGAGAGAGAAGAGAGAGAAGCUAAGGACCCUCCAUUUGGCACAAAGUAAGAAAACCUUUUUUGCUGUUUGAUGUGAAGCUCUAUGCAUUAAAAAAAGGAAAAACAAAUUAUAAACUUAAUUUUAAAAUAUAUCAUAAAAAACAGCUCUCUAGGUGGCAGGAGAGGUGGGUUUUGGUUCAAAUAGCUUAUACUGCCUCUGGCAUCUGUUCUUGAAUUCUCCAACUUUGUCUCCCAAACAUGUCCUAAUUCCCAAGAGCUCAUAUUGCCACACCUACUCAUUAGGGUUUGCAUCAGUUUCCAUUAACAUUUAACUAAAAAGAGUUUAAAAAUUCAAUCAAGGUCAAACAAAAUCAACCAUCCCACAGAGCAGAAGUUACAUAGAUAUUCGAGAAAAUAAGUCAUGUCACAAACUAAGCAUCUAAUCACACAGCAGAAGUUCAGAAGUUCAGCUUUCCUCAAUCCAACCAGCUUUGAAUACAUGCUUAUAGGCUUCUAUAAUCUGCUCCUUACCACCUUUAAACAAAACCCUUGAACGAAUUAAACCAAAAAACCCAGAAAAAAAGAAAAAAAAAAAAAAAAAGAAGCACAGAAAAUUAGGAUUAAAAUCAAUCAAUCCACACAAAGUGCUAAAAAAACAUUAAUAAACAAACACCCAACAUAAAAACAACAAGCUUUUAUUAAAAGAACACAAAAACAAAUAAAAUAAAAACAUACCCACAACUUUAUCUUACCUCAAGAACCAAAUCCAAGAGCAAAAAAAGAGUUUAAAAAUUCAAUCAAGGUCAAACAAAAUCAACCAUCCCACAGAGCAGAAAUUACAUAGGUAUUCGAGAAAAUCAGUCAUGUCACAAACUAAGCAUCUAAUCACAGAACAGAAGUUUAGAAAUUCAGCUUUCCUCGGGUGCUAAAUUGCAAUUAAAAAUAAAAACACUAAUUAAUUGUCAAUCUCAAGAGAACCUAAAUCCCAAAAAUUAGGCCAGAAACCUAAAUUACGUGCAUUGAAUAGUUCCAGAUGCAUGAAAUCAAUGAAAAAAAUUACCAAACAAAAAUAGUAAUCAGGAAAGACCAAGUAAAGAAUACACAAAAAUGUACAUAUUUAUCGUUCAUUCGUGUGGUCGCCGGAAGAAAAAAAACGGGAAUAAAGAACAAAGCUCGAGAUUUACAGCUGCGCCUAAACAUUUGCUCUCUUUCAUUGCAAAGAAACCAACAACAAUAGAAAAAAAAAUAAUCAUAUAAGUUUCGCCUCAUAUUUUCCUCAUUUACCUCAGUUUUCUGAGCAACCAAACAAAAACUAAAAGAUGGACUAGAAAGCGAAUCUAACUUGAAUAGUGUAAGAGAGCUCAUAACAGAGUGGAAAUCUCUAAAUGAAGGCGAGAACCUGGAGAUGAAAUCGCUUUAUCUGAAGAAAUUUGCGGAUCAGUAGUACGGCGACACGCGUGAAUCGAUUACAGCUUACAAGCUUUCAAUUUUUCAUUGAGAAAUUCACACAACAGAGAGAGAAGAGAGAGAAGAGAGCGAAGCUAAGGACUCUCUGUGACUUUCUCUCCUUUUGCCCUAACCUGGGUUCCCCAAAUUUCAGAGUCGAGUGUCGCGUGGGCUUUAUCUGAAGAAAUUUGCGGAUCAGUAGUAUGGAGACACGCGUGAAUCGAUUACAGCUUACAAGCUUUCGAUUUUUCACUGAGAAAUUCACCCAACAGAGAGAAAAGAGAGAGAAGAGAAAGAAGCUAAGGACUCUCUCUGACUUUCUCUCCUUUUGCCCUAACCUGGUUUCCCCAAAUUUCACAGUCGGGUGUUGUGUGGGUUUUGCUAACUUGUUUAAGAUUUUUGUGUUUAUUUAUUAAAAGCACAACCCGUGACAUGGAGAGGGAGAUGGCUGCUGACAUGGAUGUGGAGGGGUAAUUUUGGAAAUGAAAUUAUAAAACAGUACAUAGUGCAUGAAAAGGAUAAUUUUUUGGGCAACAGUAGACAUAUUUUGGGUUAUGGAAAGUUGGGUUAUGAAAAAGCUAUUAGGCCCAAAUGGGCGGGCCAAAACACAGUUUUCCCUAUAUUGUAUCAUAAGAAAAAGAAAGGAAAAAAAAAGAGUGGAGGGGGAGGGGGAGAGAUGGGGGGCUAUGUUGUAAACAACAGGGUAGCCUGUGUAAAGCCCCCAGUUUUUACUUAGAGACCUCAUUACCCAUUAGGAAAAGGGUCAGUGACCUAUUAUUAAUAAUGCAAAAUUACCCAAAGAUGGAUAUUUGAAUUUUUUUUUUUUUUUUGGAGAAUUUAAGAAUUGUUGACACAAUAUAGUGAAACUGCAUAUACAAAUAUUGGGGUCAUUAGUUCACAUGACUUAAGCGAUUAAGAACAUUGAAGAGGAGACAUGUUGCUUGAUAAGCCCACCUGUCUACAUCUUGAGCAGCCACAGUUUGUUGCUCAUGAGACUUUUUGGAAGACACCUCCAGGGAUAAGAUUGAGUAAUUUAAAUUCCAUUAACAGAGUUCCUCUCUUUCAUUAGCCUUUAGGCCCUUAGGAAUCAAGCUUAAACUCGAAAGAUUCUAAAAUCUUACUCCCUUCUAACCUCAGGAAAGUUUUGAGAGCUUAGGUAUCCACAAAUAUCUUGGUACAUUCUAACAAGUCCUAUACCACUUUCCACCAUUCAAUUUAUCCCAAAAUAGCAUAAAUGUCAAGGGGAUACAGGAGACCAGAACUAAUAAAGGCAAUGACAUUAAACGGGAGAAAAAAAUAUCAAAGCAUGAUAGAAGAGUUAAAUACUUAAACAAGUUAGUGUUGGUAUUUUAAUUAUAGUAUUCCAUUAAUACAGUACCAAAAUACUGGAUGCCAUAUACUUUUGUCUAACAAUGGAUGGAAUAAUAGAUAUACAAGCACAAGAAAUAUGUUUCACUAACAUGAAAAUGAAAUUUAUGAAAGGUGGCUAGAUUCGAGAAAUACAAACAGGAUAGAACACCUAUGAAGCAUGAAAUAUUUUUGAACACAAACUUUAACAAAUCCAUAACAUGAAUAAAUGUUUGGAACCACCACACUAGAUCAGCAAUCUGUAGCUUCUCAAUAUCAUAACUGUUACAGCUAUAUUCGACUUCUAACCAUAUAAGCUAAGCCUAUGUUUUGUUUCUAGAAAGUUUUAAGGAAAAAAAAUAGAGCAGAGAAAUAUAAGAAAAAAUUAUAAAAGUUUUCUUUUAUUUGAUUGUCCAUUGAAAAGUUGAAGGAAAGAAAAUUAAAUUGCUAAAGAAUGUAAUUUCCACUAACUUUCCUCAUUUUUUGUUAAGGAAAAUGGACACCACCACCACCCCAACCCUUUUCUUUCGUUUUUUUUUUCUUCAUCUUUCGCAUGGUACCCAAACAUGAGAAAACCAUUUUCACUAGCAUUUUUUCCUUUCCUUUUCUUAUUACUUUCCAAGAACCAAACAUAAGGUAAGUUUAUGACACCCUUUCUAACACAACCAUUAAUAGACGGCUCAAGGUACUUCUAACAGUGAAAGAAGAAUUUCACAAAUACUUAUAGUAAAUUACAGAAUAAGCCAAAAGUGAAGAUAACAUCUAUUAAUACCUGCCUUCUUCAUCUUCCAAAUUCUGAAGAUGUUGUUUUUCAUCUUCACUUAAGUCCAAUGCAACUUGGACGUAGGAAAAAUUAGAACAAAAAAAUAAUCAAGCAUUCUUUUCUCAGCAUCAUCAUGCAAAAUUUUCCACCAUAGCAUAAAAGGAAAUCAUGAAGAAAAAUAAAAAAUGAAAAAAUAAUACGCAUGCUCUCUACAAUAAUAACAAUAAAGGCAAACUACUCCAACAAAUUAUUAGAAAAAAUUGGAAAAAAUAAAAUUCAGAGAAUGGAAAUCCAUUUUCACCUCCAUAUAAAAUACACCAUGAAAAACAUUGGAAUCUAGUAAAGCUCUAGGUAAAAGAGGUAUUUCAGGCCAAUUUAAGAGCUCUAUCAGAAAUUCAAAUGCCCAUUCUGAAAUAGAAAAUUUAAAAUCUAAUUGAAACUUAACUUUGCAAUCCGAGUACCAUAAAAACAUUGAAAAAGUCACACAAAUACUCGCAUAAUCUUAUCAAUCGAAAGGUUAUAAUACAAGGUGCAAAACACCAGAAUCAGAAAUAAGUUUCACAUUCUACAAAACUUACACUAAAAAGAGAAAGUUAAAAGGUCACAGACAGUCGAAAAUAACCAGAAAAUAAAGGAAAAUAAAAGAAAAGGGACCUGUUUGGCGAUAAGUUCUCUCUUAGAGUGGGAUGGGAGUUGGGAGACACUCAUCUAAUAUAUAGGGAAAGUUGUGUUUUUUUUCCCUCCCUCUGUUUUCUGGAUCUAGGGGUCUCUUUGCUUUUGUGCCAUUUGAAUUAAAUUUCACAAACCCUAAACCCACGAUUUUUUUAGCCAGGCUGAAAAAUACCACCUUUGCCUGCAAAUCGUGAUCAGAUUACCAAAUAGCAUCUUAUUGUGCCAUUGGAAUUAAAUUUCACAAACCCUAACCCACGAUUUUUGAACCAGGCUCAAAAACACCACAUUUGCCUGGAAAUCGUGGUCAGAUUACCAAAUAGCAUCUUAUUGUGCCAUUGGAAUUAAAUUUCAAAAACCCUAAACCCACAAUUUUUGAGCCAGCCAGAAAAAUACCACCUUUGCUUGCAAAUCGUAAUCAGAUUACGAAAUAGCAUCUUAUGUUUUAAAUAAAAAAAAAAAUCAAAAAGCUUGGACAGCUCGUGAACAAUGCAAAACAACAUUUAGCCCAAAUUUUUUCUCAACAGCCAAACAAAUUGUUAAAUGGAAACUCACCUGCGAUUACUCCAAAAGGAAGACGAAGCUCCACCGCCGAUUCCAGAAACCACCCAUGAAAAUGCAGGCAAAAGGAGAGAAUAGGGCAAAAAGCGAGGAAGUCAGCGUUUCCCCAAAUUUUUGAGUCGGGUCGUGGGUUUUGCAAAUCCUAACUCUAAAGCUUAAUAUUUUUGUGUUCAAUUAUUAAAAACACAACUUCCCGUGCUGACACGGAUAAGGAGAUGGCUGCUGACAUGGUAGGCUGGAGGGGUAAUUUUGGAAAUGAAAUUAUAAACAGUGGAUAGUGCAUGAAAGGGAUAUUUUUUUGGGAGAAUUGUGUUUUGGGCCCAGCUGGGCCCAAAAAUUAACAAAUGGUCCAUCUAACUGACCUAAUUAAUGAUAAGGAUAUCAAAUGUUAACAGACGAAAAUGCCCUUUACAUUUCCAACUCAAAUUGUUGUAAAAUAAUGGGUUUUACAGCUGGUAAACGUGAAAUGCCAUGUCACCAGAGUGAAAAUUCUGAAUCUUCCUAAAAACCACUCACAUAUACCCUCUCCUUCUACUCUCUUUCUCGCCGGAGUUUCAGUUUCUCCGUUCAACCCCAACUCUUCUCCGGCCAAUUCUUACUCGUCCCACCAUUCUUUCCUUCAAUUCUCACCAGAGUUUGCCCCUUUUCCACCAAAGUUCACUCCUUUUUCACCAAAGCUCACAACUUUUUCCCACCCAAGAAACCAUUUUCCGCUCAAACAAACAGGAUUUUCUCCUUUUCUGGUUUAUGGGAUUUCGACAUAGUUCCUAAAAAGAGACACUUGAGAGGGAACUAAGGUUUUCUCUGUAUACACAAAAGGGUUUUUAGAGAGAGAAAACAGAGUGCAGUUUCACUGAGCCAUUUUUGUUUGCUUUGAAGGAAAUUUUUUAUGUGUUUUGGUGAAGAUUUUAGGGCCUAAAGCUUCAGAUUAUUUGUUUGGCAAUGCAGAAAAUAUAUUCUGGGUGAGUUUUUUCUCAUCUUCAUUUUUGAGAAAUUUUUUUCUCGUAUAUGGCUUUGAUUCUCAGAAAUUUAUUCUAAGGUUUGGAUUAUGUUGAUGAGAUUACCUUGAAGAACUAUGCUUAAUUACUGAAUAUUUUUAUGAAUUUAGGUUGUAAAUAUAUAAAUAUAUCAGUGAUUGAUUAAUUAAUUAAUUAAUUGAUUGAAUGAAUGAUUAAUUGACUGAUUGAUUAGGGGCUAGUUGUUAGAUUGUGUAUUCAAUGGGUGGAUUCAUGCAUGAUUUAAAUUUAUGAAAAAUGGGCCCACCAAAGUCAUUUCUUUAAUUCUUAGUUUUCAAUCACAUUCACCAUUGAUUAUGAUCAUUUUAAGAUCAUAUAUGCAUGGCAUACCCAAAAUUUUCUAUCCAAUUCUACCCAUUUACAAUUAUGUUUAUGGAAUCUAAUGAAAUUGAUGUAUUUGUUCAUGAAAAUGAGCUCAUUUGGUCUGAUUUGAUUCCAGGUCAUGGCAUUGCAGUGAGUUUAGGUGUGUUAUUGGUAUGAUUAUGUUAAUCAAAGAUUCGAAAUGGCCGAUUUCUUCAUGAAAAUGAGCUCAUUUGGUGUGAUUUGAUUUUGGGUCAUGGCAGUGUAGUGAGUUUAGAUGUAGUAAACAAACAAUUUGUUUGUGAAAAUGAACUCAUUUUAUUUGGUUUGAUUCCGGGUCAUGGCAUUGCAAUGAGUUUAGGUGUAUUAUUGAUUAUUUGAAUGAGGGCGAUUUGUUAUGGGAAAAUGAGCUCAUUUGGUGUGAUUAUGUGAAUCAAAAGGAUCUGAAAAUGCUCAGAUUGUUCAUGAAAAUGAGCUCAUUUGGUCCGAUUUGAUUCCGGGUCCUGGCAGUGCAGUGAGUUUUGGUGUAUUAGCAUGAUUGUAAUUUAUAUCAAUUAAACUAUUAGAAACACUAGAUUUCUUCACGAAAAUGAGCUCAUUUUAUGUGAUUAGGUUUCGGGUCACUGCAAUGCAGUGAGAUUUGGUGUAUUAGCAUGCGAUUGGAAAAAUGAUCUCAUUUCAUUUGAUUGAUCUCCGGCCAUGAUAUCACAAUGAGUCUAGGUCUACUACUGUGAUUAUAUCAAUCAAACGACUAAAAAUGCUUGAUUUAUUCAUGAAAAUGAGCUCAAUCCAUGUGAUUCCAUUUUGGGUCAUGACAAUGCAGUCAGUUUAGGUGUACCGUUCAUGCAUUGUGUAAUUAGUAGGUGAUUGGGUUUUUGAUUAAUUAAUCAAGCUUGUGUCAUUCNNNNNNNNNNNNNNNNNNNNNNNNNNNNNNNNNNNNNNNNNNNNNNNNNNNNNNNNNNNNNNNNNNNNNNNNNNNNNNNNNNNNNNNNNNNNNNNNNNNNNNNNNNNNNNNNNNNNNNNNNNNNNNNNNNNNNNNNNNNNNNNNNNNNNNNNNNNNNNNNNNNNNNNNNNNNNNNNNNNNNNNNNNNNNNNNNNNNNNNNNNNNNNNNNNNNNNNNNNNNNNNNNNNNNNNNNNNNNNNNNNNNNNNNNNNNNNNNNNNNNNNNNNNNNNNNNNNNNUAAUUGAUGUCUACCAUGUUCAUUCAUCCUAUUAGCUUCCCUAGUAAUGAUGAAUAUGAACCGAAAUUAGGGUCACCUUUUGUGUCAUUUUCCCUAGUCCAUGGUAAUGGAAACAUUGGUUACCCACCCAUAUUCACUUGGAAAUAUGUACCUAUUAGGGAUUUGGUGACUGGACAAGGCAUUUACACUAAGUGUACAAGGCCAAUGUACUAAAUGUACAAGGGUGUACAAGGGUGUGCAUCUUACUUUUUCCAAACGUGGGGAACAAUCCUCACACAUGUUGCUUGAUAACACACGCAUUGCAUGCAAUUUAAUUGAUGUCUACCAUGUUCAUUCAUCCUAUUAGCUUCCCUAGUAAUGAUGAAUAUGAACCGAAAUUAGGGUCACCUUUUGUGUCAUUUUCCCUAGUCCAUGGUAAUGGAAACAUUGGUUACCCACCCAUAUUCACUUGGAAAUAUGUACCUAUUAGGGAUUUGGUGACUGGACAAGGCAUUUACACUAAGUGUACAAGGCCAAUGUACUAAAUGUACAAGGGUGUACAAGGGUGCCUAUCUUGAAGGAUUUCAAAUGCAAAUGGUGGUUGCUCAUUGUGGCCGAUGUGCUGAACGUGUUGUGUUUGGCGAUGAGAUAACUGAUGGAGGAAGGGAUGACCUAGAAAAGAUCACGAAGGUAAUUGUACUUAACAUCAACUUGUUAUAAGUUCAAACUGAUCCUUCGAGGACAUGCUCCAUUGAUUAAAAAAAAUUAUAUUUAGCAGACACAAUACUAUUUGAGGCAGCACUUAAGGAGUUGCAUGCUUUGGUGCAUGAUUAUUUGCAUUUAUUAUGUGUUUGCUUUAAAAUGAACAAAUGGGGAAAAUAAGCUUCACUCAGGAAAGCAAAAUUCAUCAGGAUAAAAAUACAAAGUACAAAUAAAAGGAGGAAAUUUAUAAUAGAAGUGAAGACAGUUGCAUUUUGAACUUGGCUGUCUGUCAGUAGACUUAAGGUUCCUAAACCUCGCCCUUGAUAUGAGCUGGAAGCAAGGCUUACGAAAAUUCUUUGGGACAUGGAAUUCAAAUCUAGUAAUGCUCAUUCCAUGAUACUUGUUUUACCUUUAUGAUUUGCACUUUAUUUAGACACAUUGUUAUGAUUUUCAACUAACCCAUUACAUGGUUUCAUUACAUGUCAAUGUGGUUGAUGAUGGGAAACGGAUUUCCACAAUCCUCAAGGACCAUGUGGGAAGGAUUAUGUUGGGUUUUUUUCUAUUUAUAAAUCAAGUGUUUAUAUUCAAGAGAAAAGGCUUUCAUACUUGGUAUGUACCCAUAAGCAUCACUGAAAAUUCAACUUCUCUUUCUAUCUAGAUUGAUUACAGAAGCAGGCUACGUUUUUUUUCUAAUAGGAUCACAAUGUAAAUUAAUCAUGAAUGCACUUUAUAAUUUGAUGUGUUUAGAUUUAUGUACAAAACGGAUUUUUAUGCUGCUAGUAACUUCUGUUGGUGUUUAAAACAAACAUGGAAUUAACCAUAAUGUUCUCUGUGCUCUUUGCAAGAUACUGGUAUAUUGAGUUGUGGAUGAUCUUAUUUGGUUUAUAUGCCUUUCCAAUCCCUCAUGCUACUUGUUUUCUCACUUUGCAUGGUGCUUGUUUCUGUUUCUGAAACCUUCUUCCAUGGAGUUUGGCUCUAUUGUUAGUAGUGAUGGUAAUAAACGUCUAUUUCCUUGCAAUUUCUUCAGGAGGGACCCUUGCCUCACAACGAUCGGGUGAGAUAUCAGCCACUGGACCUAUAUCCUGCUCCACUCCACAUAUGUUAAAAGUGUUAACGGAACGACGCAGGGUUCUCCCUUCCUACCAUGUUGUCUUUGAUCCUAGUUUGGCUGCCAUCUAUCUGAGUCCAAGUUAGACAUUGAUUCGGGCUCCUGGGAGAAGAAAGAAACCCGGCUUUUGACACCAAUGCUCUGGUUCUUAGAUGCUGAAGCUAUUGAAUAUUGUCAGCUGACUCUUGAGUAGAAGGGUGAAAUGCCAAUGGAAUGUAUCUUAAGAUGAGGCUUAGGACUGUGGUUUACAACAGUUUUGUUGGCUUAUUUAUUACUGUUUUGAUGUUUCUGUACAAUGAAAUUGAAGUUAUAAGAAGGGUCGAUCUGUCUUCGUGUACAGAGAAAUCUGUAAUGAAAAUACUUUUUGCCCAUUAAUGUAUUGAACAUAGAAAAAUUGUGAAAUCUCGAGUUCUAGCGAACCCAUCCCUGUUGAAGUGAUCAAUACAGAAGUCCAAAGAGGAAACACCAGGAGUUUCUGAAAAUGUUUUUUAAUGUUUUGUAAAACAUUUUGUUUGAUAACUUGAAAUUUUUUUAACUUUUUUUUUUUAAAAAUUUUAAAUAUAUUUUUUUUAAAAAAUUUAUAUGUAAUGUUUUAUUUUUAAUAUUUUUUAUAUUUAUAUAAUAAUAUUUAAAAAACAAGUAAAAACAAUUAAAAUAUAUAAUUUAUAACUUUUCUAUCUUUAAACAUCUAAGAGUAUAAAAUUAUUUAUUGAUUGUCAAUUUUUUCCUAGAAAAUAAAAAAUUGGUUUUGAAAACAAUUAACAAAUAGGGUUUUAGAGUGAAUUUGACAACUGUUUUGAAAAACAAAAUUCUAAAAAAUAUAAAAUAGUUUUUCAACUUCAAAAACAACUAAUUAAAGAGUAAUACAUGUAACCGGUCGACCGGACAAUGAUAGGGGGUCGACCGGUUGUUGCAAAAACUCCUCAUAUAAUGUAGACCGGUCGCUGGCAACCGGUCGACCGGAUUACUUCAAAAAUUUUAUGCCAUCUCACUAUUACAAGAGACACAAAAUAUGCAAAUAUGUAAAUUUUUUUCAAAGUUAUUACUUCAAAAAUUUUAUCAGUUCUAAAACUAUUUUGAGAACUAACAUUUCAUGAGAGAAUGGAAUAUUUUUUCUUAUAUUGGAUGUUCUAAGAAAAUCAACUUGUUAAACAAUGCAAUGACAUGACUAAUAUUGGUAAUGUGGGAUUAGUUCAAACUUAUCUAAUACAUCAUUACAAUGUAGCCUUGAAAAACAUGACAUUAUGAAACAGUAUAUUAUUUCAUUUAUAUUUAUGCUUUUGGUAACCCUUUACUAUUAUAUUUAUGUGUCUUAAUUAUUUUGAACAUUCAAGUCUACUUCACUUACAUUACACAUUUGGGUGCGUGAUAAAUUGCAUAAAAGGUCUAACUCCUUCCAAGUUGAUGAGUUGUUCAUUGCUUACUCAUGGACUUAGGUAAUUUGCCGAAUGUUAAAGUUCAGUACCUCCUAAUAUGGAUGAGAUGACUUGGCGAUCUUGUAAAUAUUACUAAACAACAUAUAAUAAAGUAAAUAGCUGCUUAUAUAUAUAUAUAUAUAUAUUGAAUCCAAAUUAAAACGAAAUCAAAAACAUUUGCAUGCUGACACAACUCUAAAUAUACGUAUGCUAAUACAAAAUAUAUAUGUCCCAGUUUUGCAAGCUAAACAAAAUAACGACGUGGUCUCAAUGCAAUCAAGGUGCAGCGGGUGGCGGUGGGAACACGGCGCGGAGGUACGCCAUUAACUCCUCAUGCUGACGCUCUUGGCGAUCAAGCCUCUGUAGGAUAUGCUCAUGCGUAGCCUGCUGCUGAUCCAUGCGCUCCUCAAUACGAGUCCCAAGUGAGGUAAUCUGCGCAGACAACUCCAUCCAAGGCGCAUGCGCAGCGGCGUCAGGAGCCUGGCCAGGUGAUGUAUGGGUGUAAUGAGGCUCAGUAAAUGAUGGCUGACCAGAUGGUCCCGCUGUGUAACCCGUCUCAGUCAUCACCGCAUCUGAAAUAGUCGGGUCAAUGUGGCCACCCUUAGACUGGCGUGGAGGGAUAUCAAACUCAGCCUCUCUAUGCUCAAAAUCGGUCUGAGGGUGUACCCCACCCUCCAUCUCCCUAAUCUCCUCCUCUUCGUCUUCCUCUGCCUGUGGAUGUGGUACUGGUCGGUCCGCCCUCCUAAUCCAUGACCCAUCUGGGGCCUUCUCCAACUUCAUCCGCGCCAUCGACUGCUCAUCAUAUGUGUCAUAACUGCUGGGCGCCUCGACCUCCUGCUCCCUGCUCAAAUCCACCCCCGCAUCCUUGAACACUCGUGUCAUGAAGCGGCCAUAUGGGAGAAUGCGUUUGGGCCUCUCGCAGCAUGCCAUCAUGUGCAUCAUCAUGACAUACCCGACGUCAAUACGUCUCCCCGUCAUAAUCGAAUCAAUCAGAAAUGCCUCCAGAUAGGAAACCUCAUCUCGAUGACCGCCACGUGGUAGGAGGAUGUACGCUAUCAUGUGGUGAAGGACUCGGCAGGUCACUGUCAGGCUAUGGGCCGAUGGUUUGCCCAACCCCGGGGCAUCUGCAAGGCCGUAGAUCCUCUGAAUCGCCUCUCUCGGAUCGAAACCCGGCACCGUCGGCCAGGUCUUGGCAUCAUAUACUCGGAGUCCACCAGGAGGAAUGUCCAAAAUGCGGCAGAUGCUCUCCGGGUCCAGAUGGAUCUGAACCCCUCUAACGGUCGAAGUGAUCGGUCCUCCAUGUCCAAAUGUCACACGGGAAUAGAAUGCCCUGACUAAUGUCGGAAAAAUGGGCUCUGAAAUAGUGACUAAGGGCAGCCACCCCAUGCAUGCAAAGAGGCUCUCAAACCCGAAAUGUUGUAGAUGGGCGAAAUUUAUAUUUCUCCCUGCAACCACCUUCCUCUGGACGAAAUGCUGCUUGUACCUCUGGUAUUCGUCGACCGAAGUGAAAAGGCCGGUGUCGAACCUCGCCUUUCGGCGAGCCUCCGCCUGACCGUCCUGAGAAGCCUGAGCAGGGCGCUUGCCCAGUGCCUUCGACGCACCCCUAUCUCUCCUAGGCGCCAUGAAACACUACAAAGGGCUACCCCUAUGUCAAAACAAGGCCAAUGAAAGAGUCUGUGACGCGCGCGGGAAGAGAAGAGAACCCGCCUGUGACGCGCAAUGAAGGAGGACCAUUGCCAAACCUCACUCCCUAGGUCCGAAAUGUGAAGCCGCACCCCUCAAAACUCACUCCGAAGGCUUGCAACAGCUGGAAUCGCGUCCAAAGUGGGUGUGUGGCAGCUCAAUCGGUGGAUCCCUUCGACUGCCAGAGGAUAACACUGAAGAAAUUAAGCGCGGAAUGGUUUUUUAAACGUCACCCCGGCCGACCGGAUAUGAACCGGUUGACUCAGUAACAUGUUCCAUGGUGUUUUGCACUUUUUAAUAGGUAUAAUGCAAAACACUUGUGAUAUUCACUUUUUGUGGGGUUGCCUUAAAUAUUUUCUCCGUAUAUUUUAAAUAUUUUUAUAAAAUAGUUUUUAUAAAAACAAUAUAUGCAUUUUCUAUAAAAUAUUUUUAUUCUUAAAGGUAAAAAAUAAAAAUAUAUAUCCAAGUGCUACCUUAAUAAUUUAUUUUCUGUCCUCAAUUUUUCCACAAACAACCAUAUAAAAUUUCUUUAACUUUUUCUCUUUCCUUAUAUUUUCUUUUUUAAUUUUUUGGCUUCAAACUUUUUAGGAAUCCAACAUAAUAAAAGAUGGCGCUUUAAAGGUUUUUUUAAAGCAAUCCUAAAAACUUCUUAUUUUUUUAAGUGAGUUUUAUUAGCUUGAAUUUUAAAAUUUUUAGAAAUAAUUUUUGAAAAUAUAAGGUUUUUAAGUUAAUACCUUUUAUAAAAAGUUUCUAUUUUGUACAUAAAAAAAUUUUAUUUUGAAAAUUAGAAAUCAGAAAAUAUAAGGUUUUUAAGUUAAUACCUUUUAUAAAAAGUUUCUAUUUUUUACAUAAAAAAUUUUUAUUUUUAAAAAUAGAAAUCAGAAAAUAUAAGGUUUUUAAGUUAAUACCUUUUAUAAAAAGUUUCUAUUUUUUACAUAAUAAAUUUUUAUUUUUAAAAAUAGAAAUCAGAAAAUAUAAGGUUUUUAAGUUAAUACCUUUUAUAAAAAGUUCCUAUUUUUUACAUAAAAAAAUUUUAUUUUUAAAUAUAGAAAUCAGAAAAUAUAAGGUUUUUAAGUUAAUACCUUUUAUAAUUCCUUUGUCUAUUUAGCCUAUUUGAUUAUUAAUAUUUGUAUAUGAAGAAUUUAUUCGAUUUAUAAAAAAUAAAUAUGAAUAUAAUUAAAAUGUAAAUUCAAGAAAAAAAGAUAUUUAAUUAAAAAAUGAAAACAAAUCACAACAAAACAAUAUCACACAUCAAGAACAUGUUACUUUGUCAUAAUAUUUAUUGUUUUUGUUUUAGUUUUCAUAAAUUGAAUGGUUUUGGGUUUGGAAAAAUAUAAAUUAUGGUAAUAUAACUAAAAAGAUAAUUUUUAUCAAAAUAAUUUUUAAGGCUUGAAUGUUAUAUUAAUUGAAUUUAGGUGUUCUCCCACUGAGUAAUUUAUCCAAUAAGCAACUUGGCUUGGGUUUUGCUUCUGGUUUUUUUCAUUGACUUGAGGUUGACUUGAGGUACCAUUGCAACCCCUUCCCUGUAGGUAGGAAGCGGUCGCAGUAUAACACUAACACAAAUGUCCAUAUCUCUAUCCCAAUCAUUUACAUCUUUCAGAUCAUAUGAAAAAUUGCGACUAUAUGAAAAAAUCAACAUUAAAGGAAUGCGGGAGUUGGAAGAAUUACAGGAAUUGGGGGAGUACCCUUCCCUAGUUUUUUUAAAGAUCAGUUACUGCCGCAAUCUGAUGAAGUUGCCAUCCCACUUUCCUUAUUUAGAAGAUCUAAAGAUCAAACAUUGCGUCUCUCUCAACACCCUUGUUGUGACCCCACUUCUGAAAGUUCUCGUGCUAGUUGACAAUAUUUUUCUGGAAGAUUUGAAUGAAGUGAAGCAGUCAUUCUCUAGUCUUUUGGUAUUGAGAUUAAUUGUUGCCCAAAGCUGAAGGUAUUACCUCAAAUAUGUACCCCAGAUAAGAUGGAGAUUGGUGGGUCUAAUUUACUGGAAGCUCUCUCAGCCCGAGAUUACUCCCAACAUCUUGAGCACUUGAUCGUGGAUGAAUGCGAGGAUGAAACACUGGUAGUGGGGGCAAUACCAAGGAGGACUUCUCUAAACUCUUUGGUCAUUUCAAACAUCUCAAAGGCAACCUGUUUCCCCAAGUGGCCUCAUCUUCCUGGUCUCAAGGCUUUGCACAUCUGUCAUUGGAAAGAUCUGGUAACUUUAUCCCAAGAAGCAUCACCAUUCCAAGAUUUGACCUAUCUCAAACUGUUGUCAGUUGUCAAGUAUCUAAUCUAAAAUAGGUUCCAGCAUCGGAAAUUUGGCUGAAAAUUGUCCCCUUAAUUUAUAUAUAACCAUACUAUCCCAAUCAUUUAUAUUUUUCGAAAGUUAAAAAAUCCACUAUAUGAAAAAUUAGCAUUUAAGAAAAGAAAUCAUUUGUUUUCUAAAAAAAUUAAGUACUAAUAACUUGUAUAUUGUUUUAUCAUUUCUUAAAAUUUUGUCCAAAUUUAAAAAUAACCUCUUACUUUAAUUUGAGCCCCUUCUUAAUUAUAUUACAUUUUGAUUUUUUAAAUAAAACUAAGAAUUAUUUAAAAAUUUUAAAAUUUUGUCCAAUUCUCCAGGAACCGGUCGACCGAAACUGAUCGACCGGUCUAUAUCCGGACGAGGGUGCCAAAAUGCACCCUCUCUCAUCCAGUAGCUUGUCCAAACCUCCAAGAACCGGUCGACCGAAACUGAUCGACCGGUCUAUCUCCGGACGAGGGUGCCAAAAUGCACUCUCUCUCAUCCAGUAGGGUGUGCGCGACCGGCUGAAGAAAGGUUCGACCGGUUUACCAAUGGCUGAAGGACAAUAUCGACCGGUCGAACACUUUAUGCUUUCCGAUCCACGGGUCCAUCUAGACCGGUUCCUGGGUUGGCCAUAUAUACACCUGCAUUGUACUGUAUAAAUUGUAAACGAUAUGUACGAGAUUGUUGAUGAAAAGGUUUGUUAUAGGUUGUAAUGCCGGUGCCUUUUAUUAGAUGUUUUGAGAUAGUGAGGGAAAAUGCGACUUCAUCACAACCUUCAUUAAAUAUAUAAGCCAUAAAAUUGGCAAUACAAUGUCAGGAGUUGGUUUUUCCUGUAUAAUGUACAAUCAUCUUUAAUUCGCCCUAUUUACUUACAAUGCAUUGACAAGCAACUUAAGUAAAAAAACAAUCAAAUUCUGACUAAUCCCAUAAUCCCAGUGUUCAUUUCCGCAUAUGUCCACCAUAAAUUACAUACAAAUGUGCUAAUUUUAUACAGUUUUAUCACAAAUUACAAUCCCCUUUAAUCUCUCCGGACACGGUCUCGGUGUGCAUUUUGUGCUGAGAACAACAUACUCCCCAUGAUCUUCAACCUGUAAUGUUUCAAUUUCCCCUGCGUUCAUUCACGUUGAUAGCAACAAAUCAGCAAAUUAAUUAAUUAGGUUUUUCUAACUAUUUUAACAUUAAUGAGAUAGUCAUAGAUAAUUCCUCCUACGUACCACAUCGAUUGAUUUGGAGAACCCCCCCAUUGACCACAAUUCCAUGAAUUUCAUUACAAAAACUCCACAAUCGUGCCUACGUCAAUAUAAUUACCAAAACGUUAAUAAGUGUGGAAUUAUAAAUAAGAGAUGAACUUCAAAUAAAUUGCAAUCUUAUACAAUAUCCCGGACUGCAAGGUCAACACUCACUCAUUAGUUUGGAGGGGUACAUCAGGUGUUAUGAAAUUGAAUGUCCUCAAAUCAUAAGGUGAUACCUCUUUUUUGUGGGCAGCCAACCACAGGACAACCUUGGCCUGAAACAUUUAGUAACACAACAAUUGAAAUUUUAAUGGGAAGACAUACCUAUCAAAUUAUUACUUGUUGCUUGUUACUUUACCAGAUUUUGUUGGACUCCACUCAACAUUGUCUUCUUUCUACCAGGACGAGAAUCUAGCAGUUGGAUUCUCCUGUUUUCUAGGUCAUAUACAUACAAUGUCCAAUGGUUCUUUAUGAGAACCGGUAAGAAGACCUGCACCAAUAGACUGCCAUUAAACAUACAUCUAAAUAUUGUACAUUCAUGCAAUAAAAAUACAAAUCCAAGCAUUAAACAUAUGAAUCCACCUCGUUAACAUUGACAUAUGGAAUAUCAAUCUGAUACAGAUGUGGUUCAAAGCGUCUAAUAACUGCCUCCCUAACUAAGUUUUUUGCCUGGGAGUGGAUUACCAUUUCCUGCAUGUUAGAUACGGGAUAAUAUCAGGUUUCUCAUUGUAGGUGAUGCCUGGUUCAAGACAAAAAAUAAAGAUAAGCAAGGAUUUAAUGGAAUAGUCAUCAUUAUAGCUAUGUAGGGGGAUAGAAAAAGUUUCGACUUCGGUUCAUGUUGAUACUGCAACAAUCUACAGUAGGAAUCGACGACCUGAUUUCGUAUAUCAUAAAAGUGUAAGCAACAAAUUAAUUUAGAACCACACUUUCAUUUUCAAACUUAAAAUAAUGCAUAAAGAGGGAUAAGAAAUGAUAUGCACGUCGUUUCCUAUCCACCCAUUCCCUUGGAAGCAGCCCAAAUUGGCUCUGGUUAGAAUAGUGUCAUGCAUAGACACUAGUUCCUCACUGUUACAAAAAAAUACAAUUUAGUUUUUGUGUUUUAACUAUCAUACAAUGAGAGGAGUGUCACUCAAGUAUGUUACCUUGCAUCCAAAUCGUCUCCAAAUACCAGUGCAGCUCCUUGUUUUAGGUCGAUUUUGAUGGCAGAUUGUUUGGUUUGUGGUUGGGAUAUGUAUGGGGACAACAGGUUUGGAGCCAUGCGACGCACUCGACAUCUCCGGACGUUUCUAUUUGUGGGGACAACAUUACCUUCUGGUUGUUCUUCAGCAUCUGCAAUACGAGAUUUAGAACUAGUCAGCAAAGGUAUACAUUAUGAUUGGGUACAUGGGUUGUUAACCAUAUGGGUGUUUGCAUAAAUUUGAUCACUUACCGCUUACUACAUUAAUGGGUACACUGGGCUGCAACUCAUACUCAGGGGCGACAACGCGAUCUGGUGUGUCUAGCACAUGGUAUGCAGCAUGCGAAGCCAUGUACUCAUCACCAGGAAAUGCAUGGUCAUCGGCUGUGGGAGGGCUGGCUGGUGCAUAGCUAGAGUGACCACCCGCAUCUGAAUUUACCCCACUAUGUCUGCGAGUCCCUAACUUAUGCAUAAGGCCAUGCAUUAUUCUCAGCUGCUGCUGAAUGCCCCUUUGAUAUUGGUCGAUUGCUCGUUCUGCAUCAUGAUAUUGAUGCCAUAUUUCCUAUGACAUGAUAUUGUUGUCAAUCUUUGAGAACAGAAUGUGACAACAACAUAUUUCUUUGUAGUUAAGAAGUAAAAAUAAAUUACAAUGACAAUGAAAUGAACAUUUAUUAAGUUUUUGAAAAAUUCACAGCUUACAUCACUAUUUUCAGCAUCAACAUUUGUGUCAUGGUCCACAUUAGUCUCUGGCUCCAUAGUUCUCUCUACGGUUGGAGAUCUCUGGGACGCCUAUAAUUAGCACUGAAGAUUAGUACUUAAAUAAUGAGUGUUAUGCUAGUAAUGACAAUAUAUUUAUGCAUGCAUAACUUACAAAAUCACUCUCAGCAUGUCCGAAUGCUCCAAACUCCUUUAUCUCAGCGACUAGUCGUCGCUUAAUCAAAUCAUCAGUCCAUGCCAAUGCUGGGGGCACUGUAAUGGGGACUUGGACUGAAGGAAUUUGGAAUUUAAUGACAUAAUGCAGCUGCAAAAUAAAUAGAAACAUCAAUAAGCAAAUGUGAAUAUGUUGUGCAAUAAAAUUAGAUAAGAAAAUGGAAGACAAAGACUGAAUAAGUUCACUACCUGAAGAAAUAAAACGCAGCCAUGUACCCAAGAGGUCUUAGAUUGUUGGAAUCGCCUAAUUCCCUCAACCAGUUGGUCAAGCACAAACUGGGCCCAAUUAACAUCAUUUCGGAAUCCAUCCUCAUGGAUGGUAUGCCACAAGUUACGGCAACCAUUGAGCCUAGACGUGGGGGCCAACAAUGUGGCACAUGUGUAGUAAAUGAAUGCUCUACGGAACUCCUCGCCUACAGGUAAGUCUAGGAGUUUCUCCUCGCAUGCCCGAAUAGUCCCAAAUGGAUGAUCUGAUGAUGUGGAGGUCACCUGCAAAUUCCGUCCUUCUGUUGGGAGGCCUAAAAUGAGGCCAACAUCGGUGGCUGUAACAGGAUAGUGUUUAUGGGCUGAGAACUCUAUCCGUCUAAAUCCAACAUUGAAAUGUUGGAUUAGAAAGAUACAGAGGUUGUGGCGUACCUCUGUGCAGUUUAAGUUUAAGAGACCUCCAAAUUGGAGGUCUCUUAUGGCUUGAAUUUUUGCCUCUGGUAAUCGGUUGCACAGUUUCUUAAAUCUUGCAGCUGAGCAUCGUGUAAACAUUGAUGUGCCCUGCAUGCAAUGUUAGAAAACAUGGACAUGUUAGGAAUAGCAACAUUCUUGCAGUUGGUAAUGCAAUAAAAUAAGUGAAAAAGUAAAGCUGUCAUUUCUCAAAGUUACAAAGAUUUGUCUGCUUGUAUUUAGAAAUAAUAUACAGCAGGGUAAGACAUUAGAUGGGGUUGGGUGCUACUAACAGUGAGAUAUCCUGUAAGAGGGAGGAUUGAAAAUUUAUGAAUAAGGCUAUAUAGAAUAGGCAAUAACAGUCAAAAUGUACAGAAUAGACUAUAAAAGAAAAAAAUAAAUAUGAGAAUACUACAUGAUAUAUAAAAGAAAGAAAUCAAAUCAAUUUAUGUAAAUAAAUUGACUAAUUAUAUUAGAGAAAGAAACCAUCAACAAAUCAAUGAAUAAUCCUAUUUAACCUGCUCCUUUUGAUACUUCUGACAUACACAAAAUCUAGAGGAACUGCUAGAGCAAGCACUUUGCUACUGCCAUUGAACAUGGACAAGGUUUGGAAUCCAAGUUUCUGUUGAGAGUAUUCCCACAUGGUACUAACUAUCAGUGAAGAAUUGUACACUAUCAUUUGAUACCACGAAUCAUGUGUUUGACCAAAGUUCAUGCAUACCUAAGUUGUUAGCUGAGUGAGGAUUCAUGGGAAAAUAAAUGUAACAUAGGACUAUUAAUCUAAACUUGUGAAAGUUUUGAGGCUUGAAUCUGAUUCAAUGGCCAUAAUAAUCUAAAAUUUGCAGAAAAGAGGAAGUGGGCAUUUAAAAUAAGGUAAUGAUACACUAUGAAAUGCUACUACAUACUUUUUUGUAGAAUAGUAAACAAAGAGUAUGUUUACGCUUGAAAACAAGAAUAAAUAAGAUGAAUCCAUGAGUGUUGGAGAAUUAAAUGAAUGAAGAGGAGUUUGGAAACCAUACUUUAUGUUGGAGAAUAAAAGUUAUGUGCUAUGACUUUAUGUUUUUUUUUUCUGUUAACUUAUAGAAGUAUUUUCAUUGUUGUAAGGAUUCUGCAAGAAGAUAUACAUGAGCAAUUUUAAAUGUCUGUACUGCUCCUGGCAAAAGCCACAUUGGGUACAAGUUUGCCACAUCAGUUUGCUUGGUCAGUGCGUGAAUCACCGUAAAUGAAUUUAUGUAACUGGUUCAAAAUACUGGUAUAUGAAGUGUGUAGAGAGCUAUGCACCUUGCUUAAGUCAAUUGUUUGAAUCUUAGAGACAAAAAAUAAUACAGAAUUUGCCACCCGAAAAAAAUGUAUGUCCAGAGUCCAAGGCACUGAGAAAUUGGCAAGGCAUGGCUCUCCACCUUCAUAUUUAAAUCACUUAGAAAGUGAAGCAAAAAGAAGCCUAAUGUCUCAAUACCAUUGAGGUCCCCAUAAAUAAUUGUGAUCAUUUAACCCUGGGGACCUGGCUAAAGUGGCUACAGAGGUAAGGGUUACCUAUAACUCAAGUGGCUAAAGAGUUAAUCCCAUCCCCAUCACCAUUCCUACCAGAACACCUCUCUUUAUCCCUUCCUCUACCCUCCUCCCUCAUCAUAGAGGACAUGGUUUUUGCCUAUCCCCAUAGCUGUAUAGCGAAGACCAUUAGAUCCCUAAAGCAUAAUUGUAUAUGGUGUUAGUGAACCACAUUUUCUAUAUUACCAAAUUGAACACAAAUAUUACCCGACAACUUACAAAGCUGAUAUAAUAGUAUUUAAUAAAUAAACGUUGAAUUGUUAAAACUUCAAUAUUAGAGAACUUUCCAACAUAACUGAUACAUGGUAACUAUAAUAAGGGACAUGAAGAAAUCACUUAAAUUUAAUGCAUAAUAUAUAUAUAUAUACUAACUUAAAAGGUANNNNNNNNNNNNNNNNNNNNNNNNNNNNNNNNNNNNNNNNNNNNNNNNNNNNNNNNNNNNNNNNNNNNNNNNNNNNNNNNNNNNNNNNNNNNNNNNNNNNNNNNNNNNNNNNNNNNNNNNNNNNNNNNNNNNNNNNNNNNNNNNNNNNNNNNNNNNNNNNNNNNNNNNNNNNNNNNNNNNNNNNNNNNNNNNNNNNNNNNNNNNNNNNNNNNNNNNNNNNNNNNNNNNNNNNNNNNNNNNNNNNNNNNNNNNNNNNNNNNNNNNNNNNNNNNNNNNNNNNNNNNNNNNNNNNNNNNNNNNNNNNNNNNNNNNNNNNNNNNNNNNNNNNNNNNNNNNNNNNNNNNNNNNNNNNNNNNNNNNNNNNNNNNNNNNNNNNNNNNNNNNNNNNNNNNNNNNNNNNNNNNNNNNNNNNNNNNNNNNNNNNNNNNNNNNNNNNNNNNNNNNNNNNNNNNNNNNNNNNNNNNNNNNNNNNNNNNNNNNNNNNNNNNNNNNNNNNNNNNNNUACCCCAAACAACUCCGAAACACUACGCAAUAUCCCUUAAUGUCUAUCUGAUAUAAUAAUUACUUCUUGACCAUCUAGGAUCCCCUUCAAUUUCUCCAAGAACCAAUACCAAUCCUCAUAAUUUUCUGAACCAACCACACCCAAGGCUAGAGGGAACAUUCCAUCAUCUGCAUCAUAUGCAAUGGCAGACAAAAGAGCUCCUUUGUAUGGACCACUUAGGUGGCAAGAAUCAAUAGCCAAUACCGGUCGACACCCCAUGGUGAACCCUUGAAUUGAAAAUGCGUGGGCAAUGAACAAUUGCUUGAAGUGACCUUCAUGAGAAGUGUACUCGGCAAUAGUUCCAGGGUUAAUUUCCCUUAGUCUAUGGCAUAACCAAGGCAAAUACGCGUAGGACGCACGUGGAGAUCCAUAUACACGCUCUUUUGCCUUCUCUUUAAGAUGCCAUGCUUGGUUAUAAGUCAAUUGAACUCCAUGAUCACUUUCAAAAUCCUUGCAAAUUUGUCGAGGAAGGUAUUCUGGAGUUGUUCUAAACACGUCUUCAACAACAACAACACCUCUCUUGGAAGAAACCCGUACCUUAGAUGAACACUCAUCUUGAGCUAUAUGAUUAUGAUUAACUUGGUAAGUAUAAACUCGCAAUAUUUCAUUUCCUUCAACAGCAUGAGCUGUUAUCUUCCAAGGACAAUCCUCAACCGAACACUUUACUGACAUAUGAGUGGGUGAAUUUUUCUUGUACUUGUAUUGAAACCUUCCAGCUAAUGACAUUUGGUAUAUUGCAUUCCGAAACUCAUCUACAUUCUUAAAUGUAUGUCCGGAACCUAAUAUUGCCUCACGAAACCGAUUCGAUUCCAAAGGGGUGUACUCACUAUAUGCACAACGCGAUGCAAAACCUCUUGAUAACAUCAUAGUAUUAGGAUUUGCAUCGCAUGAUGCAUUAGACGAAGGAAACGUAGGAUGUGGACCUCUGCAUUUACAUUCAUAACCAAAAUUAGACUACAUAAUGCGUAAAAUUGAUAUUCAUAAAAUUUUAAAUAGACAUCCAAGUGAAAACGCAUUACCCAAGUGCCAACUGUGUAUUCGGUAUAUUUGCCUCUAUGGCUUCCACACCGGGUGACUCGACUAUGUACACAUUUGCAAAGUCAUCAUUGUGGGAAACCACGUUAUCCAAGUCAUCCUCAUCUUCUAAAUCUUGGAUGACUCUAGGGUUAAACUUGAGGGUGUAGUGCAUCCUCCUCACAUGAAGGGAAAUGUCGAAUUUUUCUAAGACCUUCUGAGUGAAUUCUUCAAAUGUCAUUCCUUUAUAAAUGUGAAUACCUUUGCUUCUUCCACCAACAUAUUCCCAAACGCCAUCAUUUUUUUGGACAAGUUUCCCUCCCACGAAAAUAUAACAGUAUAUUCUAUUUGUGGCAUCCAUCAACCUAUUGAAAUAAAGCACAAAUUUAUAUUGUUGAACAAACAAUAAUGCAUAUUCAAUGUGAUCUUAAAAGUUUUUUCAUUUCACAAUAUACUAUGUUCCCAUACGAAAAAGUUAUAUUUUAAAAAAUGUAUAUACAAAAAAAUGUAACUUUAAAGUCUUAAAAAAGAAUUUUUGUUGCUCUUUUUGAUUAUUCUAACCAUUGUCAACGGUAAGAUUAUUUUAAGAUAGGCACUAAUAAACAAACGCUGAGUUGAACUAAGAUAUGAAGACCGAGCUUCUCUCUUCUCUUGGACUAAUAAAUACUACCUAACCUAAACAAAACUAAAAAUAAUAAUAAAAAUAAAAAACAAAAAUGAGAAAUGUAAAACUGAAAUGGAAAUUAAAAGAUUGAAAUUAAUAGAUUAAAAAAAAUCAUUAAAUUAAAAACUAAGAAAGGCUAUAAAAGGAAAAAAAACAAAUCUCUAACUUAUUUUCCCUAUCAUUCCCCUUUACUUAUAUAUUCAUAGUUCACAUUUUUAUAAGCAAAAACCUCUCUCUCCAACUACUUUAGUGCUACCCAAUUUGACACUACUACUUACCUAUGCUAAUAAUCUAAUCGUGUCAAUACUUGGAACUUUAAGACAGAACAUCACAACAAUAUCUACUAAAGUAGGAGGAUUUUGUGUCUGAUUCGACUUAAUACUCCAGAACAUAUAUAUAUAUAUAUACACCAAAAACAUUGGAAUUAUGGAAGUAUAAGACAUUCAAUAGGAAAUAAUCCCCCACGUUUUAUUAAGCUCUGGCCUAUACUUACACUAGGUAGAAAACAAAUUCUCAUUCUCACUCAAACCCUUAGACAAUUUCUGUUGGUACUACUAUAUUAGACAUGCCUACAAACUUAUUCAAAGAGAAUGGAGAUAUUUAAAUAUUAAUUAUAAAGCGUUGCUUUUCAAAAUAAUAUGAAGAGAUAAUAGCCUAAAAAAUGUAACAAAUACAGAAUUCUCUUCUAAACUAUCAUGUCCUACUUUAGAUGAUUCAUACAAAACCAUAAGCAAUAGUUUAACACAUUUAAGGUUUAAGGGUCAAAAAAACUAAUAGAUAAAACGAGAUAAAUCUGUUACUUGUGCCUACAUCUCAAGCCAAUGCACCAUAAGAAAACUUUAGGGUUUUUAGGUUUUCCAUUUCCCCUUUCCAUUUUUCCUCUCCUGCUUUUCUAGCAACCAAUUAAACAAUUAUAAAUUAUUUUCAAGUAUAUAUGACAAAUUUUCACAAAUAUUUUUUUGAAUUUAAAAUAUACAAAUAGCAUGAAAAAAAAAAUCUAAAAAAAAUUACAAAAAUAUAAUCAGAUCGAUUAAGCCAUGAAUUAUGAGUUGCAGGUAAAGUGCAUUUUCUGUAUUCUCAAGGCUUAAAGAAAAAAUUAUGGUUCAAAAUUUUUCCUUUCUUUUUCUCAUUAUUUUCUCAGCAUCCAAAUAAUAGUAGCAAACCAAGAAGUCAAUUAUUGAAUGGAAACAGUAACUUGAACUCCGGAGAUCAAGUUGAACACAGUUUAGAGAUUUGGACUAAGAAAAUUUAGGUCGAGAUUUAGGCAAUCUACUAACCUCAAAUAUGCAACAACAGAGACCCAACUGAAAUCCAUACCUUAUUCAAUUUUUCGAGAGAGACGAAUGCGAGAAAAAAUGAAAGAGCCGCAGAGAUUGAGAUGCAAGAAAGCGAUGGAAGUGCUCGGGAGGAAGAGAAGAAAACGGUUUCUAGCCUUGAAAUGCUGAAGAGAGAACAAAAUUAGGGCAAAAUUCCAAAAAGCCACAGAGAUUGAGAUACAAGCGAUGGAGAAACUCGGGAGGAACAGAAAAAACGGCUUCUAAGCAGAGAAGAAAAUGACUUCUAGGCAGAGAAGAAAACGGCUUCUAGGCAAAGAAGAAAACGGCUUCUAGACAGAGAAGAAAACGACUUCUAGGCAGAGAAGAAAAUGGCUUAUAGGCUUGAAAUGCUGAAGAGAUCAAAAUUAGGGCAAAAUUCCCAAGAGCCGCAGAGAUUGAGAUGCAAACGGCUUGUAGGCUUGAAAUCUGAUGGAGGAACUCGGGACGAAGAGAAGAGACACCGACGCAAAGAUUGAGAUGCAAACGGCUUGUAGGCUUUAAAUCUGAUGGAGGAACUCGGGAGGAAGAGAAGAGACACCAAAUUUAGGGCAAAAUUCCAACCUGGAUUUUUUUGUUUAUUAUUAUUUUUUUUUCAUAAUCAGCAAAGGUUAUUUUUGGAAUUAAUAAAAGUGCAUAUCCUUCUUUUUAAUUUUGACACUUCCUAUGGGUUUUCAACUUAAAUGGGUCGGUUAGAUGGACCAUUUGUUAAUUUUUGGGCCCAGCUGGGCCCAAAACACAAUUCUCCCUAUUUUUUUGGGCAACAGUGGACAAUUUUUUGGGUUAUGGAAAGUUGGGUUACCAAAAAGCUAUUAGGCCCAAAUGGGCGAGCCAAAACACAGUUUUCCCAGUUUAUAAUUGUCCUGAACUGACAUGGCUGUCGGAAAACAUGCAUGUCCUCAACACCCUCUGGACACUCGUAAUUGAGUACUUUUUGGUUUGGCAACAUUAAUAGACUCAAUAGGCUUCCUUGCGUCACUUCAGAACUUCAAAUUCAUGAGUGCCUUUAAUUGACAUAACUUCUAGAGGAGAUGGCUCACUCAAUUCUCUACAAACACUUACAACAUUAACGGACUUUAUAGGCAGUCUUACCUCACUUGCAUGCCUUGAAAUUGAUAGCUACCCUGAAUUGACAUCAUCUCCUAAAGAGAUUAGUUUCUUCAGAUCCAUAUUGCCACAAUCUCUUAUUGUCCAUGACUAUUGGACAGAUAUGAGAGUGAAACAAGUGAAGAUUGGUCAAAGAUUGUUCACAUUACAGAAAGUUAUUCAGGUUUCAAAUCCCUGUCUUUCUUCUCAUUUGCUAUGGUUUCAUUUUAUCAAUAAGCUUUGUUUACCUUCUUUUUUGACAAUUCUAGUAUGCAUUAACAUAUAAAGCAAAAAAAAAAAAAAAAAAAGGCUGAGAUAAUAUUAAACAUAGUUGUUAUUUGGUUAUUAAAGACCAAACUAUUCAUGUUACUUUAAGUUUUGCACACUAAGAGUUUGGGAAUAAGCUAGUGUUAUGAAAAACGAGAAUAGGCAACAAAAAAUAAAUAAGAACACACACAGAUUUACGUGGAAAACCGUAGGCAGGAAAAACCACGAACAAAGGAGAAGAAUAAUCCACUAUGUCAAAAAUUGGUACAAAAGGGGAGAACAUUAAGCGGCUACAAUAUAAAUCCCUUAGAACCUAUACACCAUCCCCAUAUAUAUAUGGGAGAGAAAAAAAAAAAAUAAAGCUGAAGAAAUCUAUAAUUUUUUCUUCACCAUAUAUAUUGCAUCGUGAAGAUUUCGGGUUGGACCAAUAAAGGAAAUUAGGUCACCAAGCUCUAACUAUCUCCACCUUGACAUGAAUUCCAAUGUAAGGAAUAGGAAAAACAAACUCCAAUCUUCAACAAAAAAAAACUCUUCACCUCUUCCACAAACCCCAAAGGGUAAUUCAACAACGAAUACUAACCAAGUCCAAACAAUGCUCAAACUUGGAAAGAGGGAGUAUCUUCAUCAUCAUAUCAGUAGGAUUAUCAUGGGUGCUAAUUUUGGCCACAACAAUAUCACCAUGAGCAAUGAUAUCACACACAAAAUGAUACCACACAUCAAUGUGCUUUGUCUUCUCAUAAAACAUCUGAUCUUUUGUGAGGAAAAUAGCACUCUCUGACAAUCACAAAAAACUAUGGUAAUUUUCAAGUUGUCACUAAGUUCACUAAAUAGUCCUUUUAACCAAAUAGCUUCCUUACAAGCCUCUAUAAUAGCCAUGUACUCAGCCUCGAUAGUAGACAAAGCAACUAUAGUCUACAAAGUAGCUUUCCAACUGAUAGCACAACCACCAAUAGUAAAAACAUACCCUACAAGAGAUCUUCUUUUAUCAAGAUCACCAGCAAAAUCAUAAUCAACAUACCCAACAACUCCAUCUCUAGUUCACCCAAAAUGCAAAGAAACAUCAGUAGAACCACACAAGUAUCUAAAAAUCCACUAAACCGCUUUCCAAUGUUCUUUACCAGGAUUUGUCAUGUAUCUAUCGACUGAACUGACUGCAUAUGAUAAAUCUAGACGUGAACAAACUAUAGUAUACAUGAGAGACCCCACUACACUAGAAUAUGGAACUCGUGACUUAUAAUCAAUGUUAUCAUCUGAUUAUGGAGCUAAAACAGAUGCAAGUUUGAAAUGAGUCGCUAAUGGAGUACUAAUAGGUUUAGCAUUCUACAUAUUGAACCUGUGAAGAACUUUCUCAAUGUACCCUUUUUGACUUAGGUAUAAUUUACUUGUCUUUCUGUCUCUUAGAAUCUCCAUUCCAAGUAUCUUCUUUGUUGCUCCUAAGUUUUUCAUCUCAAACUCCUUAUUGAGUUGGACUUUUACCUUUCUUAUAUUUUCCUUAUCCUGGGCUACUAUUAACAUAUCAUCAACAUAUAAGAGGUUUGACUCAUUCAUGACCACUCAUGAUAUUAAUUAUUGUUUAUACCUAUUCCCUGAUGAAGUACAAAAUUUUGAUAUUAUGAAGUGAUGGAAAUCUCAUGAAUCCACUUUUUCUAAACUAUCUAAAAUGGAAUGUGAUUUACUAACCCCACCGGUGUCUACUGUAACUUUGGAAUAUUCUUUUUUUAUAGUAGCAAAUGUAAUAGGAGACAGGAGGACAACUCUUACAACAAAGAUGCUAGAAGUUUUGACAUGUUUGAAGGAUUAGGAAGAUGGAAGCAUGAGACUUCAAACUUUAGAGGAUGAAAUUAAAGAAGCCUUCGAGAAAUUGCAUCUCAAUGCAGACAAUGAUGUUUAAGAGAUUGAUGAUGAUUGAAGAUGUAAAAAAAGGAAUGAAGAUUGAAUAAGAAGACAAAAGUGAAUAUGAUAAUAGAAGAAUUAUAUGUUGUUCGUUUCUUUUAAAUCUAUUAAAUGUAACUAAUUUUUAAAGGUUGAGUAAUACAUAUGAUUGAUAGUUGGGUGGGUGCCAACCUAGUUGGGACGUGGUCAAACUAUAGUGAUGCAAUUCUCGCCUUUUUAUUUCUUCUUAUUUUUUAAUGUAAUUUGUUGAAAUAUUGAAUAAAAGAAUUAUUUUUUAUAUUUCAUUUCCUUUUAUAUUCCAUUAUUUUAAAUUUAUUGUUAUUUUGAUAAAAAAAAAUUCAAAUAUAACUUUUUUACUAUUUUUAAAAACAAAAAACUAACAUUUCUAUAAAUUUUACAAUUACAAUUAAAGAGUUUGAACUAUUAUACUGUGGAUAUGAACAAAUUAGCUGAUUUAAAUUUUUAUUAAUAUGAGCUUGCCCAUUUGGUUUUCUUCCCAAGUUUUAUCUGCACCCUUGUGCUUUAUGUGAAGAACUAAUUAAUUGAUUACAUCAAUAUGUUGUUUCUUCUCAUGCAUUAAUUUUCUCUAAAAUAUUGAGUGGUUCUAAAUUUCAUAUGAUAAGAAAAAAGAGAUCGACUUAUGCANNNNNNNNNNNNNNNNNNNNNNNNNNNNNNNNNNNNNNNNNNNNNNNNNNNNNNNNNNNNNNNNNNNNNNNNNNNNNNNNNNNNNNNNNNNNNNNNNNNNUGAAAGUUAGAACCACUCAAUAUUUUAGAGAAAAUUAAUGCAUGAGAAGAAACAACAUAUUGAUGUAAUCAAUUAAUUAGUUCUUCACAUAAAGCACAAGGGUGCAAAUAAAACUAUUGAGUGGUUCUAAAUUUCCUUACAAACUAAUAUUUUAAAUUAUGAAAACUUUGAAAUAUUAAUAUUUCUUUUUACUCAACCCUUAAUAAAUAAAAAGAAUUUGGCCAAUUUAAUUUUUGUAAUAUAUUAUGUUAUGUUUGAUUUCAGAAAAAAUACUAAAGAAACAAUAUAUAUAUAUAUAUAUAUAUAUAUUUUGAGGAAAAUAAUUUUCUCAUGUUUUUUUUUUGUUUUUUUAUGGAAAAUACAAAACAAAAUAAAGUAUUAUUCAAAUUAAUUAAUAAUUUUAUAUUUUAAUUUUUAAAAUUUUUGUAUGAAAUGAGAAAAAUAAAUUUAAUAAAUUUGAAGAAGUAUAAAAAAAUUAUUUAAAUCUUUAUUUUAUUUUCUUUCAAAUGUUUUCUUCAUGUAAAAAUUAAAUAUAAUUAAAAUUAGUUCAAAAUUUAUGUAUUUUCAAAAUUAGUUUAUUAUUAUUGAAAACAAAAAAAGAAGUAAAAUGAGUUUAAAAUGGUAUGUAAAAAUAAUUUAUUAAUUGUAAUUUUUUUUUUUAUUUGUCACUUUUUUAAACGCAUGCAAUAACUGGUUAGAGUCUCCUCACUUAAGGUCCCUGAAUAAUUUAUUAUUUGUCACUUUUUAAAAAUUUAUUUUUCUAUUUUUUCUAUGGCAUUUCUCUUAAAUCUUCCAACAACAAAACCUAACUUGGGGGUUUCAAUUUUUGCAUCAUAGCAUGUGUUUGAAUCGACCAAACAUCCAUCACAAAAUACUGAAUGUAAAGAAAAAUAAAUGAAAGAAGGACAAAAGUUAUAUUACAACUUGCAUGGCUUGUUGACUUGUCCGCCUAUUAAUCCAUAAUAAUAAUAAUUCACAUUUUAUAUUAGUACCAUGUGAUUUCCCCAAUGCUCACAAGCCCUAUAUAUCACUACUUUGCCCAGUAUUCUCCCCUCACAAUUCUCUUUUGAGUUCUCCUUUUCUUACUAUAUUUCCUUGCUCUUCUGCACUUCGAAUUCUUCUAACAUAUGGCUGACCAAAUUCCAUUCGGUGUUGUGGAUCACAUUUUGAUCAAGUCAGGGUCCCUGGCUGUUCAAGAAAUUCGAUCCAUGUAUGGUGUUCCAAAGGAGUUAACCAAGCUCUGUGGGAAACUUGGCACCAUCAAGGCUGUGCUUUUGGAUGCUGAGGAGAAGCAGCAGCAGAACAAUCAUGCAGUCAAAGAUUGGGUCUGGAGGCUUAAAGGCGUUGUGUAUGACGCAGAUGACUUGCUGGAUGACUAUGCAACCCAUUAUCUUCAGCGAGGAGGAUUGGCAAGGCAGGUCAGUGACUUCUUCUCAUCUGAAAAUCAAGUUGCUUUUCGUUUAUACAUGAGUCACAGACUCAAGGAUAUCAAAGAAAGGAUAGAUGAUAUUGCAAAAGACAUCCCCAUGUUAAAUCUUAUUCCACGGGACAUAGUACUACACACACGGGCAGAGAAUAGUUGGAGAGACACCCAUUCAUUCGUGUUAACAUCUGAAAUUGUAGGAAGAGAAGAAAACAAAGAGGAGAUAAUAGGGAAGUUGUUGUCGUCCGACGGUGAAGAAAAUCUUUCGGUUGUUGCCAUUGUAGGUAUUGGGGGGUUGGGUAAGACCACCCUUGCUCAAUUGGUAUACAAUGAUGGAAGAGUGAAAGAACAUUUUGAGCCUAAGAUAUGGGCUUGCAUUUCUGAUGAUUCUGGUGAUGGUUUUGAUGUUAAUACGUGGAUCAAAAAAGUUUUAAAAUCUGUGAAUGUUCGGUUUGAGGAAAGUCUGGAGGAUAUGAAAAAUAAGCUUCAUGAAAAAAUAAGUCAAAAGAGGUACUUGCUAGUCCUCGAUGAUGUUUGGAAUCAAAAUCCUCAAAAAUGGGAUGACGUGAGAACUUUAUUAAUGGUUGGGGCUAUUGGUAGUAAAAUUGUAGUGACCACCCGAAAACCAAGAGUUGCAUCAAUCAUGGGAGAUAAUUCUCCCAUUAGUUUGGAAGGUCUGGAACAAAAUCAGUCCUGGGAUUUAUUUUCAAAAAUUGCAUUUAGAGAAGGCCAGGAGAAUUUGCAUCCAGAAAUUCUAGAAAUUGGAGAAGAAAUUGCAAAAAUGUGCAAGGGAGUUCCUCUCAUCAUUAAGACUUUAGCAAUGAUAUUGCAGUCUAAAAGAGAACAGGGCGAAUGGUUGUCUAUUAGAAACAAUAAAAAUUUGUUGUCACUUGGCGAGGAAAAUGAGAAUGUUUUAUCUGUGCUAAAACUAAGUUAUGAUAAUUUGCCUACUCAUUUGAGACAAUGCUUUACAUAUUGUGUUGUAUUUCCAAAAGACUAUGAGAUUGAGAAAAAGUCGUUGGUACAACUAUGGAUAGCACAAGGUUAUAUUCAAUCUUCAAAUGAUAAUAAUGAGCAACUAGAAGAUAUAGGGGAUCGAUAUUUUCAGGAAUUAUUGUCAAGGUCAUUGUUGGAGAAGGCGGGAAACAAUCCUUUUACUGCUACAUUAAGGUAUAAAAUGCAUGACCUUAUACAUGAUCUUGCACAAUCAAUUAUAGGAUCUGAGGUCCUCAUUUUAAGAAAUGACAUAACAAACAUUUCAAAAGAAAUUCGUCAUGUAUCAUUGUUUAAAGAAACGAAUGUUAAGAUAAAAGAUAUAAAGGGAAAACCCAUAAGGACCUUUAUAGACUGUUGUGGACAUUGGAGAAAGGAUUCAUCAGCUAUAAGUGAAGUUCUUCCAAGCUUUAAGUCCCUACGUGUGUUGAGUGUGGAUAAUUUGGCUAUAGAGAAGGUGUCAAUGUGGGUAGACAAAUUGAGCCACUUAAGGUAUCUUGAUCUUUCUCUUCGUGAUUUUGAGGCACCUCCAAAUGCUAUUACAAGGUUAAAGAAUUUACAAACACUAAAACUCAAUGAGUGUUGGAGUUUGAAGAGAUUUCCAAAAGAUACAAGAAAAUUGAUCAAUCUUAGACACUUGGAGAAUGGUGGGUGUGCUAAUUUGACUCAUAUGCCACAUGGAAUAGGAGAAUUGACAUUACUUCAAAGUUUACCAUUGUUUGUUGUUGGGGAAGAGAAAGAGUUGUCCAGGGUUCAUACAAUUGGCAGCUUAAUUGAAUUGAAGAGGCUAAACCAACUAAGAGGAGGACUACUCAUAAAAAAUCUUCAAAAUGCACGGGUAUCAGAAGGAGAAAUUUUGAAAGAAAAGGAAUGCCUUGAGUCUUUGAGAUUAGAAUGGGCCCAAGAAGGUAACUGUGAUGUGGAUGAUGAGUUGGUGAUGAAAGGCCUCCAACCACACCGAAACCUAAAAGAGCUCUAUAUAGGUGGCUACCGAGGUGAAAGAUUUCCAAGUUGGAUGAUGAAUAGCCUGCUUCCUAACCUAAUUAAAAUUAAAAUUGCGGGAUGUUCAAGGUGUCAAAUUCUACCACCCUUUUCUCAACUCCCUUCUCUCCAGUCUUUGGAUCUUUGGAAUAUGGAAGAGGUGGAGGGCAUGAAAGAGGGUUCAUCAGCAACAAAUGCCGAAUUCUUCCCAGCUCUUCAAUUCCUCAAACUCAACAGGAUGCCGAAGUUGAAGGGAUUGUGGAGGAUGGAGUCAGGAGCAGAGCAAGGUCCCUCAUUUCCUCAUCUUUUCAAAUUAGAAAUUGAAGGAUGCCAUAACUUGACAUCCUUUGAAUUGCAUUCAUCUCCUUCUCUUUCUACUUCAAAGAUCAAAAAAUGCCCUCACUUGACAUCCUUUAAAUUGCAGUCCUCUCCUCGUCUUUCUACUUUAAAGAUUGAAGAGUGCCUUCUCUUGUCAUCCUUUGAAUUGCAUUCAUCUCCUUGUCUCUCUGAAUUUGAGAUCAGUGAUUGCCCAAACUUGACAUCCUUGGGACUGCAGUCAUCUCCUUCUCUUUCUAAAUUAGAGAUCCAUAGUUGCCCAAAUUUGACAUCCUUGGAAAUGCCUUCAUCUCUUGGUCUUUCUCAAUUACAGAUCAGAGAUCGCCGAAACUUUAAAUCCUUGGAACUGCAGUCAUGUUCUUCUCUUGCUAUAUCAACCAUACAGUCUUACGAUAAGCUGAAAUCCUUGGAAAUGCCUUCAUCUCUUGGUCUUUCUCGAUUAGAGAUCAGUGAUCGCCGAAACUUGAAAUCCUUGGAACUGCAGUCAUUUUCUUCUCUCUCUAUAUUAACCAUACUGUCUUGCGAUGAGCUGACAUCCUUGGAACUGCCUUCAUCUCCUCAUCUUUCUAGAUUACAAAUCAGUUUUUGUUGUAACUUGAAAUCCUUAGAACUGCCUUCAUCUCCUGGUCUUUCUCAAUUAGAGAUCGAAUAUUGUGAUAACUUCACAUCCUUGGAACUGCAGUCAGCUCCUCGUCUUUGUCAAGUACAGAUCAGACAUUGCCAAAACUUGACAUUCUUAAAAGAGGUUUCAUUACCUAGUCUUGAGAAACUAUUCCUAUCUACAGUCAGAAGGGUGGUGCUCAUAAUGUUUGUCUCUGCUUCUUCUUCACUGGAGUCUCUGUUUAUUAACAACAUAGAUGAUAUGGUAUCUCCCCCAGAGGAGCUGCUUCAACAUCUUUCCACUCUCCACAAUUUGAAGUGCUCUGGUUUGGCAACAUCACCACACUGGAUAGGCAGCCUCACCUCACUUUCUGAAUCAGAGAUCAGUGAUAGCCCAGACUUGACAUGCUUAGAACUGCCGUCAUCUCUGUGUCUUUCUAGUUUAAAGGUCAAUGAUUGCCCAAACUUGACAUGCUUAAAACUGCAGCCAUAUCCUUGUCUUUCUAGUUUAAAGAUUGGAAAAUGCCCGAAGUUUGCAUCCUUUGAAGUGGCUUCAUUACCUUGUCUUGAGGAACUAAGCCUGGGUGGAGUUGGAGCAAAGUUACUGUCAAAGUUAGUGUCCAUCUUUGCUUCUUCUUCAUUGAAGUCUCUGUAUAUAUGGGAGAUACAUGAUAUGAGAUCUCUCCCAAAGGAUCUGCUUCAACAUCUUUCCACUCUCCAAACUCUCCACAUUUUGAAAUGCUCUCGUUUGGAAACAUUAUCACACUGGAUAGGCAGCCUCAUCUCACUUAGAGAGCUUGGAGUUCAUGAAUGCUGUCAAUUGACAUCACUGCCAGAAGAGAUGCGUUCACUCAGAAACCUGCAGGAGUUAUAUCUCUGUGAUAGUCUAAUUCUACGGAUAAGAUGCAGUGUGACAACAGGUGGAAACUGGUCCAGGAUUGCUCAUAUCCCACAUAUUCAUUUCUUCGAUGAUAAGGGAAUAAAGUUUAAGGUCCGAAAUUCCUAACCUUUAUCCUCAUUUUUAUUAUUUUACGAUCAAAAUGCAAUGUUUUCCCAUUUGGUUUUGGUAAUUCUUUUAUAUUGACACUUCACAUGUUUGUUAAAAUGCUCACAUCAAUAAAUUUGAUUUCUUUUUGCAGACUAUAUGAUAGAUGAUGUGCACUAAACUGAUCAUUUUACUAGGUUCUACAUUCUAAGGGUUUGAGGAAAUACUGAGAUCUGAUAUGAUAUAUCUCCCAGAGGAGCUGCUUCAACAUGUUUCCAUGAUCUAAACUCUCACCAUUAGACAUUGCUGUUUUUGCAACAUUACAACACUGGAUAGGCAGCCUCCCCUCAGUUAUAGAACUUGGAACUCAUGGCUGCCAGAAGGUAUGUUCCCUCAAAAACUUGCAGAUGCUCAAAAUCUGCAUUGAAGUCUUAAUGAGGGCUGAGGUGCUGUGUCAGUCAAUGUUUCUCUCCACUUCUUCAUUGAAAUCUCUAUCUGUUGGAUCCUCAGAUGCUAUGAUGUCUCCCAGGGGAGGUACCUCAACAUGUUUCCAGGAUCCAAACUCUCAAAUUGAAUUAUGCUCUGGUUUUGCAAUAUUGCAGCCCUGGAUAGGCAGCUUCACCUCACUUAUGGACCUUCAUAUUUGUGACUGCGCUGAAUUGACAUCACGGUCGGAAGAGAUGCAUUCCCUCAAAAGCCUGCCAACACUCAAAACCUUUCAUUGUUGGAACCUACUUGAAGAUGCCAAAAGGAAACAUUUCAAGUUCAAGAAUAGAGAGAGCCAUGCUUGGUGCAGAUUCCAUCAAUAUAGAGAGACAUUUCAGGUCUGAAAUCCACCCUUCAAGUUGUAUUAGCAUAUAUAUCAUGAGUGAUUUUGUUAUUUAUGUCCACACCUUAUUCAUUUGAUGAAAUGCUUAAACAAGCAAGUUUUAAAAAAAAAAUUCUUCAAAUCACUUAUCAAAGAAAAAAAAAAAAAAGUUUCUCUUCAAAUCAAUUCUAAUGCGCCAUGAAUUGGUAAAUGAAGUUUGGGAAGAUGCUGGUUUGAUUUAAUUAUCAUUUGGUUGCAGAUUUCAUCUUGCAUUAGACGCGUGUGAAUAUUUCUUCUUGGCUCAACUUGAAAUCACUGCCUACAUUCUUCCAUUUCCCAGCUCAAAAUCACGUGGCAGAAGUUUUAAACUGCCAAAAAAUUUGUGAUGGCCCAUAAAUUCUUAUCUACCAGAUGACUAAUGGAGGAAGGUCCUGCUUUCUUUAGAAUUCAGGUCUACUCUUUGCCAUAGAUUACAGGUAAUCUGCUGCCUGCUAUUAAUUUGUACAUCGUCUUUCAUUUUGCCAUCCAUUUCUGUCAAGAGUGUCAUUCAAGUUGUGACUAUAUUUGUUGACUUUCACAUGCACAAAACUAGUAAACAGAUUGAACAAGUAAGCAAUAUGUGUCACUGUGAGUUUCGUUGUUAUUUAAAAUCACUCCAACUAAACAUGACAUAGACCAAAAACUCAUUAUCUCAGUCAAGUAGUUUAUUUUUUGUCCUUCAUUUGGUGAUGUUGUCUGGGUUUUUUAUUUUCUCUCUCUUCAUUGAUAGGCUUGUCCUCUCUGCAAUAUUAAUCACUGCAGAUGUAAUGUUGUCUAAUCAAUACAAAAAGCGAUAGUUGUGGGGCUUCCUUGAUCAGCAACUGCAUCGAGUGUUUCUAGACACUAAUGUCUCUAUAUUUUUGAAAAUUCAGAGAGUUGCAAAUUUCAAGGACUUAAAAGCUCGAGUAACUGUCUCUACCAUUAGGGCUUCAACAUGUUACCAUUCUGGAAAUUCUAAAAUACGUCAGAAUGCCCCACAUCCCUUAAUCGAAACCACUGCCAACACACUCAUGGGCUCUUUGACUUUGCCAUCUACAAUAUAUCAGAGGUUCAUGAUCCAUCCUCUAUUUCUGCUUUGGGUGGCUUCAAUUUUUUAUCUUACUUUUGUGUCAAUAUUCUAAAAAUGUUAUAUUCAAUUUACAAUUUUUUUUUAUCUGAUUCUCAUGCAUUCGCACAUGCUAAGAGACAAGUAAUAUAACACUUUCAUAAUGCAGGCCUUUUCCAUUGUUACUUCAUGUUUUUCACUUUACGAAUUUGAGAAAAUUUUGGGGUUGAUUUAAUUACUAUUUUCUCACAGAUUUCACCUUGCUUAGAAAGCCUAUGACUAUUCAUAUCUACUAGAUGGCUAAGGCAUCCAAUAAAUAUGCUUCACUCACCAGAAAAAUACCCAUCUCCUCAGCUCCAAACCCCUCUUUCUUCUCCUUCUCUUUUACUGUUUGCCAUUAUACCCUCUUACUGCUUUUGAAGACUGUAUUACUUUUGUAAAAUCCUUAGAUUAGUAAAAUUUGAAAUUGUAUUUUUAGUUUAAUGAUUAUAAUCUAUAUGUGAUCUUGUUAUUUCAUAUUUGUAGUUACAUGUUUCGAAAUUUUAUUAGGUUAACUACUUUGUUACAGAUGCAAGUGCUGCUGGGUCAAAGCAAAAUACCAGAUGGUAAUGUAGUUGUGACACCUUAUUUCUCUAAAGCAACUCAAAAGUGGGAAUUGUCAUAGAUUAAUAUUCUCUCAGUGGCGGCCACACCUCAUUUCUCUCAAGUAUUGAAAAUUCAGUGAUGUGCUAGUAGCUUAAUUAAUGUCUCUGUCACAAGUGAUUCAACAUCUCAUCCCACUUGAAGCCUUGGAAGCUAUCUCUAUAUUCAGGGACUCAGAUUGCCGCCCUAAAUUUGGUAACUUUAUCACACUCAAUGGACAACUUCCCUUUACUAACGUCUUCAAAUUUAUUGUUGUCCUGAAUUGAAAUCAUUGUUGGAAGAAGUGCAUGUCCUCAGCAUCUUUUGGACACUCAUAAUUGGGUACUUUCUUGUUUGGCAACAUUAACAGAUUCAUUAGGAAUCCUUACAUCACUUCAGACCUUCGAAUUUAUGAAUGCCUUGAAUUGACAUCACUUCUAGAAGAGAUGGUCCACUCAGGUCUCUGCAGACACAAUUCAGGACUUUUCUUUUUUGGCAACAACAAGAGACUUUAUAGGCAGUCUCACCUCACUUGCAUACCUUGAAAUCAAUAGUUGUCCUGAACUAACAUCAUCUCCAGAAGAGAUUGGUUCCUUCAGAUCCAUGCAGCCACCCAUAAUCUCUUAUUGUCCAUUGCAAUUGGAAAGAUGUCUAAGGGAAACAAUUGAAGAUUGGUCAAAGAUUGCUCAUGUUAUAGAAAGUUGUUUCAGGUUUGAAAUCCCUGCCUUUGUUCUCAUUUGCUAUGGUUUCAUGUUUAUCAAUAAGCUCUGUUUACCUUUUGUUUCGACAAUUCUGGUAUGCUUUAGCAUAUAAAGAAAAAAAGAAAAAAAAGAAAAACUGAGAUAAUCUUUUAAAAUUUUUUUCAUCUUCAAAUCAAAAUUGUUAAUUCCAUGUAUUAUUAAAUAUAGUUGUUAUUUGGUUAUUAAAGACCAAACCGAUCAUGUUACUUUAUGUUUUGAACACUAAGAGUUUGGGAAUAAACUAGGCUUUAUUUAAUUUCUGUUUUUAGCAUAUUUCACCUUGCUUAAGAAGCUUGUGAUUAUUCCUUGGACCAAAGAUUUCUUAUGAGUCAGAAUUUUUGCUCUCUUUCAAAUUCAGCUGCUUUGUUUGUAAUUCCAAUCCUUUUCCUGCCUUUGAACACUAGCACCAUUUUUAGUUAUUUAUCAAUGUGUUAGGAGCAUUAUCCUCUAGUUUUUAUAAUUUGUUGCCAAUUAUCAUAUAUAACAACACAUUAACCAAGUAGUGCAAAUGAACAUCUAUAAAGAGUCCAAUUAUGUUAAUUAGCAACUAUUAGAUAAAGUAGUUAUAGUAUUAUUUUUUUUGUUUGCUUCACAUGCUCUAUAAAAUCCAUAGAUUAGUAAUGUUUGAAUUUGGUAUCUUCAAAGAUAUCAAUUGCUACUUUGAUGGUUAUAAUCAAUGAUUUAACUGUCUGCCAAAGUGAUUAUAUUGUUAAUAACUUCGUGUUUCCAUUUUACAUGUUUGAAAAUUUAUGAAGUUAACUAUUUUAUUGCAAAUGUAAUAGUUGCUAAGUUAAAGCAAAAGUGGUAGUGAUGUGGUUGUGACACCAUACUCAUAUGAAGUAAUUGGAAAGUGAAGAUUGUCAUAGACUAAUGUCUAUUUUGGUGGCUACCACACCCUCGCUUCUCCUAAGUUAUUGAAAAUUCAUAAAUGUGGUAGCCAAAUGUCUCUCCCUCGUGUGAUUUAGCACAUUGCCCUCGAAAAUUUGGAAGUAUGUAAAUUCACUUUAGUGCCCUUGAAGAUUUAAAAGUUCUCCAUAUAGGUAGGGUUAACUGUUUUGGUUUUGCAACUUUGUCAAAUUAGAUGAGUUAACUUCAGAUCGAUAACUACCUUGUGUUGAAAUUAAUGCUAGAUGGGAUGCACCCAUGAGCACUCUAUAGAAAGUCAAUAACUUUCACUCCCAAAUCUUAUUAGAGAAAUGCCAAAAAGGAAAAGGUGAAGAUUAGCCAAAGAUGAUUUUAUGGUUGAUUCAUGCACUACUAUUGCAAUCCUUAAUUCAAGCAUGCAAUCUACAAUAUGUUUUAGGCUUGAAAUCCAACCUUUCUCUCAUUUUUUUUAUGGCUUUGGUUUAUUUUUAUACAUUGUUUAUGAUUCUAUUUUCUUGAUUCUCAUGUGCAUUAAGAUAUAUAAAGAAAAAAAAUUUCAUUGUUUGCUUUCUAUCUACUAUGUGUCGAUACAUAUAUGUUUUAAAAACCAAUUUCUAAUAGCGGUGCAACUUAGGCGAGUUGGCCCAACCUAGCUAGACCUUUGAGUGAGUUUGGACGAUCAUUUUUAAUGUUCGGAUUGAGUUUAUCUUAAGUGUUUUUUCAACAUAAAUUCAAUUUGGUUGGGCUUAAGCCAAGGUUUAGACAACUUAAGCCUAACCUAAACCUAAUUUAAUCCUUUUAUAAUACUUAUAAUUUAUAUUAUCCUAUAUAAUAAUAUUUAUAAUUUUUAUUUAUUUAUUGUUAUAAUUAAAAAAAAUCAAAAUAUAAUUGUAUCAUAUACUUUUUUGUUUCUCCAAAAUGAUAUAUUGAUUGACUUAUUAUUAUUAUUAUUAUUAUUAUUAUUAUUAUUAUUAUUACUAUUAUUGUAAUCUUGAAAAUUUGUCAUAUUUACUACUUAAAUUUGUGUGUGUGUGUGUAUGUGUAUGUGUAUAUAUUAAAAAAUAUUGUGAAUGCAUUUUGAAUCUGUUAGCCCAAAGGUUCUCCUAAUCGGGUUUUGAUGAUAACAAACUAUGGUUAAGUGACUAAUUGUUUUAAAUGAUAAAGAAUCUCAGGUAUAAAUUCGGAAAUUCAUUAAAGGACCAAAUAGAUACAAGAUCAAGACUUUGGGAAGACUUUUGAUCAUAGAAAACGAAUGUAAGAUGAAUGCAUGGGUGCACUUGGGAUUUUCAUACCAUUUCAUGCAUCUUAGAAAACUCGGUUUAUCCUUUAAAACUUCGAUUUCAUUAAAACUCGAGUUUGAUCAAAUGUACCUUAGGCAAAACGUUUUAAAAUUGACAUAUUAUUUCACCUAAAGACCUUGCUUAAGUGUUAGAAAAGAAAGGAAUUGAAAAAAAUAAGUUUUCGGGGCCAAAAGACCGAACCGAUCGAGGCUCUGGCCAACCGGCUCAACCGGUUGGGGAACGGUCGAGGAGUGCCAAAAACACUCUCUCUCAUCCAGUAGUUUCCUCUUCCCAGUUGAGGUUCACCCAUUCCCGGUUGAGGUCCAGUUGAGGCAAUGGUAACCUGCCAAGCAUUAAAUGCUCCAACAGCUAGCGAACCGGUCGACCCCUAGCUCGAUCGAUCGAGACUCCCUUUUGCCUUUUUUGACUUCCGAGCUUAGAAGCCUAUAAAUUGAGAGCUGCACUUCAUUUAUGAACAAGAGAACACUUGCAAUCAAUUGUCUACCUACCUAUUCUUGACCAAAAAACUCUCAUUUCUUUCUUAGUGCAUUAAAUCAUCACUUGCAUAUCCUUUAGUGCACCCUUGUGUGUUAUCCUAGUUUUGUCUUGUAUUUGAGCUAUCCUUAAGCUAGGCUGAGGGAUUCAUUCUUGUAAAAACUGAGUGUUAAAGCCUUUAAGAGGUUUGAAUCUUGAAGAGAUUGUGUAAGAGCCCAUUGGAGCCAGAAUCCAAGUGUAAGAAGAUUGGAAGCUUGGUUGAAGCUUCAAGUUAGUGGAACCCUCACUUAGUUAGGAGAUUGAGAAGAGUGGACGUAGACAAGGAAGUUUCGAACCACUAUAAAACCUGAGUUUGAAUUCUCUAACUCUAUCUCUUUAUUUUUGUUUAUAUUGUGCUUGAACUUAUUGUGUUUGAAAAGAUUUUUAAAAACCCAAUUCACCCUCCUCCCCCCAUUUUUGGGUGUUUUUCUUAAUUAAGUAUAGUCUUUAUUUUCUUAAUUGGUAUCAGAGGUAGACCUCUUGUUUAAGACCUAAUAGUCUAAGAGGAAAUGGCUAUUCUAUCAAGCUCAUCUCACACUAAAAUUUUUGCAAAACAUAGAGCUCCAUUUUUUAUGGGAACCGACUAUCCCUAUUGGAAAACUAAAAUGACUUGGUUUUUACAAUCAACCGAUUUAGACGUAUGGGAUGUUAUUGAAGAUGGCCCAACUUUUCCUACUAAACUAGUUGAUGGAGUUUUGGUUCCAAAACCCAAGCAAGAAUGGAAUGAGCUUGAUAGAAGAAAUUUUCAAUUAAAUGCUAAAGCUGUUUUUACUUUGCAAUGUGCUACAGAUAGAAAUGAAUAUAAUAGAAUAUGUCAAAUCAGCUAAAGAAAUUUGGAGAUUACUUGAGCUAACUCUUGAAGGAACAAAUCAAGUGAAAGAGUCAAAAAUUAAUUUACUUGUUCAUAACUAUGAAUUGUUUUCAAUGAAAGAAAAUGAGACUAUUGUUGAGAUAAUUACUAGGUUCACCGACAUUGUUGUGUUUGAAAAGAUUUUAAAAAACCCAAUUCACCCCCUCCCCCCAUUUUGGGUGUUUUUCUUAAUUAAGCAUAGUCUUUAUUUUCUUAGAAUCAUAUAAUGAACCAACCCGAACCCAACAAAAUGAGAUUAUGUUGGGCUUAGGUUAAGUAAAUUGGAUUAGAGGUUGGGUUGGGUUGGGUUGGUUUGGCUUAGGGUUAAGUGUUUCUUAGGUUUGGCUCGGAUCAAGUUGACCAUCAUCCAAACUCAACUCACCCAACUUGCAACCCAAAUUUCUAAGAAUAUGAUAUAUAUUCCAUUUACAAAUCUUUUUUUUUUGGUUCAUAUGGCUACUAGAACAUCAUGUUAAGUGCCUGAGAAACAUUUCCUAGUUGAUAUUUAGUUGUAGGUUAAUCUUCAAGUACCCUAGAGCUAAAACAUUUUAUAUUGUUAGGGUUUGAUGAUUCUUGUACUAGUGGUUGGGUCUCAUGUUGGAUUUCAGUUCAAGCGACUAAAUAAUCUUUUUCAAAUUAUUUGAUUGUAAUUAUGAUUACAUUUAUAAUUAUUAUUAUUUUUUAUUUUUAUAUCUUGGUAAUUGAUUUCAAUACCUUUUUAAUUAUUUUAUGAAAUGUCUAGCCUGCAUUUAGAGUCAAGGAUGUGUUUGUUUUGCAUGUUGGAUUGGAUUUAACUUUUCACUACUAGUAUUCUUUUAAUAGAGCUUCAAUGCUAAAAGCCUAAAACUAAAUCAUUUUGGUUGUUGAUAUAAGUUUACAAGAAGUACAAUACCUUUUGCAAGUGACACUGCCUUCAAGCCCUUUGAAAAUUUUGUGUAGUUACUAAUUAACUCUUUGUUGCUAAAAUAUAAUAUGUGAAGUUAUCUUAUAGUCAUAUAGCUAAUAAAAUUUUAAUGUUAUAUUACUUGAUUUAGUAUUUAAAAUAUUUAAGGUUUUGUGAAUUAAAGACCACCAUGUUAUCCAUAACAAAAGUUUUCUAUGGUUAGAUUGUAAUUGUUUUCUUGGUUAAUUUGACAAUUUAAUUGUGGAGUUCAAUUGAAUAUUCCUCGAGUUUCAUGCCUUAUGUAUCUGAUUUGUUUGUCAAGCUUCAAUGAUAUUCACUACACUUGCGAGUUGUGUUUGUUUAUAGUCUUCUACUCUAGAAAACUGAUAUUAGGGCCUAAGUUUAUAUUAGAUAAGGAAAUCAACCUUUUAUCAUUAAGUUUAGUGAUUAAAUGUAUUUCUUUUUACUCCACCCAUAAAGUUUCUAAGUGUUGCCUUGGACUUCCUAACUCCAUUACUGUUUGUAAAGAAAAUGGUUAAUUUUUUCAUUUUAUGUAGAAGUUAACAAAAGUGGUCAUUUUGACAUGAUUUGACAUUGUUAUUAUUAUCUUUUUAAAUUAGAUAUAAUAAUUUUCCAAAGUCAAUAUUUUGUUUGCAUGAUGCUCUUUUUAUAUUGAUAUGUAAUGGAUGGCUAAAGUGGAGAAAACUUACUUUAUUUAAGUCAAAUGUGUCUUCCACCAAAUAUUUAAGGUUUGUGUGGCAACCUCUCUUUCUAUUUGUUGCUUCAUCUUUACUGUUUUGAAGUCAAAGAAAGAAAAUGCUAUCUUUAAUACUCUUCAUGCAAAUAGGCUAGACAUGCAUGCUUGAAUACAAUAUUUUCUCUAUUGUUUGUUUAUUUUCUUGUCUUUAUUCUAUUCCACUUGUUAAUGUUAUUUAAAAUGACUAUCGUGAUGAUUAAUUGCAUAUUGUGAAAGUACUUGGCUUAACCAAUUAUUAAAUUGGAAUUAAGUUAAUAUCAUGACAAAUACCAAAAGAAUAAUUUUUAGUCUUACUUGAACAUUAUUCACUAUUCCAAAGUUAAGUAAUGUUGUCAAACAAGUUAUGGAUGGUUGAUGGAUAUGCAUCACCAAUAUUUGUUUAUAUUGAAGGGAUGGUGGAGGAGAGAUGUUGCAACUGCAAAGUCCUUGUCUUUCUCAAUUAGAUAUUAGUUAUUGUCAUAUGUUAACACAUUUUGCACUGCAUUACUUAACAUCCUUUUCCAUUAAUUACAUCUCAUUUUUCUAAAAUAGAGAUCAAAUACUAAGGUAAUUAGACAUACUUAUUUAUGCCUUCAUUUCCUUGCCUUUCUCACUUACUUAUCAAUGGAUUCCCUAACUUCAAAUCCUUCCCACUGCUUGUAGCUCAUUGUCUUGUUCGCAUAGAUAUUAGUAAGUGCCCUAACUUGAUAACCUUCAAAGUGCAUUUAUUAAUAUAAGUUGUUGGCUUUUUUGUUCUUCAUUGAAGUCUCUAUUUGGGACAUUCAUGAUUUGAUAUCUCUUCUAAAAGAAGGCUUGGCUUCAACAUUUUUCCAAUCUCCAAACUCUCACAAUUAAGAACUAUCAUGGUUUGGUAACAUUAUUGUGUUGGAUCUACAACCUUCAAUUACUUACCAAGCUUCAAGUUGAUCACUAUCUAGAAUCGAUAUCAUUGAUAGAAAUGAUACAUUCUCUCAAAAACCUUUAAAGACGCAAAAUCUAUUGUUGUCCACACCUAUUAGAAAGAUAUCAAAAGGAAACAAUUGAAGAUUAACCCAAGAUUGGUUGUCUCACAAAAUGAUAUUUAGUUGAGAUUAGAUUGAUAAAGAAUGUCAUUUUAGGCAUGAAAUUCCAAUCUUUCCUUUCAUUUUUUUAUGGAUUUAUUUAUUUUAAAAUUAUAUAUAAUCCUUUGUUUUCAUUUUGCUUUGGUCAAAUGCUUAGAUCAUUAAGUUUUUAAAGUUUUGUAUCUUUAAAUUACUAACCGCUAAUGAUGUGUAGCAACUUGAUUAUGUCUGUUACUUUCAAUUUUGCAUUCUAAGGGUUUGAGACAUGCCAAGGUUUGAUUUAAUAAUUAUUUUUUCAUGGUUUUUAACUUGAAAUCAUUGUCUAUUCAGGUUCAUUGCCCAGACUUAAAGUAACUGUCAUAAGAAACAAACUUCUAAUAGGCCUAAUGAUUUCUCAUGGCUAAUUCACAUCCAUUAGAUGCUUGAUAAUGAAAACACUUUUGCUCUCUUCUAAUUUCAGGUUUCUCUGCCUUAUAUUUUAUGUUCCAACUUUACACAUUUAUUAAAAUUAUUAGACUAGUUGAAAUUUAUAAUAUAUUUGUAAUAAUUCUAAGAGUUUGGGACAUGCCAAGGUUUGAUUUAAUAAUUAUUUUUUUCAUGGUUUUCAACUUGAAAUCAUUGUCUGUUUAGGUUCAUUGCCCAAACUUAAAGUCAUUGCCAUGAGGAAACAAACUUUUGAUAGGCCUAAUGAUUUCUCAUGGCUAAUUCAUAUCCACUAGAUGCUUGAUAAUGAAAACACUUCUGCUCUCUUCUAAAUUCAGGUUUCUUUGCCAUAUAUUUUAUGUUCCAACUUUACACAUUUGUUAAAAAUUUAUAACAUGCUUGUAAUAAUUCAUUGUUGACUAUUUGCACUCAUUAUGUUACUUGAUAUUUUGUUCUCAUACCAAGCUUAUACUAAAACGAUAAUGUUGAGAAUUGACUAAAUACGAUUCAAUAUUCCCACUAUAAAUGUUCACAAGUUAUGGAAAGUUGAUGCAUAUGGAAAGAGUAAUAUCAAUUUCCUGUUGUCUAUAAUAUGAUUACUUCAUCUCUUUCUUCGUUUAGUGUCAUGCUCAAUAACUUAUAACUUUCCAUUCAAUUUGUUAAGAAAUAUUGUACUCUAUUUGGAGUUAUGAUCUUAUGAUUCCAUAAUAUAGAAAACCUUGAACAUAAAGUAAUGGGUUAAGUUCGUAUAAGUUAUAGUGCACCUUAUCAAAGGGAAAUUCAAAGUCUUUAGUUGAUAAAAAGAAAUGGAGUUUGUAGCUCUUCCUUAUUUGACAAAUACUACAUAUUGAUUUACCUUUUGUCUUAGAUGAUACCAUUAAUAAUUGUUCUAUCUCUUCUAGAAAUUUUAAAUAUUUUACUUACAUCAUUUAUCAUGUUCAUCAUGACACCUAAAUUAGCAUAAAAGGCGGGGUCAAUUUUAUCUUCACUUAUUGUAGCCAAUGCUUAAGGAAUUUCUUUUGUGUGAUGUAAAUAGUCAAACAUGUUUUAACUAUCUUUUGGAAAUGAUUAGUCUUGUUAAAAAUUUGACAAACGAUAAUACCUCCAACUUUUGAGAGUUGUCACUUCUAUCAUUCUAGUUGAUUUGUUUUUCCAUUGAUUGUUGUCACACCAUUUGUUUUUGUUAUUCUAGUUUCCUCAAUCAUUGCCUCAAGAUCUUCUUGCAGGAGUGAAAACUCUUCCUCUCUAAUUAAAAUUAUUAUCAUGAUUUCUUCUACCAUGUUUGCUUAGAAAAACUUGCUCAUGAAUAAUUUGAUUUUUCCUAUCUUCAUCUUCAUUGAUUAGAUUUCCUAAUGUGAUCAUUAGAAUGAAUUAAUUGAAAGAUAGAGAAGGUGGUUUUGCAAGCAUGAAAACCCGAAAAAAGUAGUAUUUUGGUCGAAGUCCUCGAGGGAGUCGAAGCACCUUCUCAACAUUUUGCAUUAGAUUCUAAAUAAGUACUAAGUUAUCACUUAUGCCUUUAAAUUUUCAAAGAUUUUCAUCUAUAGAUAGAACCUCAUGAGGAAUCUAUUAUUUAAAAGGAUUUCCUUUUCAUAGGUAGCAAUCAUUUUGAGUCUAACAAGCCUCUCUAAGACUUCCUCUUUCAUAUUCCAAGAAGCUAGGGGUAAGAAGUCAAUUUGAUUGAGAUAUUGUAUAUCUUAUUGACAACCUUUUUUUUUUAUUCUUUUGAAUCUUAAGUUUCUUUUGGUCAUUUUCUACAUUCAGGGAGAUGAUGGAAUAUGUCAAGAUUCUAAAAUGAAGGAAGAACUUUCAAGCACCCAAACAUAAACUUUCAAGAUUUGUUCAUUAAUCAAAAGAUGAAAUGCUAGCAGUAUACCAAAAAGAGGUUAUUGGAUUUCUAUAUUAUUUCAUUAUUUUUAUAUAGACACUUUUCACUCAAUUCCUAGUCCUUGCAUUUUUCAUGUUUAGAAAUUUUCUUAGGUUAGGCUAUUUUGCUAUAGAUAUGAUUGUUGCUAAGUUUAUGCAAAAAAGCAUGCAAUAAUUUCUUCCAUAGUGAUCUUGUUGCCUUCUUGAAUAAGUGGAUGUUUGAUUUAUGUGGAACUGUUGAACUCUUUAAUUCAAGCAUGGUAUCAACAAUAUAUUUCAGGUUUUACAUCUAACUGUUAUCUCUUUUUUAUGACUUGGUUUUUUAUUUUCUUAUAUGGAUAUUGUAAGAGGUUAUGCUCCUUUUUAAUUCUAUUUUCAUGAUUCUCAUAUGAAUUAACACAAAUGAAGGAAAGGUUUUUUUAAUUAAGUUAAUUUAUUGAUGUUGGAAAAAUUAAUUGUUAGUUAUAUUCUAACUUUACAUGCUUGUUAAAAUGAUUAGACUAGUUAAUUUAAAAAUAUAUAUCAUUCUUGUAAUAAUUCACUAUUAAUUGUGUGGCUAAGUGAUCAUGUUCUUUCAUGUUUUCUUUUCAUAUCAGGUUGAUACUAAAGGGGUAUUAUUGAGAAUGAGUUGAGCAUUGUUCAAUUUCUCAAGAUAAAUGUUCAUAAGGUAUGGAUGUCUGAUGCAUAUAGAAAGAGUUAGUUCACUUGCUUAGUAUCUAUAAUAUGUACUCAUUCUUGAUGUUUGUGAUUACUUAAUUUCUAUCUUUCAUCUUUUGGUGUCUUGCUUGUUAAUUUAUACCUUUACAUUCAAUUUGUUAAGAACUAUUAUACUCUAUUUGAAGUUUGAUUUUAUGAUUCUCAUACACAAAAGAAUACCAACAAUUUGGGCAAGGACAUGAUACUAAAUCAUUUAUCAAUUUGGUUAUCUAUCUUUUCUCUAAUUUCUUAAGCUUGGGAAUCAAAAUGCUUUGGAAUACCAAGAAACAAUGGGGAUGAGUCUUUUCUUCAUCAUCUUGAGUUUUAUUGAUAGUCAACUUGUAGUAUCAUCCUUCAUAUUCCCUAAAGUACUCAAACUUGAUAGUUUGAAAUACUUAACUUGUUUACAAAAAUAUUCUUACUUCAUGUUUAGGUUUUGUAUAUUUGAAAAUUUAGUUAUGUUAAUUAUUUUAUUAUAGUCAUGACCAUUUUCAUGUCAAUGCAAAAGAGAUAGUGGUGAAGACUAGCAAAAUGUUACUCAUACCUUGAACAUAACUAUAAGUUAUUAACGGCUGGUGCACUGGAAAUGUCUCUCCCUCCUCUACUGUCUUUAGUUAGAAUAAAGGGUUCAUAUUAUGUUUUCAUUAUUUAGUUUUGUAAUUUCUACUUAUCAUCCCACUUUUUGUCUCUUAAUGAUUUAUCACUUAACAAUCAAAUUUUAAAAACAUGUUCUUAUAGGUGAUAGUGCAAUAACAUGUUAAAUUCAUGAAAAUUUUUCCAAAUUGAUAUUCAAGGUUUAGUUUAUCUUCAAGUGCCUUCUAGAUGUGGCUUUUGUGUUUUAUAAACCAAAACAUUGAUCUAUGUUCUUUGUGGCUAAGGCUUGGUGUAUUUUCAAGUACCUUGUGGUAGAAGCUUAGGCUUUCCUUCUCUUUCUUUUUGAGAAAAUAUAUUGAUGAUUGCUAGAGGAUUAGGUUGUCAAAAUUCAAUAUUGUAGAAAAUGUUUGGCGUUUUAAAAUUAUUUAAUGAAUUUGGUUGAGAAGUUACUUAAUAUAGAAAAACAUAUUUAUUUGAGAAACAGGGAAAUAAAAAUAUUUUUUGCACUACUUGCCUUAUGUUUGCAUGAUGUGUGCACACAAACAAAUCAUAGAAUUAAGAAUACAAAUUGUUUGCUCUCAUUUUUAUAAAUUAAUAAAACUAUAACCAAAAUGCAAUGUAGCCAAGUCACAUUUAUUGUAUUAGUCCUAAAAUAAUGUUUGAACUAUGUUAACUAGUAAGUAUUGGAAAAAGGAAUUAUGCCAUCUUUAUUUUCUAUUUACCUGGUUUAUAAAAUCCUUAGAUCAAUAAAGUUUGAAAUUUGUAUGCAGUUAAUUGCUAGAAUUAUAAAUUUUUGUAAUUAUAAUUAUUUUUAUGAUUUUAUUUUAUUUUAUUUAUGUUUACAUUUUUGUUUGAAAGUUUCUCAUAUAUGUUAGUCUUUCUAUCAUUAAUAUAAUAAUUAUCAAGAUUAUUCAAAAAGGAUAGAGGACUAGUGGUAUAUUGUUCACAUUUUAUAAAUAUAUGUUGACAAUGUGGUCUUUAGGUUUACAUUUUAAACUUUUUUCCUCACUAUUUAUCUUUUUAUCAUUUAUUACAUGGCAGUCAAUUUCUAAUACACAAUGAGUCUUCUCUUCCCUUUUUCAAGACCAUUCUUCUCAUUUUCAAAGGUACUUACAUUUAAAAAACUUAAGAUAAUGUUGAAGGGAGUUUCAUUAUGAGGACAUAUUACAACAACACUUGUUAAUAAUAUUGUUUUAUGAGUUGACAUCCAUGUCUAUGCAUUUACACUUAACAGGAUUCAUUAUACAAGAGUAUCUUAUACAUUGAACUCAAUGCAAGUUUAGAAAAAUGAUAUUAGGUUGGGUUUAGGUUGAGAAUUAGGUUGGGUUUGGCUAUGGUUAAGUGUUUCUUAGGUUUGGUUUGGAUCAGAUUGAGCAUCAACCAAACUCAACUCACCCAAGUUGCAACCUUAAUUUCCAAGAAAUUGAUAUAUAUUCCAUUUACAAAUAUUAUUUUUUUUGGUUCGUAUAGGCACGAGAACAUCAUGCUAAGUGCAUAAGAAACAUUUCCAAGUUGAUAUUUUGUUGUAGGUUAAUCUUCAAGUGCCUUAGAGCUAAAACAUUUUAUAUUAUUAGGGUUUGAUGAUUCUUGCACUAGUGCUUGGGUCUCAUGUUGGAUUUCAAAUCAAGUGACUAAUUAAUCUUUUGAAAAUAUUUGAUUGAUAUUAUAACUAAAUUGAUAAUAUUUUUUUAUAUAUAUUGGUAAUUGAUUUUAAUGUCUUUUUAAUUGUUCUAUGAAAUGUCUAACCUAUUCUUGUUAGGGUCAAGGAUGUGUUUGUUGCACAUGUUGGAUCAUAUUUAACUUUUCACUAUUAGUAUUCCUUUAAUAGAACUUCAAUGCUAAAACUAAAUCAUUUGGGUUGUUGGUAUAAGUUUACAAUGAGUACAAUACCUCUUGCAACUGAGAUUGCCUUCAAGCCCAUUGAAAUUUUUGUGUUGUUACUAAUUGAUUCUUUGUUGCUGAAAUAUAAUAUGUGAAGUUAUCUUAUAAUCAUAUAACUAAUAAAAUUUGAAUGUUAUAUGACAUGUUUUAUUAUUUUAAAAAAUUUAAUGUUUUGUGAAUUAAAGACCACCAUGUUAUCCAUAACAAAAGUUUUCUAUGGUUAAACUGUAAUUGUUUUCUUGGUUAAUGUGACAGUUUAACUGUGGAGUUCGGUUGAAUAUUCUUGAGUUUCAUGCCUUGUGUAUCUGAUUUGUUUGCCAAGCUUCAAUGAUAUUCACUACACUUGUGAGCUGUGUUUGUUUAUAGUCUUCAACUCUAGAAAACUGAUAUUGGGGCCUAAGUUCAUCGUAGGUAAGGAAAUCAACCUUUAUCAUUAAGUUUAGUGAGUAAAUGUAUUCCUUCUUACCCCAUAAAAUAAAGUUUCUAAACCUUGCCUUAGACAUCAUAACUCCAUUACUAUUUGUAAAGAAAAUGAUUAAGUUUUUCAUUUUAUGUAGAAGUAAAAAAAAAAAAAAAAAAAGUGGUCAUUUGGACACGAUUUGACAUUGUUAUUAUUUUCUUUAUAAAUUAGAUAUCAAUAAUUUUUCAAAGUCCAUAUUUUAUUUCCAGGAUGUUCUUUUUAUAUGGAUAGGUAAUAGAUGGCUAAAGUGGAGAAAACUUACUUUUUUUUUAAUUCAAGUACCUUCCACCAAAUAUUUAAGGUUUGUGUGUCAACCUCUCUUCCUAUUUGUUGCUUCAUCUUUACUAUUUUGAAGUCAAACAAAGAAAAUGCUAUCUUUAAUACUCCUCAUGCAAAUAGGCUAGACAUGCAUGCUUGAAUGCAAUAUUUUCUCUAUUGUUUGUUUACUUUCUUGUCUUUAUUCUAUCCCACUUGUUAAUGUUAUUUAAAAUCAUUUUUGUGAUGAUUAAUUAUCGAUUGUAAAAAUACUUGGCUUAGCCAAUUAUUGAAUUGAAAUUAAUUUAAUAUCAUGAAAAAUACCAAAAGAAUAAUGUUUAGUCUUACUUAAGGAUUAUUUACUAUUUCAGAGUUAAUUAAUGUUGUCAAACUUGACAAGUUAUGAAUGGUUAACGGAUACACAUCACCAAUAUUUGUUUAAAUUGAAGGGAUUGUGGAUGAGAGAGGUUGCAACAACAAAGUCCUUGUCUUUCUCAAUUAAAUAUCAGUUAUUGUAUAUGUUGACAUAAUUUGCACUGCAUUACUCAACAUUUUUUCCAUUACUUCCAUUUCCUCAAUUUUCCUAAACUAGAAAUCAAAUACUAAGGUAAUUAGACAUACUUAUUUAUGCCUUCAUUUCCUUGUCUUUCUCACUUACUUAUCAAUGGAUUCCCUAACAUCAAAUCCUUCCCACUGCCUUUAGCUCCUUGUCUUGCUCACAUAGACAUCAAUAAGUGCCCUAACUUGACAUCUUUCACAAUGCAUUCAUAAUAGAAGUUGUUCUAUUUUUGUUUUUCAUUAAUGCCUCUAUCUAUUUAGGAUAUACAUGAUUUGAUAUCUUUUCUAAAAGGAGGCUUAGCUUCAAUAUUUUACCACUCUCCAAACUCUCACAAUUAGGAACUAUCAUGGUUUGGUAACAUUACUAUAUUGGAUCUAAAACCUUCAAUCACUUACCGAGCUUCAAACUUAUCACUAUCUAGAAUUGAUUUCACUAACAAAAGUGAUACAUUCUCUCAAAAAUCUUAUAAGACUCAAAAUGUAUCAUUUUCCACAUCUAUUAGAAAGAUACCAAAAGAAAACAAUUGAAGAUUGGUCCAAGAUUUCUUAUGUCCCACAAAAUGAUAUUUAGCUAAGAUUAGAUUGAUAAAGAAUGUCAUUUCAGGUAUGAAAUUCCAAUCUUUCUUUUCAUUUUUUAUGGAUUUAUUUAUUUUAAAACCAUAUAUAUGUUGAAAGUAAGAACUAUAAAGCUAUGAACUCAUACAAAUCUAGAAUAACAUUCCCAGUUUUAUUGAACACUUAUUGGUGGCUUAUAUAGCCUUACAAGACAAGGAAUUAGAAAAACAUUGCAGCCCACAUCUUAUACCUAAAGACAUGGUAUUAGUUACUAAAAGAAUCAAAACCUAUCUACUGGUUCCUAACUAAUAGGAACUUAUCAACAGAACUUUCACAAAGCCAAACUUAAUAGAAACAAAUAAAUCCCAACAAUAAUUCCUCCCAUAAACUAAAACAAUAUGCAUUCAGUUUAAGUUUGGUACCUCACAUACCCCAAGCUUCUCACGCAACUUCAAGAACACUUCAAGCUUCAGUGGCUUUGUCAGGAUAUCAACCACUUGAUCAUUGGUGCCACAAUGAACCAACUUCACUACUUCCUCCUUAGUGAGGUCCCUCAAGAAAUGGAACCUCACAUCUAUAUGCUUGCUCCUACCAUGCAUAACCGGAUUCUUGGAUAACUUGAUCAUUGAACUGUUGUCACACAUAAUAGUAGUACACUUACUCUGUGAGUGCCCAAUCUUUUCUAACACUCUCCUCAUCCAUAUACAUUGACAAGCACAGAAAGCUGUUACCACAAAUUUUGCUUCAGUGGUACACAAAGUCACCACUGGUUGCUUCUUUGAGGCCCAAGAAACUGCUAUGCCACUCAAUAAAAACACAUAACCAGAUGUGCUCUUCUUAUCAUCAGUGUCUCCAGCAUAAUCGCUGUCAGUGUAAGCCAAUAGUUCUUCAACAUCUUCUCAUCUCUUAUAAAACACACCCAACUCCACAAUUCCUUUUAAAUAACGAAGAACUCUCUUUGUUGCUUGCAUAUGUAGGUCAGUAGGAUUGGCUAUAUACCUGCUCAAGAGACAUACUACGUACGUUAAAUUAGGUCUUGUUGUAGUAAUGUACAUGAGACUCCCAAUUAAUUGCUUAUAAACUGUAGCAUCAAUCCUAGCACCUUCUCCUUCCUCUGAUAGCUUGAAACCGGGCACAAUAGGAUUCUCCACUGAAUUGGCAUUUUGUAAACCAAACUUCUCAAGUAAUUCACAAGCAUACUUCUUCUGACUUAAGAAGAUACCCUCUGAAGUUUGCAAAACUUCAACACCAAGGAAGUACUUCAUCUUCCCUAAAUCUAUCAUAUCAAACUCAUCCUUCAUGGAACUCUUGAAGCUUUCAAACAUGCAUGCAUCAUUCCCAAUAAAGAUUAAGUCAUCCACAUACAAACUCACAAUUAAGAACCUCUUACCUCCUUCUUCUAUUUUGACAAAGAGAGUGUGCUCGUAAUCACAUCGUUCAAAUCCCUCAUUAACAAAAUAAGCUUCAAUUCUGCUAUACCAAGCACGUGGUGCUUGCUUCAACCCAUAUAAUGCCUUCUUAAGCUUGUAGACCUUUUUUUCUUCACCCUUUCGAAUAUAACCUAGUGGUUGCUCCACAUACACAUCUUCUUUCAACUCACCAUGAAGAAACACACUUUUGACGUCUAAUUGAUACACACUCCAUCCCUUUUGUGCUGCUAGGGCUAGAACCAUCUGAAUUGUGUCCCACCUUGCUACUGGAGCAAAGACUUCAUUAUAAUCAAUUCCUUGUCGCUGAGCAUAACUUUUAGCUACCAACUGGGCUUUGCACUUAUCAACCUCACCCUUUUCAUUCAAUUUGGUCUUAAAAACCCACUUCACACCAAUCUUCUUAGCACCUUUAGGCAAAGUAGUAAGCUGCUAGGUUUUAUUCUUCUCAAUUGCUUCAAUUUCCAAGUCCAUGGUCCUUCUCCAUUUCACAUCCCUCUUAGCUUCUUCAAAAGAUCCCGGAUCUUCAUGAGAGAUAAACAUUGCAAGAUUAUUCACAUCUGCAUCUUCUGACAGUUCUUCACCUGUUACAUAGUCCUGCAAGUAAGGAGGUGCUCUUCGAAUCCUUGUUUCAUCUUGAACUGGUGCAACUUCAUUGGAUGAUUCAAUCGAUGUUGGAGUUGUUGCUUCUGCUUCUUGAUUUGUAACCACUACUUCAAUACAUUCCACAACUUAUUCUUCACUCUCAGAGAAAGCAUCUUCACCUUCAACACUAUCUUCCCAGACCAGUAUAUCACGCUUCACUUCUUUAGUUGUCCUCCCCCAAUUCCAACCUUUAUCCUCUUCGAAACUCACAUUUCUGCUCACUAUAAUUCUUCUAGUAGCUGGAUCAAACAACCGAUAAGCUUUAGAUUCAUGACUUACUCCAAGUAAGACACACUAAAGACUUUUAUCAUCCAAUUUUGUUCUCUUCUGAUCUGGCACAUGUACAUGAGCUAGGCACCCAAAAACCCUUAAGUAGUCCACUUUGGGUUUAACUCCACUCCACAUCUCUUCUGGGGUCUUGUCUUUCACUACCAAUGUUGGACUCCUGUUGAGAACAUGCACUAUCCAUCUUGCAGCUUCUAGCCAGAAUGCUUUUGGCACUUGUUUGUCACAAAGCAUGCACUGAACCAUAUUCAUGAUAGUUUGAUUUUUGCGUUCAGCUACCCCAUUUUUUUGUGGGGUAUAAGAUGUUGUCAGCUGCCUGCUUAUACCAUUGAUUCUACAAAACUCAUUAAACUCAUUGGAGGUGAAUUCUCCUCCUCUAUCAGUGCUUAAACAAUAGAUAAGUUCACUCGACUCCUUCUCAACCAAGCUCUUACAGUUUUUGAAAGUUGUAAAUGUUUCAGACUUUGCAACCAAAAAAUAUAUCCAUACCUUUUUACUAAAAUCAUCGAUGAAGGUUAUAAUAUACCUUUUGCUACUGUUGGAUUCAGGAGUAAUAGGGCCACAUAUAUCAGCAUGAACGAGCUGCAAUUUUCGGGAAGCUCUCCACUGACUCUUCUUUGGAAUAGCAUUUCCGUGUUGCUUUCCCACAAAGCAUUCAUUGCAAGCUAUAGUUGACGCUCUGAGAAGUGGAAGACCCUUCACCAUCUCUUUGUAUUGCAAAGUCCUCAACCCUUUGUAACUCAAAUGCCCAAACCUACGGUGCCACAACUUUGAAUUAUCUUCUGUGACUGUUUACAGGCAUGUCGAGGUCUCAAGCACCACAUUAGCCAAUAACACAAACAUCCGAUUUGUUGUCAUUUUUGUCUGCAUAAUCAAUCCUCUUCUAGGGUGGUAUAACUUACAUUCCCCAUUUUGUAUAAUUAUAGCUAAACCCCUUUCUUGAAGUUGCCUUAUACUCAGCAAAUUAUUCUUCAAAGCAAGAACAUAGUAAACAUCAGUGACUACCUAAGUUGAGCCAUUAAUCUCAAGUCGGAUGUUGCCUUUGCCCAUCACUCCCAUCCUUGUAUUAUUGCCGAGCUUCACAGAGUGUUUGAAAGCCUCAUCAAUGUUAGAGAACCACUGCUUGUUCCCGCACAUGUGAUUGUUGCAACCUGAGUCGAGGAACCACACAUCUUCUCGUUUCGAGUUGUUGACUUCAACAUAAGACAUGAGGAACAUCUCUUCUUCUUCAUCUAACUCAGUAUAGUUUGCACUCUUCUCCCAACUAGGACAUUCGUAUUGGAAGUGCCCUAGUUUGUGGCAUUUAAAACACUCCAGUGUGGCCUUGUUUGCAAAGUAACUUCCUCUGCCUCUCCCGCGGCCUCGAACAUAACUUUGACCUCUGCCUCUUCCUUCAUACCUUUCUCCAUACAAAACCUUUAAAGCUUGUUCAUCCCUUGCAUUUCCAUUAUGACAAUUCAUUCUCUGUUCAUGAACCAAAAGGCUGCUUUGAAGCUCGUCAAUGGUCAUCGUGUCCACAUUAUUGGACUCUUCUAUUGAGCAUACCUCAUAGUCGAACCUGGGAGUCAUCGAUCUCAAGAUUUUCCCCACAAUCACGUUUUGCCCCAUUCUUUCUUCAUGUACUUUCAUCUUGUUUGCAAUAGUCAAAGCUCUGGCAAAGUACUCAUCAACCUUCUCACCCUCUUUCAUCUAUAGGAUCUCAAACUCUUUUCUAAGGGCUUGUAGUUGAGCUCGUUUAACUCUGGUGGAGCCCUGAUACUUCUGCCUCAUUGAAUCCCAUGUACUCUUUGUUGUGUUCUUAUCAAGAAUUGUCUCCAUAAUGGUCCUAUCAAUCGAUUGAAACAUGUAGUUCUUGAUCUUCAUAUCAUUUAGCCUCACCUCUUCAACUUCUUUUCUUUAUGCUUGAGUAGGCGUUGAUCCUUCGACUAUUGAAGGAAUUCCAUUUUCUACUAUGCUCCAGUACUUCUUUGAAUGGAGAAAAUUCUCCAUUAACAUGGCCCAAUGGUCAUAAUAAUCAUCAAAUCUUGGAAUUGCCGGAUGAGCAAAGUUUUCUGUCGCCAUGUUCACUCACUCCACCUUCCUUUCUUCUCUAUUCUCUCUUCUCACACUCUGUAAGAAAUCUGUAGUUUCUUACUUUCUUCAAUCAGGCCUCUUAGCGGAGCUCUGAUACCAGAUUGUUGAAAGCAAGAACUAUAAAGCUAUGAACUCAUACAAAUCUGGAAUAACAUCCCCUGUUUUAUUGAACACUUACUGGUGGCUUAUAUAGCUUUACAAGAUAAGGAAUUAGAAAAAUAUUGUAUCCCACGUCUUAUACCUAAAGACAUGGUAUUAGUUACUAAAAGAGUCAAAACCUAUCUACUGGUUCCUAACUAAUAGGAACUUAUUAACAGAACUUUGACAAAGCCAAACCUUAACAGAAACAAAUAAAUCCCAACAGUAUAAUCCUUUGUUUUCAUUUUGCCUUGGUAAAAUGCUUAGAUCAAUAAGUUUUGAAAGUUUUGCAUCUUCAAAUUACUAACUGCUAAUGAUAUGUAGCAACCUAAUCAUGUAUGUUACUUUCAAUAUUGCAUUCUAAGAGUUUGGGACAUGCCAAGGUUUGAUUUAAUAAUUAUUUCUUUCACGUUUUUAAAUUGGAAAUCAUUGUUUGUUCAGGUUCAUUGCCCAAGCUUAAAGUCUUUGCCAUAAGGAAACAAACUUUUGAUAGGCCUAAUGAUUUCUCAUGGCUAAUUCAUAUCUACUAGAUGUUUGAUACCGAAAGAACUUUUGCUCUAUUAUAAAUUUAGGUUUGUUUGCCAUAUAUUUUAUGUUCAAAUUUGUUAAAAUGAUUAAACUAGUUAAUUUUGAAAUUUAUAACAUGUUUAUAAUAAUUCAUUAUUGAUUGUUUGCACUCAUUAUGUUACUUGAUGUUUUCUUCUUAUACCAGACUUAUACUAAAAGGAUAAUGUUGAGAAUUGGCAUAAUACAAUUCAAUAUUCCCACUAUAAAUGUUCACAAGUUAUGGAUAGCUAAUGCAUAAGGAUAAAGUUAUUUCAUUUGCAUGUUGUAUGGAAGGUUGAUGCAUAUGGAAAGAGUAAGAUCAAUUUGUUGUUGUCUAUAAUAUAUAUGAUUACUUCGUCUCUUUCUUUGUUCAGUGUCAUGCUCAAUAACUUAUAAUUUUUCAUUUAAUUUGUUAAGAAAUACUAUACUCUAUUUGAAGUUAUGAUCUUAUGAUUCUCAUAAUAUAGAAAACCUUGAACAUAAUGUAAUGGGUCAGGUUCCCAUAAGUCAUAAUGCACCUUAUCAAGGGGAAAUUUGAAGUUUUUAGUUGAUAAAGAAAAACAAAAUUUGUAACUCUUCCUAAUUUGACAACUACUACAUAUUGAUUUAUCUUUUGUCUUUACUAAUAUCAUCGAUAAAUGUUCUAUUUCUUGUAAAAAAUUUAAAUAUUUUACCGAUAUCAUUUAUCAUGUUCACCUUGGCAUAGGCAAGGUCAUUUCGUCUUCAUAGACUUAUUGUAGUCAAUGCUUGGGGAAUUUCUUUUAAGCUAUAUGAAUAGUCAAACAUGUUUUAACAAUCUUUUGGAAGUGAUUAGUUUUAUUAAAAAUUUGACAAACAAUAAUACCUCCAGCUUUUGAGAGUUGUCAAUUCUAUCAUUCUAGUUGAGUUGUUUUUCCAUUGAUUGUUGUCAUGUCAUUUGUUUUUGUUAUUCUACUUGCCUCAACCAUUACCUUGAAAUCUUUCGCAUGAGUGAAAACUCUUCCUCUCUAAUUAAAAUGAUUGCCAUUAUUUUUUCUACUGUGUUUGCUUAGAAAGACUUGCUCAUGAAUAAUUUAAUUUUUCCUAUCUCUAGCUUCAUUGAUUAGCAUUUCUUAAUGUGAUCAUUAGGAUGAAUUAAUUGGAAGAUAGAUAAGGUGGUUUUGCAAGCAUGAAAACCUGAAAAAACUUGUAUUUCGGUCCAAGUCUUGAAGGGAGUUGAAGCACCUUAUCAAAAUCUUGCAUUUGUUUCUAAAUAGGUACUACAUUAUGACAUGUGCCUUUAAAUUUUGAAAGAUUUUCUUUUAAAGAUAGAACCUUAUGAGGAAUUUAUCAUUUGAAAGGAUUUCCUUUUCUUUCUUUUUUAUAUAGGUAGCAAUCAUUUCGAGUCCAACAAGCCUCUCUAAUUCUCACUCUUUCAUAUUCCAAGAAACCAGGGGUAAGAAGUCGAUCUAAUCAAGAUAUUCUACAUCUUAUUAACAACUUUUUUGCCUUUUGUAUUUUAACUUUCUUUUGGUCAUUUUGUGUAUUUAGGGAGAUGAUGGAAUAUUUGAAGACUCUAAAAUGAAAGAAGAACUCUUAAGUACCCUAACAAAAACUUCCAAGAUUUGUUCAUUGGUUCAAAGAUUAAAUGUUGAUAGUUGGUUCUUUGUUAAACAUGAUUGGUUGUUGAUAUCAAAAAGAGGUUAUUGGAUUUUUUAUAUUAUUUCAUUAUAUUUAUAUAGACACACCUCACUCAAUUCUUGGUGCCUGAAUUUUUCAUGUUUGGAAAUUUUCUUAGGUUAGGCUAUUUUGUUACAGAUAUGAUUGUUGCCAAGUCAAUGCAAAAUACAUGCAAUAACUUCUGUUACAAUAAUUUUGUUACUUUCUCGGGUAAAUGGAUGGCGGAUUCAUGUGGAGUUGUUGCACUCUUUAAUUCAAGCAUGAUAUCUACAAUAUGUAUUUUAGGUUUGUCAUCUAACUUUUAUCCUUUUUUUUAUGACUUAGUUUUUUAUUUUCUUAUAGGGAUAUUGUAAGAGGUUAUGCUCCUUUUUAAUUCUAUUUUCAUGAUUCUCAUAUAUAGUAGCACAAAUAAAGGAAAGGUUUUUUUUUAAUUAAAUUAAUUCAUCAAUGUUGGAAAAAUUAAUUGUUAGUUAUGUUUUGACUUUACAUGCUUGUUAAAAUGAUUAGAUUAGUUAAUUUUAAAACAUAUAUCAUUCUUGUAAUAAUUCACUAUUAAUUGUGUGGCUAAGUGAUCAUGUUCCGUCAUGUUUUCUUUUCAUAUCAAGUUGAUACUAAAGGGGUAAUAUUGAGAAUGAGUUGAGCAUCGUUCAAUUUCACAAGAUAAAUGUUCAUGAGGUAUGGAUGGUUGAUGCAUAUAGAAAGAGUUAGUUCACUUACUUAAUAUCUUUGAUAUGUACUCAUUCUUGAUGUUUGUGAUUGCUUCCUAUCUUUGUUAAUUUGGUGUCUUGCUUGUUAAUUUAUACUUUUACAUUCAAUUUGUUAAGAACUAUUAUAUUAUGUUUGAACUCAUUCUUGAUGUUUGUGAUUACUUCCUAUCUUUGUUCUUUUGGUGUCUUGCUUAUUAAUUUAUAACUUUACAUUCAAUUCAUUAAGAACUAUUAUAUUUUGUUUGAAGUUUUGAUUUUAUGAUUCUCAUACACAAAAGAAUGCCAACAAUUUGAGCAAGGAGGACAUGAUACUAAAGCAUUUAUCAAUUUGGUUAUUUUUCUUCUCUCUAAUUUCUUAAGCUUGGGAAUCAAAAUGCUUUGGAAUACACAAGAAACAAUGGGGAUGACUCUUUUCUUCGUUAUCUUUAGUUUUAUUGAUAGUCAACUUGUAUUAUCACCCUUCCUAUUCCCUAAAGUACUCAAACUUGAUAGUUUAAAAUGUUUAAUGUUUACAAAAAUAUUCUUACUUCAUGUUUAGGUUCUAUAUAUUUGGAAAAUUUAUUAUGUUAAUUCUUUUAUUCUAUUCAUGAUCAUUUUCAUGUCAAUUCAAACAAAAAAAAAGAUAGUGGUAAAGAUUAGCAAAAUGUUGCCCAUACCUUGAACAUAGGUACAAGCUAUUAAUGGUUGGUGGACGGAAAAAGUCUCUCCCCACUCUUCUACUAUCCUUAGUUAGCAUAAAGGGUUCAUAUUAUGUUUUUAUUAUUUAGCUUUUAAAUUUCUACUUCUUAUCCUACUUUUUGUCUCUUUAUGGUUUAUCACUUGACAAUCAAUUUUUAAAAACAUGUUCUUAGCAUCCAUAUAUAUAACCUUCGUUGUUCAAGUUUAUAAUUGUUCAAGUUUAUAAUCCCUAUCUCAUUUUUUUUUUCUUUUCAUUUCUUUAUUGUUUAUAAUUUUUGAAUUGAUUUGUUAAAAAUUUUUAAACUUUAUUUGCAAUACUGAUUUUUUUAUUCUCAUGUGCAAUAGAAUAAUAAGUUGAAUAAGAAGCAUAUACUACUUAAUUGGUAUAACCGUUUAGUCAAUUCUCUUGUCAAAUCUUUUUUGUUUUCAUCAUUUUUCUUCAAGGUAAUCAAAGUAUAAUUCUUUCUAUUUCUAAAGGUCUUGAACCCAUCUUUGAAAACUUAAAGACAAGUUAAAGUACUGGAAAACCAUUCCCAAAGCAAGUAAUAACUAUAGUUGGGUUCUAAUAUCAUAUCCUCGAUUGACAUCUAUGUCAUUGCAUUUGCAUCUAAACGAUUUAUGAUGAAAAAAAAACUAUCUUCUUCAUUUCCAUUUUCCUCCCUUCUUUUGACCAUAAUUUAUGUGCAUAUUGAAAGCAUUCAUAGCCCAAUAUAUUUGCUAGCAUAUAUAUGCAUGUCAUAAUCUAUUAAUUUUUUUGGCAUAAGAUCUUAGAGUAUUCACAUAUAUCUAGGUUCUAUAUAUUUAUAAUUUUUCCAACAUCAAAUGAAGUAUAUGAACCUUAUCCUAAAGGUGAAGUCUCUUUAAAAGGAGCUUCAACAUGUUAGUGGUUACCAAACUUUAUAAUCUAAUAACUUGACACUAUAUAUCACUCUGCAACUCUUUCAUAAAGUAAUUGUACUACCUCUAUUUACAUUUUCUAUCUUUAUUUAUAUAUAAAAUAAAAUAAAAAAUUGAUUUGGUAAGUGUGUGUUAAAUCAUGCUUACAAUCAUUAAUUAAUAGGUACUUAUAUGCUAAAUUGAUAAAGUUAUUUUACAAUUGUUUCAACAUGUUCGAAAAAAAAAAAGAUUAUUAAGUAUAUUUUUCUAGAUGUAAUCACUACCAAGCCAAUGUGAAAAGCUAUAGCAAUGAAGAUAUAAGCUUCAGUUAUGUUUUGGAGAUUCAUAUUGAAAGUUGUAGAUUGUGGAUGUAUAGUAUAGGAGUUAGCUUGAGUUUAUCAUUCUAUCUUUGAUAUCUUAGUUAUCAUCUAUUCUUUACAACCAAUUUUUUAAGGACUUCUAUGAUUUGUUUAUAAUUUAUAUAUUUGUUAUUUGUACUAGAACAUCCUGAAGCUACUAAAGCACCAUUACAGUGUACCCACCACAAGUCUAAUGGAGCAUGCUUCUCAACCUUCACAAUUACUUGUAAGUUGCUGAUAAGAUAAUUUUCUCUAUAAUUAGGAAAUCUUUGUUGCACUUAAAUCUUUUUACUGAGUCAAGCAUUAAAAGGUUGUGUUUGGUUAAAAAAGAAAAAGAAAAACUGAAUAAAGGAUUUAGAGUAAUAAGAGUUUGCCACAUAAAGUUUAUGAAGGUGAAGGCUAAUAAUAGGAGGGAAGUUAAAACUUCACAACCUAUUUGAAAUUAUAAAACAUGAUUAGCUAACAAUUCGUUAAAGGUUGUAUUCAUCUUGAGCUUCUCCAAUUACACUAUAAAAUGGCUCGAGAAGAAUGAGGUUUCUCCAUUGUUAAUUGCUUACGAGUUUUACCAAACAAAGCAGAAGAGAGGGACAAGGCAAAGAUGGGCCUAAAAAUGAAUAUCACAGCAACCUCUCUUCUGCUAUUGCUAGCAUCUUCUACAGAAGUGUUCGGUGAUACCAUUUUUUACGUUACCAAAUAUGAGGCCAAGGCUGAUGGAAACACUGAUAUUACCCAGGUGAGGGCAAUGCAAUUAUAAUAUUUGUAAGAUGUUAAAAUUGAAUUUUUGCUUAAUGGGUUCUCUGUGGAAUGUUUUCUUAGGCCUUACUUAAUGCUUGGCGAGAUGCUUGUGCGUCGCCUGUGGUGAGUACAGUUAUGAUUCCAGAUGGGACAUAUGCCCUAGGGCAAAUAACCAUUGGAGGCCCUUACAAGGCUCCUAUCAAUUUCAAUGUCCAAGGCACUGUGAAGUCCUCGAUGGAUACCAGCAGGUUCAAGGCUGAAGCUGGUUGGAUUGCUUUCCAACAAAUCGACCAGUUCAUAUUGUCUUAUGGUGGAGUUUUUUAUGGCCAAGCAAAACCUGUAUAGGGUAGAAAAUGCCCCAUUUCUGCAUAUUGCAACCAACUUCCCAUCGUAAGUUCAUGUGUAUAUAUAUAUAUAUAUAUAUAUAUAUAUAUAUAUAUAUAUAUGCUUACGUAAUUCUUUCAUUUUGUGUUCGUAAUGAGGACACUAGCUAACAGUAUAAGCUUUGGUGUCUUUUUUUUUUUUUUUUUGUUAAUUCAAAUAUCUAUAACAGAAUCUGAGAUUCAACUUCAUCACCAAUAGCAUGGUCAAGGACAUAACUUCAAGAGAUAGCAAACAGUUUCAAAUGAAUCUUUUGGGGUGCAAGAAUUUGACUUUCUACAACGUUGGAAUUAGUGCACCAGAAGUGAGCAUUAAUACAGAUGGAAUUCACAUUGGACGGUCCUCAGGGUUCAAUAUAACCAAUUCAACUGUAGAGACCGGAGAUGAUUGUGUCUCAAUUGGUGAUGGCAGUGAGCAAAUUAAUAUCCAAAGCGUAACCUGCGGACCCGGCUAUGGCAUCAGUGUGGGAAGUCUAGGAAAGUGCCCCAAUGAAGAACCUGUGGUUGGCAUUAGUGUCAAGAACUGUACCUUCACCCCCAGAAUGGCAUGAGAGUGAAGACAUGGCCUACGUCCCAUCAAGGCACUGCUUCUAAAAUGCAUUUUGAAGAUAUUGUCUGAAUGAUGUUGCCAAUCCCAAAAUCAAAGAUCAAGAGUACUGCCCCCAUAACCAAUGCAACUUGAAGGUACAUUUAAAGGAAACGAAAAAUUCCAUUUUUAUUGUUUACUUUCCCUCUUUUUCCCUUCAUUUUCAUUGGUCUGGAACUUAACUUUCCGUUGUUUUCAGAGUCCAUCACGCAUUAAGCUCAGUAAGCUUCAGAAACAUCCGGGGCACUACCUCAACUCAGGUUGUUGUCAAGCUUGUUUGUGAUCAGGGAGUCCCAUGCCAAGACGUGGAGCUUGGUGACAUCAACUUGAAAUACAACGAAAAUGAAGGCCCAGCCAUGUCAUAAUGCAAGAACAUUAAACCAAAUCUACUGGGCAAGCAACUGCCAAGGACUUGUGCCUAAGAUGCUUAAUCUUCUUUCGAAGUCUGAAAAAUUGUACUGCUUCUAUUAUAUAGCUACCUCUUCAUGCUUACGCGUCUGCUAGUUUAUUGGUGAAUAAACUACAAUGAACACACAAAAAUACAACACUCGUCUAUUUUGGAAGGUAUGUGCAGUUUGAUCCCAUGAGAAAAAACAAAUGUCUAUUCAGUCGUUUUUUACAUAAGCAUCCAAGUUUAGAUGAGGAUUGAGCUGCCGUAGUACAAAUUGUAGCUCCAAAGAAUAAUCUUAAUGUUAAUGCAGUUUGGAUUACCAAAUGUAGUCAAGUGAAUUAAAAUUCCUUUAGGGUGUAUUAUUUGAAAUUUAAUCUUUGGAUUACUAGAACCAAGAAAAAACUAUAGAUUGGUAUUUGGUGUGUUGGAAAUGCUUGAUGGUCAGUGAUCGAACUAAUGACUUCGAGAAAAGCUAAGAAUGAUAAACACAAUAGUAAUAAAUGGCAAGAACCGACAAAAAUAUUGAAGUUGUAAUUCUCUCAAGGUGUGUAGUUUGGGAUUUGAAUUAUAUGUAAAGAAGAAAUGCUCUUGGAAACUGCAGCACGAUGAAUCUUGAAUGGUUUUCCAUCAUAUGGCUUUGUUGUUUGGAGAUGACUAAGUAAUAUUAGUUUUACCAAUCCUCCGGCCUUAAGCUAGCAUGUGAAAGUUGUAGCAUUAGCGGAGAGUUGAUAACAGUUUCUCGGUAGUUGGAAGCUUGAACCCUGACAUAUUAGUGCAAGGACAUGAAGAUAUUAAAUCAUUCAUACAAUUUAUUGUCUGAGAGGAUAGAAAAAAUAUAUAAAACCACUUAAGAUCUUAAAAACAUCCUAUAUUUCUCCAUUUUUUGUAUUUACACUCUGAUCCAUGGACUUUCACCCCACAAAAUGUCUCACAUUCUUUUUCAAAUUUCUACCUACAUUUAAACUUCUCAUGUCUAUUUUCAUCUCAUAACUUUUUUCUCCUCAUGACCUAAUUAAAAUAUAUAUAGAGAUAAUCCUACCAACUUUUAUUUUAUACGCAAACCUAUUUAUAUAAGGAAUUAAUUGUAAAAUAUCCUAUAUAAGCUACCUUAGCAUAGUUGAAUUAGGUUAUAAAUUUUAUUUUGAUACAAUAAAUAACAAAAAUCCAUUUAUAAAAAUAUAUAAAAAUCCAAUAAUUGUAUAGGAGAAACCACACUUAUUUUAAAUAAAUAAUAAAGUACAUGCUCCAAGUAUUAAAAGGUUAUCUUUGGUGUGUAUGAUUUGGAGAGUCCCAGAUAAUGUGCAAGUAGAUGAGACCUUGAGUGAGAUGUUUUCUCUUUCAAAUCAAUUUCAAAGUUGCGAAAUCCAAAAUUUCAAGCUCUUUUUAGAAGUGUUUUAGAAAAUAGUUCAAAAAAAACACUUCUUGAAAAUAGCUUUUGAAAAUUAUUCUCUAAUAUUUUAUACCACAUAUGUUUGUUUGAGAACCUACAAUAUUCUUAACUUAUUUUGUAUAUUUUUAAAUACAUUUUAAAAAUAAUUUUCAUAUGCAUUGCUUUAUUUUUAGUCGUUCUCCAUAUUUGUAUAAUUAUUUUUAAAACAACCCUAGAAAAAAGUAAAAUGAAAUGAAAAUAACUAAAAGAUGUUCUUUUGAAACAUUGUAUUUUCUAUUUAAAAUCUUUUUUUUUCUAGUUGUUAAACAUACUUUCUUGUUUUUUUUUUUUUUAUAUAUUCUAGAUAAUUAAAAACUAUUUUCAAAGCAAGACCUGAAUUUUUACUAUGAAAAAUCGAAACGGUGCUCAAACUUAGACUUCAAAUUGAUUUUAACCAAAAUAUGUUUUUUCUCUUUUUUUUCCUAUCAAAUCAAAACUCCAAUUUCUAUCGUUGGACUAAGAACUUUAAAUCAUUUUCUAUUGGCAAUAGAGUCUUUGAUUUAAGGACACAAAAUACACAUGAAAAAUCUCAUAGCUAUGUCUGUGCGUGUACAUAACUCUGUGUGUGUGUGUGAUAUAUAUAAAAAAUGAUGGAUGAGGAAAUUGUGGAUAUGGCCAAAUCUGAAUCACUUGUAUUUAACAAUAGCAUGUGAUUUACAUGGAAACCUGUUGGUGGAAAGAGCCUAUAAAUAAAGGCCUUCUCUCCUCAUUCUAUUUAUCCUAGAAUUGAAAGAAAAAGAGUGGUCUAACUUUGAGUGAAAAAGUGAGGUUCUCUUGAGAAUUAAAGAAUUAUUAUUCUCUCGGGUGUAAUAGGGAUUUGGAUUGUGAGAAGUGAGUGCUUAUAAACACUUGUAGGGAGAAAAAUAACUACGUAAAUUUCGUGUUUUGUUUUGUCUACUCUAUUUUAUUAUCAUUUCCAUGUUUUUUUUUUAUUAACGACAUGUCCUAUGGUGUUCUAGGAGCUUAGUGGUACUAUAAGGAGGUUUUGUCUAAGGAGGUUGGAAUUUAAGAGGAACAAUUGUGACCCCUCCAAUUUUUCUUAGGAACUUUUAUUUAUGUCUAAGGAGACUAGGUCUUAAAUGGGAUCAUUGUGAUCCUUCCAAUCUUUCUUGGGAACUUUCUUACUAGUUUAAAGCUCUAGGUAGAAGUUUUUCUAUAAUUUUUAAUAGGUAUAAAGGUACUGUAAAAAGUACACUUUUUGUUGAAUUCCUAAGGAACCAGAUUUGAGUGGGAGUGAUGGCAACAGAUGAAGAAAGAACAUCAUAAUUGAGAAGUUCGAUGGUGAACAUUUUACCUUCUGGAAAAUGCAAAUUAAAGAUUAUCUAUAUAUGAAAGACAUGCAUUUCCCUUUUUUUUUUUUUAUGAGAAAAGCCAACCGAUAUGAAAGAUAAAGAGUGGGCUUUACUCGACAAACAGGCACUUGGAGUUAUCCAAUUAACGUUAUCUUGGAAUGUCGCUUUCAACAUAAUGAAGAAGAAGACCAUGACGGGUCUUAUGGCAGUUCUCUCUGACACGUAUAAGAAGUCAUAUACUUCAAAUAAAGUGCACUUUAUGAGGUUGUUAUUCAAUUUGUGAAUGACAUAAGGUGCAUCUGUAGUAGCUCAUAUCAAUGAAUUUAGUACAAUCACAACACAACUAAGUUUAGUGGAAAUCAAGUUCAAUGAUGAAGUUUGAGCUUUGAUCCUCCUAUCCUCUAUCUAAAAGUUGAAUCGCAAUGGUAACAAUAGUGAUCAAUUCUUUUGCGAGGAAGAAGAUGGUAUUUAAGGAUGUUCAAGGUCUAAUUCUAAGCGAAAAAAAUACACCAAAGAGAACUAGGGGAAACAUUAAGUUCCACCUUAAACAUCAAAUCUAGAGGUAGACACAAUGAUAGAAACUUAAAUCGGAGCAAAUUAAAUUCAAGAUGAAGCAAGUAUAGAUCUAAGAAGAAAGAGAAUAGCUGCUAGAACUGUGGUAAAAUGGUCACUUGAAGAGAGAUUGCAGAGCACCAAAAAAGAACAAUGGCAGUGCAAAGGAAUCCGUGAACGUGGCCGAAGAUACUGGCGAUGCUCUAAUCCUAAGUGUCAAUAGUCUAGUUGAAUCUUGGAUUUUGGAUUAUAGGGCAUCAUAUCACUACACCUCACAUUACGAAAUCAUGGAGAACUACAUCAAUGGUGAUUUUGGGAAGGUUUAUCUGGUUGAUGAUGGGACCAUGAAGAUUAUGAGGAAAGACGAUAUUCAAGUGAAGCGACCAAAUGGGACUGUCUGGAAGUUGAAAGACAUGAGAUUAAUUCCUAGUCUAAAAAGAAAUUUAAUCUCAGUGGAUCGACCUGAUCAAGAAGGUCAUCAUACAACCUUCUUAGGGAGUGAAUGGAAGAUCACCAAGGAAACUAUAGUCAUAACUUAUGAAAAGAAGAAUGGUACUCUCUAUGUUACUUCUAGCAUGGAGAAUAUUGUUGCAAUUGUAGAAUCAUAUGAGAAAUAGAAAAUCUAGCAGUAGAGACUCAAUCAUAUGAGCGAGACAAGGAUGAAGGUUCUUGUUUCAAAGAGGAAGCUGCCAAAUCUAAAAUCAGUAGACAUCGGUCUAUGCAAGGAUUGUAUUUUCGGCAAACAGAAAAUGGUCAAUUUCUCAAAGAUAGGCAAGCCACCCAAAGUAGAGAAGUUAGACCUAGUUCACACAGAUGUGUGGGGGUCAUCACCAAUUUCAUCUAUUGGAGGCUCAUAUUACUACGUCACCUUCAUUGAUGACUUUACUUGGAAAGUAUGGGUUUAUUUUCUGAAAAAGAAAUCAAAAGUUUGUGAUGUUUUCAAGAAAUGGAAAGCCAUGGUAAGAGCAAGACGGGCUUGAAAGUGAAGCAUUUGAAGUUCAACAAUGGAGGAAGGUACGAAGACGAGAAUCUUAAUGAGUUUUGUGUAGCCAAUGGAAUUAAAUUGGAAAAAACUAUUCCAAAGACACCUUAGCAUAAUGGUAUAGUACAACGCAUGAACAAAACUCUCAAUGAACAUGUUAAAAGCAUGAGAAUACAUGCAGGCUUACCUAAGAUGUUUUGGGCUAAAGUUGUUAGCAUAGCGACCUACCUUAUCAACCAUGAGCCUUUAGUGCCUUUUGGAGAAAAGUUACCUAAGGAAGUAUAGAGCGAUAAAGAGGUGAAAUUUUCACUUUAGAGAUUAUUUGGUUGUAUUUCUUUUGUGCAUAUUGACUUAUCUAAAAGGAGCAAGCUCGACACAAAGUCUAAGAAAUGUGCUUUUAUUCGAUAUGGCAUUAAUGAAUUUGGCUACUGAUUUUGGGAUUUUGAAAAUAAAAAAAUCAUCAGAAGCAGGGAUAUCAUCUUCAAUGAGAAAGCAAUGUACAAGGACAAGUCAUUUGUAGAAUCUAUCAACACAAAAGUCAAAACUGAAAAAAAAAAAAAGAGUACAUUAAGUUUGAGGAAAAAUCUAAGAAGGAAAUACAAUCAGGGGAUCAAAAGAAUCCUAUAAAUGAAGUAUCUCAAGAAAAACCACACACUCCUGUAGCAGAAGUGAGACACUUCUUGAGAACUCCUAAAUUGAUAUAAUGUUAUUCACCUUCUUUGCAUUAUUUAUUGUUGACUAACAAUAUAGAACUAGAGUGUUAUGAUGAAGUAAUUUAGGUUAAGGAUUCGGUCAAGUGGGAUUAUGCCAUAAAAUAUGAGAUGGACUCCCUGAUGUCAAAUAAGACAUAGGAUUUGAUUGAACUACCAAAAGGAAAGAAAGCUUUACGUAACAAAUGAGUUUUCAAGAUCAAAGAAGAGCAUGAUGGAAGCAAGCGUUACAAAACUAGGAUGGUAGUUAAAGGAUUUCAAUAGAAAGCAAGAAUCGAUUAUGCUGAGAUUUUCUCUCCAAUAAUGAAGUUGAUGACAAUCAGAUUGGUGCUAAAGAUGGUAGCUGUAGAAAAUUUGCAUAUUGAGCAGUUAGAUGUGAAGACAAUGUUCCUUCAUGGUGAUUUAGAGGAAGAGAUUUAUAUAAUGCAACCAAAAGGCUUCAUGAUCGUAAGCAAAAAAAGCUUUAAGUGCAAGCUGAAGAAGAUUCUAUACGGUCUGAAACAGGCUCCAAGAUAGUGGUACAAAAAGUUCAAUAGCUUCAUGAGUAGCAACGGUUUUACAAGAUGUCAAGUAGAUCAUUGUUGUCAUAUAAAAAAGUUUGACGACAACUUUAUUAUUUUACUUUUGUAUGUAGAUGAUAUGCUCAUUGCAGGUUCUGAUAUGCAAGAGAUAAAUAACUUAAAAAGAAAAUUAUUGAGGCGGUUUGCAAUGAAAGAUGUAGGUGCUACAAACUAGAUUCUUGGAAUUAAUGAGGAUUAGCAGGGACAAAGUAGCAAAGACUUUGAUGUUGUAACAAGUAGAGUACAUCAACAAAGUACUCUCUAGGUUCAACAUGUAGAAUGCUAAAUCAGUGAGCCUGUCUUUAGGUGCCUAUUUCAAAAUUUCCAAAGAGCAAUCACCAAAAAUAGAGGAAGAACGUGAUCACAUCAAAAAAGUUCCUUAUGCUUCAACCAUUGGAAGUUUGAUAUAUGUUAUGGUUUGUAUGAGACUAGAUAUUGUGCAAGUAGUAGGAGUGGUGAGCAGGUACAUGAACAAUUAUGGUAAGAUGCACUAGGAAGCGGUUAAAUGGAUCCUUAGAUAUUUUCAAAAUACCUAAAAAAUGUCACUCUAUUUAAGAAGUGGGGAUAUGAAAUUGGAAGGCUUUGUUGAUAGUGACCUAGGUGCCGGAGAUGUCGAAAACAGAAAGAGCACUAAAAGAUAUGUGUAUACUCUUAAAUGAACUAUAAUGAGUUGGGUUUCUCAAGAAAGUUGCAACUCUCUCCACUACCGAAGCAGAAUAUAUUGUUACUACGAAAGCCAAUAAGGAGAUGAUUUUCUCUUCAAGGUUUCUUGGAAGAGCUAGGAGAAAAAUAGGAGAACAAUGUCUUUUAUUCAAAUAAUCAGAGUGUGUUUCACUUGUGAAGAACCAUCCUUCCAUGCCAGAAUGAAGCAUAUUCAAACAAAGUAUCAUUUCAUUUGAUCUCUUUUGGAGGAAAAAGUUCUUAGACUUGAGAAGAUUGAUGGAAAUGAAAUCCCAGAUAUAUGCUAACAAAGACGGUGACAAUUCACAAACUAAAGUUAUGUUCGAUUUCAAUUGGCCUACAAACAUAGAAGAAGAAAGAUGAGUUGUUGCAUUGAUCUUGUGUGAAGACAUAAAGUAAGUACUCUUCAAGUGAGAGAACCACGUAAAGUUUGAGUGAACCAUGUAAAUUUUCAUAUGUUAUUUUUUCUACUCUAUUUUGUUAUUAUUUCCACAUUUUUUUAUUCGCUUCAUUAAUUUGGUCUUUUGGAAGGUUUAUUUCCUAACAUUUUUCAACUCAAUUUCUUAUCUAAAAUUGAAAUGGGAAUUGGUUUCAUCCUCAAUUCAAAUAGAUUUUUGGAACACUUCACCAUUCCCCUUCCACACUUUCCACCAUCCAAACAAUAAAUAUAAUUACUUAACUCAAUUACAUAUUUUUGCUUAUUUUCAUUUACAUUCAAAACUUGUUAGAAAGGAACCUUGAGUUUAGGAAGUUCCCAAUUAUUAGGAUUUGAUUUUGUUUUAUAAAAGUAAAUUAGAAUAUUUACAAAUUUGAGUGGUUGAUUUAAUUAUAUGUUUAUACAUAAGUCCUGCAAGUUAUUUUUUAUACUUUUUGUUAUUAAGAGUCUAUUUGUUAGAUAAAGGUGUCCAUAAAAAAAAAAAAAAAAAAAAAAGGAGUUAGUAUGAUAGUUGAACAAGAAUGGUGGAAAGUAAUGUCAUUUUCUUGAUUUUUCUCCAUUACUUAUUUCUCUCUAUGGAUUUGUUUAUGUGUUCUCAACUUUAUUCCUUGAACAAAUUAGGUCGUGAGAAAAAAAUGACAAGUAGGAUAUAUUUGUUAUAAGUCUUUUAGCUCAAUAAAAAUAAUUACAAUAAUUGGAGUAUGAAGAUAAAGACUUUACUUGAUUCACAAGAUGUAUGAAAGGUUGUAGAUGAAGGCUAUAAACAAAGAGCCUUGACAUAAAACCACUAUUCUAAAAUCAAAGUAAUUUUUUGAAAGGUAUAUGGAAAACAAAAAAAAAAAAAAAUGCCAAAAGGGAGGGAAGAAGAAAGCUCUUACCCUUAUCUAUCAAGCAAUAGAUAAAGGCAUGUUUGGAAAUUUUCCAAAUGCAACCAUGCACUACCAAGAAAGCAUGGACGAUAUUAGAAAAUGCACAUAAAGAAAUUGAUUAAUUAAGAAAAGUAUGUCUUUGUACCCUUAGAGGAGAAUUUAAAAGUUUGACCAUAAAAGAAGUAGAAUCAAUCUCCCAUUAAUUUUUCAAGAGUUAUAGUGAUCAGCCAUGAAUCAACUAAAAUGAAACAAUUAAAAUUUUAAAUCAUACUUGUGUGACUGAACAAAUAAUUCAGUCUAUUAGAUUCAAAGUUUGGUUGUUGUGCUCAUUAGAUAGUAAAAUGAUUUUCAUUGUAGCAUGAAGACAGAUUAAAAAAGAACCAAGAAAAAGUUCUUCAAACAAAACUUAAAUGACAAGAAACUGAAGAAAAUCUUAAUAAUAAAAGAAGUCAAAACGAUCGUGGAGUGGUUAUGACCAAGUAAACAUAGAAAGAUGUGGUUUUAUUUCAUCAAAUAAUCAAGAACACUAAUGUCAAAACCCAUAUUUUUUAAGAAGAUGUGAAAGAGAGCACAACUAAAGACAAAAUGAAAGGAGAAGUUAUGAGAAAUCUCAAGUUCAACCUUAUAACUAUAAAAAAUUUGGUCAUUAUGUGUAUGAAAUAAAAAGUACUACUAGCAAUAUGGAAAGAAAAGCCAAUCAUGUUAAAACAAAUAGGUAAAGAAAAACCUAGCCACUUUAUUUUUGGCAUAUAAAACACAAAGUAAUAAGGAGAAAAAUACAUGGUAUUCACUCGAUGGUGAAAACAGCCAUAUAUGUAGCUUCAAAAGUAUUUUCUUUGAAAUUGAUCAAUAUUCAAACACUAAUAAUGUUACUUUUGAAUCUAUUCAAAAUUCUCAAAAAAGGCAAAGGUAAAAUCUUAAUUUGUUCAAAAAAUGGAAGAUAUUAAUUUAUUUCAAAUAUCUAUUAUGUGCAGAUUAUGAAAAACAAUUAAUUAAGUUUGGAUUAACUUUUAAAAAAGAUAUAAUAUUCAUAAGAAAAAUCAAGUUCUCUCAAUAAGAUAUCAAUAUGUUGACUUCCUUGCAAAUGUAGUCAUGACAAGAAAUAUAAUGUUUCUGUAAUUAAAAUUGCUAAAAUUUUGUGUCAAUGUUCCCAUCUAGAUUUUCCACUUAAGAUAUCAACAUCUUAAUUUAGGAGGAUUGAAAUUGUUGAUCAAGAAAAAAAUGGUAUAAGGAUUGCCCUCUACAAAUCAUUUGGAUCAAUUAUAUAUGUGAAGGAUGCUUACUUGGAAAAUAUUCCUAUGAAAGUUUUCCAAAAGUUGGAAUUCAAGGUUUGGUAACUCCUUGAGGUUGUAAUGAUUUGCAGAUCCAGAGUUAUAGAAGAAAUUAAGAAAAUUUGGGAGAAAAAUGCAAAAUGUAUGAAGAAUAAAUUAUAUCUUCUCUCUCUCUAAUACAAUUGGAACUUAUCACAUUAUAUGGUACAAUGCAGGUUUUAAAUGGCAUGUAUGCCUAGACAUUGUUUUUACUUGGAACCAUUAAAAUAUAGUAUUACUAAUAGCAUUGUAAUAAAAUGGCAGAAGAUAGAUAUCAAUACAAGUCUAAUUAAGAAAGUUUCUCAAAGGCCACCUUCACAAUUACUUGUAAGCAGCUAAUAAGAUUUCCUCUAUAAUUAGGAAAAAUCUUCAUAUCAACUAUUCUUUGCACUUUAAUCUUUUUACUUAGUCAUUGAGAGGUUGUGAUCAGCCUUAAAAAAACUCGUCAAAAAAGGAUUUAGAGCAUAAAAUUUGAGACAGUUAAGGCCACUAAUAAGAGGGAAGUUGACCCAAACAUCACAACCUAUUUGAAACUAUAAAACUUAAUUAGAUAGUAAUUGUUUAAAUGUUUUAUUGGUGUUGAGAUUCUCCAAUUACACUAUAAAAUGGUUUGAGAAGAAUGAGGUUUCACUAUUGUUAAUUGCUUACAAGUUUUACCAAACAAAGGAGAAGAGAGAGACAAGGAAAAGAUGGACCUAAAAUUGAAUAUCACAGCAACCUCUCUUCUGCUAUUGCUAGCAUCUGCUGCAAAAGUGUCUGGUGAUAUCAUUUUUGAUGUUACCUGUUGGAAAUCAAGCCAGCAUCCUCUGUUUACUUCCCUAAUUAGUGUAAUGUACAACCUUUAUUAUAAUUGAUUUAGGAGUAAUUCUAGCAAGGUAGUUUAUUCACUUUCCAUGUAAGAGUAGUUUAUUCACUUCCCAUGUAAGAGUAGUUUAUUCACUUCCCAUGUAAGAGUUUAUUCACUUUCCAUGUAAGGGAAAUUCCAUUCCGGAAUUGUCUCAUAUCCGUAGGCUAUUUAUUUAUGCUUUCAUUCAUUGUAAAGUGAGGUAUCACAGAAUGAAUUGAGGUGUUCCUCCAUAUUUUGUCUUCAAAUUCUUCAUAUUUUUCUUCAAAUUCUUCAUGGUAUCAGAGCAGGUUUAAUCCUGUCUCAUCGUCUUCAUCUUUAAUGGAGAUGCUUCAGAAACUACUGUCUCCUCUUUUGUCAGUACAGUCACAAACUGGCUCAUCUUCCAACCAGGUCAUUGGUUCCGGAACCUUGGCUCACAAAGGUAAUUUUUUGAGUGCCUUCACUGCUGGUAAGAAACGUAAAAAACCUUGGAUAGUGGACUCAGGAGCAUCUGAUCAUAUGACGGGAGAUGCGACAAUUUUUGAUACAUAUAGCUCAUGUCCAAAUAAUUUAACAGUCCGAAUAGCAGAUGGUUCACUAUCAAAGGUUGUCGGAACAGGUUCAGUUGUGCUAUCAAGGGAUCUUACUCUCAACUCUGUUCUCCUUGUUCCUAACUUGGACUGUAAUCUAUUGUCAAUUAGUAAACUCACUAAGGAAAAGAGGUGUAUUACUAAUUUUUCCUCCACUCACUGUGAAUUUCAGGAUUUGGAUUCAGGGAAGACGAUUGGCAAUGCUGAGGAAUGCUCUGGACUCUACAUCCUUAAGGAGCGCCACGAUCCACAAGAACAACCUCAAAUGACAGUUGGUAGUAAUUCUUUUUCGGUUUCAUGUCAAAAUAACGAUAGUGCAAUUAGGUUGUGGCACUAUCGCUUAGGUCAUCCAAAUGUUAUGUAUCUCAAGCAUUUAUUUCCUUCAUUAUUUAAUAAAAAUCCAAAAUCCUUUGAGUGUGAAAUCUGUCAAUUAUCAAAGCAAGUCCGGUCUCAUUUUCCCAUUCAACCCUAUAAAGAGUCUAGUCCAUUCUCAAUGAUUCAUAGCGAUAUCUAGGGUCCGUCAAGAAUAAAAAAUGUAACUGGUACUAGGUGGUUUGUCUCAUUCAUAGAUGAUCACACUAGAUUAACUUGGGUAUUCCUCAUGAAAGAAAAAUCUGAAACGAGUCAAAUUUUCAAAAAUUUUAAAAAUAUGAUUCAGACCCAAUUCCAGUCAAAAAUACAAAUUCUAAAGUCUGAUAAUGCUAGGGAUUAUUUCAACUCCAUUCUAGGAGAAUUUCUAGCACAAGAAGGGAUAGUUCACUUAAGUUCAUGUGUUGAUACCCACAACAAAACGGAAUCGCUGAAAGGAAAAAUAGGCAUUUGUUAGAGGUGGCUAGAUCACUAAUGUUCUCCAUGAAUGUUCCAAAAUUAUUCUGGGGGCAAGCUGUCCUUACGGCAGCCUACCUCAUCAAUAGGAUGCCGUCUAGGGUACUAAAAUUCCAAACACCUUGUCAAACACUCCUAAAAUCCUUUCCGACUACUCGUCUCAUCUCCACCGUCCCACCCAAAAUUUUCGGGUGCUCUGUCUUUGUUCAUAUCAAUCAACAACAUAGAAGUAAACUUGAUCCUAGGUCACUCAAGUGCAUCUUUCUUGGAUAUUCUUCAAAUCAAAAAGGGUAUAAGUGUUACUCUCCGGUCACAAGAAAAUUCUACAAUUCAAUGGAUGUCACCUUUUUUGAAACCCAGCCUUACUAUCCCAAAAACGAUAUUCAGGGGGAGAAUUCAACCCAGGAAUAUCAAUUUUGGGAUCUUGAGUCAUUCAGUGAGUCACCCAUCACCACUGAAAAUCACAUUCCUCCAGAGUCAUUUAAUCAACCCGAGUCCAUUGUUGACUUGUGGGAUAAGGAGCACAUCCAAGAGGAAACGGAGGAAAGAGCACUUUCUCAACAAACCCAUGAGGCAGAACCGGGUCCUAAUCCAAGCAAACUUCCAGGUAACAACGCUCCUGAUGGUACUGUUGAUUCCGAGUUAGAAAAUGAUAUUCUUAAUAUGCCCAUAGCUUGGAGGAAAGGAGUUAGAUCAUGCACUCAGCAUCCCAUUGGAAAUUUUAUUUCUUAUGAUAAGUUAUCACCUACGUUUCGUGCAUUCACUUCUAGCAUCACAGAGAUACAAGUUCCUCAGAAUAUUCAGGAAGCUUUCAAGUAUCCUAAGUGGAAGGCGGCAGUCGAUGAGGAAGUUUGGGCGCUAGAAAAGAAUGGUACGUGGGAAAUUACUGACCUCCCAAGAGGUAAGAAACCAGUUGGGUGUAAGUGGAUUUUCACAGUAAAGUACAAGGCAGAUGGUAAUGUGGACAGGUAUAAGGCUCGGUUGGUUGCCAAAGGAUUCACCCAAUCUUAUGGCAUUGACUAUCAAGAAACUUUUGCUCCAGUUGCCAAGCUCAAUACUGUUCGUGUACUUUUAUCCUUGGCAGCUAAUCUCGAUUGGUCUCUUCACCAACUUGAUGUGAAGAAUGCCUUCCUCAAUGGUGACUUAGAGGAAGAAGUUUACAUGGACAUUCCUGCUGGACUUGAGACGACAUCAAAUUUCAACAAGGUUUGCAGACUCCGAAAAUCCUUGUAUGGUCUCAAACAAUCUCCCAGGGCCUGGUUUGAACGGUUCACUAAGGUAGUGAAAGGGUACGGAUUCGUUCAAUGUCAAUCCGAUCACACAUUAUUUGUGAAACACUUCCCAAAAGGGAAACUGGCAAUUAUCAUUGUAUAUGUGGACGACAUAAUUUUGACAGGUGAUCAUGAAGAGAAAAUUGACUUACUUAAAAAAUUACUGACAAAGGAAUUUGAGAUCAAGGAUCUUGGAAACCUCAAGUACUUUCUCGGAAUGGAGAUUGCUAGGUCAAAGAAAGGUAUAGCAGUCUCACAACGCAAAUACGUUCUGGACUUAUUGAAUGAAACAGGAAUGCUAGGAUGCAAGCCGGCAGAAACACCUAUGGAUACAACUGUCAAACUGGAAGAAAGUGAUGGAAGUGCGCCAGUUGAUAAAGGAAGAUAUCAACGUCUUGUGGGGAAACUCAUCUAUCUUUCUCAUACAAGGCCAGACAUCGGCUUCUCCGUUAGUGUGGUAAGUCAAUUCAUGAAUAAUCCAACCGAAAAACACAUGACUGCUGUGAUCAGAAUAUUGAGAUACCUCAAGAUGACACCGGGAAAGGGUCUCUUCUUUCAAAGAACAACAAAUAAAGAGAUUGAGAUUUUUUCAGAUGCAGAUUGGGCAGGUUCAGUGACUGAUCGGAGAUCAACUUCAGGCUAUUGUUCAUUUGUCUGGGGGAACUUGGUUACAUGGCGAAGCAAGAAACAGUCAGUGGUAGCCCGUAGCAGUGCUGAGGCAGAAUUUCGUGCUAUGGCACAAGGUAUCUGCGAAGGAAUCUGGUUGAACAGGCUGUUAGAAGAAUUACGGGUUCCAUUGAAGCAUCCCGUGGUGUUAUACUGCGACAAUCAAGUUGCCAUCAGUAUCGCUAAGAAUCCGGUUCAUCAUGAUCGAACUAAGCACGUGGAGAUAGAUCGACACUUUAUCAAGGAAAAGAUUGAAGAAGGAGUUUUCAAAGUCAGCUACACUCCGACAAACUGUCAAACGGCUGACAUUCUCACAAAAGCUCUUGCUCGAGUUAACUUCGAAGAUCUGACAGAAAAACUUGGAAUGAUCAACAUCUACAACGCGGCUUGAGGGGGAGUGUUGGAAAUCAAGCCAGCAUCCUCUGUUUACUUCCCUAAUUAGUGUAAUGUACAGCCUUUAUUAUAAUUGAUUUAGGAGUAAUUCUAGCAAGGUAGUUUAUUCACUUUCCAUGUAAGAGUAGUUUAUUCACUUCCCAUGUAAGAGUAGUUUAUUCACUUCCCAUGUAAGAGUUUAUUCACUUUCCAUGUAAGGGAAAUUCCAUUCCGGAAUUGUCUCAUAUCCGUAGGCUAUUUAUUUAUGCUUUCAUUCAUUGUAAAGUGAGGUAUCACAGAAUGAAUUGAGGUGUUCCUCCAUAUUUUGUCUUCAAAUUCUUCAUAUUUUUCUUCAAAUUCUUCAUUACCAAAUAUGGUGCCCGGGCUGACGGAAACUCCGAUAUCAGCCAGGCGAGGACAAUUCAAUUAUAAUAUUGUAAGAUAUAUCUUAAACUUAAAUUUCUGCUAAAUGGGUCCUCUAUUGAAUGUUUCUUAGGCCUUACUUAAAGCUUGCGGAAAUGCUUGUGCAUCGCCUAUGGCAAGUACAGUUAUGAUUCCAGAAGGGACAUAUGCACUAGGCCAAAUAACCAUUGGAGGCCCUUGCAAGGCUCCUAUCAAUUUCAUUGUCCAAGGCACUAUGAAGGCCCCGGUGGAUACCAGCAGGUUCAAGGCUGAAGCUGGUUGGAUUGCUUUCCAACAAAUCGACCAAUUCACGUUGUUUGGUGGUGGAGUUUUUUAUGGCCAAGGAAAAACUGUAUGGGGCAGAAAAAGCCCCCGUUCUGCAUAUUGCAACCAACUUCCCAUUGUAAGUUCAUGUAUAUAUAUUCUUGUGUAAUUCUUUCAUUUUGUGUGCAUAAUGAGGACAUGACAGUAUAAGCUUUGGUGUCUCUUUUUUUGACUUGAAAUAUCUAUAACAGAAUCUGAGGUUCAACUUCAUCACCAAUAGCAUGGUCAACGACAUAACUUCAAGAGACAGCAAACAGUUUCAUAUUAAUCUUUUAGGGUGCAAGAAUUUGACUUUCUACAACAUUGCAAUUAGUGCACCAGAAGAGAGCCUUAACACAGAUCGAUGGAAAUCACAUUGGACGUUCCUCAGGGAUCAAUAUCACCGAUUCAACCAUAGAAACCGGAGAUGAUUGUGUCUCAAUUGGUAAUGGCAGUGAGCAAAUUAAUAUCCAAAGUAUAACCUGUGGGCCUGAACAUGGCAUCAGCAUGGGAAGUCUUGGAAAGUACUCCAAUGAAGAACCUGUGGUUGGCAUUAGUGUCAAGAACUGUACCUUCACCAACACCCAGAAUGGCGUGAGAGUGAAGACAUGGCCUGCUUCCCAUCAAGGCACUGCCUUUGAAAUGCAUUUUGAAGAUAUUGCUAUGAAUAAUGUUGGCAAUCCCAUAAUCAUAGAUCAAGAGUACUGCCCCCAUAACCAAUGCAACUUGAAGGUACUUUUAAAGGAAAUGAAAAGUGUCAUUUUUAUUGCUUAUUUUUCCCAUUUUUCCCAUUUUUCCCUUCAUUUUCAUCGGUCUAGAAAUUAAGGGUUCAUUUGGUCAUGUUUUCUAAAACUUAUUUUUAAAAACUGUUUUUAAGUUAAAGAACAAAAAAUAGUUUUUCAAACUAAUGAAAACGAUUUCUACUUGUUCUCUAAAAAUUGUUCUCUAUCUCAUUUUAAAAAAAAAAAAUUAUUUCUAGAAAACAAUAGCUAAACAAUAUUAGGAAUUUUUCAAAACAUUUUUCUAUUUUUAAAAACAAAAAACUGUUUUUAAAUCACAUAGUCAAACAGGCUGUAACUUUCCAUUGUUUCUAGAUUCCAUCACGCAUUAAGCUCAACAAUGUUAGCUUCAGAAACAUCUGAGGCACUACCUCAACUUAGGUUGCUGUCAAGCUUGUUUGCAGCCAGGAAGUACCAUGCCAAGACGUCGAGCUUGGUGACAUCAACUUGAAAUACAAUGGAAGCGAAGGCCCUACCAUGUCACAAUGUAAAAACAUUAAGCCAAAUCUACUCGGCACGCAACUGCCAAGGACUUGUGCCUAAUUAAGCUACUUAAAUCUUCUUUCAAAGUCUGAACAAAUUGUACUGCUUCUACGAUUUUUAUAUAGCUACCUCAUGUGUUUUCUAGUUGAUUGCUGAAAAACCACCUCCACAUAGUAAAAGUAAAACACAAUAAAUAGGGAUUUAUAAAUUAUUAAAGAUUAUUUUUCUCCAAAAGAGGUUACAUUUUAUGUUUUUAAAAAAGGUUAGUCAUUCUUCCGAAUUUGGUUUUCUAUAGGAAUAUUUAAUUAAAAGGGGUAAGUAAAAUAACCCAUAAUUUGUAAAAGUAGCCUUCAUUAUCUCUCAAAUCAAAUAGAAAAAAUAUAUAUAUAAUAAAGAACCUUCUAAAUUCAAAUCCCUUUCUUCUUCUCUCUCUUCACCACCUUUGAAAUCUCUUUCUUUCUUUCUCUUCAUUGCCUUUUUUUAUUUCUGUGUGGUAGCCACAUCCUGCCACAUCCAAUUCACCUUCCAUUGAUGCAAUGACUCCUUUGAUUCGUCACAAUUAGUCAAAGCGCUUGGCUAAUGUACUCCACUUGGAGGCUAUUUAACCACAUCCUUCAUACCAUGGCAUCAUACUAUUUAACCACUUCAUCUUUGCCACAUUUCAAAAUCACUAUAUAUGAGAAAUAACACUUAUUUUGAAUAAUAAUGGACAUACUCCAUAUAUCAAAUUAUCACAAACAAACAAUUGACCUCAUAUUUCUAGACCCCUAAUUUUGUUCUCUAGUAUUACAAUACAUACAUACUCCACAUUUAUCCCCAUGUAUUUGAGUUGAUGAGGAAUAUUGAUCAUAUAUUUCAAGUGUUUUGAAGUUUUAAAAGGUUCUAGAUAAUUUGGAAAAUAAAAAUGAACUCGAGUUUCAAAUUUGAGAAAAUAAAGGCUAAUAUUAAAAGAGAAAAACACCCAAGAGAGGGGUGAAUUGGGUUUUUCAAAAUCUUUUUCAACACAACAAAUUCAAGCACAAUAGAAGAAAAUAUAAAGAGAUAAAGUUAGAGAUAUCAAAGUAAGAUUUUAUAGUGGUUCGGCACUUCCUUGCCUACGUCCACUCUCCUCAAGCUCCUAACUGAGUGGGGGUUCCACUAACUUGAAGCUUCAACCAAGCUUCUAAUCUCUUUUACACUUGAAUUCCGAAUCCAAUGGGCUCUUACACAAUCUCUUCAAGAUUCAACUCACUUGAAGGCUUUAACACUCAAUUUUACAAGAAUGAAUCCCUCAACCUAGCUCAAUGAUAGCUAAAAUACAAAUCAAAGCUAGGAUGAAUCACAAAGGUGCACUAAAGGAUAUGCAAGUGAAGAUUUAAUGCACUAAGAAAGAAAUGAGAGUUUUUAAGGCAAGAACAAGUGAGUAGACAAAUAAAUGCAAGUGUUUUCUAUGUCAUAAAUAAAGUGGAGCUCUCAAUUUAUAGGUUUCUAACCUUGGGAGCCAAGAAAAACAAAAAGCAGCCUCAACCAGUCAAGUUGAGGAUCGAUCGAUUCACUAACAGUUGGAACAUUUAAUGUUUUGGCAGGUUACCGUUGCUUCAACCGGACCUCAACCGGAGGUCGACCAGGAAGGGAAGGCUACUGGAAGAGAGAGAGUGUUUUUGCACUCCUCGACCGGGCAAAGGGAACUAGUCGACCGGUACCUUGGCCGAUUGAGCCGAUUGGCUCAGUGCCUUGAUCGGUUCAACAUUUUGGCCUCAAAAACCUAUUUUUUUCUAUUCUUUUCUCUUCUAACACUUAGGCAAGGUCUUUAGGUUAAUUAAUAUGCCAAUUUUGAAACGUUUUACCUAAGGUACAUUUGAUAAAACUUGGGUUUUAAUGAAACUGUAACUUUAAAGAACAAACCGAGUUUUCCAAAUAUGCAUGAAAUGAUAUGUAAACCCUAAGUGCACCCAUGCAUUCAUCUUACAUUUGUUUCCUAUGAAUAAAGGUCUUCCAAACGUCUUGAUUUUGUAUCCAUUAGGUCAUUUGAUGAAUUUCCAAAUUAAUACUUGAGAUUAUUUACAAAUCAAACCAAUUAGUAACUUAACCAUAGUUUGUUAUCAUCAAAACCUAAUUAGGAAAACACUUGGGCUAACAAAAUUGAUUAUCAAGUAGAUUCUCGAUUAGAAAUCAAAAUCCAAAUAUGUUUUUCUCUUUUACCCUGACAAAUCAAAAUUCCAAUUUAUCUCUUGUACAAAUAUGAAAUUUAUGCUAUUCGAAUCAAAACUCCAAAUCAUUUUCUAAGUCAGAUUCUCUUCUAAAAUUAAAAUGGAAAUCUAUUUCAUCUUUGUGGUUCAAAUUGAUCUUUGGAAUACUUGCACAUUCGAAAGGAAAAUAGUGUCACGAGUUUUGCAGUUGGAGUUCAUGGAUCAGGCAUUUUAGGAGUUCUUGUACCUAAUGAGAACGUUUACCUUGAUUAAUUUAACACUUAUAUUGCAAAGAUCUACAUAGGAGUUCUAUAGAUUUAUUUAAACAUUUAUGGGCAUAUUUAUCCUAUUUGUAGCAUAUUCUAAUGAUAUUUUUAAACAUUAAUAUAAAUUGUUUGCUUGAAGGUUUCAACUAUUGAAAAUUAUUGUUCAAGCCUAAUGUUAAUCUUUUUCUAUGGUGGAUUUCAAAUAAUUAAUAAAUUCUUAUUUGAUUAUUUGUAGGGAAAAUAAAUACCUUCUAUGUUUGAUAGGAAAGAAGAUAGAGUAGAUCACUUUCACAAUACAUGGAUGCUACUCUUUCUAUACUUUUAAAGAUGGUUACAAUUGGCUUUAUGAGGGAUAAUGAUUUUCUAGUUCUUUUAAUACUUACUAGUAAAGGCUCACAUGCCAUGCACAUACAUUGAGUAUAAUUUCUCAAUAGAUGUAGGGAACCUUGCAAUCAUGCUUAAAAUAUAAAAUUAACCAGUAUAUUAAAUGAAAUUUUUGUUUAGGAAAUAUGAUUACACAAGAAAAGGAAAUAAGAUUGUUAAAGUGUUGGAAACCUCUCUGGUUCAAAGCCCUAAGCAUCAAAUGGAUGAUAAUAACAAUUAUCAUAGGAAAAAUAGGAAAGGAAAAGAAUAUAUAAAUAUUUUUUUUUCCUAAACAAGGGAUUUCCCAUUUUAUAAGAAUGACCAAUAUAUAUAUAUAAAAGAAUUGUUUAAAUUACUAUAAAAAAUUUAUGUACUUUACAAUAAUUAUGUAAUCUAUAACUAUGCGUUAAAAUAUAAAAUUAAUAUACUUAUAAUGUAAAAUUAAUGUCCUUAUAUAAAACAUAUCACUCAAACUAGAUUAAAAAAAAUUCAAAACAUAGACAAACCAUUUAAAGAAAAUACAACAUUAACAAACUAAAAUAAUGUUCUAUGGAAUAAUAUUGAAAAAGCAACAUCCCUGAUAAAAUAGGUUAUCUCUAAACAUGAAGAUUAUCAUAUUUCUCAAAUUUGAAGAUGGUCAAGAAAAAUUUUCUGUAGACCCCUUUUGCAGACGACCUGGGAAUUGAAAAUUUUUCAUUUUUUGAAGUGGGGGGACCUCUUUCUGGAGGGGGCGAGCCGCAUGGGACAUGUGGCAAAGAUGGCAUGGUGGUAGCAGGGAGCAGGUGAAGACUCGUGGGAGAAGAAAAACAGAGGGGAGUGUCUUCAUGUUUUUAGGGGGGUGAGCUAGUUUUCGUGGGGGAGGGGGUCCGGAAACAGAGAGAAGAAAGAAGAAAGGAUAGGAGGUUUUUCUGGCGUUUAAGAGGAUUCCGAAAAUUUUUCGGGGCUUGGUUGGAGAAGCAAUCUUGCCUGGAGGAAAAUUUGAGGAGCUUGAGAAGAAACUAGUGAGGGUGGAUAGCUUGGGGAUAGAGGAUUUCCUGGAGGGAGCAGAAAACAGAGCUCAGAGUCAGGCGAGCUUUCCUUUGAAAAGCUGCCCUUCAGGUGAGAUUAGUUUUUGUUGAAUUUGAUAACUUUUCCAGCGCAAUACAUCCCGAUAUUUUAUUUCGAUUCGCUGCAUCGAUUGCCUUGCCGGUGAAUUUUACAUUCGUAGCCCCUUUUGUGCACUCAAUUUCCUAUAUUUUUAUUCCCUCUGAUGCUUUCUUUAUAUGUUUCUUCAACUGUAUGUGUUUUUGCCUGAAGAUUUGAUUGUGCCAGUGAAAUUUGUGGCUCAUCUGUGUCUCUAAAGUGUCGGGUACCUUAAGUGUCUUUCUUACUUCGACCUGUGAAAAUAUAUACUCUGGAGUUUACACAUCUUGUAUGCAUAUACUAUUAUAGUAUCAUAAAAUGAAAAAUUAUGUAUAUCCAAUUUUAAUUGAUCUCAAUUGAUUCUUCGUUACUGCUCAGAGGAGAAGUAAUAGGUAGGGAUGACAGGAUUUGAACCCGUGACAUUUUGUACCCAAAACAAACGCGCUACCAAGCUGCGCUACAUCCCUUUCAAUUGGUCUACAGUGUCAUUGUAGAGAAUACCUGUCUUGUUUUCCACAUCCUAGCAUUGAAUAGACUGGGUAUUCACCUUAUCAAUAUCUCAAAAUGAUGGGUUCUAUUUGGCGCUUAAAUUAAAUGGGCACCCAAAUCGGACCGAAUCAGUUCCGAUACGUAGACCAAAUGAUACAAUGCAAGCAAAAGUUCCUAGAUUCAUGGAGAUAUAGAACAGCAUAUAAGUUAUCAUGCUUGCAUAUCCACCAUUUAAGUCUCCAACAAUUAUUCCAAAUUGAGGCUUUUUUACAGUGAAAACCUCAAAAGGGGGAUUUUGGGGAAUAAGUGUUUGUGUAUUUUUUUUUUUCUUCCUAUGGAGAAGGAAGAGUGAAGAAUUUGUGAAAUGGCAAACCGUUAUUGGUCUGUUUCUAUUGAGCGGCGUUUCAGCUAUGUGGUUCUCAUCCCAUUUAUGCAGCAUUGAGUUUGAAUGCCGAGAAAUAUCUCUUUGAUCGGUGUGGGGAAAAUAGGAAAGGGGUUAGAUGGCCCCUAAUUGGUCAUUGCUCCUCUUUCUACUCUCUCAAACUGGGCAAAUGAAAUAGCAAGGUUUGUGCCUUCAAUAAUUGCAAUCAUCUACCAUGGCAAUAGGAAAGAAAGAGAUCAAAUACGAAUGAAGUAUAUGCCAGGAAAAAUUAGCCCCAAAUUUCCUAUAAUUCCGACUUCUUAUGAGGUUGCAUUAAAUGAUGCUAGAAAAUAUCUAAGGCAUUACAAUUGGAAAUAUCUUGUAGUUGAUGGUGGGGCCACGGAUGUAAAUUCAUGAUGUGCACCUUGCAACACUCUGUUUUAUUUUUCUUUGGGCUGCCAGGAUGUUCAAACAUCAUUUGAAAACCUUUUUUUUUUCACUUUGGCCACCUCUAAGUGUGGUCACUUUGGCACAUGGCCCUAGUAAGUUUUUGACUUUUUAUUUAUUUUCUUAUGAUUUUAACAGUUUUCCUUACUCCAAUUUUCCAAAAUUCAUUUCAUGAUUCCACUUUUCAAAUAAUUUUUAAAGCUUUCAUUUUAGAUUAGUCUUCCGGAAUUCCCAUUUCCAUAUUUAUUUAUUUAAUCAUUAUUCUUUUUUUAUUAUUAUUAUUUUAUUUAUUCACUUUUAAAAUUCUAUCUUUAAGUAAUUCUUAAAAUUCCGAUUUCCGAAUUUAAUUUCCAAUCAUUAAAAUUCAAUUCUUCAAAAGUCUGACUUCCAAAUUUAAUUUUCAAUCUAAAAAAUUUCACUAUUCACGUUCAUUCGUUUAAAUAUUAUUUUUGUUAUUAUUAUUAUUAUUCCAUAUUUAUUUAUUUAUUUUUUACAAAAGUUCCAAUCAUUAAAGUUCAAUUCUUCAAAAAUUUGACUUCCAAAUUUAACUUUCAAUCUCAAAAAUUCCACCAUUCACGUUCAUUCGUUUAAAUAUUAUUUUUUUUAUUAUUAUUAUUAUUCCAUAUUUAUUCAUUUAUUUAUUUUAAAAAUUCCAAUCAUUAAAGUUCAAUUCUUCAAAAAUCUGACUUCCAAAUUUAAUUUUCAAUCUAAAAAAUUCCACUAUUCACGUUCAUUUGUUUAAAUAUUAUUUUCGUUAUUAUUAUUAUUCCAUGUUUAUUCAUUUAUUUCUUUUAAAAAUUCCAAUCUUUAAAAUUCAAUUCUUCAAAAAUCCGACUUCCAAAUUUAACUUUCAAUCUCAAAAAUUUCACUAUUCACGUUCAUUCGUUUAAAUAUUAUAUUCGUUAUUAUUAUUAUUAUUCCAUAUUUAUUUAUUUAUUUAUUUAUUUAUUUAUUUUAAAAAUUCCAAUCAUUAAAGUUCAAUUCUUCAAAAAUCCGACUUCCAAAUUCAAUUUUCAAUCUCAAAAAUUCCACUAUUCACGUUCAUUCAUUUAAAUAUUAUUUUUGUUAUUAUUAUCAUUAUUUAAUUUAUUUAUUUGUUUAUUUCCUUUAAAAAUUCUAAUCAUUAAAGUUCAAUUUUUCAAAAUUCCGUUUUCCAAAUUUCAUUUUCAAUCUUAAAAAUUUUACUAUUCAUGUUCAUUCGUUUAAGUAUUAUUUUUUAUAUUAUUCUUAUUAUUCCGUUCACUUACUUAUUUAUUUCUUUUUAAAAAAAAAAAUAUCCGUCUUUAAACAAUUCUUAAAAAAUCUGACUUCCAAAUCUAAUUUCCAAUCUCAAAAAUUCAACUAUUCACAUUCAUUUGUUUAAUGAUUAUUUUCGUUAUUAUUAUUAUUUCAUUCAUUUACUUAUUCACUUAUUCACUUAUUCAUAUAUUUAAAAUCGCAUCUCUAAAUAAUCCUUCGAAUUUCCAAUCUCUAAAUUCAAUUUCCAAUUUCUAAAAUUCUAACUUUCGCAAUUAUUUAUCCAAUCAUUAUUAUUUUCGUUAUUCUAUUCAUUUAUUUAUUCAUUUGUUCGUUUAUUUAAAAUUUCAUCUCUAAAUAAUUCUUUAAAUUUCCAAUCCCUAAGUUCAAUUUCCAAUUUCCAAAAUUCUAACUUUCACAAUUAUUUAUCCAAUCAUUAUUAUUUCGUCAUUAUUAUUAUUUCAUUCAUUGAUUUAUUCACUUAUUCAUUUAUUUAAAAUUCCGUCUUUAAAUAAUUCUUCAAAAUUCCAAUUUCCAAAUUUAGUUCUCUGAAAUUCCAAUUUUCUUAUCACCGAACUUAAUUUUCAGUUUCCAAUAUUUCAAUUCUCGCAUUUAUUCGGUUACUCAUUUAUUAUUAUCAUUAUCAUUUUAUUCAUUCAUUUCUAAAAAUUCCAUCUUCGAAUGAUUUCCAAGAUUUCCAAUUUUUAUAAUUCAAUCUUCAUAGUUUCUACUUCUCAAAUAAUUUUCAAUUCUAAUUUCUUUCAAAAUUUAAUUUCCAAAGUCCCAAUUUUUGUAAUUUAAUUUUUUUAAAAUCCCAAACUCUCAAAUAAUUUUCAAAAUUCCAAUUUCUUUCAAAUUUAAUUUCUAAAUUUCUCAUUCUUACAUUUAAUUUCUAAAAAUCCUAUUUUCAAAUAAAUUUCAAAAAUCUAGUUUUCCCUCGAAUAGUUUUAAUUUCUAUUUGGUGAUGCAUGUGAUAUUUUUUGUGCUCUUUAUUGUACAUUGACCCCAUUUUUAUGAUAGCGCAUUGCUUGUUCGUGGCCCAGGUACGCAUCCAUUCCCAUUCUAGUCAUUCUCUAUGCAUGUUUUGAUUCCCAUAUGUGCAUGAUCGAUUUGAGUAUCCAUUGAUUUUCCUAUUGAUUGUUACGUCAGCUUCAUUUUAUUAGUAGAGACCCGACUUUAAAGACUUAGAGGGGUGCUACGGUCUUUACCGUACCUUCUUGAUAAGUAACCUAACCCUUGAGCCCAAUCCGGUUUUUCACAGACCAUAUUUUCCAAAAUAAGGAGUCACACUUAGAGUUUUCUUUUUUAUUUUGUUUAUACCCUUUUAAAAAUAAAACAAAAAUAAGUGGCGGCUCCAAGUCAUUUUUUUUAAUAAAUAAAAUCAUUUUCAAAUAAAAAUCGAGUUCGUCAUCGAGUGAAAAAUGCAUGAGCCGAAAUGCGGGGUCCACAAAAUGGCGACUCCACUGGGGAACGUUUAGAGGGUCAAGCUUGAACUUAAGAUGAAGUAAAUGUGGCAUUUGAUGAGUCGAUUAGUGGGCACCUAUCUCUUGAUUACAUAUUGAGAGUUCCCGAUACCAUUGGAUGCAUGCUUGGUUGUUUGUUUUCAUUUGGGACAUUGACAUGUUGAUUGUGUUGGUUGAUUAUCUUGGUUGGGGACUUUAAUAUAGUGAUUUUCUCUAUGCUUCAUUGGUAUAUUUGUUUGAUAUAUUUGACAUGCUGAUUGUGAUGAUUGAUUUGUCUUGAUUGAGGAUUCCGAGAUAGCUAUUUCUUCAGUACUUCAUUGUUAUAUUUGCUUGAGAUAUUGACAUUCUAAUUACAUUGAUUGCUUAUCUUAUUUUGCUUGGCAUAGUAACUCUGAUUUUGACAUGUUUAUUCUCAUCUCUUCCCAUAUAUAGACUCACCAUUGCAUAUCGCUUGACUUGCCAUAUUGUUUCUUUGUAUUGUAUAUUCUCUUGAUUGUCUUCGAGCAUGAUAUCUGCAUCAUUUCUCAUCUAAUUUUCAUAGUUUGUAUGUGGAUAUGAGCUAUAUAUUCUGUACUCUACUUGACUGUAUGUCACAUGACUGCCCUUCUUAUGCGUGAUUGUAUGUCGUUUGUCCGUGUGGGCCGCACAUCUAUCCCCUUACCUCCAACUCUCUUGGUUUUGGUCAUUCCCUUCAUUCUAGUUUUCACUUUUGCAAGUGUGAGGUCUUUUGUGUGUUUGUUUCUUUAACCGAGAUAGCGAUUAGGAGUAGGGUCUAGUGACGGGCUAUACCGAUGUUUGGGAGCAUCCUGUAAUUGAUCGACACUUUGAUGUCAAUUAGAGUUCGAUUGUUGAAAACUUGUAUAGCCCAGAGCUAGGUUUCAUGGAUAUUUGUACAGCUAGUAUGUUUCAUAUUCUGUAUUAGCUUCAUAGGGUUAUCGGAUGCACCCACACCGUUUAUUGUGCACUCUAAUUGACCACUGAGCGUUGAGAGUUCGAGAGGUUUCACCAUAGGAAACCCCCAUGGGAUGCCGAGAUAGUGUAUGUGUGGAGAUGAUGACCACCUUGCAUGGAAGCGCCCCGUUUCUUCAGAGGCGUGCAAAGGGUUGCAUACCACGGGAGGGUAUGAUCACUUCUGCUAGGGAUCCUUUAAAGUCCACAAAAUUUCUUUUUAGAGUCACCUUGACAUUGUAGGUUAAGCCUUAGAUCCUUCGAUCAAGACUUUCUUCCCUACACAUGGGUGCAUCUGAGGGCCUUUAGAGUCUCUUUAGUUACAGUUUGGAUCCCAAACUCCAUCUUUUGGUCUCCAGUUGAGAGUGCUUAGAUAUUAGUGCGAGUUUGAGUAUUAAUUGGACCACCUCUUGUUGUAUGAUUUUGGUUUCUUCCUGUCACUCAUCGAGUUUGCCACACUUUCUUCUUAGGGGUUUUAGAUAGAUUUCCUUUCUUGAGUUAGCAUUAUUUCCAUUUGUUGUCACUUUCUACUUGACGUUUUGGGAUAUGCUCAUUGAUUAUGCUCACUUUUUCACAUUCUCCACAUGUCAUGCGCUCAAUACUUCAUUCUUUGGUUGAUUUGCCUAUUUCAAUUUUCAACCCAAUAUUUUCAUUACAGAGAGGUGAAAGGCAUGUUUUCACAUUCACACCAGUUUUGAGAGGUUCGCCUUUGUCACCUUAUCAUUUUUCUUUAUGGAGCUCGGGUUGAAAGUGAAUCAAGGAUAUUUUGUUAUAGAUGGAAUAUCGAUCUAAUGACAGUGUUGUUUUUUCACGCCUCAUUCAUUUUCUGGAUUACUGAUAAAGAUUAUUUACUCACAUUUGUAGCCAUCUCACAAUGGACACCUCUAUGACUUUAGAGUUUUUGUCAUUUAUCCAGUUUUAGAUUGCUACCACAGGACCAUAUAUCAUAUGAUGUGUUGUACUUUUGAUUUGAGACAUCUCUUCACUUGCACCUUGAGGUCUUAAGGUUUGACCUAUCAUGGAGGACAUUGAGCCUAUUAACCUAGGAUCGGAGAUUUGACUUAGGAAGUUUCAGACUAUGACCCAUCUUCUUAUGAUCAGAGCAGUGUCUUACCCACUCUCACACCUUGACUUUGUUUUGACCUACAUCCAUCCAUUGUGAGCGUUACACAGCGUCACCCUUGAGACCAUUACAUGACCUUUCCAUCCCUAAUUGUUCUAGCUUUGUAUAUUAUUUCUUUGAUCCAACCAGGUAGAGUGUGAGGAGUUUGAGCCUAGGGUUGAUCUCGCGUGGCGAGGGAUGGCUUACGAUUUUUGGGUGGCUUACGACAUGAGGAUUGGUCGAUUACUUGAUGGACUGUCACUUAUUCUGCCAUGAGUAUAGAGAUUGAUAUUGUAUGAUGAGAGUUAGCUUGUGAUGAGCAGUUGUGCUUGAUGAGAUCGUCAUUUACUUUGCUUUGAGAGGAUUACCUUUGAGAUUAUUAUGGAGCAUUUGCAGUAUGGUUUGGCACAUGAUUCUAGAGGGUUGAUGUGGUUAUGUCAGAUGGAUAUUGAUCUUUAGUAUAGAUCAUUUAAGGGUUUGAGAGCACAAUGUUUGAGACUAUGGUUGCAAGAUGUGUGGCCUGUAUUUCGGUUAGCCAUGUACCCUUUCACCCUUUUGAUAUAUAUAGUCUGUUGCUAGCCCAUUGAGCCUCGCACGUGCAUUAUAACCUUUCUUUCUUAUCGCCUUGCUCACAUUUUUCACACCGGGAUAGGGGCCUUUUAGUAUAUGCAUUCAUUGUUUGGGAGUUCCAUGAGCCUUAGACCUAAGGGUGCAUUCUUCUCAUUAUCUCUUCUCAUCAUUGCAUCACUGCAUUCCAUUGUAUCUCAUUGUUUGUGUUCUUCGUCUCUUCUUCUUUAUUUUAUCUACUACUUGUUUUGCUUCAUAUUCUUUUCACCCUGAGAUGGUGUCUAUCCAUUAUCGACAUCAUCCUUGGGGUUCAUUUGUUCAUGUUCAGGGUAUGUACAUCUGUAUGUUAAAAAAAUGAAGUGAAAAAAAAAAUGAAAUGAAAAAAAAAACGCAUGUGUGUAUUAUUUUUUAUCAUUGAGUGUGUAUAUCAAUAUUCUAGGGUCACUUGAUUGAGUAUGUUUGUUGAUGGGAGUUCGUAUGUAAGCUUUCCGAGACCCUUCAUGCUUUGUAUUCAUCUUAUUGUAUAUUUUGAGAGCGAGAUGAGUGACCUUCUCUUAAGAGUUCUAGGUCAUUGUCCCUUCCAUCAUUACGUUCAUUGUUGAUGUGACUUCACUCCAUGUCUGAUUUGAGUUGAUCACUACUCCUCUUUAUGUUAUUUGUUUCAUCAUUAUCCUCGUUUUCGCUUCUGAUUCAUCAUUUUCACUUCACGUCUUAUUCUUUUCUUACAGCAACCCAUCUAGGGUUUGAUACUCUCUUCGCGUCAUCAUUACACAUAUCACUAUCAAUUCAUUUUGCUUCAUUGGUCUCCUCAUCGACAUCUUAUUCACGUUAGGCAUCCUCAUGUCCAUGGCUCACGGGAUUUACUAUACAUGGUGCAUUUCAUAUAUGAGGGCAUGGGUUUCUGAUCAUUGGGUAUUUGAGCCCUGUUUCCUUUCAUUUCUUUCACCUUAUUACCUUAGCCUACAUUACGUCCUAGGUCUUAAGAGCACCCUGAGGCCAUGAUAUCAUGCAUCGUGUUUUGAUAGCUCUCAUGUGGGCGAUACUUGGAAUUGGUUGGAGAGCAUUUUGAUUAUGAUAGGCCAUGAGUUGUGGUAUGACCCUAUACUGGGGCAUAGCCACCUCAGAGAGUUUUUUUUUUAUCGGGUAUGCAACCAUUCUGUUUGAUACAUCGCAUUGGGGCACACCUUUCUUGGUUGAGGUUUGAUUUUUUAGAUGGCCAUUAUGCCAGGGCAUACUUCUCUCAGUCGAUGAUGGAUUUUUGAGUCAUGGCCACCCUUCAGAGGAGAUCAAACAUCAUUUUUCACAUUGGAGCAUGAGGCAUGAUUGGUAUAUUUCAUCUGGUGUACUUUGCAUAGGGGCAUAUUUCUUAGUCGAUGAUGGUUUUUGAGGCAUAGCUGUUCCUUGGGGGUGAUUAGAUUCCUUUCACAUUGGGGUAUGAGAUAUGAUUGGGUGCUUUGAAUAGAUGUGUUUAUAGGAGCGUAACCUUCUCAUCGUUGUUGACAAAUGUUUGAGAUGAUUGGAUCAAGAUACUGACACUUAUGAGAGCAUGCAGCGGAGUUUAGUCAUUUUAGAGAUUGCAUUAUACUGGGGCAUAAUCCUUUCAUUGGUGAUUGAUCUUAGAGAUAUCAACUUACAUUUGGGCAUGAUCAUGUCAGAGCGCAUUUUGUUGAGGCAUGUCACUUUGAUUGAUCUUUUUCAUAUUGGGACAUGCUCUUUCUUUAGAUGAGGUCGGAUACUCUCUUUAUACCACCACGAUGACUUUGAGGAGUGGAGAUUCAUUUUGAUUAGAUGAUGUAUGAUUGGUUGUACUCCUCUCAUCGAUGUUUUAUUACAUUGGGGCAUUGCCCACCCAUCGACGAUGGAUUUUGUGAGAUGACGGUUUAUGCCAAACACAUGUUAUUCGGAUAUUAUCUUGCAUUGAGGGCUUACCCAUUUUGAGAGAAUGCAUUCAUACUGGGGCAUAGCCACCUUGCUGAUUUUGACAUUGAGACUCCACCUCCUAUUUAUGAUAGCUAGUUUUGAUGGAUCGUAGAGUUGUUGACACUUUGGGUUCAGACUUCUUAACAUACUUGGUUCGACUUGGAUACCCACUUUCCUUUGUUACACACUCAUACAUCUUACAUCCAGCACCAUUAUACCUGCAUCCAUCUUGUCAGAGUCUCACAUCUUUUGAGUUUCAUCUAGGGCAUACCCCAUUUCCAGAGAUAGUUGUGUCCUCAUUUUUUAGUGAGUUGAUCAUCCUGAUUUUAGUCACCCUUCAGUGGUUUGACUUAGAGUCAUAGACUACAAUCUCCCAUUUUGGGCGUACAAUGCCCCUCUUCAUGGAGUCACAUGACUCUCAUCACUCACGAGAUCAUGUCGAGUUGAUAGCCAAUUGUUAUCUUAUCAUGAUCCCCUAGUGGAGUCUUUCUUAGGCCAUUUAGUCAGACUCACACUUUUUAGCAUUUAGAUAUCAUCAUGCUUUUUCUUCUGGGAGACGUUUAUUUGAUCUACAAAUUCGAUUAAGUUGUGGACGUGGGUGGUUAGGAUUACACACUUGGUGAUGGAUGAUUUGAUGACAUCUAGUUUUCUGAUCUACCAUGCAUUUGAUGCCAUACUGGGGCACAUUCUGUUUCGGAUGAGAUUUAUGGAUUUUCAUGGAAGUUGCAUGCUUAUCUCCACUUUUGAGUUAUGGACGUGGAUGACCGGGAUUGCAUAGUUGAUGAUUUGGUGUCACCUGACUUUUGGAUCUACCACACAUUUGAUGCCAUACUGGGGCAUAUUCCAUUACAGUUGAGAUUCGUAGAUUUUCAUGGAGUUGCGCGAUCAUCAUCACUUACUGGUCGCACACUGAGAUGCUGACAUGUUCGUUACCUUAUCAUGAUACCUCGGUGGACCCUCUUUGGAUCCAUUUAGUCGGACCCUCAUUUUUUGACAUUUGGUUUCCGGCAUGAUACUUAUUCCGAGAGACAUUCCCUAGAUAUAUGGAUUUGAUUUAUAUCACAGAGAUCACAUGUUCGAUGAUAGAUAGUCUCAUGUCAUCUGAUUUCCGAUUCGUCAUACAUCUGAUGCCAUACUAGGGCAUAUUUCCAUUUUGGGUGAGGUUUACAGAUCUUCAUGGGGUUGUAUGAUCACCCCCACUUACGGGAUGCGCACCGAGGCGAUGACGUGCUCAUUAUUUUUACGAGGAUUUCUCGGUGGAGCCUCUCGGGAGUCAUCCAGUUAAGCCCGCACUUCUUGGCACUUAGAUUUCAUCAUGCUUCUCCAUCCGAGAAAUACCUCUUGGAUUUGUGGGUUUGAUUCUGUUAUGGACAUGGAUGACUAGGACCGUGCAUUUGAUGACAGAUGAUUUGAUGUCAUCUGAUUUUUCGACCCGUCACACAUUUGAUGCCAUACUGGGGCAUAUUUCCCUUUCGAUUGAGAUUUGUACAUCCCCACCGAUUCGCAUGAUCAUCCCUAGUUAUGAGAUACGCGCUAGGUUGAUGAUUCGAUUUCAUUUUGUCAUGACACUCUGGGGAGCCUUUCUUGAGUCAUUCAGUCAGGCUCAUACUUUUUGAUAUUGUUGUGAUUCUUAGACAGAGUUAUCUCAGACGCAUGGAUUCCCACAUCACCAUUUCAGUGGAGUACAUGUUAGAUCUCUUGCGCAUCCCCAUUGAGUUAUUUGCGAGUCAUCAGGGCAGACCUGGUACAUCUGAUGCCAUACUAGGGCAUAUUUCCCUCAUUCAGCUGUAGAGAUGAUGGUUUUCUCAUAGAUCUGAUGCAGCCGCCUUCAUCGCUCCACCGAGAAAUAUUUUAUUUGCUUUAUUGGCCACUAUUCCCGUGAUUUUCGUCGAGAUAAGCCUUCAGUAGAGCACAACAUUCAGGUUUUGACUGUCUCGCUAUCCAUGAUUCUUUAGUAGAUUGUUGUGAUGAGAUCAUGGUGGUUACCCCAACAAACUAUUCUCUUGAGACUCCCUAGUGGAUCAUUCGUUUCAGAUGACGAUGGACUCCUACAGUAGAGUAUUUCGAGUUAGAGUCAUCUAACUCGUCAAGCAUCGCGGUCCAAUCAGAUGGGUUGUGAGACUAUGUUCACAGUCGAUUUAAUCAUUCUAACUCGCUAGUAGAGCAUAUUUCGAGACUCAUGGAGUCUUUUUCAGACCUUUCUAGUGGAUUGAGAGUUAUGACGACAUGCUACACUGGGGCAUAUUCCCCCUUCAUCAUUUCCUUGCAAUUCUGGCGUUCAGAGCCACCAUACAUGCUCGGUUACGACAUUCAGAGUCGCCCUUUUUUAGCUUGGCAUUCAAAGCCACCAUGUCUUCUCGUUUAUGACCUUCAGAGUCGUAUCUCUCGGCUUGACUUUCAUAGCUACUGUUUCAGUUUGGUGCUUAGAGCCACCAUGUCCUCUCAACCAUGACGUUCAGAGCCUUUCUCAGAUUGGCAUUCCUAGUUAUCAGUUUAGUUUGGUGUUCAGAGCCGUUGUUUCUGCUUGGGAUUCAUAACUAUUAUCUUCGGUUUGGUGUUCAGAGCCACUUUCACAUUUCGACGUUCAUAGCUGUUGUUUUAGUUUGGCAUUCAGAGCCAUGGUUUAGGUUGACAUUUAGAGUUGUCAUCGUCUUUCCAUUCGGUGUUCUGAGCCACAUUUUUUGUUUCGGCGUUCAGAGUCAUUCUUCAUUUUCAUUUUGGCGUUCAGAGCCAUUGUUCAUUUUUCUUUUGCCAUUCAAAGCCACAUUUUCGUUUCGGUGUUCAGAGCGAUCGUUCAUCUUCCGUUUGGCAUUCAGAGUCAUUGUUCGUUUUCCGUUUGGCGUUCAAAGCCGUAGUUCAUCCUCAGUUUGGUGUUUAGAGUCGUUGAUCAUUUUUGUUAGGCGUUCAGAUUCAUGUCGUCAUCUUGGUGUUCAGAGCCGCAUUGUCAUCUUGGCAUUUAGAGUCGUAUCUUCAGUUUGGCAUUUAGAGUCGUAUCUUCAGUUUGGCAUUCAGAGUUGUUGUUUAUCUUUAGUUCGAUAUCUAGAGCCAUUUUCAGAUUGGUGUUCAGAGUCGUUAUUCCCUUUAGUUCGAUAUUCAGAGCUACACCUUCAAUUCAAUGUCUAGAGUCACAUUUUUUUCGUUUGGUGUUAAGAGUUGUUGUUCACUUCAUUUUGGCAUUCAGAGCCACAUCUUCAUUUUGGUGUUCAGAGUCGCAUUUUUAGUUUGGUGUUCAGAGUCGUUGUUCAUCUUCAUUUUGGCGUUUAGAGCCGCAUUCUCAUCUUGGGAUUCAGACCCACAUCUUCUUUCGGUUUGGCGUUCAGAGCCGCAUUUCCAUUUCGAUGUUUAGAGCUACCAUCAUUCUCAGUUUCGGCAUUCAGAGCCACUGUCUCUUCUCAAUUCGCCGUUCAGAGCCAGAUCUCCAGUUUCAGCGUUUAGAGCCACUAUCCCUUCUUAUUUUGGCAUUCAGAGCCACCAUUUCUGCCCAAUUUCAGCGUUUAGAGCCACCAUCCCUUCUUAUUUUGGCGUUCAAAGCCACCAUUUCUACCCAGUUUGGCGUUCAGAGUCACCAUCCCUUCUCAGUUUGGCUUUCAGAGCCACCGUCUCUUUUCAAUUUGGCGUUCAGAGUCACAUCUUCAUUUGGCACUCAGAGCCAUUACUUGUCUUCUAGUUUGGUGCUCAGAGCCACAUCAUUCAUUUCAGCAUUCAGAGUCACAUCUUUAGUUUGAUGUACAAAGUCGAUGUCUUCUAGUUUGGCGUUCGGAGCCACAUUCUCAGUUUGACACUCUAAGUCCUCAUGUCUAUCUUUCAUUCAAUCCAUCACCACUUCCCUCUAUUCUGGCAUUCAAAGCCAUUAGGCACACUCUUUCGGGCCUUUUUGAGUCAUUUCUUUUUUUUAAUUUUGGUGUGCAGAGCCGUUUUUUAUACCCAUUCAUGCAUCUUGAGUAAUUUCUUUUCUUAGUUUUGGCAUUUAGAGCCAUUGUUUUGUUUAGCAUUCGACGCCACCAUCUUUCUUCAGUUUGGUGUUCAGAGCCAUUGUACAUAUCCGUUCAGGCACCUUGAGUCACCAUCUUUCUGUGUUUUUGAUGUUUAGAUUUCCCCUCAACUGUCCAUGGCAUUCAUAUUCACUGGCAUUACACAUCUUGCCUUCAUAGGUUUGCAUUUAUCCUUAUUUUUCUCACCUUGUUACCCUGUGCUUAUCGUUCAUUCGUCAUUGCUUUUCUAGAUUUCCCUUUUCACUGCCCAUGACAAAGUCCUUUGAGUUCACGACACAUACUUCAGUCAUGUUGUUGGGCACCCUGCACUUAGCAUUCUCAUGUGGUUCACAUAUGAUAGUCUCAUUUAGGCACAUUCGUUCUUACACUCCAAAGUGGUUCGACCAUUACUCAUCUGUGAUAUGGUUUUCCAAGUCACUUUUGGAGACGUCUUAGAGGGAGUCUAGAUCCUUAGUGUGGCUUCAGAGGCACUUUGAGAUAUCAUUUUCUUUUAGGAUUAGAGCAUUUGUGUUCAUUCCUUGGUUUGGGCGAGUUCGUGUUCUACUUGUGCACCUUUAGGGGUCUUUCUUUUUCUUUGGUAGAGUUUACUCCAUUCCACUCACUAUUCACACUUUCUUUUCACUCUAGUGUUCAUAUUUCUUACGCUCGUGAACUCUACCGAAGAGGGGCAUAUUUGUAGAACCCUUUUGCGGACGACCCGGGAAUUGAAAUAUUUUCAUUUUUGGAAGUGAGGGGACCUCUUUCUAGAGGGGGCGAGCCACAUGGGACAUGUGGCAAAGACGACAUGGUGGUAGCAGGGAGCAGGUGAAGACUUGUGGGAAAAGAAAAACAGAGGGAAGUGUCUUCAUGUUUUUAGGGGGGUGAGCUAGCGGUUGUGGAGGUGGGGGUGUCUGGAAACAGAGAGAAGAAAGAAGAAAGGAUAUGAGGUUUUUCUGGCAUUUAAGAGGAUUCCGAAAAUUUUUUGGGGCUUGGCUGGAGGAGUAAUCUUGCCUGGAGGAAAAUUUGAGGAGCUUGAGAAGAAACUAGUGAGGGUGGAUAGCUUAGGGAUAGAGGAUUUCCUGGAUGGAACAUAAAAUAAAGCUCAGAGUCAGGCGAGCUUUCCUUUGAAAAGUGGCCCUUGAGGUGAGAUCAGUUUUUACUGAAUUUGACGACUUUUACAGUGUAAUUCAUCCCGAUAUUUUAUUUCGAUUCUCUGCAUCGAUUGCCUUGCCGUGGAAUUUUACAUUCGUAGCCCCUUUUGUGCACUCAAUUUCCUAUAUUUUAUUCCCUCUGAUGCUUUCUUUAUAUGUUUCUUCAACUGUAUGCGUUUUUGCCUGAAGAUUUGAUUGUGCUAGUGAAAUUUGUUGCUCAUCUGUGUCUCUAAAGUGUUGGGUACCUUAAUUGAGGCAUUUUUACAGUGAAAACCUCAAAAGGGAGAUUUUGGGGAAUAAGCGUUUGUGUAUUUUUUUUUUUUUUCUUCCUAUGGAGAAGAAAGAGUGAAGAAUUUGUGAAAUGGCAAACCGUUAUUGGUCUGUUUCUAUUGAGCGGCAUUUCGGCUAUGUGGUUCUCAUCCCAUUUAUGCAGCAUUGAGUUUGAAUGCCCAGAAAGAUCUCUUUGAUCAGUGUGGGGAAAAUAGGAAAAGGGUUAGAUGGCCCUUAAUUGGUCAUUACUCCUCUUUCUACUCUCUCAAACUGGGCAAAUGAAAUAGCAAGGUUUGUGCCCUCAAUAAUUGCAAUCAUCUAAGAUGGCAAUAGGAAAGAAAGAGAUCAAAUACGAAUGACGUAUAUGCCAGGAAAAAUCAGCCCCAAAUUUCCUAUAAUUCUGACUUCUUAUGAGGUUGCAUUAAAUGAUGCUAGAAAGUAUCUAAGGAAAUAUCUUGUAGUUGAUGGUGGGGCCACAGAUGUAAAUUCAUGAUGUGCACCUUGCAACACUUUGUUUUAUUUUUCUUUGGGCUACCAGGAUGUUCAAACAUCAUUUGAAAACCUUAAGUGUGGUCACUUUGGCACAUGGCCCCGGUAAGUUUUUGACUUUUUAUUUAUUUUCUUAUGAUUUUAACAGUUUUCCUUACUCCAAUUUUCCAAAAUUCCUUUCAUGAUUCCACUUCUCAAAUAAUUUUUAAAGCUUUCAUUUUAGAAUAGUCUUCUAGAAUUCCCAUUUUCAUAUUUAUUUAUUUAAUCAUUAUUCUUUUUUUAUUAUUAUUAUUUUAUUUAUUCACUUUUAAAAUUCUAUCUUUAAGUAAUUCUUAAAAUUCUGAUUUCCGAAUUUAAUUUCCAAUCAUUAAAGUUCAAUUCUUCAAAAGUCUAACUUCCAAAUUUAAUUUUCAAUCUCAAAAAUUCCACUAUUCAUGUUCAUUCGUUUAAAUAUUAUUUUCGUUAUUAUUAUUAUUAUUAUUCCAUAUUUAUUUAUUUAGUUAUUUAAAAAAAAUUCAAUCAUUAAAAUUCAAUUCUUCAAAAAUCUGAUUUCCAAAUUUAACUUUCAAUCUCAAAAAUUCCACUAUUCACGUUUAUUUGUUUAAAUAUUAUUUUUGUUAUUAUUAUUAUUAUUAUUCCAUAUUUAUUUUAAAAAUUCCAACCAUUAAAGUUCAAUUCUUUAAAAAUCUAACUUCCAAAUUUAAUUUUUAAUCUAAAAAAUUCCACUAUUCACGUUCAUUCGUUUAAAUAUUAUUUUUGUUAUUAUUAUCAUUAUUUCAUUUAUUUAUUUGUUUAUUUCCUUUAAAAAUUCUAAUCAUUAAAGUUCAAUUUUUCAAAAUUCCGUUUUCCAAAUUUCAUUUUCAAUCUUAAAAAUUUUACUAUUCAUGUUCAUUCGUUUAAGUAUUAUUUUCGAUAUUAUUAUUAUUAUUCUAUUAAUUUACUUAUUUAUUUCUUUUUUAAAAAAAAUAUCCGUCUUUAAACAAUUCUUCAAAAAUCUUACUUACAAAUCUAAUUUCCAAUCUCAAAAAUUCCACUAUUCACAUUCAUUUGUUUAAUGAUUAUUUUCGUUAUUAUUAUUAUUCCAUUCAUUUACUUAUUCACUUAUUCAUAUAUUUAAAAUCUCAUCUCUAAAUAAUCAUUCGAAUUUCCAAUCUCUAAAUUCAAUUUUCAGUUUCUAAAAUUCUAACUUUCGCAAUUAUUUAUCCAAUCGUUAUUAUUUUCGUUAUUCUAUUCAUUUAUUUAUUCAUUUGUUCGUUUAUUUAAAAUUUCAUCUCUAAAUAAUUCUUUAAAUUUCCAAUCCCUAAGUUCAAUUUCCAAAUUUCAAAAUUCUAACUUUCACAAUUAUUUAUCCAAUCAUUAUUAUUUCGUCAUUAUUAUUAUUCCAUUCAUUGAUUUAUUCACUUAUUCAUCUAUUUAAAAUUUCGUCUUUAAAUAAGUUUUCAAAAUUCUGAUUUCCAAAUUUAGUACUCUAAAAUUCCAAUGUUCCCAUCACUGAACUUAAUUUUCAAUUUCCAAUAUUUCAAUUCUUGCAUUUAUUCAGCUACUCAUUUAUUAUUAUCAUUAUCAUUUUAUUCAUUCAUUUCUAAAAAUUCCGCCUUCGAAUGAUUUCCAAGAUUUCCAAUUUUUAUAAUUCAAUUUUUGUAGUUUCUACUUCUCAAAUAAUUUUCAAUUCUGAUUUCUUUUAAAAUUUAAUUUUUUUAAAAUCCCAAACUCUCAAAUAAUUUUCAAAAUUCCAAUUUCUUUCAAAUUUAAUUUCUAAAAUUCUCAUUCUUACAUUUAAUUUCUAAAAAUCCAAUUUUCAAAUAAUCUCUAAAACUUCAAUUUUCAAAUAAUCUCUAAGACUCCAAUUUUCAAAUAAAUUUCAAAAAUCCAAUUUUCCCUCGAACAGUUUUAAUUUCUGUUUAGUGAUGCAUCUGAUAUGUUUUGUGCUCUUUAUCGUACACUGACCCCAUUUUUAUGAUAGUGCAUUGCUCGUUCGUAGCCCAGGUACGCAUCCAUUCCCAUUCUGGUCAUUCUCUAUGCAUGUUUUGAUUUCCAUAUGUGCAUGAUCGAUUUGAGUAUUCAUUGAUUUUCCUAUUGAUUGUCAUGUUAGCUUCAUUUUAGUAGUAGAGGCCCGACUUUAGGAACUUAAAGGGGUGCUACAGUCUUUACCGUACCUUCUCGAUAAGUAACCUGACCCUCGAGUCCAAUCCGGUUUUUCACAGAUCACCUUUUCCAAAAUAAGGAGUCAUACUUAGGGUUUUCUUUCUUAUUUUGUUUACCCUUUUAAAAAUAAAACAAAAAUAAGUGGCGACUCCAAGUCAUUUUUUUUAAUAAAUAAAAUCAUUUUCAAAUAAAAAUCGAACUCGUCAUCAAGUGGAAAACACAUUAGCCGAAAUGCGAGGUCCAUAGUUUCCCAUCAUGUUUCUAUUUUGUUGGAAUUUGAAUAAGUACAUAAUAAUUUUGUUUUAUUUUAUGGAUGAUAACUUCAUUUAACAUGUUAGUAUUCAUCAUCUUUCAUUUUGCCAUCCAUUUUUAGAGACUUUAAAUGCUUUCUUUAGAUACCCAUUUUUCAAUUUCAGUGAAUAAAUUGGGUAUAAGAGAUUUGCUAACUUCACUCAACAACUUCUAUUUAAGAUUUAGAAACUUGUGAACCUCAUGUUUUCCCCUUUGAAAACAUUGAAAUUUUGAUAUGGAAAGUUAAAAUAUCACAUAAACAAUCAAUUUUAAUUAUUUAAAUUCACUUCUCAAAAUUAAAAUUAAAAAUCCCUCUUGUAUGAUCUAAAUUAUCUUAGAUUUCAACUUUUUAAUUCACUUAAAGUAUUGAAUAAGUUAAAAAAAAUAAAAUAUUAUUAAUUAUGAUUAUAUAUAUAUAUAUAUAUAUAUAUAUAUUUGUUUUUGUUUAACUAUUAAUAAUUAUAAAAAUAGAGAGAUAACUAAAAUGACAUGACAUAAGUGAUAUAAAAAUAGAUAACAACUACAAUGAUACAAGUGAGAUUAAAAUUGGGAAUUCACUCAAGUUGGAGAAUUAUUUAUUCUAAUAAAAAUACUAAGAAAAUACGUUAAUUAUUGUAGCAAAUUCUUUUUUUCUUCCACUCUAUUUGGGCAUCUAUUAUAUUGAAAAAAGAAAUAAAAGAAACCUCAUACAUAUUUAAAAUAAUUUAUUUGAGAAGAUUCUAUCAUUAAAAAUUCCACAAAAGUUCCAAAAAAAAAAAAAAGAUGCCAGAAAUAGUAUGUAUAGAGAAAAGAGUACAAAAGACAAAUAUAUAUAUAUAUAUAUAUAUAUAUAUAUAUAUAUAUAUUAAUUUAAAUUUAAAGAGAAAAGGUAAGAGUAAUAAGUCAGCAUUGAAAAAAAGAAAGUUUACUUUAAUAAAAUUAUAAUCUCAUAAAUUAAAAACUUCAAAAGUAUCCAAUCAAAUCCUUUAAAAUUCUUUCCUUCUAAAAAUUCCCUCUAUUCCAAAUCCAUUAUUUCCUUUUUCAUUUAAAUCCCUUCAUUCCAGAGUGUAAAAAGAAAUAAUAACAAUCUUCCUAAUAAGUUAUUAAUAUAUAAAAUAAAAAAUAAAAAAUAACACUUUUUUAAUAAUUUAGGAUAUAUUAAUUUUUUUUCUUCAAGAAAGAUGUAAUUUUUUCUUUUAUCUAAAUAUAUUACAUUUAGAAAUAAUUGCUCUUCUAAUAUCGAAAAUUAAGAAAUAUUAGAAGAUCGAGUAAUUUUUUAAUAAAUUAUAAAAAGAUCCAAUAAAAAAAAAAAUUAUUCCUUUAUUCAGGCAUAUUAAAAAAAGACAAUAUUCUAAAAAUAGGUAAUAGAAAAAAUAUCACAAUUAAAAGGUUUAUUUCUUUUAGUUAUAUUAAAAAAAGAAACAAGGUUAUUUCAAAGAUAGAAAAAAAAAAAUACAUUAGAAAUAUUAUCAGUUUUUUAGUUUUAUUUUCAUAUUCAUCUUGGGGUUUUGUGAAUAAUUAUUAAACUGUUAAUUAUUUAUUUGGUGGUAUUAUAAUCUGAGAUGGUGAGAUUAGGGGAGUAAAGCACAGGUCACUUCUGAUGAAAUAUAUCUUUUCUCUUCCAACUAAGGCCCAAAUAAAUAAUGGGCUUGGGGCAAAGCCCUAAUACUCAACUGAAUGGACUGGGCUUGGUUAUCUAAGAAUUUGUUGCUAGUGCCAUCAUCUUUAUUUGUGGGUAUCUAAGAAUUUCAUUUAACCAUGAAGAUAUUUCUUUACAACAAGGGAUUGGAAGAGUUUUUUAAAAGCAAGCCUCUGGUAGUUUUUUCUAAAAUUAUAUACCUUCCAACUAGUUUUGUAUUGUGCUAUUUUUAAUUCCACUUUCAAUAUAAUGCUUCUUAUCAAUUUUUUUUUUCAAAAAAAAAAAAAAAAUUAUGGUAGGAAUCGUUUAACAUUGAAUACAUAUUCAACAAAACUUCAAUUAGGUGAAUAUGAAAAAUUAUAAAUUGAAUGGGGCCUAGAUAUUGUCGAACCCUUGUGAAAAUACAAUAGGAAGGUAAUACUAUUGUAAUCCUCUCCUUUUUAUAGGUCGGAUCAUACUCAUACAAACAUAAAUUAAAUUUGGAUUGGACUUUCCAAAAUAUAAUUUUUCAUCAUUANNNNNNNNNNNNNNNNNNNNNNNNNNNNNNNNNNNNNNNNNNNNNNNNNNNNNNNNNNNNNNNNNNNNNNNNNNNNNNNNNNNNNNNNNNNNNNNNNNNNUAAUCAUUAAUAAAGUGGAAAGAAAUUUUAUUUUUUUAAAAUAUCAAGAUGAGAAAGAGAAAAUUAAAGUCAUGGAAUUACUUUUAGAGCUAAUCCAAUUGAUGGAAAUUUGAGAAAACCUCCUAACAGGCAAAGUAAUCAACCCUAAACAUAAAAAUAAAGCAUUAAGGGCAUGAGGACUUAAACUUCACUCAGGCUACUAUCUAGAUUUUUGUCCCUUGUGAUGUGAUCACCAAGACAAAUUGCUUCCAAGUCUUCUACUCUAAGUCAUCCACUGGCCCACAUCUUUUAUGGAUAAGGCUAGACUUUUACACUUACAAGUCAUGUGCAUACACUUCUAUAUAUAUAUAUAUAUAUAUAUUUCACUUUUCCUUCAAAUAAUCUUUAACAAAACUUUUAUCAUAUUUAUUUUUUCAAGUAUUCUAUCAUGCCCAUUUAUAGUAUACAGUUGAGACAAUGAUUGAAUCACUAUUUUUAAUUAUUUCCUACGAAAUGUUACCUGAAACCCAUCUAAAGUAUUGAAAUUUGUUGGGUGUGGAUCAAUAGUGGGUUGACAUGUGUUUGAUUUUUUAAAUUUUGUAUUUAUUUUUACUAUCUUUAUUGGAUUAGAUAGCUCUUAAGGAUUUUGAAACAUAAGAUGUUGAUUGAAUGAUAAGAAAGUAAUUUUUUUCUUCCACGACUCUGUAUCCCAUAUUUAAUAAAUAUUUGUGUGGUCUAGAUCUAACAAAAUAAUUGAAGUUCCGUGUUAUAAAAGGAAUAAAUAAAUAAAAAGACAAGGACUUGUUGAUAUUCUCGAGGUCUUGAUGUUUGAUUGAUGCAGACUGGAAAGAGAGAAAUAGAAGAACCUUCAAGAUUGUCGAUAAAUUAAAGCUCUUGGUGAAAAAUAUAAUUCUUUACUCGUUGCCACCAUCAAAUAUGCUUAUGAUGUGAUUGGUUUUUAUUUUGUAAAAAAUUACGAUACAUGGCAUUGAAUAAUACUAUGCACAAAAUAUUUUUCUAGCACAAAUACGUAUUUUUGUAUGCAUAAGAUACUAUUUAAGUAUAAUAUAAUUAUUAUUAUUAUUUAAAUAAUUUGCCUAAAUAUAAUAUAUCAUUUGUAGAUAAAGAAUUGAAAUAUCAAGAAAAAGUGAUCCUAAUUUAGGGUUAUAUAAAUUACUCUUUCAUUAAAUGUCUUGAUAAAGAUUGAAUAUUGUUAGGAUUAGGACACCCAACAAAUAUUGGUUCAUACAAGCCCCAAAUCAAUGCCAUUAGUUGGCCUUUGAAAGAUCCAAACAACACUUAUAAUUUUUUAAUUAUAUUUUUAUUUAUCUAUAGGUCAAAUACUUGCUACACAAGUGAUUUCAAAUAUAAUAUUAGUAUGGAAUGGUUUAUAUUAGAAAGUUUACAAUAAAUUUAUUUAAGAAAAUAUAUCUAAAGAAAAAUUAUAAAUAUACAUGAUAAAUGUUAAGAUUCCUACAUCGAUACAAGUACAAAACAAACAAUUCAACAACAAAACUUUCUCCCUUUGAAAGUGAAGAUUAUUUUUACUUGGAAACAACAUUUAUAUACAAUGAAGUUUUUCAACCUUAAGUUUUUGUCUCUCAAUCUAAUCCACUAGACACGUUUGUGCUUUAAAAGUUAGAACUACUUUAUAGGGAAGACCAAGACUUCUAGCUAUUGAUAUAGAGUUUUCUUUAAAAGAUAAUACUAAGACUACAUAAUUCUUACUUGUAGAUUUGUACACAAAUCAAUCACAUGAAAAGGUAGAAUCCACAUUGUUAACCAAACUUUCAUAAACUUUAUAUGAAAAUAAUUAUUUUGAAAAUAAUUUUGGAUACAUAAAACAAAAUAAUUUAUAAGUGCUAAAAUAAUAAUUAUAUUCUUGCAUUAAUCCAUGAAGUGAGAUUGAGUCACCUUGUAAAUUGUAUUGUAAAGGUCUUCAACUCACUACUGUCAUAUAGUGGAUGGGUCAUUUGUGUGGUGUAUGUUGUUAAAAAUAAACAAUAAGAAAAAAAAAGAUAUAAGAAUGAGAGUGUGGCUUGAGACCUCAAUUUAUAAUAAGUUGUACAUCUCUUAGUCUUCCCAUUAAAGACUAUGUGGGAGUUAUACUCAUUAUUUACACUUAUUAUGUAUAAAUUAAUGGGUAAUGGUGGGUUAUGAACUUGAAUACAUCUAUAUAAUUGCAUAGGUUAUACAUUUUCAUUUUCCUCCAUUACUCAUAAACAUAAUGUACAAAUAAAUUUCAUAAUGAUGGGGUUACAAAAGUUGUAACACCACAUUCAUAUGAGUUAAAUUUUAUAACUUUCCAUUUGUAAUUUGAGUCUUCCAUACAUAAGACUUUUGGAUGCCCAAUCAAUUGAUUCACCUACCUAUCAAUUGAUACCCUUAAAUAAUAUUCAUAUAAAUAUAAUUAUAUAUGACCACACAUUAUAGGAAAAAAGCUAACACACACAACUUUGUGGAUGGAAAUCAAGAUUUUCGGCUCCUUUCUUUUUCUUUCUUUUUAGUGUCUAAGGUUUAAGUUUGUGUUUUAGAUACAUAACUUAAAACACAAAAUAAAUGACCAACCAAACUAUGAUUAUCUAGAUAGUAUUUUAAAAAAUAUAUAAAUUUAUAAUUUAAUCAAUUUGAUCUCAAUUAUGUAUAGGCACUUUGAAUCACAUUCAUCUUUGUCAUCCAGAUAAAAAAAAAAAAAAAAUUCAAAUCCAUAAUUAUGCAUCCUAAUCUCUUUUUAAACAUGAGGGAUUUAUAACCCCCACUACUUGAUGGACCCUUUCCUAAAGGUGAUUCAAUGCCACUUUGUUUGAUCUUCACAAUCUUUAUCACAUUCUUUGAUCUUUUGCAUUCUUUGAAUAAUUCAAUAUUAUUGAGGGGUCAUUCUCAUUAAAUGAGAAUAUUGAAAAAUCUAACCCUUUUGGAAGGGUAUGAAGAAGGUUUCAUAUCAGGGGACCCAUGUCUUACUUUUCCACCCAAAGCAUCGUAAUGCAUUCUAACUUUUUUUUGGCAGGAAAAGUAUUUGUAAUGUCAAUCUCUAACCGUGGCCAUAAAAGGGUGAGAUUUAGAGCCACACAAGUCAUAUCAUAUUCUGCAGAUUGUAGCCUCACAAGUCAAGUCCACAGGAUAUAUAUCAUCUAUAUAUUCUGCAGAUUCUGUCAUAUUUUUUUCUUUCGUGGACAGCCCAGUCACCAAUGAGUAUCACACUUUCAUAUCAUAUUUCUUUUUAAGAAUCCAAACAUUUUAAAACGGGUUAUGGGUGAUCCAGCAAAAAUUUACUAUGGUGGCAUUUUUUUUUUUUUUUUUUAAUUUGAAGUUUGAAAUCUAAAUAGAAAAUGAUGGAAAACUGUUAUUUAGACUUGAAAUUUCAUUAAAAAAAAUUAUUUGAACAAAAUAUCUAAAAAAAAAUUAACUUAAAAAGGAAAUGGUUUUGUCAUUAACUUUAAUAAUAUUUAAUUUUAUAUAACUAAUGGUAAUUGGAUCAUGGAUCCCACCAAUCAAAUAAUUUUUUGGAUUCAUUCAUUGUGCUAUUUGAUUAUAAAAAUCAAAUAUUUAAUUUUUUUUAUAUAUAUACUUUUUAUUGUAAUUUUGUAUUACUUUUACAAGGUUGAGUUUUUUUUUUUAGAAACUUUUCAAAAAAUACAAGAGAAAAAAAUAAAAAGAAAAAUAAAAUAUAAAAAAAGUAUAUAAAAGUAAAAAAAAAAAAGAUUUAAAACUAAUAAAUUAUUUUUAAUUGAUUUCUCAAACUCAUUUUAUGUAUUUUCUUUAUUUAUAUAAAAUUAAAUAAUUUAAAAAUAUACAAUUAUUUUAAUUAUUUUGAUUUGAUUUUUCUAUUAUAAAUCAAAUACAUAAAAUAAUUUUUCUUAGUUUCUAUAUAUCUUCCAUGUGUUUGUUCUUUUUUAGAAAUAUCCCAUAAAAUAUGGACCUUUUCUAAUCAACCAAACACCCAGGAGGAACAAAAAGGAAAAGAAUGAGAGAGAGAGAACUUAGAGAAAAAUAAAAUGAAAAAACCGCUAAAGAUAGUAUACAUUUUAUAUAAAGUUGGAAUAUAAAUCAAUGGAGCCACACCCCUUCAACAACCCUAAUCAUGUUGUAUCCAUAAUAAUAAUUCACAUUUUUUUAUUUUUUUUUCAUAUCAGUACACAUUUGACCUGAUCAUGAGCAAUAAUAAAUGUCCACAUUUUAAUAGAUUUGAAAUCUUCACCCAUUAAUUUAAGUUCUUCAUCUAAUGAAUAAUAAAUGUCCAUAUUUUUCUACGAGGCCACAUAGGACUUUGAAUAGUUUAAAGUGAACAUGUUACCUCAUUAAUUUGGAGACUUUACAUACUCUAUAAUACUAUAAAAUGUUGGAUAGAUCACUAACCUCAUUUAAAUAAUAAAAUCUUCUAAUUCUUUUUUUUUUUUUUGUUCUGAUUUUUACAUGAUUGUGCUUUAUUUUAUAAAUUAAUUAAUAAUUAUAUUUAUUUAUCUUGGCUUCCCGUACAUAUUUUACGAAAAUAUUAUCCAUGUAUGUAAUACACAAGAUGAAUGCACCCUUACAACUAAAUUCAUCUUUUAAAUUUGAAAAAAAAAAAACUAAAAAUUAAUAUUUUUUUAAUUAACAUUUAAGUAAUAAAAAUAACAUAACCAAUUUAAUUUUUGGUUUUUCAUUUUUAAAAUAUUACUCUUAUAUUUCAUAACUUUUCAUCCUUAAUGUGCUACAAAUCUUUUUACCACUAUAAGGGUUAUGACAUGAAAAUUAUGUGUAUGGAAUAAAUAAGAAAAAGAAAAUUAAAUUGUCUUAUUAUUUUGCAAUGUAGUUUCGAUUCCCAAACUUUCCUCAAAUCUCUUUGGUUAUAUUUGAUUAUUGGAAAAUGACAAUAAAAAAUAUAAAAAAAAAUAUUAUUCUCUAAUGUUUGGUUUUCAUAUUGAAGAUAUCGGAUAUAAUUAAAAUUAGUUAAAAUUUUUGGUAUUUUUAAAUUAUUUAUUUUUUAUGUUGAAAAGUUAAAAUAAAUAAAAUGAGUUUAAAGAACCUACAAAAUAAUUUAUUAAAUUAAAAACUAUCUUUAAUUUUUAUUCAUUUUUUUCUUCACAUUUUCUAUUAAACUUACGGAGAACCAAACACAUCCUUAGUAUUUUCCUUCUUUUUUUGUUAAUGUUGUUUUCCCUUGUCUUUUUCCAUAGUAUUUAAAAAUAAUAAAUUUGUUCCCCUUUCUUUUACAUGUAAAAAUAUUUACAUAAUCACAUAGAUUAAUCAUACAUGAUUAAAGGAUACUAACAAUAGGAAAUCACUAUAAAGAACAUACCUGUUUGAGCCAUGAUAAAAAAAACGUGAUUGAUUGUUGUAACCAAGUCUUCCUCUCUAUGAUCUUGAUAAUAGCUAUGGUGGCUCUAUGGGAAAACAAAUAAACCCUUUUUAUCUAGAUUAGAGAGGGGACUUAGCAUAACUCAAAUUGGAUUCUCAUUGGGCCCUCCCAUAAUGGGCUUCAAUGAGACCCAUAGCCUACACUUGCCACUCAACUGAGCUUCUACUCAAAAGAUGCAAAACCCAAUCCAAAAUGUGAUCACUAGUUAAUUGGGCACAUUAUAGAAUAUACUAUCCAUUAACCCGUUUUUGCAAAUACAAAUUAUUCAAUUAAUGUUAGCCCAUAUAAAAAAUUUCCAACAUUCUCCCACUUGGGCUACAUUAAUUGUUUUUGAGGAUUCAUUAAAUUCAUUUUGAAAAUAAGACUCUCGGGUUAAGUACAAAAAAGUUUAUUUUGUGUGGCCACACCUUUUUUUUUUUUGAAAGAAAUGAUAGUCUAUAAGUAGCAUCUUGUUAAACUUUUCUGGUCCAACAUAGUCUUAAUAUUAGACUAUAAUGGUCUAUAUGUUAAUCUCAACAAACAUAAUGCCCCUUAUAGUCACGAAUAUUUAUAACCAUAUCGACAUGGAUCGUAAACUCAGUAGUGUAGUAAGAAAUCAAUGCCAACAUGUGAUCAUCAUCUAUAUGCAUUGUUUCUUAUCAGUCCUCAUUACAAUUUACCAACAAAAUGAAAUUGUAAUUACAAUUUCUCAACAAAAUGAAAUUGUUGCAAUUUCUAAACAAUAUGAAAUUGCUUGACUUUAACAAGUCAUAUGUCACCAACAAUGCACCACAAAAUCUCAAAAUAGUGGUAUUUGUGACAUCCAAUAGUAUACAACUGUAAUUCUUAAGGUUCAAUAUCUCAAGAUACCAUGUUGUACGUAAUUCAAUUACGACAUGCUAUAAUAUAAUACUUAAUUAUGAUGAUCAUAAUAAAAAGAUUUUAAUUUUGCAAGUUGCAGAACAAUAAUGAUCAAUGUUUGCAUAAAACAAUAAUUGAAAUAAGGGAAAUCACAAAAGCUCCCACUAAACCAAAGAAUCAAAAGACUUAAUGACACCCAUAUUCACAACAUGUUCCUUGAACGUUAUGGGCUUUAAACCUUUGAUUAGAGGAUCAGCUAGCAUGGACUCAGUUCUUAUGUGCUCAAUCACAAUAUCUCCUUUCUUCACUAAGUCCUUGACUGUAAGGUACUUGAUUUCCAUAUGCUUAGAACCCGUACUAAUCUUAUUGUUCUUAGAGUAGAACACAACUGCAUUAUUGUCACAAUAAAUCACAAUAUCCAUCAUUCCUAAAACAAACUCUAUGUCUAAUCUCCAUCUCUUAUAGUUCGACCCACUUAGAAUUUCAAUUGUAGCAUUAUUGUUGUUCACAGCAAAGGAAACUGAUUGACAAAAUUUUGCAACUAGAUCAAUUAUGGGCAAUAGGUAAAAAAAACUUAAAUAAUCAUAAGCAAUACAAUACAAGAAUCAAUUGUACUAUCAUAAACUCCCCUUUGGGCAGAGUCCACAAUAAACAACUAUUCUCUAAGCAUGAAGAUCAACAAAUAAUUCAUUAAAAUUUAUUUCCUUUGGGCAAAUAAAUUUAUCAAAUUAUUUAUCUCAUUAAAUAUCCUCAUGUUGUUAAAUUAAUUUGCACAAUAACCCCCUUUGGGCAGGCGAUUGUACAAAUUAAUCUAAAAUUUUCCCCAUCAACAAAAUAGGAACUCAUAAACUUGCAAAUUUUGAUGGUUAAAUCACUUUGGUAAAAUAACCUCAACAAUUCACAGGCAACGUUCCAAAAUUGGGUAAAUUAAAAAAAAUUGCCCAACAACAAUAGUGCAUAUUUGCGAUAUAUAUGCAUAUGAUCAAUUAUAGUUGCAAGAAUUUGAACAACAAUUUUUAUUUAUUUAUUACACUUUAAAUUAAUUAUUAACUAGUUUAUGUGAUUUAGAACAAGUAGGAGAGUAUGCAUGAAAAAGUUUCAAUCUAGAGAGAGUGAGUACUACACUCCUAUUCCAUAUAUAUUAGCAUAAUUUCUGGUAAAUUCUCAACAGAAAAUUAUACCAAAAAAUAAUUUUAAGCUAAUUAAAUCACAUAAAUAAGUAAUAAUUAUUUAAUAAAUAUUUUUGACCCCCCAAAAAUAAAAUAAUAUAUCUAGAAAAAUAUAUUACAAAAAAACGAGCGCACAGGAAAAAACGGAGCUCAAAAUGGACACUGGAUGAGGUUAUACGCACCUCACACACUUGACCUGCGAGUGGGGAACGUGUGGCACAUGUGGCAUGUGUGGCAUGUGCUGGAGGUCAUCUUCAACCUCCAGCAUUGGGUCCAAAAUUCUGCAAUACGGGUCAAAUGAGCCGGUUGCAACCUGGAUUGCAAACAAUUGAAAAAAAUGUUUCUUUUGAUCGGGAUCUUGAGGGCUUUUAAACUUUAGGUUGUUUCUAACAAUUUUAGGACAUUUAAUCAUAAAAAAAAAACAACUUAAAGAUCUCCAUAAUUGAUUAACAAAAUUCGGUUUUUCUUACCUCCAUAGCUAAGAUUCAAAAACUCUAUUUUAACACCUAUUUCGGUCUCAUUUUACAUGUAUUUUUACAUUAACAAUAUAAGAAGUCUCUUUACAACAAUUAAUUAAACAAAAAAAAAAAAAAUUCUCAAUCUUGCUCAAUUUUUUUUUUUUUUUUAAAAAAAACGAAUUUUCUAGGGUUCAUACCCAUAUUUUCAAAUUUUCAAUUUUCACCAAAUUGAGCCAAAAAACCGAAAUUAAUGCUACAUAUCAACUAUAAUAUAUGUAAACAACAAAAUCUAAGAGUUUAAUUUGAGUAUAACACAAUAAUUUGAUCAAAUAAAAUUUUUCUUGAAUCUUUAAACAAGAAAAUUCCGAAAAUUUAAAAAUUUAGUUACUCCCAAUUUAAACAACGAAAUUGCACAUAUGAUAUAUCAAUUUGAAGUUUGUGACAAGAGGAACAAAAACCCUAAAGUUUCACAAUCAAAAGAAACUAAAAAAAAAACAUGCACAUUCAUGGAUCACAUAUUUGGCUUCGAAAAGAAAAUAAAAUAAGAAACUAAAAAUUUUAUUUUCGAUUUCCAAAUGUAGAUCCUAAAUCAUGUAAAUCAGACUCUGAUACCACAUGUAAAAUAUUUACAUAAUCACAUAGAUUAAUCAUACAUGAUUAAAGGAUACUAACAAUAGGAAAUCACUAUAAAGAACAUACCUGUUUGAGCAAUGAUAAAAAAAUGUGAUUGAUUGUUGUAGCCAAGUCUUCCUCUCUAUGAUCUUGAUAACAGCUAUGGUGGCUCUAUGGAAAAACAGAUAAACCCUUUUAUCUAGAUUAGAGAGGGGACUUAGCAUAACUCAAAUUGGAUUCUCAUUGGGUCCUCCCAUAAUGGGCUUCAAUGAGACCCAUAGCCUACACUUGCCACUCAACUGAGCUUCUACUCAAAAGAUGCAAAACCCAAUCCAAAAUGUGAUCACUAGUUAAUUGGGCUCAUUAUAGAAUAGACUAUCCAUUAACCCGUUUUUGCAAAUACAAAUUAUUCAAUUAAUGUUAGCCCAUAUAAAAAUUUUCCAACAUUACCAUGUAAAAUAUUUACAUAAUCACAUAGAUUAAUCAUACAUGAUUAAAGGAUACUAACAAUAGGAAAUCACUAUAAAGAAAAUACCUAUUUGAGUCAUGAUAAAAAAAACGUGAUUGAUUGUUGUAGCCAAGUCUUCCUCUCUAUGAUCUUGAUAAUAGCUAUGGUGGCUCAAUGGGAAAACAGAUAAACCCUUUUUAUCUAGAUUAGAGAGGGGACUUAGCAUAACUCAAAUUGGAUUCUCAUUGGGCCCUCCCAUAAUGGGCUUCAAUGAGACCCAUAGCCUACACUUGCCAUUCAACUGAGCUUCUACUCAAAAGAUGCAAAACCCAAUCUAAAAUGUGAUCACUAAUUAAUUGGGCUCAUUAUAGAAUAGACUAUCCAUUAACCCGUUUUUGCAAAUACAAAUUAUUCAAUUAAUGUUAGCCCAUAUAAAAAUUUUCCAACAUUCUCCCACUUGGGCUACAUUAAUUGUUUUUGAGGAUUCAUUAAAUUCAUUUUGAAAAUAAGACUCUCGGGUUAAAUAUAGAAAAGUUUAUUUUGUGUGGCCACACCUUUUUGUUUUUUUUGAAAGAAAUGAUAGUCUAUAAAUAGCAUCUUGUUAAACUUAUCCGGUCCAACAUGUUCUUAAUAUUGGACUAUAAUGGUCUAUAUGUUAAUCUCAACAAACAUAAUGCCCCUUAUAGUCACGAAUAUUUAUAACCAUAUCGACAUGGAUCGCAAACCCAGUAGUGUAGUAAGAAAUCAAUGCCAACAUGUGAUCAUCAUCUAUAUGCAUUGUUUCUUAUCAGUCCUCAUUACAAUUUACCAGCAAAAUGAAAUUGUAAUUGCAAUUUCUCAACAAAAUGAAAUUGCUGCAAUUUCUAAACAAUAUGAAAUUGCUUGACUUUAACAAGUCAUAUGUCACCAACAAUGCACCACAAAAUCUCAAAAUAGUGGUAUUUGUGACAUCCAAUAGUAUACAACUGUAAUUCUUAAGGUUCAAUAUCUCAAGAUACCAUAUUGUAUGUAAUUCAAUUACGACAUACUAUAAUAUAAUACAUAAUUAUGAUGAUCAUAAUAAAAAGAUUUUAAUUUUGCAAGUUGCAGAACAAUAAUGAUCAAUGUUUGCAUAAAACAAUAAUUGAAAUAAGGGAAAUCACAAAAGCUCCCACUAAACCAAAGAAUCAAAAGACUUAAUGACACCCAUAUUCACAACAUGUUCCUUGAACGUUAUGGGCUUUAAACCUUUGGUUAGAGGAUCAGCUAGCAUGGACUCAGUUCUUAUGUGCUCAAUCACAAUAUCUCCUUUCUUCACUAAGUCCUUGACUGUAAGGUACUUGAUUUCCAUAUGCUUAGAACCCGUACUAAUCUUAUUGUUCUUAGAGUAGAACACAACUGCAUUAUUGUCACAAUAAAUCACAAUAUCCAUCAUUCCUAAAACAAACUCUAUGUCUGAUCUCCAUCUCUUAUAGUUCGACCCACUUAGAAUUUCAAUUGUAGCAUUAUUGUUCACAACAAAGGAAACUGAUUGACAAAAUUUUUCAACUAGAUCAAUUAUGGGCAAUAGGUAAAAAAAACUUAAAUAAGCAUAAGCAAUACAAUACAAGAAUCAAUUGUACUAUCAUAAACUCCCCUUUGGGCAAAGUCCACAAUAAACAACUAUUCUUUAAGCAUGAAGAUCAACAAAUAAUUCAUUAAAAUUUAUUUCCUUUGGGCAAAUAAAUUUAUCAAAUUAUUUAUCUCAUUCAAUAUCCUCAUGUUGUUAAAUUAAUUUGCACAAUAACCCCCUUUGGGCAGGCGAUUGUACAAAUUAAUCUAAAAUUUUCCCCAUCAACAAAAUAGAAACUCAUAAACUUGCAAAUUUUGAUGGUUAAAUCACUUUGGUAAAAUAACCUCAACAAUUCACAUGCAACGUUCCAAAAUUGGGUAAAUUAAAAAAAAAAAUUGCCCAACAACAAUAGUGCAUAUUAGCGAUAUAUAUGCAUAUGAUCAAUUAUAGUUGCAAGAAUUUGAACAACAAUUAUUUAUUUAUUUAUUACACUUUAAAUUAAUUAUUUAACUAGUUUAUGUGAUUUAGACCAAGUAGGAGAGUAUGCAUGAAAAAGUUUCAAUCUAGAGAGAGUGAGUACUACACUCCUAUUCCAUAUAUAUUAACAUAAUUUCUGGUAAAUUCUCAAUAGAAAAUUAUACCAAAAAAAUAAUUUUAAGCUAAUCAAAUGACAUAAAUAAGUAAUAAUUAUUUAAUAAAUAUUUUAGACCCCCCAAAAAUAAAAUAAUAUAUCUAGAAAAAUAGAUUACAAAAAAACGAGCGCACAAGAAAAAACGGAGCUCAAAACGAACACCAGAUGAGGUUAUACGCACCUUACACACUUGACUCGCGAGUGGGGAACGUGUGACACAUGUGGCACGUGUGGCAUGUGUUGGAGGUCAUCUUCAACCUCCAGCAUUGGGUCCAAAAUUCUGAAAUACGGGUCAAAUGACCCGGUUGCAACUCGGAUUACAAACAAUUGAAAAAAAUGUUUUUUUUUUAUCGGGAUCUUGAGGGCUUUUAAACUUUAGGUUGUUUCUAACAAUUCUAGGACAUUUAAUCAUAAAAAAAAACAACUUAAAGAUCUCCAUAAUUGAUUAACAAAAUUUGGUUUUUCAUAUCUCCAUAGCCAAGAUUGAAAAACUCUAUUUUAACACCUAUUUCAGCCUCAUUUUACAUGUAUUUUUACAUUAACAAUAUAAGAAGUCUCUUUACAACAAUUAAUUAAAAAAAAAAAAAAUUCUCAAUCUUGCUCAAUUUUUUUUUUUAAAAAAUAAAAUAAAAUGAAUUUUCUAGGGUUCAUACCCAUAUUUUCAAAUUUUCAAUUUUCACCAAAUUGAGUCAAAAAACCGAAAUUGAUGCUACAUAUCAACUAUAAUAUAUGUAAACAACAAAAUCUAAGAGUUUAAUUUGAGUAAAACACAAUAAUUUGAUCAAAUAAAAUUUUUCUUGAAUCUUUAAACAAGAAAAUUCCGAAAAUUUAAAAAUUUAAUUACUCCCAAUUUAAACAACGAAAUUGCACAUAUGAUAUAUCAAUCUGAAGCUUGUGACAAGAGGAACAAAAACCCUAAAGUUUCACAAUCAAAAGAAACUAAAAAAAAUAGGCACAUUCAUGGAUCACAGAUUUGGCUUUGAAAAGAAAAUAAAACGAGAAACUAAAAAUUUUAUUUUUGAUUUCCAAAUGUAGAUCCUAAAUCAUGUAAAUCAGACUUUGAUACCACAUGUAAAAAUAUUUACAUAAUCACAUAGAUUACUCAUACAUGAUUAAAGAAUACUAACAAUAGGAAAUCACUAUAAAGAACAUACCUGUUUGAGCAAUGAUAAAAAAACGUGAUUGAUUGUUGUAGCCAAGUCUUCCUCUCUAUGAUCUUGAUAAUAGCUAUGGUGGCUCAAUGGGAAAACAGAUAAACCCUUUUUAUCUAGAUUAGAGAGGGGACUUAGCAUAACUCAAAUUGGAUUCUCAUUGGGCCCUCCCAUAAUGGGCUUCAAUGAGACUCAUAGCCUACACUGGCCACUCAACUGAGCUUCUACUCAAAAGAUGCAAAACCCAAUCUAAAAUGUGAUCACUAAUUAAUUGGGCUCAUUAUAGAAUAGACUAUCCAUUAACCCGUUUUUGCAAAUACAAAUUAUUCAAUUAAUGUUAGCCCAUAUAAAAAUUUAUGUUUGGUUUUUGGAAAAUUUGAGGGAAAAAAAAUAAAGAGAAAAAAUAAAAUAAAAGAAAAAAUAAAUAAAAAUAAAUAAAUUUAAAAUUAAUAAAUUAUUUUUAUAUGUUUCUUCAAAUUUAUUUCACUUAAUUUCUUUCAAAAUAAUUUUAAAAUGCAUAAGUUUUUAAUUAUAUAUAUAUAUAUUUUUUAAAUUUAUAGUGAAACCAAAGAGAAAACCUUUAUUUAUUUAUUUUCCCUAAGAACCAAACCUAACCUUUGCAUUUUUCCAAAUUUCGGAUCCAAAAGUAACUGAAUGUUACGAAAAAAAAAAAGGAGAAUUGUGUUUUGGGCCCAGAUGGGCCCAAAAAUUAAUAUUUGGUCCAUAUAACUUCCAUAAUUGAUGGAAAUGAUAUAAAAUGUUAAAAGACCAAUAUAUUUUUCAAAUUUCUAUAUAUUAUCUUUUAAGGAUAUAAAAUAGUGAUGGACUAAAAUACCCAAUGACUUUUCACAUAAGCUUUUUUUGUCUUUAUUGUGUCACUAUUCAUGCAACCAUAAUAAUUCUAUUUUAACAAUUUGGAUUUUUCAUUGUUUUUAAUUUUUUUUAUAAAUAAUUGAAAAUCAGCAUUAUUUUCUAUUUUAAAUUAUAAAUAAAGAAAAAUUAUGUUUAAAAACUAUUUUAAAAAAUACUUUCUAAAAAAAUGGUAAUACGAUUUAUAUUUUUUAUAUUUUCUUUUUGAAAAAACAUUUAAUUAAAAAAUGAAAACUAUUUUUAAAAAUAAAAAUUGAAAACCUUGUUUAACACUAUUUUUUAUAUGAAAAUAAUAAAAAGAAUUAAAUUUCAUUAAUUGAUUAUCCAAUUUUUUUUCCAUUAGUUAUUUUAAUAAUAAUAAAAAAUAUAGUAUGUUUACAAUUAAACAAAGAAAUUGAUCAAUUAUGGGUUUUUUGUGGAACUAUCUUUUACAUGAAAAAUAAUUAAAUAAUUAAAUUAUAUAUAUUUAUUACUCUUUUUAACUUUAUUUUCUUUAUUUAUUUUUUGUCUAAUAGAAAAUUUUAAUAUAUCCAUAAUUAACAAAGUAAUAAAUCAAUUUUGCACAUUUUAAUCUAUUAAAAUAAAUUACUUUCUAAUUUAAAUAAAUAAAAUGAAAUAAGUAAAUAAAUUUGAGGUUAUUUCUAUUUUUUAACAUAUCUUAUAUCAAUAUUUUUUAUGGUUAAAUAAAUUUUUUAUUUUUUAUUUCUUUAAUUCCAAAAAUAAAAUGAAAUAAAUAAAUAAAUUUGGUAUUUUCCAACUGAUCUUAUAUUCAUAUUUCUUAUGGUUAAAUAAAAUUUUUUAUUCUUUUUUCUUUAUUUCCAAAAAUAAAAGGAAAUAAAUAAAUAAACUUGGCUUAAAUAAUAGUUUUUAAGUAAUUUCUUUGUCUUAUUUUUAAUUACAUUUUGCAUUGAAAGUAAAAUAAAAUAACGUUUUAUUUGAGUCACUGUACAAGAUAUUUAUAUUAAGUGUACAUGACAAAUAUACUAACUGUACAAGGAUGUACAAGACUAUUAUUUGUGAAGGAUUUUAAGUGAUACUGAAAAAGUUGUUUGUUUAUUUCCCCUAACCGAGGAUAAAUGACAUUCUUUACACACAUUGGUUAAGCAUACAUUCAUCUCAUGCACUUUAUCUAACUUGUAUAUAGUCAUUUGAAUAGGUACCUCACUUAUGAUGAUUGUAAAAUAAAAUUAUACAACAAUUUUUCUUCUUUUUUAAAAUCAAACCAAUGCAACACAUGAUUAACCGAGCUAUUAUUAGAUAUUCAUGAGAUGAUGUAUGAAAUUUGAGUUAUUGUAUAAGGGUAUUACACUAACUGUACAAGAGAAAUUUACUAAUUGUAUAAGGGUGUACAAGACUACUUUUUGUUAAGGAUUUCAAGUGAUUUUGAAAAACUUUCCCAUUUUUUUCCACUCAAAGAUUUUUUCCCCACUCAAAUUCUCUCACUCAAGAAUUGUUUCGAAUUUUAUUUUUAAAUUUCAUCAUCAAAUUUUUGUAAUUGCAUAUUUUGUUUUUGUAGUUUUAGCAAUGUUUUUUCUUUCCACUAUUUUUUUAAAAAAUUUUUAUCCAAAUGAAUCUAUAUUUAAAAUUAUAAUCAUAUUUAUCAAUUUUUUUUUACUAAGAUUAUCUUUAAUUCUUCUAAUAUAUUUAUACUCAUUUAUUUAAAAAAUGAAAAACCAAUUUUUUUUUGUAAACAUAUUCUAUUACGGAAGUAAAAAAUUAGAUAAGUUUGAAAGUCAAUAAAAAAAAAAUUAAAUACCACUUUUAAUAAUUUUUAGAUAAAAUUUUAUAUAAUAUAUUUUAUUUGAAAUUUAAUUUCUAAAGUUUUACUAAAAAAUUGUAUUGACAAUUUUCUUGUUGUGAAUUAAAAUACUUUGCAUUAGUCUAUCUAAAUAAGAAAAAUUAUUAAUAUAAUAUUAGAACUUCAUAUCUUAAUUAUUUUUUUUCAAUAAAUUUAUCUUUUUAAAAAUUUUAAAAUAAAAAUAUUAAAAAUUAAAAAGGUAAAAGGAUAUAUCUAUAUAUAUAUAAUAAAUUGAAGUAAUAGUCAAGUUUAAAAUUUUUUAAAAUAUGGUUAAUGUAGAAAAUAUAAAAAAUAAUUAAAAAUAAGAGAAAAAUAUAAAUGAAAAGGUAAUAUAAAUUUAAAAUAAAAAAAUGAAAAAUUAAACUAAAAGAUAAAUAUAAAAAAAGAUAAAAAAUAUUUGGAUGAAAAAUCCCAAAAUUUUUAUCAUUGCUAAUAAGAGCAAAAAGAUUCAAUAUCUUUAAAAAUGAAAAACAAAAAAACAUUAUUACUUUUUAUUUGAUAUAAAAUAGAAAUAUAGAUUAGAAGAAAAAGAAAAAAAAAGUUAGAAAUGAGUAAUAUUUAAUAGGGAAUAGAAAAAGGAAAAAAAACACAAAAAAAUUAAAAUUCACACUCACUUGUGCUAUGUAAGGAUUAAGGGUAUUUUAGAGAUUAACUAAGGACAAUAUCCUUCAUCUUAAUUUUCAUAUUUUAUUUGAGUCUUAGGCUUAAAUAUGUAUGAUAUAUGUAUCAAAUGUUAAUUUUUGAGUUUAAUUGGAUAACACGAUUCUUCAAAAAAAAAUAAAAAUAAAAUGAAUGAAGUACAGGAGCAUAAAUGGUACAUCAAUUUUAUAUUGACUACCUUCUGAACCUUUAAUUGCAGCGUGUUGACUUGUCCACCGAAUCCAUAAUAUCAGCCAGUACCCAUGUGACUUGGCCCAUCCCAUCCCAUAUCUCUUACUUUGUUCCCUAUUCUCUCACAAUUCCCUCAGCUUCUCAUCUUGUACGUGCUGUAUUUUCUUGGCUUUCUGCAACUUUGAGUUGUUCCAAAAUGGCUUACCAAAUUCCAUUCGGUGUUGUGGAGCACAUUUUGACCAACUUGGGGUCCUCGGCGUUUCAAGAAAUUGGAUCCAUGUAUGGUGUUCCAAAGGAGAUAACCAAGCUCAAUGGGAAACUGGGCACCAUCAAGGCUGUGCUUUUGGAUGCUCAGGAGAAGCAGCAGCAGCAGAGCAAUCGUGCAGUCAAAGAUUGGGUCCGGAGGCUCAGGGGUGUUGUUUAUGACGCAGAUGACUUGCUGGAUGACUAUGCAACCCAUUAUCUUCAGCGAGGAGGAUUGGCAAGACAGGUCAGUGACUUCUUCUCAUCUGAAAAUCAAGUUGCUUUUCGUUUUAAGAUGAGUCAUAGACUCGAGGAUAUCAAAGAAAGGCUAGAUGAUGUUGCAAACGACAUCCCCAUGUUAAAUCUCAUUCCACGGGACAUAGUACUACACACAGGGGAAGAGAAUAGUUGGAGAGAAACCCACUCAUUCUCGUUGCCAUCUGAAAUUGUGGGAAGAGAAGAAAACAAAGAGGAGAUAAUAAGGAAGCUGUCAUCUAACAAUGAAGAAAUUCUUUCCGUUGUUGCCAUUGUUGGCUUUGGGGGAUUGGGUAAGACCACCCUCACUCAAUUGGUAUACAAUGAUGAAAGAGUAAAACAUUUCGAGCAUAAGACAUGGGUUUGCAUUUCUGAUGAUUCUGGUGAUGGUCUUGACGUCAAACUGUGGGUCAAAAAGAUUUUAAAAUCUAUGGGAGUUCAGGGUGUGGAGAGUAUGACCUUGGAUGGUUUGAAAGACAAGCUUCACGAAAAAAUAAGUCAAAAGAAGUACUUGUUAGUACUUGAUGAUGUUUGGAACGAAAAUCCUAGAAAAUGGUAUGAAGUGAAAAAAUUGUUGAUGGUUGGUGCUAAAGGUAGUAAAAUUAUAGUAACCACCCGAAAACUUAAUGUUGCAUCCAUUAUGGAAGAUAAGUCUCCCGUUAGUUUGAAAGGUCUAGGAGAAAAGGAGUCUUGGGAUUUAUUUUCAAAAUUUGCAUUUAGAGAACAGGAGAUUUUGAAGCCAGAAAUUGUAGAAAUUGGAGAAGAAAUUGCAAAAAUGUGCAAGGGAGUUCCUCUCGUUAUCAAGUCUUUAGCAAUGAUAUUGCAGUCUAAAAGAGAACUGGGGCAGUGGUUGUCUAUUAGAAACAAUAAAAAUUUGCUGUCACUUGGAGAUGAAAAUGAGAAUGUUCUAGGGGUGCUGAAAUUAAGUUAUGAUAAUUUGUCAACUCAUUUGAGACAAUGUUUUACAUAUUGUGCUUUAUUUCCAAAAGACUAUGAGAUUGAGAAAAAGUUGGUGGUACAACUAUGGAUAGCACAAGGUUAUAUUCAAUCUUCAAAUGAUAAUAAUGAGCAAUUAGAGGAUAUAGGGGAUCAAUAUUUUGAGGAAUUAUUGUCAAGGUCAUUGUUGGAGAAGGCGGGAAGCAAUCAUCUUACUAAUACAUUAAGGUAUAAAAUGCAUGACCUUAUACAUGAUCUUGCACAAUCAAUUAUAGGAUCUGAGGUCCUCAUUUUAAGAAAUGAUGUAAAAAACAUUUCAAAAGAAGUUCGUCAUGUAUCAUCGUUUGAAAAGGUGAAUCCUAUAAUAGAGGCUCUAAAGGAAAAACCUAUAAGGACCUUUUUAUACCAAUAUAGAUAUAAUUUUGAAUAUGAUAGUAAAGUUGUGAAUUCAUUUAUUUCAAGUUUUAUGUGUUUACGUGUGUUGAGCUUAAAUGGCUUCCUAUCAAAGAAGGUGCCAAACUGUUUAGGUAAAUUGAGUCAUUUAAGGUAUCUUGAUCUUUCCUACAAUACUUUUGAGGUACUUCCGAAUGCUAUUACAAGGUUAAAGAAUUUGCAAACACUGAAACUCAAAGUGUGUCCGAAUUUGAAAAAACUUCCAAAAAAUAUAAGGCAACUUAUCAAUCUUAGACACUUGGAGAAUGAGAGAUGGAGCGACUUGACUCAUAUGCCACGUGGAAUAGGAAAGUUGACUUUACUUCAAAGUCUACCAUUGUUUGUUGUUGGGAAUGAGACAGGGAGGUUAAGGAAUCACAAAAUUGGUAGCUUGAUUGAGUUGGAAAGCCUGAACCAUCUAAGAGGAGGGUUAUGCAUAAGUAAUCUUCAAAACGUGAGGGAUGUUGAACUGGUAUCCAGGGGAGAAAUUUUGAAAGGAAAACAAUAUCUUCAGUCCUUGAGAUUGGAAUGGAAUCGGUCGGGCCAAGAUGGGGGGGAUGAGGGUGAUAAGUCAGUGAUGGAAGGCCUUCAACCACACCCACAAUUAAAGGAUAUCUUUAUAGAAGGUUAUGGAGGUACGGAGUUUCCAAGUUGGAUGAUGAAUGAUAGGUUGGGUUCCCUGCUUCCCGACUUAAUUAAAAUUGAAAUUUCGGGAUGUUCAAGAUGCAAAAUUCUGCCACCCUUUUCUCAACUCCCUUCUCUCAAGUCUUUGAAGCUGGAUGAUAUGAAAGAAGUGGUGGAGAUAAAGGAGGGUUCAUUGGCAACGCCACUUUUCCCAUCUCUUGAAUCGCUCGAACUCUCUCACAUGCCAAAGUUGAAGGAAUUGUGGAGGAUGGACUUACUAGCAGAGGAAGGUCCUUCAUUUGCUCAUCUUUCAAAGUUGCAUAUUCAUAAAUGCUCUGGUUUGGCAUCACUGCAUUCUUCUCCUUCUCUUUCUCAAUUAGAGAUCAGAAAUUGCCAUAACUUGGCAUCCUUGGAACUGCCGCCGUCCCAUUGUCUUUCUAAAUUAAAGAUCGUAAAAUGCCCUAACUUGGCAUCCUUCAAUGUGGCUUCAUUACCUCGUCUUGAGGAAUUAAGCCUGCGUGGAGUCAGAGCAGAGGUACUGAGGCAGUUAAUGUUUGUCUCUGCUUCUUCUUCAUUGAAGUCUUUGCAUAUACGGAAGAUUGAUGGUAUGAUAUCUAUCCCAGAGGAGCCGCUUCAAUGUGUUUCCACUCUCGAAACUCUCUACAUUGUUGAGUGCUCUGGUUUGGCAACAUUACUACACUGGAUGGGCAGCCUUUCCUCGCUUACGAAACUUAUUAUUUAUUACUGCUCUGAAUUGACAUCACUGCCAGAAGAGAUCUAUUCCCUUAAAAAACUGCAGACAUUUUAUUUCUGUGAUUAUCCACACCUAGAGGAAAGAUACAAGAAGGAAACAGGCGAAGACCGGGCCAAGAUUGCUCAUAUCCCACAUGUUCGUUUCAACAGUGAUUCCUAUAUGGAAUUGGAGGUAGGUCCGAAAUCCCUAACCUUUCUUCCCAUUUUUAUUAAUUUAGAAUCAGAAUGCUAUAUUUUCAUUUUGUCUCUGGUAGUUCUUUUAUGUUGGCACCUCAUGUGUUUGUUUAAAUGCUCACAUCAAUAACUUUUCGAAAUUUUUUUCCAGCUUGACUACAUUUUCUGAUGCUGUGCACUAAACUAAUCAUUUUACUUGGAGUUCUACGUUCUAAGAGUUUGAGGAAAUACUGAGGUCUGGUAUGAUAACUCUCAAUCUUAAACGUUGUUUUGUGUUUGGAAUAUUACUACACUUGAUAGAUACCCUCACCUCACUUACAGAGCUUGGAAUUCAUGGCUGCCCUGAAUUGACAUCACUGCCAGAAGAUAUGUUCCCUCAAAAACCUGCUGACACUUGACAAUCUGCAUCUGUUCACACUUAAGAGGAAAGAUGCCGAAAGGAAAGGUGAAGACUAACCCAAGCACAAAUUGAUAUCAUACAUCCAUGAAGAUUGAACUGAUAUAGAAUGCCUUUCAGGUCUGAAAUCCCUAACUUUUCUUCUCAUUUUCUGUUACUUCAUUUGUAUUAUCUUACAUUUAAAAUGCUCUGUUUUCAUUUGUUUUGGUGGUUCUUUGUAUUUGCACCUUGUUUGAUUAAAUGCUUACUUCAGUAAAUUAGAAUUUUACUUGAGUCUUUUACAUCCUAAGAGUUUGAGGAAAUACCGAGCUCUAAUAUAAAUAGUAUUGGUCACAAAGUCCACCUUUCCUAAGAAGCUUACCAUUGGCCUAAUGCCCAAAGGAAACAACUUUGGAUUGGCUUGAAGAUUUCACAUGGUCUAAACAUUUGUAUUUACUAGAUGCCUGAUACAAAAAGUAGUUUCAAUUUAGCUCUUUGAUAUAAAGAUUAAAUAAUUGGAAAAUGUAUAAAUUUUUAUAUUUUACUUCAAAUUCAUUUCACUUAUUUUAACUCUUUGAUAUAAAGAUUAAAUAAUGGGAAAAUGUAUAAAUUUCUAAUUAAUCUUAAUAAUAUUUUAUUUUCUUUGAUAUUUUUCAUAGAACAACCAAACAUGAGAAAAUAAUUUUCCCUAUCAUUUUUUUCUUAGUACUUUUUGGGAACCAAACAUAAACUAGAUGUUUUACUUUAGUAGCUUCAUCAAAUUAAAUAGACAACCUCACACCUCUUAUUGAGCUAAGGUGUUAUUUGAGUUAAUGUUUUGUCUUUACUUAUUCAUUGAAGCCUUUGUCUAUUGGAUGCACAGGUGAUAUGAUCCAAACUCAAAUUGAACACCGCUCUUGUUUUGUAACAUUACUACAUUGGAAAGGCAACUUCAGCUCACUUAUAGACCUUUCUAUUGGUGAUUGCACUAAAUUGACGUCACUUUGGAAAAGAUGUGUUCUAGAUGGAAAAUCUUUCAUUAUAUGCACCUACUUGCAAGAUACCAAAGGGAAAUAGGUGAAUACUUGCCCAAGAAUAUAGAGGGCCAUACUUGGUUAAGGUUUCGUCAAUACGGAGAACCAUGUCAGGUAUGAAAUCCUCCUUUCUCAUUUUCUGAUGACUUCAUUUUUAUUCAAUAACCAUUUGAUAUUAUUUCUGUUGAUUUUAUUUUGAUAUUAGAUUUUCUUGCUUGCUCAAUAAUUUCAUUGAAGUUCUUUGGAUAUCACAUUUUCUUUGAUGUUUUUCUUUUCUUUUUAGAAUAAUUCAAAAUAUCAUUUUUACCUGUUCACAAAAUUUGAUCACAGUUGAGUGAUUAAAAUUCAAGUUUAUUAUUAUUAUUAUUAUUAUUAUUAUUAUUAUUAUUAUUAUUAUUAUUAUUGUUAUUAGCUAUUGGACAUAUUCGUUUUCUAAUACAGACAUAAGACUGACAGGUAAUGUGCAUAGAAUUUGUAGAAGAGAAGAAAGAUUUGAUCCAAGAUAUUCCUAAAGACCAAAAACUUUCAAAGUCGUCUAAGAUCCCAUAGGUUGAAUUUGGAUUCAUCCAAUUUACAAUCCACUAAUUCUACUUAUGUCAUCUUUGUUAUGUUACAAUUUGCUUUUACUUGUUAUGCAGCCUACCUUAAUAAUUUGGGGAGACCAAGAUACGACGUUCCUAAUAGAACCAGCUUACAAAUUGAAAAGGUAAACUUGUAUCACUUGCCUACAUGCCUACAACAAUACAAACACUAGCUUAUGUCUUUCUCAAUAUUGAGAUUGUUACUGCAUGCAAGCAUUUUGGGUGAGGAGGCCCAACUUGUGAUCAUCAAUAACAUAGAGCAUACUUUUAUUAUAGAGAAGCCCAAGGAAAUAUUUAAGCACUUGAAAUCCUUUCUCAUUGAUUUGCUUCCACCUCCUAGGCAACACUUGGAACCACUCACACCAUGACAAGGUGAAAAGAAACUAAUGCAACAUUCUCAAUAUAUCAAAGGAAAGGUCAAAUUUUAGAUUUUUGUGUUUUUCCUAUCACUGUUUCUAUACUAUUACUAGUGCACCUUAUUUGUCAACAUGAUUAAAAUAGAAUUCCCUAGGAUAACUAGUGUCUCAGGUGAUCUUAAGGUUCAUAAAUUUUUGGUUUCCACAAGAUAGGUGCCAACUAAUUUUAUUUUUUUCUACAUCCAUGCAAUAUUCUAGUCAUCUAUUAACAAGGGAUAAAAAUUCUUGUAGAGAAUAGAAUAAAGAACUAGAUUAAAUGAAAAUAGGACAUUAGUAUUCUAUUUACUAGUAAGGGUAAAAAAUUCUUGAUGGCCAUCAAGCACAUUGUUCCUAAAAUAAUAGCAUCCAUGUCGUUGAGCAAAAGUUUAUUGUAAUUGCAUUUAACAUAUAAAGCAAAACUGAUUUUUUUAUUUUAUUUUAUAUUUACACCUUAUGCAUUUGAUAAAAUUCUUAAACAAGUAAGUUUGAAAAUUUUCUCUUCAAAUCAUUUGAUAAUUGAAGGCCAAACUAAUCAAAUUGAUUUAAAUUUUACAUUCAAAAGUUGAAUUUAUUAUUAUUAUUAUUAUUAUUAUUUUUUUUUUUUUUGCAAAAUUUACUUCACUUUAGAAGUUUGUGAUUAUUCUCUAGUCCAUCUUAAAAUGAGUGCCUCCAUUAUUCCAUUCCUCUAUCACUACAAAAAGUUUAGAUUGACCUAAAAUUUUCUCAUGACCUAGAAACUCAUAUCUACUAGAUGGUUAAAGCAAAAAAAGGCUUUUGCCUUAUGUUUUAAGUAAUCUCCCUAUUAUCUAUUUGUUGAGAGCAUCAUACAAGAUGUAAUUAUAUUUCUUAAUUUUUUUUUAUGUAAUAAGAACUAGAUUGAGAAAGAUGCAACUUGUAGAGAAAAAAAUUUCUUUACUACUUCCCUUGUAUUUGCUUUGUGUGUAUCAACUGUGCUUUUCAUUAUUUUAAAAAAUAUCACUAACAAAAAACUUAUUAUUGUUAUAUAUCAUAAUUUAGCAAUUUUUUUAUUAUUUAGAAAUCAUGCUUGUCAUUGUGUUAAUUAGUAGGUAGCCUAAUAACUAUAUUGUUCAAGUUAUUUUGUGUUGGCAUUCUUCAUGUUUCAAAAGCUUGUUAGACUAGCAAUUUUAUUGCAAAUAUAAUGUUCUCAAAUCAAUACAGAAAUGGAUGAUUGUGGGGAUUAGGCAUUGACUUCCUUGAGAAGUUCAAUUGAGGGUUUUUUAAACUAGGUCUCUACAUCAACAAAUGCUACAUUUUAUCACUCGAGACCUUAGAAUAAAUAUUGCAGAAAGCUUCAUUUGCUACAUAGUAAGGAUGAGGUUGGCAUAUAAAUCCUAAGGACUUAAAAGCUUGAGUUGUUGUCUCUUCCAAGGGGCCUUUAGAUUUAUUAAUGAGUUCCAAAUCAUUGUCUACCUUGAAUUUGAAUCACUGCUAGAAGGAUGUGCCGCUAAGCAUUCUCAUGUUCUUGAUAUGGAGUAGAAAUGGACUUCUAAUUCAUGAAGAACUGAUGGGCUCUUUGAUUAUGCCAUCUAUAAUGUACUUCAGGUUCAUGCUUCAACCUCUCUUCUUGCUUUUGAUAACUUCAUUUUAGUUUUACACUGCUUUCCUUCCCUCUUAUCUGUGUUUAUGUAUGUUUGUGCAUAUAAUGUGAACCUUUUCCACUGUUACUUUAAAGUUUUUUCAUUCUUGGGCUUGGGAAAUUACUAAAUUUGAUUUUAAUAUUUUCCUGUAGAUUUCACCUUGCUUAAAAAGCUUUUGAUUAUUCAUAUUUGCAAGAUGGCUAAGACAUCUGAUUGUGCUCAGAACUUCUGGUUUCUAUUAAAUAUAGGUAUGUUGUUUGCAAUUCUAACCCACUUACUCCUCUUGAAGACUACAUAAAUUGCUAGUGUUUUUACUUUAAUGGUUAUAAACAAUGUGUGCCCUUGUUACUUCUUGCUUGCAUUCUAUAUGUUGAAGAGCUUUAUUAGGCUAAUUAUUUUAUUGAAGAUAUAAUUGUUGUCAAGUCAAAGCAAAGCCGAAUGGUGAUGUGGUUUCAACUUCUUAGAAGUAACCAAAAAGUAAGGAACUCUCUCUAUGGUAGUACUUUGAUGUCACAUUGGGCUUUCAGAUUGCUGCCUUGAAUUGACAUAAAUAACAUAGCAUCUUUCCCAAUUGAGUCGUUUCAACAUGUUACUAUGCUUCAAACUCUCUCAAUUAUGUCUUGUUUAGGUUUGGCAACAUUAGAACACUGGAUAGGCAGCCUCAACUUACUCACACAACAUAAAAUUCAUCUUUGUUGUUAACUGACAUCACUGCCACAAGAUGAGUUCACUCAGUAUUUUACAGACAGCUAUAGUUUGGGACAAUUCUGGUUUGGCAACAUUAUUAGACUUGAUAGGUAACCUAUCUUCACUUACAAACACCUUCAAAUUUAUAGUUGUCCUAAACUAGCAUCACUACUAAAAGACAUGUGUGUCCUCAACACCCUAUAGGCACUCACAAUUGGAGAUUGUUAUGGUUUGGAAACAUUCAACAGACUUGAUAGGUAACCUUACACCACUUAUAGAGCUUCAAAUUCAUGGCUACCCUGAAUUGACAUCACUUUCAGACUAGAUGUUCACCCAAACCUCAAUUGACACUCACAAUUCAAGGCUUCUCUAUAUUGGCAACAUUACCAGACUUGAUAGGCAUCAUCACUUCACUUACAUACCCUGGAAUUAAUAGCUACCUCAAAUUCACAUCAUUGUCAGAAGAGAUUGGUUCACUCAUAUCCCAACAGAGAUUCAUGAUCUUUUAUUGUCAAUGUCUAUUAGAAAGACUUCGAAGGGAAAUAGGUGAAGAUUGGGCCAUUAAUCUUCAAUCCUAGAUAUUGAUAUUUUGGUGAAGAUUGGAUUAAUAUAGAGUUCGUUCAAGUUUGAAAUCCUAACCUUCUCAUUUGUUAUGGUUUUGUUUUUAUCAAUAUACCCUGUUUACAUUCUAUUUGGUAAUUAUGGUAUGUAUUAGCAUAUAGAUAAAAAAGGACUUAGAUGGUUAAUUUGAAAAGUUUGCAUCUUCAAUUAAUUAGUAAUUAAAGACCAAACUGAUCAUAUUACUUUAAGUCUUGCAUUAUAAGAGUUCGGGAAAAAUGUUAGGGUCGAUUGAACUAUUAUUUUGUAACAAAUUUCACCUUGCUCAGGAAUCUCAUGAUUAUCCCUUGGCACAAACAUUUCUCGGUGUCUGAGAAAUUCAUAUCUACUACAUGGCUCAAGAAUCUAGUAGCAUUCAAAAUUUCUGCUCUCUUUCAAAUUAGGUGUGUUGCUUGCAAUUCCGGUCCUUUUCCUAUUUCUAAAUGCUAUAUUUUUAUUUUACUAUCAAUGUGUUAAGAGCAUUAUGUUCUGUUUUCUAUAAUAUUGUUUUCUUACUUAUCAUAUAUAUUAAUUAUUUCACUACAAAUGUAUUUGUUGCCAAGUUAAAGCAAAAAUGGAAAAUGACGAUUUUUCAUAGAUCAAUGUCUUUCUCAAUUGCUGCCACACCUGACUUCUCUCUAAGUUGUUGAAAAUUUAGAAGUGUGGUAGCAUAAUGUCUCUGGCUCAAGUGCUUUAGCGCCUCAUUGUCCUUGAAGCUUUAGAAGUUGUCAAUACAAUUGGUGUUUCAACAUGUAACCAGUUUGGAAAUUCUAAGAAGUGUAAGUACUAUGGUUUUGCAACUUUGUUAGAUUGGAUAGGCAACUUCAAAUUAUUGAAUGCCCUGAAUUGAAAUCACUACUAGAAGGGACCCACAAGCACUUUAUAGAAACUCAUAAUCUACUAGUCGUACCACUUAUUAAGAAUGCCAAAAGGAAAAAGUGAAUAUUGGCCUAAGCAUGGUUGAUUAAUAAACUACUCAUGGUCUCCUUAAUUCAAGUGUGUCAUUUAUUAUAUGUUUCAUGUUAGUAAUCCUACAUUUCUCUUGUUUUUGUUGGCUUUAUUUUUUUGAAUUAUUUUACAAUCAAUAUUUUAUCGAUGUUCUUCCUUUUGUACAAUUCUAUUUCUUGAUUCUCAAAUGAAUUAAGACAUAUCAAGAAAAAAAUCACAUUGUUUGCUUUCCAUAUACUAUAUGCUUAUAUGUACAUGUGUUAAAAACUUUUGAUUUUUAAUUGAUUACUUUCUAUUUAAUUUGUUAAAAAUUGUUAGUCUAUUUGGAGAUGAUUUUUUUUUUCAUAUGUAAUAGGAUACCAACAAAUUGAGUGAGGAGCACAUCUUACUAAAUCGUUUAUCAAUUUAUUCACCUUCCUAAUCUCAAGCUUCUUCAUGUUUGAAUUAAAACACCUUGGAGUACACAAACAAAAAUGAUGGUAAUAAGUCUUUCUCAUCAUCUUUAUUUUCAUUAGAAGGCAAUUUGUAUCAUCCUCAUUCCCAAUCCUAAAAAUAGGUUUAGAAAUUAGACAUGUUUUCUUAAAUGAUCUUCUUGGUCCAUGCAUGCUUUCUAUAUAUUUAAAAAAAUUUUAAACUAAGUACUUAAUUGUAGAUAUGAUAGUUUUCAAGUUAAUGCACAAAUGGUGAUGGUGAGGAUGCUAAAUAUAGUCCAUGCUCAGCCUAUUUGUUGACAAACUACCGAGGGCUAGUGCUAAGGGAAACACUUAAUGCACUUGUAUCAUACUCUCUUUUCUUUGCCUUCUCUAGUCGUUAUCCAAGGUUCAUAUAUAAUAUGUCUUUAUCAUUAAACUUUUCAUUUUUAACCUUUUGUCUUUUUAUGGUCUAUUACAUGGCCAUCAAUUUCUAAGAAAGUGGUGUACACUAUUAUAAAUCUUAUCUCUUUGUUCUUAUAGACAAUAGAACAACAUGCUAAUUGCAUGAUAUACAAUUUGUAAUAGAUGUUCGGCUAUCAGGUAACCUUUAAGUACCUUGGAGCUAAAACAUUUGAUGUUAAUAAGGUUUGAUGAUUCUCACUUUGGUGCUUAGGUGCUUUGUUGGAUUUCAAUUCAGGUGAUUAAUUAAUCUUAUUAUGAUUAUUUGAUUGCUAUAAUAACUAAAUAAUCAUUCCUAUUUUAUCUUGGUAAUUGACUUCAAUGACUUUUUAACAAUUAUAUCAUGCAUGAAAUGUCCAACCUAUUAUUGUUAGUAUUUCAAUAACAUACCUCUAAUGCUACCACUAAUAUACUUCAUGUAUUCAUAUUUAUAAAAUGUUUCAUUAUUUUAUAUAAUUUAAUGUUUUCAAAUUUCUUUUUUGAAUGGGAGAAAUGACCAUUAAUCUUGACAACAACACAAGUAUCAUUGGUCUAAUAUUGCUUUCUUGAGUAAUUUGGCAAUUUAAUUAUGAAGUUUAGUUGUACAUUACUUGAGAUUCAUGCUUUAUGUAUAUGGUCUAUUGUCCAAACUUCAAUGACAUUUAGUAGACUUGUGAGUGGCGUUUGUCUAUGAGUUUCAACUCUUCAAAACUAUUAUUGAAGCCUAAGUUCAACUUCAGUAAGGAAAAAAAAUCAACAUUUUCUUCCAUUAUGUAAUUUUAUUCACUAUUGAUCUCCCGAAAUAUUGUUUUUAAAACAUGCCCUUAAAUGGAAUUCAUGGCUUCGCUAUUAUUUGCAGGAGAAAUUGUCAAGUUCUAUAUUUGUUUAGAAAGUUGGAAGAAGUAUUUAAUUUGACAUGGUUUGGACAUCUUGCUGCCAUCUUUUUAAAUUAGUUAUCAAUAAUUUUCCAAAGUUGACAUUUUUGUUUAUCUCAUACUCCUUUUAUAUUAGAAGGUAAUGCAUCGGUAUUGUGUAGACGAAUCAAGCCUUCUUUAAUUGAGGCGGGCCUUUUGCAAAAUAUUUCAAGUUUGUUUUCUUUCCAUUUGUUGCUUCAUAUCUAUUUUUUGUAAUCAACCAAGCAAGGGUUUCUUGUCAUGCCAUAAUGGUGACUUGUAAUAAUCAAUUAUUGAUUGUAAGGAUACUUGGCUUUAUCAAUUAUUAUAUUGAAAUCAAUUCAGUACUAUGGCUAAUGCCAAAAGGACAAUAUUUAGUUUCGAUUGACCAUAAUUCACUAUUCUAGAAACAAGUGCUCACAAAUUUUGCAUCUUUGAAGGAUGUGGGAAAGAUUGGCUUAACUGCAUCACCAACUUACAAGCUCCUUAUAGCAUCCAUAUAUAUAACCUUCAUUGUUAAGGUUUAUAAUUCCUAUCUCAUUUUUUUCAUCUCUUUAUUGUUUAUAAUUUUUGAAUUGAUUUGUUAAAAAAAAUUUAAACCUUAUUUGCAAUACUGAUUUGUUUUAUUCUUAUGUGCAAUAGAAUAAUAAGUUGAAUAAGAAGCAUACACUACUUAAUUGAUAUAACCGUUUAGUCAAUUCUCUUCUCAAUUUUUUUUUGUUUUUCUCCAUUUUUGUUCAAGGUAAUCAAAGUAUCAUUAUUUCUAUUUCUAAAGGUACUUGUACCUAGCUUGAAAAACUUUAAGAUAAGUUAAAGUGGAGAACCAUUCCCAAAACAAGUAAUAAGUACAGUUGGGUUAUUGAUAUCAUAUCCUCGAUUGACAUCUAUGCCAUUGUAUUUACAUCUAAAGGAUUUAUGAUGAAAAUAAAUAUCUUCUUCAUUUCCAUUUUCCUCACUUUUUUUUUCGUAAUUUAUGUGCAUAUCAUAAUCUUUUGCGAGCAUAUAUAUGCAUGUUGUAAUCGCAAUAAUCUAUUGCUAUCAUAAUUCAUAGCCUAAUAUAGUUGCUAGCAUAUAUAUGCAUGUCAUAAUCUAUUGAAUUUUUUAGCAUAAGGUCUUAGAGUAUUCACAUAUCUAUAGGUUCUAUAUAUUUAUACUUUUUAAAACAUCAAAUGAAGUAUAUCAGCCUUAUCCCGAAGGUGAAGUCUCUUUAAAUUGAGCUUCAACAUGUUAGCAGUUACCUAACUUAAUAAUCUAACAAUUUGGUAUUAUAUAUCAUUUUGCAACUCUUCCAUAAAGUAAUUGUGUUUCCUCUAUUCAUAUUUUCUGUCCUUAUUUUUUUUUAAAAAAAUUGAAUUAGUAAUUGUGUGUCAAAUCAUGCUUACAAUCAUUAAUAGGUACUUAUAUGAUAAAUUGAUAAAUUUAUUUUACAAUUUUUUCAACAUAUUUGAAAAACAAAAAAAAUAAAAAAAAUAAAUAAGCAUGUCUUUCUAGAUGUAAUCACUACCAAGCUCAUGUGAAAAGCUAUAGCAAUGAGGGUAUAAGCUUCAGUUUUGUUUUGGAGAUUCAUAUUGAGAGUUGUAGAUUGUGAAUGUAAUUGUGUGCAUAAUGAGGACACUAAUAGUAUAAGCUUUGGUGUCUAUUUUUUUUUUUUACUUGAAAUAUCUAUAGCAGAAUCUGAGGUUCAACUUCAUCACCAAUAACAUGGUCGAGGACAUAACUUCAAGAGACAGCAAACAGUUUCAUAUUAAUCUUUUGGGGUGCAGGAAUUUGACAUUCUACAACGUUGCAAUUAGUGCACCAAAAGACAGCCUUAACACAGAUGGAAUUCACAUUGGACGUUCCUCAGGGAUCGAUAUCACCGAUUCAGCCAUAGAAACCGGAGAUGAUUGUGUCUCAAUUAGUGAUGGCAGUGGGCAAAUUAAUAUCCAAAGAAUAACCUGUGGACUUGGCCAUGGCAUCUGUGUGGGAAGUCUAGGAAAGUACCCCGAUGAAGAAUCUAUGGUUGGCAUUAGUGUCAAGAACUGCACCUUCAUCAACACCCAGAAUGGCGUCAGAGUGAAGACAUGGCCUGCUUCUCUCAUCAAGACACUACCUCUGAAAUGCAUCUUGAAGAUAUUGUCAUGAAUAAUGUUGGCAAUCCCAUAAUCAUAGAUCAAAAGUAUUGCCCCCAUAACCAAUGCAACUUAAAGGUACUUCUAAAGGAAAUGAAAAUUUCCAUUUUUAUUGCUUAUUUUCCCUCUUUUUCCCUUCAUUUUUAUUGGUUUGGAACUUAACUAUCCGUUGUUUUCAGAGUCUAUCACGCAUUAAGCUCAGCAAUGUUAGCUUCAGAAACAUCCAGGGCACUACCUCAACUCAGGUUGCUGUCAAGCUUGUUUGUAGCCAAGGAGUACCAUGCCAAGACGUUGAGCUUGGUGACAACAACGGAAAUGAAGGCCUUGCCAUGUCACAAUGCAAGAACAUUAAGCCAAAUCUACUGGACAAGCAACUGCCAAGGACUUGUGCCUAAGAUGCUUAAUCUUCUUCCAAAGUCUGAACAAAUUGUACUGCUUCUAUUAUAUAGCUACCUCUUCAUGCUCACGCGUCUGCUAUUUUAUUGGUGAAUAAACUACAAUGAACAAACAAUGAUACGAUACUCGGCUAUUAUGGAAGGUAUGUGCAGUUUGAUCCCAUAAGAAAAAACAAAUGUCUAUUUAGUCUUUUGCUGCUAUAGUACAAAUUGAAGCUCCAAAGAAUAAUGUUAAUGUAAAUUAUUUAAUGUUAAUGCAGUUUGGAUGAGAAAAUGCAGUCAAGUGAAUAAAAAUUCCUUUGGAGUGUAUCAUUUGAAAUUUUAUCUUUGGAUUACUACAACCAAGAAAAAACUAUAGAUUGGUAUCUGGUGUGUUGGAAAUGCUUGAUGGUUGGUAAUCGAACUAAUGUACUAAUGACUUCGAGAAAAACUAAGAAUGAUAAAGACAAUAGUAAUAAAUGGCAAGAACUGAGAAAGUAUUGAAGUUGUAAUUGUCUCAAGGAGCGUAUUUUGGGAUUUGAAUUAUAUGUAAAGAAGAAAUGCUCUUGGAAACUGCAACAUGAUGGAUCUUGAAUGGUUUUCUGUCAUAUGUGUUUGUUGUUUGGAGAUGACCGAGUAAUAUUAGUUUUAUCAUGCCCCUUUAAGCUGCCAUGUGGAAGCUGUAGCGUUAGCAGAGAGUUGAUAAUGCUUUUUGGGUAGUUGGAAGCUUGAACACCAACAUAUUAGUGCAAGGACAUGAAGAUAUUAAUUCAUUCAUACGAUUUAUUGUUUGAGAGGAUAGAAAAAAAAAAUAUAAAACUAUUUAAGAUCCUAAAAAUAUCUUAUAUUUCUCCGUUUUUUGUAUUUACACUCUGAUCCAUGGACUUUUACCCCACAAAAUAUCUCAUAUUCUUUUUCAAAUUUCUACCUACAUAUAAACUUCUUAUGUCUAUAUUUAUUAUAUUACUUUUUUCUCCUCAUGACCUAAUUAAAAUAUGUAUAAAGAUAAUCCUAACAACUUUUCUUAUUUUAUAGGCAAACCUAUUUCUAUAAGGAAUUAAUUGUAAAACAUCCUAUAUAAGCUACCUUAACAUAGCUGAAUUAUGUUAUAAAUUUUAUUUUGAUACGAUAAAUAACAAAAAUCCAUUGAUAAAAAAUUUAUCAAAAUCCAAUAACUGUAUAGGAUAAACUACACUUAUUUUGGAUAAAUAAUAAAGUACAUUAUCCAAGUAUUAAAAGAUUGUCUUUGUUGUGUAUAAUUUGGAGAGCCUCAGAUAAUGUGCAAGUAGAUGAGACUUAGAGUGAUAUGUUUUCUCUUUCAAAUCAAUUUUAGAGGGACCAAAUCCAAAAUUUUAGUCUUUUUUUAGAAGUGUUUUAGAAAAUAGUUUGGAAAAACACUUCUUGAUAAUAGCGUUUGAAAAUUAUUCUCUAAUAUUUUAUAGCACAUAAAUUUGUUUGAGAGAAUAAAAUGCUCUUAACUUGUUUCCUAUGUUUUUAAAUAUAUUUUAAAAAUAAUUUUCAUAUGCAUUGCUUUAUUUUUAAUCAUUCUCUAUAUUUGUAUAAUAAUUUUUUAAAACAAUUCUAUAAAGAAGUAAAAAGAAACAAAAAUAACUAAAAAGAUGUUCUUUCGAAACAUUGUAUUUUCUGUUUAAAAGUUUUUUUUUUUUUUUUUUUUCUGUUUUCUAGUUGUCAAACUAUACUUUCUUGUUUUUUUUUUUUUUUUUUUUUUUUUUUAUUUUUUUUUUUUUUUUUAUUCUAGAUAAUAGAAAACUGUUUUCAUAACAUGGCCUCAACUUUUACUAUGAAAAUCGAAAUGGUGCUUAAACUUAAACUUCAAAUUGAUUUUAAUCAAAAUAUGUUUUUUUUUUCUCCUUUUUCCUAUCAAAUCAAAACUCAAAUUUCUUUCUUUUCUAUAAAUACAAAAUUUCAAUUUCUAUCGUUGGACUAAGAACUCCAAAUCAUUUUCAAUUGGCGGUGGAGUCUUUGAUUUAAGGACACAGAAUGCGCAUGAAAAAUCUCAUAGUUGUGUGUGUGCAUGUAUGAUAUAUAUAAAGAAUGUUGGAUGAGGAAAUUGUGGAUAUGGCCAAAUCUGAAUCUCUUAUAUUUUUGCAAUAGCAUGUGAUUUACAUAGAAACUCGAUGGUGGAAGAAGACUAUAAAUAAAGGUCUCCUCUCCUCAUUCUAUUUAUCCUAGAAUUGAAGGAAAAAGAAUGAUCUAACUCUUUGAGUGAAAAAGUGAGGUUAUCUUGAGAAUUAGAGGAUUAUUAUUCUCUUGGGUGUAAUUAGGAUAUGGAUUGUGAGGAGUGAGUGAUUAUAAACACUUGUGGUUAUUUUUCUCCCUAUAAUGAAGAUCUAUAGUAGCUCUGUGGGCGUAGCUUGUUUUGGGUGAACCACGUAAAUUUCAUGUUUUGUUUGUCUACUCUAUUUCGUUAUUAUUUUCACAUUUUUUUUAUUCAUUUCAUUACUCUAGUCUUUUGGGAAGUUUAUUUCCUAACAACUGGUAUCAAAGCGACAUGUCUUGUGGUGUUUUAGGAGCUUAGUGGUAGUUUGAGGAGGUUGGAAUUUAAGAGGACAAUUGUGACCUCUCUAGUUUUUCUUAGGAACUUUUAUUUUUGUCUAAGGAGACUAGGUUUUAAGUGGGAUUGUUGUGAUCCUUCUAGUCUUUCCUGAGAACUUUUUUACUAGUUUAAAGCUUUGGGUGGAAGUUUUUCUAUAAUUUUUUGCAAGUACAGAGGUACUGUAAAAAGUACAAUUUUUGCAGAAGUCCUAAAGAACCAGAUUUGAGUGGGAUUGAUGGCAACAAACGAAGGAAAGAGCAUCAUAAUUUAGAAGUUCAAUGGUGAAGAUUUUAGCUUCUAGAAAAUGCAAAUUGAAGAUUAUCUAUAUUAGAAAGAUGUGCAUCUGCAUUUUUAAUGAAGAGUGGGCUCUACUCGAUAGGCAGGCCCUUGGAGUUAUCUGGUUGACGUUAUCUCAUAAUGUCGCUUUCAACAUAGCAAAGAAGAAGACUGUGAUGGGUCUUAUGGCGACUCUCUAUGACAUGUAUGAGAAGCCAUUCACUUCAAAUAAAGUGCACUUGAUGAGGUUGUUAUUCAAUUUGUGAAUGAUAGAAAGCGCGUCUAUAGCAACUCACAUCAAUGAAUUUAGUACAAUCACAACACAACUAAGUUUGGUGGAAAUCGAGUUUGACGAUGAAGUUCGAGCUUUAAUCUUUGUAUCCUCUCUACCGAAAAGUUGGAAUGCGAUAGUGACAACAAUGAGCAAUUCUUUUGCAAAGAAGAAGAUGGUAUUUAAGGAUAUUCAAGAUCUAAUUCUAAGCAAAGAAAUACACCAAAGAGAACUAAGAGAAACAUCAAGUUCUACCUUAAACAUUGAAUCUAGAGGUAGACAUAAUGACAGAAACUCAAAUCAAAGUAGAUUAAAAUCAAGACAGAGCAAGUCUAGAUCUAGGAAGGAAGAGAAUAGUUGUUGGAACUGCGGUAAGACUUAUCACUAGAAGAGAGAUUAUAGAGCACCGAAAAAGAACAAUGGCAGUGAAAAGAAUCCACGAACAUGGCCGAAGAUAUUGGCAAUGCUCUAAUCCUAACUGUCAAUAGUCUAGUUGAAUCCUAGAUUUUGGAUUCUGGGGCAUUGUAUCACUGCACCUCUUAUUACGAAAUCAUGGAGAACUACAUCAGUGGUGAUUUCAGGAAGGUUGACCUGGAUGAUGUUGAGACCUUGAAGAUUACGAGAAAAAAAGAUAUUCAAGUGAGGCUACCAAAUAUGUGGAAAUUUAAAGAUGUGAUAUGUAUUCCUAGUUUUAAAAAUAAAAAUAAAAAAUCUCUGUGGAUUAACUUGAUAAGAAGCGGAUGAAAGAUCACCAAGGGAGCUAUGGUCAUAGCUCAUGGAAAGAAGAACGGUCCUCUCUAUGUUACUUCUAGAAUGGAGAAUAUUGUUGAAGUUGUAAAAUCAAAUGAGAAGUAGAAAAUUUGGCACGAGAGACUCAGUCAUAUGAGCGAGAAAUGGAUGAAGGUUCUUGUUUCAAAGACAAAGCUGUCAAAUCUAAAAUCAAUGUGAAGAUUGUAUAUUCAAUAAGCAGAAAUUGGUUAAUUUCUCAAAGAUUGGCAAGCCAUCCAAAGUAGAGAAGUUAGAGCCGAUUCACAUAGACACGUAGGGGUCAUCACCAGUUUCAUCUAUUGGAGGCUCAUUGUACUACAUCACCUUCAUUGAUGACUCUACUAGGAAAGUAUGGGUUUAUUUUCUAAAAAAGAAGUUAGAAGUUUGUGAUGUUUUCAGGAAAUGGAAAGCCAUGGGAGAUGCGAAGAUCUACUAGGGGCCUAUAAGUAGAGGUCUCAUCUCCUCAUUUUAUUUGCCUCAUAAUUGAAAGAAAAAGAGUGGUCUAAUUCUUUGAGUGAAAAUUGAGGUUCUCUUAAGAAUUAGAGAAUUAUUAUUCUCUCGGGUGUAAUUCGGAUUUGGGAUGUGAGGAUUCAAUGCUCGUAUACACUUGUGGUUAUUUUUCUCCCUAUGUUGAAGAUCUACAACAAUUUUGUGGACGUAGCUGGUUUUGGGUGAACCAUGUAAAUUUCGUGUGUUGUUUUGUUUGCUCUAUUUUAUUAUUAUUUCCACAUUUUUUUAUUUGCUUCAUUAAUUUGGUCUAUUGGGAGGUUUACUUCCUAAUAUUUUUCAAGUCAAAUUCUUAUCUAAAAUUGAAAUAAGAAUUGGUUUCAUCCUCAAUUGAAAUCGAUUCUUGGAACACUUCACCAUUCCCUUUCCACAUUUCCCACCAUCCAACCCGGCCAAUAAAUACAAUUACUUGGCUCCAUUGCAUAUUUUUGCUUAUCUUUCAUUCACAUUCAAAAAUGGUUAGAAAGGAACCUUGAUUUUAGGAAGUUCCCAAUUAUUAGGAUUUGAUUUAGUUUUCUAAUAGUCAAUUAGAAUAUUUACAAAUUUGAGUGGUUGAUUUAAUUAUAUGUUUAUACAUAAUUCCUACAAGUUAUUUUUUUUUUAAUACUUUUUGUUAUUAGGAAUCUCUAUUUUUUAGGUAAAGGUGUCCAUAAAAAAAAAAAAAAAAGGAGUUAGUGCGAUAGUUGAACAAGAGUGGUGGAAAAUAAUGUCAUUUUCUUGAUUUUUCUCAAUUACUUACCUUCUUACCUUGACUUUCCAUCAUGACUUAUUUCUCUCUAUGGAUUUGUUUAUGUGUUAUCAACUCUAUUACUUGAAUAAAUUGGGUUGUAAGAAAAAGAUGACAAGUAGGACAGAUUUGUUACAAGUUCUUUAGCUCAAUAAAAAAACUUACAAUAAUUGGAGUAUGAAGGUAAAGACUUUACUUGAUUCACAAGAUGUAUGCAAAGGUUGAAGAGGAAGGCUAUAAACAAGGAGUCAUGACAUAAAACCACUAUUUUAAAAGCAAAGUAAUUUUUUGAAAGGUAUAAGGAAAAAAGAAAAAAAAAAAGGAAGAAGAAAGCUCUUACCCUUAUCUAUCAAGCAAUGAAUAAAGGCAUAUUUGGAAAUUUUCCAAAUGCAACCAUGCACUACCAAGAAAGCAUGGAAGAUAUUAGAAAAUGCAUAUAAAGAAAUUGACUAAUUAAGAAAAGUUUGCCUUUGUACUGGGUAUUGUGUAGAGAAAUCAAGUCUUCUUUAAUUGAGGUGAGUCUUUUGCAAAAUAUUUCGAGUUUGCUCUCUUUCCAUUUGUUGAUUCAUGUUUUUUUUUUUUUUGGUAAUCAACUAGGCAAGAAUUUCUUACUUGUCAUGCCACAAUGGUGAACAUGCUUGCAUGAAUAGUAUUCUCUCUACUCUUUCUUUUUUAUUCUUUCUUUAUUAUAUUGAUGGAUAUACUUAGAAGUGAAUAGUUAAUUGGGUUUUUUAUUAAAAGAAAUCAAAUAUUGGUAAUGCUAUUUAGUAUCAUGCUUGUAAUAAUCAAUUAUUGAUUGUAAAGAUACUUAGCUUAAACAAUUAUUAUAUUGAAUUCAAUUUAGUACUAUGGCUAAUACCAAAAGAAUAAUAUUUAGUCUUGGUUAACCAUUAUUCACUAUUCUAGAGACAAAUGCUCACAAGUUUUGCAUCUUUGAAGGAUACGGGAAAAGUUGACUCAACUGCAUCACCAACUUACAAGCUCAAGCUUAUAUACAACCUUCAUUUAUCAGGUUUAUAAUUCGUAUCUUUUUUUUUUCAUCCCUUUAUUGUUUAUAAUUUUUGAAUUGAUUUAUUAAAAGGAAUUUCAACUUUAUUUGCAAUAAUGAUUUUUUUAUUCUCAUGUGCAAUAGAAUAAUAAGUUGUAUAAGAAGCAUAUACUACUUAAUUGGUAUAACCCUUUAGUCAAUUCUCUUCUCAAAUCCUUUUUAUUUUUCUCCAUUUUUGUUCAAGGUAAUCAAAGCAUCAUUCUUUCUAUUUCUAAAGGUACUUGAACCCAAUUUGAAAAACUUUAAGACAUGUUAAAGUGGAGGACCACUCGCAAAAUAAGUAACAUUAGUUGGGUUACUAAUAUCAUAUCCUCGAUUGACAUCUAUGCCAUUGCAUUUUCUUCUAAAGGAUUUAUAAUGAAAAAAAAUAUCUUCUUCGUUUCCAUUUUCCUCCCUUCUUUUGACCAUAAAUUUGUGCACAUUGAAAACAUUCAUAGCCCAAUAUUUUUGCUAGCAUAUAUAUGCAUGUCACAAUCAAUUGAAUUUUUUAGCAUAAGUCUUAUAGUAUUCACAUAUGUGUAGGUUCUAUAUAUUUAUCAUGUUUACAAUAUCAAAUGAAGUAUAUGAACCUUAUCUCAAAGGUGAAGUCUCUUUACAAGGAGCUUCAACAUGUUAGUAGUUACCUAACUUAAUAAUCUAACAAUUCGUCACUAUAUAUUAUUUUGCAACUCUUUCAUAAAGUAAUUGUGUUACCUCUAUUCACAUUUUCUAUCUUUAUUUUAAAAAAAUUGAAUUGGUAAUUGUGUGUCAAAUCAUGCUUACAAUCAUUAAUAGGUACUUACAUGCUAAAUUGAUAAAGUUAUUUUACAAUUGUUUCAACAUAUUCAGAAAACAAAAACAAAAGAAAAGAUUAAUAAGUAUAUCUUUCUAGAUGUAAUCACUACCAUGCCAAUGUAAAAAAAUAUAACAAUGAGGAUUUCAAAGAUUAAAUUAAGUCUUGGAGACUCAUAUUGACAAGUUGUAAAUGGUGGGUGAAGUCUCUUUAAAAUGAGCUUCAAUAUGUUAGCGAUUACCAAACUUAAUAAUCUAACAACUUGACACUAUAUAUCAUUUUACAACUAUUUCAUAAAGUAAUUGUAUUAUCUCUAUUCACAUUUUCUAUCUUUUUUUUUUUUUAAAAAAAUUGAGUUGAAAAUUGUGUGUCAAAUCAUGUUUGCAAUCAUUAACGGGUACUUAUUUGCUAAAUUGAUAAAGUUAUUUUACAAUUGGUUCAGCAUGUUUUGAAAACAAAAACAAAAGAAAAUUAAGAAGUAUAUUUUCUAGAUAUUAUCACUACCAAGCCAAUGUGAAAAGUUAUAAUAAUGAGGAUUGCAAAGCACCAGUUAUGUUUUGGAGAUUCAUAUUGAAUGUUGUAGAUUGUGGAUGUAUGGUAUAGGAGUUAACUUGAGUUUAUCAUUCUUUCUAUUUUCGAUACCUUAAUUUUAUAUGCAUUGUCCAUCAUAUAUAUUUGUUAUCAUCUAUUCUUUACAACCAAUUUUUUAAUGACUUCUACAAUUUGUGUAUAAUGUAUAUAUUGCUUUUAUUUGUACCAAAGCAUCAUCAAGCUACAAAAGCAUCACAAGUUUUUCUAUUGGGUCAAGUAUUUUAGUAGUUUUUGUACUUAUACUUGAAACUUUUUUAUGACACUAAUGAGGACAUUUACCUUGAUUAAUUUAACAUUUAUAUUGCAAGUAUCUAAAUAAGAGUUCUAUAGAUUUAUUUAGACAUUUAUGGGCAUAUUUAUCCUCUUUCUGACAUAUUAUAAUGAUAUUUUUAACAUUGAUAUAAAUUAUUUGUUUGAAGGUUUCAACUAUUGAAAAAUAUUAUUCAAGCCCAAUGUUAAUCUUUUUCUAUAGUGGAUUUCAAAUAAUAAAUUCUUAUUUGAUUAUUUGUAGCGAAAAUAAACAACUUUUAUGUUUGAUGCGGAAAAAUAUAGAGUAGGUCACUUUCACAAUAUAUGGAUGCUACUCCUAUACUUUUAAAGAUGGUUACAAUCGCCUUUAUGAUGGAUAAUGAUUUUCUAGUUCUUUUAGUACUAUUAUAUUAUGUCCAAAUUUUAAUUUUGAUAUGGUCCAUAAUCUCAUCGUAUGUACUAUUGAUAGAUUACAAUGCAACAAACGCAAUGUGAAUCUCAAAGAUGAUUAUUACGUUGAAAAGUAAGUUCCCCAUGUUUUAUUUAAAUUUUUUUUAUUCUCUAAGGAUUGUUUUAUUCUCUUUAUUUUUAAAGGCUCAAAUCAUCUUAAGUUUAUUUUUUCUCUUAUUUCAAUAGUUGUAGCCCAUAUGUAGGAGAAAUUUCUCUAAAUGAAGGGUAAAGAAGAACAAGUGCAUUUAACUUGUUACACUUGCAAACUAGAAGACAACCUCAUAUUUCAGAACCUGCACUACAUGAUUUCAAUAAAAAUUAAGAUUGUUGAUUGAGAAAGGAAUGGUGAAUUCAAAAUUCUCUAUAAUUUCCAUUGUUGGUGCUCUUGAAGAUUUUGGUAAAAGACUGAACAAUUGAGUUUAGCAUGUCCUUGAAAUGUAUUUGUUUUAUGAAUCAAUGCAACUUGGUUAAAGUCUCUAUAUAAGUCAUAUACAACAUAUUUUCCCUUUAAUAUCAGCUCAUCAAUUUUUGUUUCCAAGCUUUUUGUCAAUUAUAUUUUUUAAUCCUUUCUAUUGUUUUUUGGUCUUCCAAUGACUUUGUUUCUAUUUUCAAUACUUGAAUCCAAUGUAAGAUGUUUGCAUUUUAAUUUUAUAAUUUUCUUUAUUAUUUUGCUUUUUGUUUUUUUAUGGUGUUUCCUUUGUAAUCACUUACUAGAUUCAUACUUCUAAGAAAACAUGUUGAUGAUGAUGAAAACAUGUUUCUAUAGAAAUAUAUAUAUUAUGAAGACUUCUUAUGCUUCUAUUAACCUAAAAUGAUGAUAUUGAUAAGAAGUGUAUUUAUUAUCAUAUUGCAUUACAAGUUUACUGGUGGAUCACUCUUAACAAGUACAUCUUAGCUAAAAGUUAAAAAAAUGUUUCUCUUUGCACAUACCUUUACUAUUGUUUCAAUUGCUAUCUUAAUAUGUUAUGGAAAAACUACUACAAAUAACAAUAAUAGGGAGAAAAAAACAAAAAAACAAAAAUAGAAAACUUAUAAAGUAGGACGAUUUAUGUGGUUUGGCCUAAAACCUACAUUUAUCCAUGAAAAUGAAGAAGAAUUUCCACUAUUAUUAAAGGAUAUUGCAUCCUAAAGCUCUCAAAUCCCAUAAUUACACUAAAAAAGGACUUUUUUUUUAAUCAAAAUCUCUUCCUUUAUUUUCUUGAUUAUAUAAGAACAUUCCAUAGAGAAUUAAUUAUGUAAUUAUCAAAGAUAACUAUUCCUAAAAAAAAAAUCUUAUAAUAUGAUAUUUUCUUUAUAAUAUAAAAAAAAAUCUUUUAUAUAAAUAUAUCAUAAUAGGAAAAUAUUAAAGACUUAUAAAUUGACUUGAAAAACAAUUUGAAAUAUUUUUCAACAAUCUCCACAUUAGCUCAAAUUCCCAAGAUUCAAAUAAACUCAAAAGUCUUCCAUGUUACUUUGCUCUUAUACACCCUUAAGGGGACUUCAAGUAAUGUCAAUACCAAUUAAGUCUAAGCAAUGCAUGAACUUAAUCAUAAAGAUAAGUUUAGUCAUCAUAUAUAUAAAAUUAUCAACUAUAGGGAUCUUUUUCAUUACAUUAGAACCUUGUUCAAUCAUAUCUCUAAUAAAAUGCAUUCUAACAUUAAUAUGUUUGGUCCUCUCAUGUAACAUAUAAUUUUUAGUCAAAAGUAUGACACUUUGGUUACCAUGAUAACAAUAAUCAAUGAUUGGAACCAAAUAAUUACAUUUUGUGUGCCUAAACUUAGACAUGCGUAUUUAAUAUCCAAUUCUAGUUUCAUCCCUUUACUCAAUUUUAUUCCUAAGUCCUUAAUUUUGUGUUUAAAAAUGCAUGUACUGGUGGUUAAUUUUUCACUCCAUAGUUGUCAUAUCAUCCAAGUAAUAGUUGCUACAUUAUUCAACAACGGGUUGCCUAUAGACCCACAUUUUUCAUAUGCAUCCCCACUCAAUGGCGUGGUUGACUUUUUAAGUGAAAAACUAUGUUUUAUAAAAACUUGGAGUUGCCACUUAUUUUUAUUUUUUUAAGGGAAAAUAAAAUAAGAAACUAAAUCUUAAAAAAAAACGACUCCUUAAACUUUUGGAAAAACUUGUCUUUUAAAAAUCCAAGUCUAGAUCCAGGGAUUAGGUUACUUAUUGGGAUGGUACCUUAAAAACGGAGCAUCCCUCUAAACCUUCAAAAGGUCUCUAUUGGCUAGGUUGAGGGAAGUGUGACAAUUAAUUGAUAGAAUUAGGGUACAAGAAAGACUAAAGUGUUUAGCUAAAUUCUAACAGCAUAUUAAGUAUGCAGAGCAAUCAUUUCAAGUCAUAAGUAUAAAAAGAGAGAUAGGGUGCGUACCUAGACUAUAACUCAAACACUAUCAUAAGACAUCAAAGUUAGUUCAGAUAUCAUAUCACUCAACACACAUUAUCAUUCACAUCAAAGAAUCAAAUAACAAUCAAAGCAACCAAUAACAACAUCAAACAUAGAGAUGUUCAUACAUGAAACAUACACAUAUGUUGAAUUAAGAGACAAAGGGUGAUGGGUGUAUUUGAAUUGCAUAAAUAAUUUACAAUGCACUUCGAUAAGAUAACAAAGGUUAGAAUAAAUUAUAAUGGAAAAUAAAGAGAUCCUAAAUCCUAGCAUGCAUGGUAUUUACAUGGCAUAAGGACAGAACAUAGGCUCACAAAGACAUCAAUAUUCCUACAAGGCAUGCAUACAACUUCUAGAUGUAUACAUAAGAUAUAAGAAACAAUGAUUAAUUAUAACAAAACAUAUAACCAACUAAUCAAAAUAUAGGCAUCACAAGUAUAAUUCUAAAAUAUUAUGUAAGCAUCACUUGACUAGAUAAUAAAUAAAAGCCAACAUCCAUAUCCAUUAAUCAUGAAUUAAACAAUAUGAGCAACUAGUAUGCAAAAAUCCAACAUAUGAAUAUAACCACACCAAAGCACAGAGGAUAUCUCCUAUACGUUUAGAACAAAUAAAAAAUUCCAAACACUCGUUCAAAUAUCAAUUUUAAUUCAAAAAGACCAAAAGUUCCAGAAGGUCCAAAAUUGAGUAGAACACUGAAUUUUUAAAAAAAUAUCUAGGCCUUCUAAAUUCAUACAAAAAAUAGAAAAUGUCAUUCAAGGUGCCUAAAUUAUAUAAAAAAUAAAUCCAAGACAAGGAAGCACUCAAAAGAAUUUUAAAACACUCCAAUUGAUUAGUUGUCCAAAAUUAGUCAUGUAUAGUAAGUGCAACUUUGAAAAAUCAUAUCUCUCUCUAAAAAAAAUAUAUUUCAAUAUUUUAUAUGUCAAAAUUCAACUUCAUGAAAUCAAUAAUUUUGGAAAAAUAUUUAUCUAAAUUAAAAAGGUAAAAAGGUAAUUUAAUUUUACAAAAUUCUAUCAGAUGUACCAAAACAAAACAUGCUGAAAGAAUAUAUCAUAACUCAACUUUGAGAAAGACUUGUUGACUCAACUAACGUUCCAAAAUCAACUUCAAGAAGUGAACAACAUCAUAAAAGUUUUGGAAAAUUUUUUAAAACACUCCAAAAUUAUCAAAACAUUUUUUUUUUCCUAAAGGGUUAGUAGCUGAGUUGAAAAAUGAGUUUUGAUAACCUUUUUCAUGUAGGUGUUCCAUCAAGUCCCCAUUCAAUAUUCAUAGGUUUAACCCAUGCAUUCCCAACCUCAAAUGAAAAGAUUCACCAAUGCCAAAAAUACUCCCAUUAGUUUGGAAGCACGAGUUCAAACUUAUGUGAAUAAAAAACAAAGUUUUGGAAGACCAAGAAAUAGAUAAUGCAACUUAGAUGAAAUGAGUUGCAUGUUUUUUAACGGAGUAAGAUCUUUGCCUUAAACCUAAAACACAUUUUUUUUCAAAGAUUUUAGAUAGUUUAAAUUCUUUUGAAAAUGAUUAUAGAAGAAGCACAAGGAUCCAACUGGUUUAAGUAAUCCCCGAACAAUCGGAAAAAAAAAAAAUGGACUUUUAGUUUUCUAACUUAAAAGGGAUUUAAAAACAUAAGAGAUAUUAACUUGGAUCCCCUUUAUAGUUGAAGGAGGCACGUGCAUGAUGGAGAAAAUCCAUUUUUGGUAAAAAGAAAUUUUGAAUUAACUCAAAAUAACAACUAAGAAAGUUUUUUUUCUAACAAAAAAGUUUCAAACUCAAGAAUUCUUCAAAGAGUAAACAAAAUAGGUGUCAGGUUAAAGAGAACCUACAAUUUAACUAGAUAUAACAUCUAAUGAAUUUUAAAACAACCAUCCACAUGAAAAUUUAACCAAACACAUAUCUAUAAUUUUUUUUGAAAAACAAUCAAUAUGGAAAAUUAAGCAAACAUAAUUCAAUACAGUUUUUUUAAAAAAAAAAUCUAAAUAACACAUGAACUUCAAUAAUUAAAAUAUCUAAUGGAUUAUUAUUAUUUUUAAAAAAAAAAACCAACAUAGAAAAUUUAACCAAGCACAUAUUUGGAAUUUUUUAAAAAGAAUAAUCAUCACUAAAAAAUUAACCAAACAUAAUUUAAUAAAUUUUUAAAUAUAAAUAACACAAGAACCUAAACAAUUAUAAUAUAUAAUGGAUUUUUAAAAAUACAACCGAUAUGGAAAUUUUAAUCGAGCACACAUUUAGAAUUUUUUAAAAGAAUAAUCAACAUGAAAAAUUAACCAAACAUAAUUCAAUAAAUUUUUAAAUCUAAAUAGCAUAAGAACUUAAUCAAUUAUAAUAUCUAAUGGAGUUUUAAAAAUAUAAUCAAUAUGGAAAAUUGAACCAUACACAUUGAAAAUUUUUUACAAGAAUAAUCAACAUGAAAAAUUAAACAAACACAAUUCAGUAAAAUUUUUAAAUCUAAACAACACAAAAAUCUAAAUAAUUAUAAUGUCUAAUCGAUUUUUAAAAAUACAACCAAGAUGGAAAUUUUAACCAAGCACAUAUUUAGAAUUUUUUAAAUAAUCAACAUGAAAAAUUAACCAAACAUAAUUCAAUAUAAUUUUUAAAUCCAAAAUAACACAUGAACCUAAACAAUUAUAAUAUCUCAUGGGUUUUUAAAAAUACAAUCAACAUGGAAAAUUUAACCAAGCACAUAUUUAGAAUUUUUUUCUAAAAAAAUAAUCAACAUGAAAAAAUUAACCAAACAUAAUUCAGUAAAAUUUUUAAAUUUAAAUAACACAAGAAUCUAAACAAUUAUAAUAUCUAAUGGAUUUUUAAAAAUACAAUCAACAUGGAAAAGUUAACCAAUCACAUAUUUAGAAUUUUAAAACUUUUUUUUUUAAAAGAAUAAUCAAUACGAAAAAUUAAACAUAUAUAACUCAAUAAAAUUUUUAAAUCUAUUAACUAACAAGAAAAAAAUUAUCUAAUCUAACAAUCCAAUGAAUUUAACAUUUAAAAAAAAAAACUAAAAUGAGAUUAUCAACUUCAAGUACCAAUGAUUCAAAAAAAUAAACAAUCAUCAAGAAGAGAUUAAACAAAUAUCUAAGAUUUAAACAAAAAAAUAAUAAAUAAAUAAAUAAACAACUUUUGAUCAUCAACACCAAGAACCAAUGAUCCACAAAAAUAAACAACCAUCAAGAUGAGAUUAAACUAACAUCUAAGAUUUAAACAAAUAAUAAUAAUAAUAAUAAUAAUAAUAAUAAUAUAUUGCUGAAUUCUGAACCGUGAUUGACUUGUUAAUGGGAUUUUAAGGAUUCGUAUGUGGCGGAGGAGUUUUGCACUUGUUUAUCACAGAAUUGCGAGGUUUUCUGUUUAUUAUCUUUGAGCAAAUCGGGGGUUAGAUUUGAGCAGAAAACAGAGGAGGGUGAUUGAGCGGGAGGCUAGUGAUGAGCAGUUCAUCCAACUUCGCAUUUUCCGUGUGAUAGUUUCAGUUCACAGAACAAUCAAGGAUUGAAGUUCUAAUGAAGCCUCUGUCACAACUCUCAGAACCCAACUUCCUUCAUCUUCGACUCUUUGAUCAGAGCUUUCACAUCUAUAGCAGAAUUCUUCAUUCCGCUGGCUAUCUGGCCUCUGAUAAUUACACUUUCAUGUUCUUGGUUCGCACCUCUGCUCAGCUAUUGGCGCAUGUGACUGGUUCGUCUACACAUGGUGCCGUUGUGAAAUAUGGAUUUGAGCAUGAGCCACAUGUUCAAAGUGGCUUGAUUUACAUGUACGCAGGAUUGGGUGGUUUGGUUGCUUGCCAUUGGAUGUCUUCAUCAAUUUGUGAGCCAGAUUUGGUGUGUCAGACUGCAAUGGUCAGUGCAUGUGCCAAGGUGGGAGAUUUUUCUUUUAAGCCGUUUGAUAAAAUGUCCCACAAGGACCCUAUUGUAUAGAAUACAAUGAUUUCGUGAUGCGCAAUGCAGGCAAUCAAAAAAGGGAAUCGAAUUUAUUCAACUUAAUGCAAAGGUCGGGUGUUAUUCUAGGAGGAUGAGUUUCUGAGAUAUUCAUUCAACUCAGAGGCUUCACGUUCUAUAACAAAAGGGAUCGGGUGAUUUAUUUGAGUCUUCGAGGAAUUCUAUCACUGAGUGUGAAAAGCCGCCCUCAACGCAUGCUGGCUCUCCUGUGUGCAGUGGUUCUGGGAGCAUGAAUGAUUAGAUAUCGUAUGUUUCAGGACGUGAAACUUGCUGCAAGGAGAGGAGUGGGGCUUCUCGAGAUGCUCUGUCAUACAACAGAGUUGGUAGUGAAGAAAUCUAAUAUGAAGUAACUGAUUGUGGCACUACAUUUAGUUUUGCUGCAGGAAACUCUUUUGGUGCAACACCUGCAAGCUGAAGUUUAAGGUGUCCUUCUUCCAUUUGCUUCAACAGAUGAAGAUUCUGAUAUAGAAAUACAUGGAUCUAGUUCUGUAAGUAUUGAUGAGAAUGAUGUGGUUGAGGUCAUGUUGCCCAGAACUUCAGGUGUCAGUCAUUGCUUAUCUACUGUAAAUUCUAGUUCUGUAAAUGGCAUUUUGACAGGGACAAUGUCAUUUUCAUUGAAGCUGCCACCAAUUGUUUUCCGGAUAAAUUUGCAGACAAUAAAAGCAUUGUUGGAUCUUUCUACAAGAAAAUUCGACUCGCUCCCAACUCCAAUUCAUAUCCUCUUGAAAGAAUGAAGUUCUCUAUGGGCACCUCAAAAGCAUCCUUCAAGACUGAGAAAUCCAGGAGUCAGUUACAAAACGCAAGACAUGUCAUGCUCAGAAAGUGCUACUGUCAUUUAUAUUUUAUUGCGUCAACGCGGGAACGAAUGGGCAAACUUCGCUUGAGGUGAGAUGCUGAGAACCAAGGUCCUCGAUCAUUCAAAGCCAAAAUGAAAUCACAUCAAAUGCCUGAACAGAUUGUUUUCUGGAAGUGGAUUACCCUGAAGAUGCUGAGCAUAGUCACGUAGACCUCAGUAUAUCAUUGAUCAAUCAAAGGUGAUUCAGAACCUGUAAAAAUGUUUGAGAGAACUAUUAAUUUGAUAAACAAUCAGAUAAUUAACUAUCGAUAUGAUCCGUCUGAAAAGUGGUUGGUUUUGAUUGGAAUUGCUCCGGGUUCACCUGAGAGACCACAGCUUGUCAAAGGGAAUAUGCAGCUUUUCUCUGUUGAACAGCAUCGAAGUCAAGCUCUUGAAACUCAGGCUGUAUCAUUCGCCACAUUUAAAGUUCCAGGGAAUGAUCAAUCCUAUGCACUUAUUGGUUUUGCCACAAUAUCCUUUAAUGCCGGACAGAUUGUCUCAAAGCUACAUGUCAUUGAACUUGGAUCCAACUCAGGGGAACCAGGAUUUAUAGGGAAACAGGCUGAUCUUUUCUUUCCCCCAGAUUUUACUGAUGAUUUUCUAGCUGCAAUGCAGAUAUCGCACAAAUAUGACUUUAUACAUGUGAUUACCAAGCUUGGAUUGUUGUUUGUUUAUGACCUGGAGACGUCUUCUACAGUAUACAGAAAUAGGAUUAGUCCAGGUCUAAUAUUUUCUUACUGCUGAAGUUACAUCUAUUGGAGGUUUUUAUACCAUCAAUAGGCGAGGGCAGGUGCCAAUUGCUACUGUAAAUGAGGCAGCAAUCAUACUUUUCGUCAGCGGCCAAUUGAACAACUUGGAGUUAGCAGUCAAUCUCACAAAAAUGGGGAGUUUCUCUGGUACAGAGAACUUGGUUGUCCAGCAUUUCCAAAAAUUGUUUGCUCAGACAAAAUAUAAGGAGACUUAAGGAAUCCCAUGGUGGAACCAUGUCAACAUAGACUAGAACUGAUGGAAAUUUAUCUUCCUCACUGUCAGAUAUCACUGCUCUUGAGGAGUCUCUUACUGCUGCUGGUGGGAAGUUCAUCUUUGUGCAAAAGCUUCGUGACUUUGUUUCUGUUACAUGUGACGUUUUGCAGCAUAAGGCUUUUCUUUUUAUUGAGGGACUUGAAGAGCAAAUGCAGAAGCUUCAUGAAGAGCGUGCAUCAGCUGUCUUAGAAAGGAGAGCUGCUGAUAAUGAUGAGAUGAUGGGAAACACAAGCAUCCAUUGAUGAUGCAAUGUCGGUUUUCACUAAAAGUGGUUCUAAAAAGGCAAUGGUUGCUGCUGCUGUUCUUCUAAGAGAACUGAACUGAGUAGCACACCAGCAUACUGUUACGGCUCAUGAGCAUCAGAAGAAUCAUAGCAGGGGAGCCAAAUAACCGGGUGGAGACUACCAGAAAUCAUGCUUAAGAUGACAUUGCUCAAUCCUAUGCCAGCGGAGCUGUUUCUAAUGUCCAAAACCAUUGUGUUAGAUGACACUAGUCCAGCCACUCUAAAGAUCAGAAAGCCUAUCGAGGGAGUUGCUUCAUCAGGAAAGGGGUAGAGGAGAUUUAAUUUCUAUUGAUGUUCUUAGUAUCAGGAACUCUUCAUCCUUGAGCGCCAAAAGUUGUAAGUCUAAAAUUUGGAAAGCCAGCUAUUUCUUCUGAACUGCAUCUGUCUCCUAGUACCAUAGGUCAGCUGACCUCAAACGUGAAAUCUAGAAAGGUUGACGCUGCUUGCACAGUGGUAGCUAGCUUCUCCUUUAUGCUGAACAAAUUUUAUUAGGAUUCACGAUCAGUUGAAGCAUCCACAAUUUUUGAUGCUGAAAUGGAAGAAACAUUUAAGGUCAUUAAACUAAGAAGUCUGAUGGCUGGUUCCUCUGCCCAUGCUGUUCCAACUUCAAUUGGUUCCAGUUUGCCACCAAGCUCAUCAAUAGACUCAUUGCCUUCAGAAAAGUCAACACCGAAUCCCCAUGCUGAGGAUUUCAAGUUCAAUCCCAAUAUAAAGGGGUUCAUUCCGCCUCAAGUGCCUCCUGUCAUAUUCAAUCCACAAACUACAUCAAUAUCCUUUUGACAUCCAGAAACCAUUUGGAAAGAUUCUCAAUGAAGAGACAUAUACCCCAAAAAUGAUCCCAAUCAAGGCACUUUCAAGCUUGGUCAAGCUUUAUGGAAGAGUUGCAGCAGAUUGAGAGGCUCAAAGCAUAGUCGUCUUAAAGCAGAGUAGUCUACUGGACACCUUCUUGAUAACCAACAGACUGCAAAGUUCCCAAUAGAAGUUAGUUCUUAAAGUAGCAUUUAUUGGGAUUAAUGUUCCUCUUGAGACCAUACAGGUGAAAGAUAUCAUCUUCAGUUUUACAAGGUGGAAUAAUGCUCAGUGGGCAUAAGAAAUGAAUGAUUCCAGUGAUGAAACCAUGAUCUUCAAUAGUGGUUCUGCUCCACCAGCCUAAAGUGAAUUUCGCCAAGCCCAGAUGGAGAUCCACUUGGUAUAAUAACUGGUUUCAGGCAGAUAGUAGUGACGGCUCAUGAUUGGGAUGAUAUAUGUGCCUUCUUCUCUUGGAUUUUGGGGUUCUGGAAAGCCAAGAAAACUGCAACUGUGGAAGACCGUAUCCUUGAAAGAUCAUUCUGGUGUUAUUGGUGAGAGCAUUAGCUUUUCAGACGAGGUAAUUGGUGUACUACAGCACUUGCUCGCUGUGCACAUAACAGAUGACAUUGAGAACCUGUGCUGGGAUUUCUUGAGUAAUAGAAUGCGGUUGUUUCUGGUACUCUCCUUGCUUCAAACUGGAAUUGGGGAAUAUUGCCUAAAAACAACAAUGUCCCUGGAAUAGGUCCAAUCUCUCCUGACUAUGCAUCCAGUGAUAAUGAAUAUCUUACUUUUGCAGAAGGCCUAAUUUCCAGUUUACUAGAAGCUGGGCAAGUUGCUAAAAUCUCAAGGAUAUUGUCAUCUUUCUUGAACAUAUAUUUACAAGCUUACCAGAAAGCAUUUCUCUCUACAAUUAACAAUGGCCAGCACCAUGGUGAUAGGUUUUCACCUUUAUUGCUUCUCAAACAUACUGGUGUUGACAAAGGCAUACAGGAUGGGUUUCUUGAGAAGAGUGGAAUAAAUCCUUGUCAUCUGGAGUCUGUUUAUGGUCUCUUAUCAAAGUUAGAUCAAAUGGUUAAGAAAAGAGCUUCUGGAUUCCUAUCGAAGGUCUUUUGGGAAUGUAUAUUGCAUGGUUUCCCCUCUCAUCUUCAAGCUCCCAGUGGAACUCUUCUUUCAUGCAUUCUAAGUAUAAGAGGGAUCAUUUGCAUUCUAGAUGAGCUACUGAAAAUCAAGUGAGCGCUUCUUUGGCUACAUAUUUCCCCUUGAUUGGCGAAAAUCAUCUACUGAGGCUACGGUUUCUCUCAAAGAAAAUGAGCUUGCUGGGAAUUUACUUAGGGAAGUUAUUCUUAAAAACAUCAGCUAGAUCCAGAAGUUUUAAAUCUUCUCAUACCAAGGCGAUCUGCAAUGGCAGUAGUCGUACAUCAUCUUCUGAUCAAAUUGGUAAUGAAAUUUGGGAGAAUGACGUUAAUAAAGUUGAGGACCUUGAAGCAGUUCAGAUAUUGCAGGACAUUUUUAGCAAAUAGCAGGGAACUACAGGCAAAAGUGUUAAAUAGGAUGCUUAAGAUUUUCUCAGGUCAUCUUAAAAGCUAUAAAUUGUGUCAACAGCUAAAGACUAGGUCACUCCCUAUCUUAAAUAUGGAUGAUUUUCUUCCAUCAUCGCAAGAGAUCAUCUUGGAAAAUCUUGGAUAUGCUCCGAUUAUUGUGAAAAGCAUUUCUGAGCAAGAAUCGCCUUCACUUUGCUGUUUGUUGCUGUAGCUAAUCACGUCUGAAUUAAAGCACACCAUUCUUUCAUUUUUUGUCAACACAAUGGUAAUCCUGAUCAGUUGGAGAGAAAAUUCAGCUACAGCAGCUUCAAGAAACACUCUGGCAGCAAGGAUGAUAUCAUAUCCUCAUCAAAGCUAAUUGAAUCCGUUUCUGGGAAGUUUCCUUUUUUUGAAAUUAAGAAUAUAGCUGCUGAUGCAUAGGGAAGAGACUCCCAGAUUUAAAAUUUGCAGUCAGGAAAGAAGCAGAGUACUCUCUGAGGAAGAAGUGGAAAAAGAUUGAAAACUUUGAUGCCCAUGAAGAAGGAACCUGAUUCCACUCUUGAAAAAAUAUUAGACAAAUCUACUGGUUAUUUGACGAUUGAAGAGUCGUAGGGUAUUAUUAGUUGCUUAUGAAUUGUUAAAACAGCAAGUUCCUGCAGUGGUCAUGCAGGCUGGUCUACAACUGUGUGCUUGCCUAAUAAAAACACAUUCUCUAGCCUUGGAGUUCCCUGAAAAUGGAGGUGUGGCUGCUCUUUUCUGUCUUCCAAGAAGCUGCUUCUUUCUUGGAUAUGACACGGUAACAUCUGCUAUCAUUCAGCAUCUCCUUGAAGAUCCGUAGACACUUCAAACAGCUAUGGAAUUGGAGAUACGACAAACUCCAAUGGGAACCUUGAAGUGUAUAUUUGUAGAUCAAAGCUUCGCGACCAUUACUGUUAGUAAUGAACUAAGCUUCAAUUUUGAUCUAUCUUCAACAAUAGGAAUUGAUUUAUCCAAAAAUUUGCUACAUAGAGAGAUACCGACAGGAUUUUCUGGGCUGUUGGGUUUGGAAUACCUGAAUUUAUCAUAUAAUUAUCUUGAUAGUCAGCUUCUUACCUUGGAAAAGACGGAGAGAUUGAUGGUACUGGACCUAUCAGACAAAUCUUUGUCAGGUCAGAUCCUAGAAAAUGUUUCCAAUCCAAGAAACGUAAAGAAUCAAGAUAUGUCAAGUGGAGGUUCAAAAUACGGAGGAUAAGGGUCAUAUUCAGAUUCCACCCUUCAAUUCGAUCAUGGUUUCUGGUUGUUCAUUGCAGUUGUUCUACUGAAAGGCACAGACGAGUAAUCAGUGAACUCGAUAAAGCAUUAUCUUCAUUUUCGAACCUGGAGUGCAAUUCUUCGAAGAGCAUUUUAUUGCCAGAUAAAAAGCAAAAAGCAUGAUAGAUGGAGGAAUGGUUCGGUGCCUAACUAGCAUUCUUGAGUGAUGCAGUUUUCAAGUUUGAUGGUCUGAACAAGAAAAAUCCCCAGCUUCAAACCGAAGAUCUGAUGAUCAGGGGAUUGCACCAUUAACUACAGAGAUUGGUGAGAAUAGUCAGAAUAGAAACAACCAACAAGGACUCAUGGAUGCAGUAGGAACAGAGCAGCGACAACGUCAAGGAAUUUUGCAAAGUGAAGGAAAUCAUUCAUUUACAGAUUCGGUCCGAUUAUGGAUGAAAAGCAACAAUUAGGAGUCUGCUUGGUGAUGGCAACGACAAGGAUACCUAUUCUAGUGGAACCAUUGAAUCAAAUCUUGGUGGCGAGAAAUUAACACAGAAUGCAGGAAAUCCGUCAAUACAAAAAACUGGGGAUUUUGAACUUUAUGUUCAGUGUUUGACCAAUAUUGGGGAGAAUCCAUUUGAGCUUACGGACCAAGUUACCUUAUAAAUCGAAAUGCUUCUGACCACUGAAUACUUUGGCAACGAAUUGGGUCCUUCUAUCCCGAAUUUUUAGACUCCACUCCAUCAUGGUUACCUUGCUACACACACCUCCUCCUCUUUUUUGGCUUCUUUGAUUAGGAAUUUACUAUUUUAAAUUGAAUUUUUUAAAUCAUUUUUCAACUAAGCAUUUCCAGCUUUGAAAAAUCCAGAUUUUAAUAAAUUUGCUGCCACUUUCCUCCAGGCAUGCAUUUUCACUAUCUUCUUUUAUUCUCAAUUAUUUUCAUGGUUUUCUCAAUUUUCAACAAGCAUGAACAAACUUCAUGAUUCCAAAUAAUGGAAUUCAUAGAAUCAAUUCAUGCAAAAUUAAUUAGAGCUAUGGUGGGGGCCCAACAUUCGUGAUAUUUUCCUCAAUAUUGUCUGUUUAAUUGUGCUUCCUCUAUGUGGAUACAUGAGAUUGUUUUACACUUAUUAUUGAGCUAAUCUUAUUUCUCAUUUUAGCGCACGGCUUGCUAUCCAGGUACGUUCCCUAAUACCCACUUUCUAAACCCUAUGAAUAUGAUUGUCGUUGCGUACUAUGCCCAUGCUUGCUAUCCUGUUUGAUUGUCUUGAUAUAUAUUUGAUGUUUGUUUGAUUAUCUUUGAUAAAAUGCAUAUUGGGUGAUAUAUUAUCUAAACUAACCAUUGAUGUUUUAUCAUAGCGCUUAAGAAGUGGUCCAGGUACGCACCCUAACUCUCCUUUAUUGUAAUUUGAUCAUGUUUGACAUGUUAUUUUUUAAAUCACCUUAGUCUAUCUAGAUAUCCUUAAUCACUCAAUUAAUUGCCACAUUUCCCCCAAUUUAGUCAGUAGAGACCUCUUUAGGGCUUAGAGGGGUGCUACCUCCUAGAGGUACCUUCGCAAUAAGUAACCUGAUCCCCAGACCUAGACUUGGGUUUUUAAAAAACACGCUUUUCCAAAAAUUAUGGAGUCAUUUUUUUAGGGUUUUAUUUCUUGUUUUAUUUUCCCUUUAAAAUAAAAAUAAAAUGAGUGGCGACUCCGAUUUUUCUUUCCAAAAAUUACUUUUUCAGAAAUAAAAAACGAGUCUCGCCGAUCGAGUGGGGACGCAUGUGAAAAAUGUGGGUCCACAGACAGGUUGGCCUUUGGCAAUUGCAGCAGACCCUCUGAACCAUCAUCAGCUAUCAGACCUAGCAGACCUCCUUGUCAUUUUGCUUACUUGGAGGUUCUUCAAGAUCACGGACCAUGCCGACUCCGUUUUGCAAUCGAUAUACUUUUUUAAGAUCAGCAAAAGCAACAAUCUAAACUCAGAAUCAGAUCACCCACAAUUGUCUAGUCACUGGAUGAGAAAACCUCCAGGUCCUUUUUGAGGAACAUGUAUUAAGGACCCUUCCACAACUUUCUUUAUCCAUUCCUUUGCCAAGUGAUAUGUUCUCUUCUAUCUUGCCACUCUGAAUUCAAGGAAAAUGAGUACCAAAUUAAACAUCAUAACCAACUUGUUCACUAUGGUGGCCUUUAAUUUGAGCUUUACAAUUUCUAGGAAACCCGUGACGGAUCAAAUUCCUAAGUUGCAUUCCUGAACGCACCAAAACUCAUGCUAAUACCUUCAUGGGCACCAAAACUAAUCAAUCUCACCACUAGCAAAACUUCUCCAAAAAAUCGGCAAAACUAUCCAUGCUUCAUCUUUCCUCUGUUCUUUCGCCCCUGUUUUUCUUCCUUCAUUCUCCAGUAAUAGAUACUUUAACCGGUGCCAAACAAUCUUCCUCCUGGAAUGGUAGUUGUACGAGAAACCCUUGAACUUGUUUUCUUAUUCCAAAUUUGGAUAUGGAGUUUUGACAGCAUCAAGAAACCAUUCUUUAGUGCCAUUGAUUAGUGAUGCAGGCAUGGCUGGAAAUACUCGAAAUAUCCACAUAAAACAAAGGAAGACUGGAAAUGGACCAAUAAAAAAUAAACAACAAAAAGGAAGAACCAAUGGAAGCCAAAUUUCAUAUUUUAUUCCAUGGGCUUAGGUUGGUGAGGGGAAUACAAGCAAAUUCCAACAAACAUAUACGACGACUAUUCUCAUGUAAUGCACAGUAAAUAAAAAAGGUAAAGUCUUUUAGCCCUAAACCAAAACUAGAGUACUCCAAAGGGAGAAAUCAACAACAUCUAGAGAAGCAAUCAAGUGCCAAUCCAAACAAACAUAUAGCCUCUAUCAUUCUACACCCAAGCAUCCAAACAAAACUCAAAAUCCCACGAAGAUCAAUACAUAACAAAAGGAUAACGAGAAUGAAGGAAGAGUCAACAAGAGGCAUUCCUGGAAAUGUUCCUCUCUAGUAAGAAAAUCCCUGUUGGUAUAUCGUCUUAGAUCUCUUACUCUGCUUUGUUGUGUUUCCUUCCUCUCCCUAUGAAGACAAUCUCAGAAUUCUCCNNNNNNNNNNNNNNNNNNNNNNNNNNNNNNNNNNNNNNNNNNNNNNNNNNNNNNNNNNNNNNNNNNNNNNNNNNNNNNNNNNNNNNNNNNNNNNNNNNNNUUUUUUUCCGGGGGGUUGGGGUGGGGGGGGGAAAAAAAAAAAAUUCCAAAAAAAAUUUUGGGGGUUUUUUUUUUUUAAAACCCCAAAAAAAAAAAAAGGAAAAUUUUUUUUCCCCAAAACAAAAAAUGGGUUUUCCCAAGGGGGAAAAUUCACAACUUUUGGGGAAGAAAAAAAGGGCCAAUCCAAAAAAAAAUUUUUCUUUUUUUUUUUUCCCCCCAAGGCUUCAAAAAAAAAUAAAAAUCCCCGGGGGUUCAUUUAUUUAAAAAAGGGUUCGGGGAAGGGGGGGGGGGCCCCCCGGGGGCCUCCCGAAAAAUUUUCCUUUUUUAAAAAAAAACCCCGGGGGGAUUUUUUUUUAAUUUUUUUUUUUUGUUUUUGGGGGUUUCCCCCCCCCCCCUAAAAAAAAAAUUUUAAAAUUUUCCCCCCCUUUAAAAACCCCCCCCCCCCCCCCCCCCCCCCCCCUUUCCCCUUUUUCUUUAUUCCUCCAAAAGCCUAAUCUAAACUCAAAGGGCAACCAAGGUCACGAUGAGGGGUCAAGUAAAUCCCCCAACUAAAGUCUCUGAGGUGGCUAAAAAAAAAGUAAAUUGUAUGAGUAGUCAUGGGCCACCAAGAGACUACUAUUAAGUAUCAAAUGAGCUUCUAAUAGGACAUGUGCUAAGAGGACAAAAUGGAGGGUCUACAAUACCUUUUUAGGAUCACAUAAAGGGACACUUUGUCUCAAUUCCAUGAGAUAUCAUGGUGCCUACAUUUAGAAUACCUAUUGUUACUGGCUUUCAUCAACAAUGACCCAAUCCAUAGGAAAUAUGUGAUCAACUUACAAUCUCACCCGUAAAUCAAAGACACUAGUAACUUUAGCAUAAACUCAACAUUCUCUCAAAGUUGAGGGACAACGCAAUGAAGUAGUUUGGUGAGGUCAUGACUACUUGAUAGCCUUAAGUCAUGACUUAUUGUAGGUCCUGUUCAAUGUGUAACCAUACACACUAAUGCACUCACCAUGGGAAACCCAUCUCGAUAGCCAAGACCAAUUAUCCCUCUAAUUAGGAGGUGGUGCACUACAACCCAUAAUAGGUUGCCUAGACCCAUGAAUCGGUUGUGAACAAGUCAUCUAUUUGUAAGAAAUCCAUGACUUGGAUCUUUCUUGCAACUCUUAAAGCACCAAGUCACGUACAAUGCAAAAUAUGCAUGCAAGAAUGCUCAUAAAAGUGUAAUGCAUGGAAUAAAUUAAAACAAAUAAAAGUGAAACUAGAAUAUCAUUAAAUAAUGAAUUCCAAAUUUGUUAUAUCAUUGUCAUGCUUUUAAGGGCUCUAUCUUAACAACAUUAAUUUAUUUUGUUCUAAGAUCAUCAAAUUUUUAUUUAACACAACCUCGUUGAUCUAUAUACAACACAACUUGACUUCUCCUUAAUUUGAUAUCAUAUUUUUUUUUUCUUUUGAAAGUAAAGGCAUCGUAUACCAUGAUCUCUUUGAUUUUCCAUUUUAUUUUUCAUCGUGGUUGCCUUUGUUUCCAUUUUGGAGGUGUUUCCAUAUGUUACAAGUGAGCAACUUAUAUUUAAGAGCAUGAAUUUUGGAAAGUGUAUGAGAGUUUUGCUUAUCUAAAGAUUCAAGUAUAUACUAACUUACUUCGAGAAACAAUUAUAAUGAUCUUAGUCAAACAAGGCAUGUAGACAAUAAGAUUUGAGCAUGAUGUACAAAGGAUCUUUCCAAAGAUAUCAAUGUCUACUUUAUGAGUUAAACUUAAGAAGUCUCCCUCUUGAUCAAGCACAAAAUGUAACUAAGGUUGAAAUUCCACUCUCCAAAGACAUUUAAUUAUCAAGAAUCAUAUCUGCAAUAGUGAUUAACAAAUAUCUAAGAAUCAAUCCACAUCAAGUCUUGUAGAUAUAGUAUAUUUCUCUAGUUCUCAAACUUGAGAUAUUAAAAAUCAUGCCAAUAUAUCAAGUAAAAAAGCAAAAAUCAUAUGCCCAAAGCAAACCAGAAGAAAACCCAAGGAAAAAAGUAGACAAUGAAACAAUUAAGCUCAAAACCUUUCAAGGCCUAUAACAUUAGAUAAUUAGUCAAUUAGGCGUAUGCCCAAGGAUUUCCUAAGGAACUCAAACCUAAGAGAAUUCAAGGGUUUUGUAAAGAUAUCUACCAAUUGAUGUUUCGUGGGGACAAACUCUAGAGAGACAACGUUUUCUUCAACAAAAUCCCUAAUGAAAUGAUGAAAAAUUUCAAUAUGUUUAGUACGAUAAUGAAGAACACGAUUCUUUGAUAUAUUUAUAGAACUAGAGUUUUAAUAGUAUAUGUUCAUGGUCCUUUACUCAAUCCUAUAGUCUUUCAGUAUUUGUUUCAUCCAUAAGAAUUGUGUACAACAACUUUCAGCAACAAUAUAUUCAACUUCAACAAUAGAUAAGGAUAUAGAUUUUUUUUUUCUUACUAAGCCAACCCACAAAACAAUCACCAAUAAAAAAGUGAGCAUCAUAUGUGUUUUUUCUAUCCUCAACAUUUUCGACCCAAUCAACAUCAAAAUAACUAACAAUCAUAAUAGAAGAAUCAUAGGGAUACCAAAAACCAUAGUCAAGAGUCUCACUAAUAUAUAAUGUAAUUCUUUUAACGGAAAUUAAGUGUGACUCUUUGGGGUUUGCUUGUUAGUUAACACAAACACCAACACAAAUGAUAUGUUAGGAUGACUCACUAUGGGGUAUAAUAAGUUUCCUAUCAUACUCCUAUAGAGCUCUUUUUCAACAUCCUUUCUAGAUGCAUCCUUAUUAAGCUUAGUGGUAGUGUUCAUAGGUGUCCUAGAGUGUUUGGUGGAUUCUAGACCAAAUUUCUUCACUAACUACCGAGCAUAUUCAGAUUGUGAAAGAAAGAUUUCAUCUUUUAGUUGUCUAAUCUACAAUCCUAAGAAGAAAGUUAGUUCACCAAUCAUACUCAUCUCAAAUUCAGUCUUCAUUUCCCUAACAAAACUAAAGUCAAGAUCACUAGAGGUGGCUCCAAAAACAAUAUCAUCAACAUAAAUUUAGAUCACUAAUAAUUCAUCCUUGUACCUAUGCGUAAACAAGGUUCUAUCAACUUCCCUUUUCUCAAACUUUUUCUCCAAAAGCUAGGUAGUAAUCAUCUCAUACCAAGCUUUAGGAGCUUGUUUUAAUCCAUAAAAGGCUUUCUUCAACCUAUAGCUAUGAUUGGGGAAUUUCGGAUCCUUGAAACCCUUAGGUUACUCUACAUAAACUUCUUUACUUAGAAUCCCAUUAAAUAAAGCACUCUUGACAUCCAUUUGAUAAAGCUUCAUUCUCAAGGAGCAUACUAUAGCCCAAGUAUCUUGAUUGAUUCUAGUUAGGUUACGGGUGGAGAUGUCUCUUCAUAAUCAAUCUCCUCUAUCUGUGAGUAUCCUUGGGCUACUAAUCUUGCUUUGUUCCUCACAAUGACCUUAUUUUCAUCUUGUUUAUUUUUUAAAAUCCAUUUUACACCUAUGACAUACUUAUCUUUAGGCCUAAGGACUAAAUACAACAUAUCAUUCCUAGUGAAUUGAUUCAACUCUUCCUAUAGUGCGGUAGUCUAAGACUCAUCUUCUAAAGCUUACUCCAUGAUAUUGGGCUUCAAUUGGGAGGUAUAGCAUAUAAGAUCCAUUUCAUUUAAUCUUUGAUUAUCUCCUAGCAACUACACGUUCAUUCACCUUACCUAUAACUUUUGAGAUACAAUAGUUCUUGGGUACUUUGGAUUUAUGCUUAUUCCCCAUUUCUUCAUAAUUGUCUUCUUGAGAUAUAUUCUCAUCCUUGUUGGGGUCAACUUCACUUUGAGGAACAUUAUUUGGGUUCUUUGAUUUCUCCUUAAAAAAACUCACAAAGAAGUAUCUUGAAAAAUCAUCCACAACAACUAGGACAAAUCUCUUACCACUUCUACUCUCAAUAUGCAUGGGACCCAUAGAUCCAUAAAAAGAAGGUCUAAAGGUCUAGUGGUCCUAAUUUCCUUAACCUUUUUGUGUGAACUUUUUUAUUGUUUACCCACCACAAAUGGGUUUAGGUUCACCACUAAGUUUAGGGAUUCCUCUAACUUUUUCACUAUUAACUAAGUGUACAAGAUCCCUAUAGUUUAUUUGACCUAGCCUUCUAUGCCAAAGUUUAGUAAGGUCUAGCUUAGCACUAGUGCACACAAGAGGUGUCUUAGAGUUAGGAUUUAUUGCAUAACAGUUGUCAACUAUCCUAUGUCCUGUGGUAAUGGCUUUUCCUUCUUUGUUGACUACCUUGCAUAAGUCUUAGCAAAAAUUCACCCUAUGAUCUUUGUCAUAGAUUUGACUAAUACUUAGGAGGUUUGCCUUGAGUUCAUCUACAUAAAGAACUCCAUCUAACUUAGGACAAGUAGGGAUAGAUAUACUUCAUUUGUCUUUCACAAGCUAAGUUUCCAUCCCCAAAGGUAAUUGUGCCACCAUUAUAGUCCUUAAAAGAUAUGAAAGAAGGACUUGUCUCUUGUCAUGUGUCUAGAGCAACCACUAUCAAAGUAUCACUCACUAGAAGACCUAACUUUAAGUGCAGUGAAGACUACUUGACAUUUAGGCUUAUUUUUUUUCAUCCAAACUUGUUUAAUCCUAGGUGGUAACUUAGAGAAGCUUUAUUGAGAUAUAGGCUUUUGAUUAGGUUUAUUCCCUUUUCCAUAAUUCAAGAUGUUAUUUUUAAGGGAAUUAAAGUCAUUCAUUAGCCUAUUUAUUUGAGAUUCAAAUCUCUCUAGGAACUUAGUGUAGCACCUAUACUGAGUGUGUCCUAUUUUCUUUCAGUGUAUAGUGAUGGGUUUAUGAGAGAUGCUACUUGGUUGGGGGUUUCAUCUUUUCCUUUAACAAACACAAUUUCUCCACUAGAAAGAGUUUCAUCUUUAUUAAUAUACUCCAAACCUCAUUUAUCACCAUGGGUUUUCAUUUAUCAAGUAUUUCAUUAAGCAUUUUAGUUCUAAGGUGAAAGAUCUCAUUCACAAAUGAAAAAGGCUUACUAUUUUUCAUCUCUUAAGUAGGAGUCUUAUUUUUCUCAAUAAGAGAAUGAUGUUCAGAUCAAGAAAUCUAUUUUUUUUUUCAAGUAUAUUAAUAUUUUUUUCUUUUAGCACAUCAAUCUUAGUUUUGUAAGCUUCAAGUAUAUGAUCAUAUCUUAAAUAAUUCUUAAUAAGUUUUUCAUGCUCAACAACAAGAUUAUUCAAAAAAGUAGCUUUUUGAUCAUUAGUGAAUUCAUUAUCACUAUCACUAUCAUGCACAAAUUCCAUAGAUGCAACAAAAGCUAAAAAGUUAUUAGGAUCAUACCUUGUAUCUUCAGAAGUUGUGGAACCACUUUCUUCAAAAUCAAUGUCACUCCAUGUAGCUUGCGUAGACUUUUUGACAUUUUUUGGGUUAGGACAAUCAGUAGCAAAGUGUCCCAAACCACCACAAUUAAAGCAUUCUACUUUCUUACCUUUGGAGGAACCUUAAUCAUUUUCUUUGGAUGAUUUCUUAAGUCUCUUUCCUUUUCUAGAUUCUUGAUUUUCGCAAAACUUUUUGUUGAAUUUCAUUACCGUUUUAAUUCUUUUAGUCAUAUAAAUCAAUUCAUUCCUAGUUAUAUUAUGUGACAUUUCAGUAUCUUUUUUCUCAUUCUCCGAAGCCUUAAAGACAAAGUCUUGAGGAUUUUGAGAAUUAGGUAAGGGCAUCUCAUAUGUCUAUAUAAAGCCAACAAGUUCACCAACUCUCAUCUAAUCAAUGUCUUUGCUUUCCUCUAUAGCAAUAACUUCAGGUUUAAAUCUCUUUGGGAGAAAACUCAAAAAAUUUUCUUACUACAUUUGAAUCUAGAAUGGGUUUUCCAAGGUUCAAAGAAGAAUUAACUAAUAAUCUCAAAUUUAGUUUUGAUUUUCAUGCAUUGUAAUAAUCUCAAAUUUAGUAGUAAGCAUUUGCAAUUUAGAAACUUUAAUAGUAGGUGUACCUUUAUGAGUGACUUGAAGGAUAUCUCAUGCUUCCUUAGCACGAGUAUGGUUUGUUAUCUUGCGAAACUCAUCUGGACAAACUCUAUUAAAGAUACUAAAUAAAGCCCUAACAUUGGCUUCACUUCCUUCAUUAUCAACUUUGUCCCAAUCUUGUUUAGGUUUUAAUUCUCCAAGUGAUCUUCCACGGACAUCAAGAAACAAUGAGGGCGUUCACCUUGCAUUUUAAGAAAAAACUUCAUCUAGGCUUUCCAAUAGGGAUGGUUACUCCCAUAGAAGCAAGGUAGACUAUUUAGAGGAGCCCUAGUUUUUUAUUGUUUCAUACUAGACUUACAAAAUCAAUAAAAAUUUCAUUUUUAUCCUAUAUAAUUAAUAAAAAUUUGAUUUUUAAUCAAUAUGAAAAAAAUCGAUUUUUAUUUGUUUGUAAUAUCAAUUGAAAAACCAAAAGUCUAUUAGGAUAACACCCAAAGGGAAGGGGGGUACUGAGUGUAUUUAAAAAUUAUUUGUAUAUUAUAACUAACUUUUUCCUUGCAAGAAGUUAGGGAUUAUUAAUUCAUUCAACAAUGGACAAUGUAAUCAAGAUAAUCAAAUAUAUGCAAUGAAGCAUAAGGAUAUUUACAUGGAAAACCCUCACACCAACUAUGGAGAUAAAAAACCACGAGGUCUAAGAUUGUUAAUCUAAAUCCACUAUAUGAGAUCAAGUUACACAAAUUUACUUGACCACUUUACCCUAAAAACUUACUCUCCAAUAUCUACAACUUAAUCCACGUCUGUGAUGCAGCAAAUCCCUAAUUGCUCCAAUGAAUACACUUCAGCCUCGCUAAAGGGAUGAAGAUCUUCAACCCCAAGAUUCAAAGCUUGAAUUCUUUGAAUGAGAGAUCAUGAAUGGUAUGACACGUUAGAAUUUCUCUUAAAGAGACUCUUUUGAAUCUCUCUAAUCUCUUACCCUAUAAGGGUUAUAGAGAGGUAUAUAUAGGCAAAUAACCCGAAGAGAUUUGAUAUGCAUAGGUUUCCAAAUCCAACUUAUGUGAAAUUCUCAAAAUUAUUCUCUAAUUUUUUGCAAGAAAUACAUGAGCGCUUGAGCACACAUAACCACCGCUUGAGUGGUGCUAAGCGCUUAAGCGGUCCCAAUGCUUGAGUGUUGCUGCCUACUCAAUUGUCCCCUAUUUCAUUCACUUUUUUUAAAAAAAAAAAAAAAUCAAUUUUUGUUGAUUUAAAAGAUAUCGUUCCUCUUUAUACCUCAUAAAAGUCUAACUUGCCACAAGUCAAACCUUUUCAGACAUACCUGUGACUUCUCAGUUGAACGAACAACAACCCUUGAUCUUCAAUGAAGAGCAAGUCACUAUUUAAUAGGACUUAUGUGUUCAAACAUUAAAAGAAAUAAAAUUGUCGACAUACAAACAAGACUCAAUGUCCUAACAACAUCUCUAUCAUUUAGAUUCCAUAUAUGUAUAUUACACCCAACAAACUUAAAAUGAUUGAAAAUUUCAUGAUAUAUCUAAUUUAAUGGCAAUAUAAAGACCACCAAAAAGAAUGAUAUUUGACAUUCUAAUCAUAAUACAUUUUUGUUAGUUCACGAUGUAAUUUUUAUUUGUUUUCAUUAAGAUUAUGUUUGAUUUUUGAAAAAUAGUAAAAAAAAAAAAAAAUGUAAUAAAAAAGAAAGAAAAUAUAAAAAAAUAAAAAAAUGAAAAAAAUAAAUUUUAAAUUUUAAAUUAAUAAAUUAUUUUUACACACUUCUUCAAACUUAACUCAUUUAGUUUUUAUCUUUUAUAUAAAAAUUAAGUAAUUUUUUUUUAAAGUUUCUAACUAAUUUUAAUUAUAUUUUAUUUUCUUUCAUAUUUCUUAUAGUAAAAUAAACAUAAAAAACAUUUUCCUUAACAAAAAUUUCCCCUUUUUCCAUAACAUUUUUCAAGGAAGAAGACCAAAAAACCAUAUAUAUAUAGCCUAAUUAUGUUUAAUCUUUUUAGAAAUAUCCCAUAAAAUAUGGAACUUUCCAAGUCAACCAAACAUUGUUUAAAAGAAUGAAUGAAAAGAAAAGUAAAAUGAAUAAAGCAUACACUAAUAAAUUUCUUUGGAUCAAUUUUCUUCUGUACUUUUAUUCUCAUCAGUUGCCAAUAUAUAUACACAGAGAAGAGAUACAUCAAGACUCCUAAAUAAGGUAAAACUAAACAAGGAAGAAAAUAUGUACAAAUUACAAACACAAUAUUUGCCUACCACGCCAAUCAAGGCUUACCAUAAUCGGCUUGCCCAUCAAAGUUUACCAUAAUCACUAAUAUAUGAAGUUGGAAUAUAAUUAAUGCGAGCACAUGAAGCUACAUUUGAUAAUAUCACAUCUCUUCAAUAACCCUUAAUUAUAAUGUCCAUAAUAAUUAUAAUUCACAUCUUAUAUUCAUGUUGCUUGAUAAUAAGAAAAUGGACACCAUAAAAAAUAGGAUAAAAUAAGUAUUGAAAGUCUUCACCUAAUGAAUAAUAAAUGUCCAUAUUUUCUAUUAGGCCACAUGGGAGUUUUCAAUGAACGAAUCAACGUCUCAGUUGUAGCCUUCACCUAACAUAUAACAUAACAUGGGCAAGUUAAUCGUAUUAUAUUAUCUUGAUAAACAUAAGUUUAUAUUUUUUUUUCUUUCUUAUCACCUCUUACUUUUUAAUAACUUUAGAAGUUCAACUUUUGUAUCAAAAUGAAAUUAUUAAAUCAACAAAACUUCAUCCAAAACUGGAAAAUUGAUAAAUUCAACAAUAAUAAAUUUUAUGAGGCACCAUAUUGACCAAAACCUAACCCAACUUUAGAUCUUUCUUCAAAUAUUCACACUUAUAAAUUUUUAUCCUCAAAGAAUUAUCGAUAACAUAUAUUUAUUUACCAUUACUUUGAUAUUUUGGUAAUCUAAUUUAUGGCCAAGCGCGAGCAUAAUUUAAAUUUAAAAUCAUUAUCAAUUCUCUCCCAAAUAUUUUCUUUUGUAGUUGAUAUUUGAACAUUUAUCAAUAUAAAGAUUAUUGUGUCGAUAAUAUUUUCACUCCCAACGAAAAUGAUGGCAUAAGAUGUAAGACUCAAGAUUCGGUAAGCUUGAGAUUUGAUAUUGGUUUUGAGAAAAUAUGUCUAAAAAAGUAAGUAUGAGAUUAUGUGUGCUUAAGAUUUGGUGUUGACUUAAAAUUUGAUGUGAUUUGAAUCACACAAAGAGGAUUAGUUUUAUCUUAUUGAAUUAACUUUCAAUAAUUUCAAGUCUUAGAUUGAGUUUUGUCCAUCUCAUCUAAAAUAUUAAUUGAUGUUUGACGUGGAUAACCUAAACUUUUUAUUACAUUCAAUUACCAUCAUUUAAGUGCUUUAUUCCUAAUAUUAAAGAGUAACAUUGUUGUACACUAACAAUCCUUCCUUUAACACUUCUAUGGAGUGAACCAUAACUAUUAACUCCAAUAUUAAUUCUUGGAUAGGGUAUUUAUCAUUUCUUCUCAAAACCAAUUAUAUUCAAUGAGAAUAAACUAAAUUUUUUAUGGCUUUCAACCACCAUCAUUUUGAUUGCCCAUCUCUAUACUUAAAGAAUGACAUUAUUGUUGCACCCUCAUGAUGAGAAAUAGUUUUAUUCACUACUUUUAACGAAUUUGUUAUUUUGAUUAAAUAUACUUCUUUUUAUUAAAAGUUUUGUAGCAUUCUUCGAACAGAUAACAAAUUAAUCGAUUUCAAUUUUAAUAAUAGUGAGCUUGUAGACUUGUUUUAUUUUCUAAUUUUUAUAUCAUCACACUUUGGUUUAUAAAUUGAUUCGUUAAUUAUAUUUAUGUAUUUGUCGCUUUCCUUUGACAUUUUAUAAAAUUAUUGUUCAUGUAAUAUGCAUGAAGAAUUUACUAAUAUUUUACUUAAAAUAUUAUAAGAAAUAAAAAGUAUUUAAACCACUUCGUUUUGAAAAAAUAAUGUAUUACCAGUGUUGUCAUUUUUAUAUUCACAAAAGUCUACUAUAAAUAUUUUUAUAAAUUCUCUCUUAUUAUUCACAAUUUUCCAUCCUUAGUGGUGUAUUAGGCAAAUAUUUUUUGUUACAAAAGUUACAAAAUAAAAUAUAGUUAUAGUGAAAAAAUUAUUAAAACAAUUAUACAUGACAUAGAAUGUAUAUUAUUAUAAUAUAUUAGCUAGUUUUAAGUUCUAAUAUUUAAUUGUGGGUGAGUGCUUAUUAAUGAAGCUUCUCCAUUUUUUCUCUUUUUAAAUGCCUUCUAAUUAACAUUUUUGGACUAUUUUGCAGAUAAUGAACAAAUUAGGUAACUUGAGUUUUAAUUAAUAUAAGUUUAUCCACUUGGUUUUCCCCUCCUUCAAUGCUUGGUCUCUGUUACAACCUUGUGAUUUGUAUUCAUGAGUAAUUAAUUGAUGGUAUCAUUUUCUAUAAAAUAUUGAAUGGUAGUUUAGGUUCAACUUUUGUAUUUAAAUUAUUUGUAUAUCUUUCUUCUAGAAGGAGUAUUCAAUCUUGUUUGGUAACUAUUUUUUAAAAAUAGUUUUUAAUAAUAGUUUUUGAAAAAAAAUAUAUGAUAUUUUGUAAGAUAAAAAUCUAUUUAAAACUUGAAAUAUUUUUAACAUGUUUUUAAUAUUUUUAAAUAUGUUUUGAAAAUAAUUUUAUGUGUAAAACUGUAUUUUUAUUUAUUAUAUAUAUUUAUAUAAUUAUUAUUUAAAGAAACUUUCAAAAAACAAGUGAAAACAAUUAAAAGAUGUUAUCUUAAAAUAUUCUAUUUUUUUCCUUAAAAAUAGAAAAUAGAAAAAAGUUUUUUUUAUUACCAUACAUGUUUUCUAGUUUUUUUUUUAAAGAAAAAAAUAAAAAAUUGCUCUUGAAAACAAUUGUGAAAUCAAAAAACAAAAAGCUUCUACACUUUUUUUUUCCCUAAAAUUUCUAUAUUUUUAUAAUAUUAGGUAAUGUUUGACUAAAAAAAUUAAGGAUAAAAAUAAAAAUAAAAAUGUAAAAAAAAGUUAUAAAAAAUUAUCUCCUAUUCUUUUGUCCAAGGAAAAACUACAAGGAAAACAAUUAAAAUUACAGAGGAAUACACUUUGGAUUCACAAAAUUUUCUCAUCCUUUUUUUUUUUUUGAAAGAAAUAUAAAAGGGAAAAAUCUUUUAGAUUAUGCUUGAUUAUUGAAAUAUAUUUUUUUUUAAAUAAUCCUUUGAUAUUUAGUUUUACUAUCGAAAAUAAGAAAAACUAAAUAAAUUAAUUAAAAAAUUUGUAUUUUCAAAUUAUUUAAUAUUUAUAUGGGAAUUAUUAACAUAAUUUUUUUAAAACAAAUUAUUUUUUAUUUUCUUCAUUAUUUCUUUCCUUUUUUUUUUUUUUUUAUGAUAUCUCAUAUGGCAUAUAUGAGAAAACUCCUAACUUUGUAUAAGUGUGGGUUCAUAUUAAUAAUAUAGAUAAACUUUAAAAUAGUGAGGAUCCCUUCAAACUCAGAAUAAAUAAUAUGUGUACUGUUGGAUAUGGAUAGUUACAUUCUCUUCUUUUUUUUUCUAUUUGCUUUAUCUUGGCUCCUCAUAAUUAGCCAAAUGUCCAUCCAAAAGACUUGGACGUAAAGGAAAAAAAGUAAAAUGAAUAAAGCAGUGGAGCAUAAAUAAUACAUUGGUUAUAAGGUUGAAUGAGAAGUGAGAACAGAUGGCACCACAUUUUAUAUUGACAACGACCGCAUUUUAUGGGAAGUAUUAUUUAAUACUUGUCCACCAAUUACAUAAUAUUAUUCAGUGCCCAUGUGACUCAGCAACGAUCUAUUUUUUCUAAGUCUCUUAGACUUUUACGUAUUAAUUUUUUAUCAUAUUCAUUGUUUUUAGAUUUAAUAAUUAUACAUUUACAACUACUUUAUAGUAAAAAUAUAAUAUUAUUUAUAAAUUAAUAAAUUAUUUAUUUAUCAAUAAAUUAAUAAUCCUACAAAAAUGAUAAAUUCUCUUGGUUCCAAGAGUAUUAUUUUACUGUAGUUGGAGAGACACCCAUUCCUUUACUGAUAUUAUUGGAAGAGAUGAAAGCAAAAAGGGUGUGAUACGGAAGUUGUUUUCAUUUAAGAAUAAAUCUUAAAGUUGUUGCCAUACUUGGUACUGGGGGCUGGUUAAGGCCACCCUUGCUCUCAAUUGGUCUACAAUGAGAGUUUAAGACCAAAAUAAUCCAUUUGUAAAAAAAAUGACAAUAAUAGUACCGAUCUCAAAAUAUUUGUCAAAAUAAUCUUUUGUAUCCACGUAAGCAUUCACAUGGAUUUUUUUUUAAGUGUAAAAAACCACCGUUGAUAACUAUGGUUUUAAAAGUUUCAAAAAUAUCUUUAAAACCACAGUUUGUAACUGUGGUUUUACAAUUUUUCUUAAAACCACAGUUAGUAACUGUGGUUUCAAAUUUAUUUUUAAUUCACCCCGUUUGAAUGGUAGUGUGAUUUUAAUAUUAUUUUUAAAAUAUUUUUUAUCAUAAUAACCAUAAAAUCACAGUUAGUAACUGUGGUUUUAGAAAUAUAAUAAAAACCACAGUUACAGAUUAUGGUUUCACACUUUACCAAAAUUUCUUAACGAUAUACCAAAUUUCCCUAAAGUUCAUUUAGGAGUAGAGAUAUUUUUUUGCAAUUUUUCAUUGUCAGUUUAAAAUUAUUUUUUUUACAAAUUAUUCUUAAUAAAUUUUUUCUUUACUAUUGUUUUAAAAUUAUAUAUAUAUAUUUUUAUCUUUAUUUUUUUUUCAUAUUUUCCUUGAAAUUUUGAGAAAAUAAUUUCUCCUACAUGCAUUCCCAUAAAAAUUUAUAUAUUUAUGGUAAAUAAAAUAUUUAUUUGUUUUAUGAAUUUUAUCACAUAUGAAUUAAAUAAAAUUAUUUUUUCAUAUUAUUUUUAAAUUUUAAAAUAAUUAAACAAAUUGUUUAUAUUAUUUAAAUUUUAUAUUUUCAAAUAAAAAAUAAUAUCAAUGAUUAUAAUUUUAGGUUAUUUAUUACUAAUUGUGGUUUAAUGGUUAUUAUGAUAAAAAAAAAUAUUUUAUCAUUAAAAUGGAGGUGGAUUAAAAAUAAUUUUGAAACCACAGUUAAUAAUUAUGGAUUUAAGGAAAAUUGUAAAACCAUAGUUACAAACUAUGGUUUUAAGCAUAUUUUUGAAACUUUUAAAAUCACAGUUACCAAUGAUAGUUUUUUACACUUAAAAAAAAAAUUCAUGUGAAUGCUUACGUGAAUAUAAAAGAUUACUUUGACAAAUAUUUUGAAAUGGGUACUAUUCCUACCAUUUUUUUUUACAAAAUGAUUAUUUUGGUUUUAAACUCCUAUGAUGAUGAAAGAGUGGUACAAUACUUGAGUCUAUGCGACACCUCAAACCCUGAGGAUAAGGGUACCGUGGUCAAAGUCAAAAUCUAAAUCAUCAAAUUUAAAGCAGCUUCUAAUGGAAGCAUUCAUCCUACACUAAUACCUCCUCAUUGAUAUCACGUGGGGAAUAAUAUAAAAGAGUUUAACUCCAUAUAUAGUAUCGAAUUAUAUCUUGGGAGAUAUCACCUUUUUUAAUAAAAAUCAAUUAGUAUGUAAGCUUAUUUAAUUCAAUUUCUUUGAAAAAAUUUACACUUUCAAUUUAACGAUAAAACAACAUAAUAGUUGUAGUAGAGUAAUUGAAAUGUUUUACAUAGAUUCACGGGCUGAUCUAAUGGAUUGAAAAAUAAACCUAUUUUUGGGUCUGAUUGAUUUUAUUUUAUUUUUAACAAUUAUGUAAUUGAGUUAUCCUUGUACCAAUUACUCAACCAAUUGGAUUGACCAUCAAUGUGAUUGACUACUUUUGAUAUAAGCGGGUCAAUGCAUCAUCAUCAUGUGGGUUAGGAGUAGUGUUAAAGCCGAAAGUCGUGAAUAAUUGAGUCUAUUACCAUUGAGUUAAUACCUUUAAAAAUACUUUUAGAAUUGGAUCAGUUUUUAAAUCGAAAAAUUUAAUAGUACAUGGUUUAUUGAUUGGACUAAUGGUUAAAUCGUGAUCAAAUAAUUAUAUUAUAAACUAUGCAUCAAUUUUGAUAAACCUUACAAAUGGCUUAGUAGUAGUGUUCCCAUUACUCACAGAUUAGCUAGACAUGUGCACAAAUCUGGCCCUUACAAAAGGGAUUGUGUUUCUUUUUUUUUUUUCACCUUGGUUCAAACUUAGAUAGAUUUAACUUUAAACUGACAAUUUUGAAGUAGAAUUUUUCAAUACUUCUGAAAUAUGAAAACGAACAAUUUUGAUUUUUUUUUUUUUAAUUUUAAAGGGAUAUUUGCAUAAGUAUUCAUAAUUUUUGCAUACAAUUGUGAAGCGUGACACUUUCAAAUUUAAAUAAGUAUUUUUCUUUACAUUUCAAUUUUUUUUUUAAUUAGCUAUUCAUUGACUUUUUAACAAGCUUAAGAGCAAAAUGUUUGAGUUUUGAAUGUAUAAAACAUGUCAAAGAUUAAAGGAGAAGAAAGAAAGUAUUUAAAUCUAAAAUUUAUUUCAAUAUACGUUAUUAAUAGUAAAAUAUCAUAUUUUACUCUUUAAUAAAUUAAAAAAAUCUAAAAACUUAUAUUUUAAAGUUUUUAAGAAUUUUUAUAACUAAUUAUAACUUUAAUAAUAUGUAAAAUUUACAUUUAAUUUUAUAUUGAUAUCAUGAAUUUAUAUUGGUCUCACAAUUAGAUAGUGAUUGAAUCAUGGAUCCAACUAGUCCAAUAACUUUUCGGAUACACUAACCCAUUCGAUUAUAAAAACAUAAUAAUAACUAUAAAAUUUUAUAUAUAUUAUCACAUUUACAAGUAAAAAAUCAUGCACGAUUUCAGACUUGAUUCUUUUAUACAUUUGAGUGAUAUUAGAGGUUGAAUUUUUUAUCUUAAUAUAUAUUAAUGCCUAUCAUGAAUACACAUUUGAGUGAUAUUGGUGGUUGAAUUUUUUAUCUUAAUAUAUAUCGAUGCCUAUCAUAAAUAAAAAGUAUGAAGACAUAAUACAACUGUAUUUGAGUUGUAGAAAGCAUGGUGUUUCCCACGUCCCUACCUAUGGAAUUAUAAAAUUCACACCAAGAAUGCAUCAUCAAAUGACCACAUCCACUGCAUGUGACCCCCAUGUGAUAUGUCACUACACUCUUUCCCAACUCUUCCAACUUCUUCAUCUAUAUUUUAAUCGACAAGUUUAAAUUUCUUUAAAAUGUUGACAUAGAAUUGAGAAUAAUGCUAAUCACAAUUUUCACACAAUUAAAAGUUUUGUACUUUUUUUUUAUUUAAGGAAUAAUCAUUUUUUUUCCUUAUAUAUAUAGCCUUACUCUAUGAAUGGCCCUUUCUCCUCUUGGCCAAAGGAAAUCCAAAUUAGCUUGAAUUUUGAUAUAAAUGAAGUUGUUCAAUUUGCCUAAUUUUUUUUAUUUUUUUAUUUUACUUUUUAUUGUAAUUUUCUAUUGCUUUUAUAAAGGUUGAGUUUUAUUUUGGAAACUUUUCACAAAAAUACAAGGAAAAAAUAGGGAGAAAAAUAAAAUAUAAAAAAGUUAAAAAAAAAAAAAGAGAGUAGAAAAUAGAUGUAAAAUUAAUAAAUUAUUUUUUCAAAUUUAUUUCAUUUAUAUUUUUUUAUUUAUAUAAAGAUUAAAUAAUUUAAAAUAUAUAGUUAUUUUAAUUAAUUUUAAUAAUUUUGAUUAUAAACCAAAUAUCAUAAAAUUAUUUUUCUUAAUUUUUUUCUUUUCUAUAUAUCUUCCAUAUUCUUUUCUUAAUAAUGCUGUAUCCAUAAUAAUAAUACUUCUGGAUGCUGAGGAAACCCAACCAUAUUUUAUAUCAUGUCACAUGGGGCUUGGAAUAGUUCUAGGUAGACGAGUUAACAAUUGAUUUGAAAUCUUCAACCACUAAUUUAAAUUCUUCACCUAAUCAAUAAUAAAUGUCCAUAUCUUUCUACCAGGCCACAUGCAUGGGACUUCGAAUGGUUUAAAGUGAACAUGUUCCCUGAUUAAUUUGGAGCUUUCACAUAAUAUAUAAUAUUUUUUUUAUUUACAUAAAAUUAAAUAAUUAAAAAAUAUAUAAUUAUUUUAAUUAUUUUGAUUUGAUUUUCUAUUAUAAAUCAAAUACCAGAAAAUAAUUUUUCUUAGCUUUUUUUUUUUUUCUAUAUAUCUUCCAUAUGUGUUUGUUCUUUUUUAGAAAUAUCCCAUAAAAUAUGGACCUUUUCUAAUCAACCAAACACCCAGGAGGAACAAAAAAGAAAAGAAAGAGAGAGAGAGAACUUAGAGAAAAAUAAAAUGAAAAAACCGCUAAAGAUAGUAUACGUUUUAUAUAAAGUUGGAAUAUAAAUAAAUGGACCCACACCCCUUCAACAACCCUUAAUCAUGUUGUAUCCAUAAUAAUAAUUCACAUAUUUUAAUAGAUUUGAAAUCUUCACCCAUUAAUUUAAGUUCUUCAUCUAAUGAAUAAUAAAUGUCCAUAUUUUUCUACGAGGCCACAUAGGACUUUGAAUAGUUUAAAGUGAACAUGUUACCUCAUUAAUUUGGAGACUUUACAUACUCUAUAAUACUAUAAAAUGUUGGAUAGAUCACUAACCUCAUUUAAAUAAUAAAAUCUUCUAAUUCUUUUUUUUUUUUUUCUGAUUUUUACAUGAUUGUGCUUUAUUUUAUAAAUUAAUUAAUAAUUAUAUUUAUUUAUCUUGGCUUCCCGUACAUAUUUUAUGAAAAUAUUAUCCAUGUAUGUAAUACACAAGAUGAAUGCACCCUUACAACUAAAUUCAUCUUUUAAAUUUAAAAAAAAAAAACUAAAAAUUAAUAUUAUUUUACUUAAUAUUUAAGUAAUAAAAAUAACAUAACCAAUUUAAUUUUUGGUUUUUCAUUUUUUUUAAAUUAGUCUUAUAUUUCACAACUUUUCAUCCUUAAUGUGCUACAAAUCUUUUUACCACUAUAAGGGUUAUGAAAUAAAAAUUAUGUGUAUGGAAUAAAUAAGAAAAAGAAAAUUAAAUUGUCUUAUUAUUUUGCAAUGUAGUUUCAUUCCCAAAAUUUCCUCAAAUCUUUUUGGUUAUAUUUGAUUAUUGGAAAAUGAAAAUAAAAAAUAGAAAAAAAAAUAUUAUUCUCUAAUGUUUGGUUUUUACAUUGAAGAUAUCGGAUAUAAUUAAAAUUAGUUAAAAUUUUUUAUAUUUUUAAAUUAUUUAUUUUUUAUGUUGAAAAAUUAAAAUGAAUAAAAUGAGUUUAAAGAACAUACAAAAUAAUUUAUUAAAUUUAAAACUAUCUUUAAUUUUUAUUCAUUUUUUUUUCACAUUUUCUAUUAAACUUAGGAGAACCAAACAUAUUCUUAGUAUUUUUUUUUUUUUUUUUUGUUAAUGUUGUUUUCCCUUGUCUUUUUCCAUAGUAUUUAAAAAUAAUAAAUUUGUUUCCAUUUCUUUUAGGUUAUAUUUGGUUUUUGAAAAAUUUGAGGGAAAAAAAUAAAGAAAAAUUAAAAAUAAAUUUAAAAUUAAUAAAUUAUUUUUAUAUGUUUCUUUAAAUUUAUUUCACUUAAUUUUCUCAAUUAUAUAUAGAUUAAAUAAUUUUAAAAUAUAUUUUUAAUUAUAUUUAAUUUUAAAAAAAUUUAUAGUGAAACCAAUGAGAAAACCUUUUUUAUUUAUUUAUUUAUUUUUCCUAAUAACCAAACCUAACCUUAGGAUUUUUCCAAAUUUCGGAUCCAAAAGUAACUGAAUGUUACGAAAAAAUAUAAAUUGAAUGAAGUACAGGAGCAUAAAUGGUACAUCAAUUUUAUAUUGACUACCUUCUGUACCUUUAAUUGCAGCGUGUUGACUUGUCCACCGAAUCCAUAAUAUCAGCCAGUACCCAUGUGACUUGGCCCAUCUCAUCCACCCCUAUAAAGAUAUCUCUUACUUUGUUCCCUAUUCUCUCACAAUUCCCUCAGCUUCUCAUCUUGUACGUGCUGUAUUUUCUUGGCUUUCUGCUACUUUGAGUUGUUCCAAAAUGGCUGACCAAAUUCCAUUCGGUGUUGUGGAGCACAUUUUGACCAAGUUGGGGUCCAAGGCGUUUCAAGAAAUUGGAUCCAUGUAUGGUGUUCCAAAGGAGCUAACCAAGCUCAAGGACAACCUCGACGUCAUCAAAGGUGUACUUCUGGAUGCUGAGGAACAGCAGCAGCAGAAAACUCGUGGAAUAGAAGCUUGGGUCCAGAUGCUCAAAGGCGCCGUGUAUGACGCAGAUGACUUGCUGGAUGACUAUGCAACCCAUUAUCUACAGCGAGGAGGAUUCGCAAGGCAGGUCAGUGACUUCUUCUCAUCUGAAAAUCAAGUUGCUUUUCGCUUUAAGAUGAGUCAUAGACUCAACGAUAUCAAUGAAAGGCUAGACGCUAUCGAAAAAAAAAUCCCCAUGUUGAAUCUGACUCGACGGGAGGCAAUACGCAUAGGAGUAGAGAAUAGUUGGAGAGAAACCCACUCAUUCUCGUUGCCAUCUGAAAUUGUAGGAAGAGAAGAAAACAAAGAGGAGAUAAUAAGGAAGCUGUCAUCUAACAAUGAAGAAAUUCUUUCCGUUGUUGCCAUUGUUGGCUUUGGGGGAUUGGGUAAGACCACCCUCACUCAAUUGGUAUACAAUGACGAAAGAGUAGAACAUUUUGAGCGUAAGACAUGGGUUUGCAUUUCUGAUGAUUCUGGUGAUGGUCUUGACGUCAAACUGUGGGUCAAAAAGAUUUUAAAAUCUAUGGGAGUUCAGGGUGUGGAGAGUCUGACCUUGGAUGGUUUGAAAGACAAGCUUCACGAAAAAAUAAGUCAAAAGAAGUACUUGUUAGUACUUGAUGAUGUUUGGAACGAAAAUCCUGGAAAAUGGUAUGAAGUGAAAAAAUUGUUGAUGGUUGGUGCUAGAGGUAGUAAAAUUAUAGUAACCACCCGAAAACUUAAUGUUGCAUCCAUUGUGGAAGAUAAGUCUCCCCUUAGUUUGAAAGGUCUAGGAAAAAAGGAGUCUCGGGCUUUAUUUUCAAAAUUUGCAUUUAGAGAACAGGAGAUUUUGAAGCCAGAAAUUGUAGAAAUUGGAGAAGAAAUUGCAAAAAUGUGCAAGGGAGUUCCUCUCAUUAUUAAGACUUUAGCAAUGAUAUUGCAUUCUAAAAGAGAACUGGGAUUUUGGUUGUCUAUUAGAAACAAUAUUAAAAAUUUGCUAUUACUUGGAGUUGAGAACGAUAAUGUUGUACGGGUCUUGAAACUAAGUUAUGAUAAUUUGCCAACACAUUUGAAACAAUGUUUUACAUAUUGUGCUUUAUUUCCAAAAGACUAUGAAAUUGAGAAAAGGUUGGUGGUACAACUAUGGAUAGCACAAGGUUAUAUUCAAUCUUCAAAUGAUAAUAAUGAGCAAUUAGAGGAUAUAGGGGAUCAAUAUGUUGAGGAAUUAUUGUCAAGGUCAUUGUUGGAGAAGGCGGGAACCAAUCAUUUUAAAAUGCAUGACCUUAUACAUGAUCUUGCACAAUCAAUUGUAGGAUAUGAGAUCCUUGUUUUAGAAAGUUAUGUAAAUAACAUUUCACAAGAAGCUCGUCAUGUAUCAUUGUUUGAAGAGGUAAAUCCUAUGAUAAAGGCUCUAAAGGGAAAACCCAUAAGGACCUUUCUAAACCUUGGUGAAGAUUCUUUUAAGGAUAGUACAAUUGUAAAGUCAUUUUUUCCGAGUUUUAUGUGUUUACGUGCAUUGAGUUUAAGUCGUAUGGGUGUAGAGAAGGUGCCAAAGUGUUUAGGCAAAUUGAGUCAUUUAAGGUAUCUUGAUCUUUCCAACAACAAUUUUGAGGUACUUCCAAAUGCUAUUACAAGGUUAAAGAAUUUGCAAACACUAAAACUCAUAUGGUGUCGGCGUUUAAAAAGAAUUCCAGACAACAUAGGAGAAUUGAUCAAUCUUAGACACUUGGAGAAUGAUAGCUGUUUUAACUUGGCUCAUAUGCCACAUGGAAUCGGCAAGUUGACUUUACUUCAAAGUCUACCAUUGUUUGUUGUUGGGAAUGAGACAGGGUGGUUAAGGAAUCACAAAAUUGGUAGCUUGAGUGAAUUGAAAGGCCUUAACCAACUAAGAGGAGGGUUAUGCGUAAGUGAUCUUCAAAACGUGAGGGAUGUUGAACUGGUAUCCAGGGGGGAAAUUUUGAAAGGAAAACAAUAUCUUCAGUCCUUGAGAUUGGAAUGGGAUCGGUGGGGCCGAGAUGGGGGGGAUGAGAGUGAUAAGUCAGUGAUGGAAGGCCUUCAACCACACCAACACCUAAAGGAUAUCUUUAUAGAAGGUUAUGGAGGUACGGAGUUUCCAAGUUGGAUGAUGAAUGAUGGGUUGGGUUCCCUGUUUCCCGACCUAAUUAAAAUUGAAAUUUCGGGAUGUUCAAGAUGCAAAAUUCUGCCACCCUUUUCUCAACUCCCUUCUCUCAAGUCUUUGAAGCUUCAUAAUAUGAAAGAAGUGGUGGAGUUAAAGGAGGGUUCAUUAACAACGCCACUCUUCCCAUCUCUUGAAUCGCUCGAACUCUCUGACAUGCCAAAGUUGAAGGAAUUGUGGAGGAUGGACUUACUAGCAGAAAAACCUCCUUCAUUUUCUCAUCUUUCGAAGUUAUAUAUUUAUGCAUGCUCUGGUUUGGCAUCACUGCAUCCUUCUCCUUCUCUUUCUCAAUUAAAGAUCCAUAAUUGCCCAAACUUGACAUCCAUGGAACUGCCGUCAUCUCUUUGUCUUUCUCAAUUAGAUAUCAGAAAAUGCCCUAACUUGGCAUCCUUCAAAGUGGCUCCAUUACCUUCUCUUGGGAUACUCUCUCUGUUCACAGUUAGAUAUGGUGUGGUACGGCAGAUAAUGUCUGUCUCUGCUUCUUCUUCGUUGCGGUGUCUGUAUAUUAAAAGCAUAGAUGAUAUGAUAUCUCUCCCGAAGGAGUUACUUCAACAUGUUUCUGGCUUGGUAACGUUAGAGAUCCGUGAGUGUCCUAACUUGCAAUCCUUGGAACUGCCCUCAUCCCAUUGUCUUUCUAAAUUAAAGAUUGGAGAAUGCCCUAACUUGGCAUCCUUCAAUGUGGCUUCAUUACCUCGUCUUGAGGAACUAAGCCUGCGUGGAGUCAGAGCAGAGGUACUGAGGCAGUUCAUGUUUGUCUCUGCUUCUUCUUCAUUGAAGUCUCUACAUAUACGGAAGAUUGAUGGUAUGAUAUCUCUCCCAGAGGAGCCGCUUCAAUAUGUUUCCACUCUCGAAACUCUCCACAUUGUUAAGUGCUCUGGUUUGGCAACAUUACUAC
rnacentral:lncRNA from 1 species